ACUUGCCGAAGUCCAGUACCUCAUGAAUUUGUUACUUGGUUUUAAGACACUCAUAUGGCAGGAAGGAAUCUGGAUGUUGCAAGUUAUAUUGUACUAAGGUGGUCAGUCAAGUAUUUGAUCCUGCUUGGUUGUUGCUCGGACUAAGCUAUCAAACUUCUCCCAUCCCAACCGGUGUGCUUUUUUAUUUUCCAUCUCAUAUGGUGUUCUAUAAAAUGAUUAAAAUCAAGAUCAAGCACGGGAGAAGGUUGAUACAAGAUCAAGCACGGGAGAAGGUUGAUACAGUGUCUGUAAUUGUAAGAGUCUCCUUAGGGUGAACAAACGGGUGACACUCCCCAAAAUUUAAAUAAAUGCAGAUACCGGAACUCAGUGAUUGCUAUCAUUCGUUAAGCUGGUAUGUAUUGCUCAUCACGAUGGGGAAGUUCAGUGUCUGGUGAUGUUUUGAGAGCUUGAAAGCAUAUGUUGUUUUUGUUUUUAGAGAAAGGGGUUGUUCUUAUAUUUUCUUUACCGAACGGUUCAGUACUUGUCCGACAAUGAUGCAUCGAAUAAGAUUAAAUGUUAGAUGUUUAUCUAAGAUGACUCGUCUUUUAAUUACAUAUGGUAUGCAUAGCUGGUUACUUUGGUUGUGAUUUGUGAAGCUGGUUAAUGUGAUCCAUAGUAUUAUAUAGCUAUGUAUAUAACACAAGCCUCUAUAAGUGCUUUUUCUGCCCCCACAAUCUUGCCAAGCUUAAGGCGCAUUUCGUGUUAGCUUCUUUUGAAUCGAAACCUUGAACUAGUAGCGUUUCAAGUGCAGAAAUGAAAGCAUUCUUGUCUGCAGGUAGUUUGUGAUCAUAAGGAUUAACAGUGAAUACAAUGUCCUCAUGCUAAAAUUGUUUUUGAUGGUUCUCCUUGUCAUGCAAUUUAAUUCCAGCUAGCUAAUCUGCUGCUGCAUAAUUCUCUUGAAAAGUUGAAACCAACUCAAAAGUGUUCUGCAUUUUAGCUAAUUGUGUUCACUAAAACCAUAUACAUCGUAGGGUCACACAUCAUAGUUGACAAAUUGAUGCAGGAAUGGUCCAGUGUGAGAUUGUCCACUGUGGCUCCAUGUGAUCUCUACGUGCUUAUUAGAACACUAAGCAUUAUGAUAUGCAGUGCAUCUAAGAACUUCUACUGCAUUUGGGAAUUUUUAUGAUAAUAUCAAAUCCACCGGCCAUUUUAAAAAGUAGUGAACACCACAAGAAGGUAGGAAAGAAAUGGCAAACAAAACCAGAUGGAGAUCUGAGGCCAGUCCCUACAGCCACACCUCUCCCCAGACUAGCUAGUAUCUUCUAUUCCACUAAAUCACUAAAAGUAGUAUAUGCUCUCUUUAGUUAUCAUUGUUUUUUUCGCAUACCAUGAUAUGAUAUGUAUAAGUUGCCAAUUGUUCAAAUGGUAGAAGCUUCUCAAUUUUUGAUAUUAUCAGUUCAAAGAUAUUAUGCACAAAAUGUUAUUUCUUGCCUGCAGAUAACAGGUUUAGUUAAUUAGGUGAUUAAUGUUAGAUGCAUGUUUGUCGAUCUCUAUGAUGACUCUUAGUUAUUUAUUACAUCUGGCAUGCAAAUUAAGGUUUGAUUUCAUGGUGCUGUUUCUUUGCAGCAACAAAUCAGAAGUUGAUUCAUGCAACAAAGAAGAAACAAAAACAAGCUAAUAAUCAUAUAUAAAGUUUAGAGUUUAUCCAUAUACCUUGCAUAUUUGAUUUAAUGGUCUAGUUUGUUGGCGCUUAUCUAAUGUGGAUUAGAAGCAUUCGUUGCUGCGAUAUCAUCUUCAUCUGUAUAUCUGGUGUAAGAAAAAAUUUACUCAAUUAAAAAGUUCGAGUAUUUGUAAACUGCGAGUUUAGACUUCAAUCGGUAGAACCAAUAGUGUAUACUUCUCAUUAGUCAUUAGUUCGAGUAUAUAUGGAUUAGUAAUAGCUUUCACUAUUCAUUUACAGCUGAGUUUUUCGCUGAGUUCUUUAUGUAUGCUUCUCCUACGCUAGGUUUGCAGAGCCAAAUGCAGCAAAGAGGGAGGAAAUUACACAUUAUGAGGAACAGACAAUCCAAGAAGAGUGUGAGCUUGGUGAACUCAACGAAAUAUUAUUCACAAAUCACAUGUCAAAAUUUAGGGCUUAGGGAGUAUUAUCAUGAUGGUGAUCAUCAUCUAUAUUGACUAAAUUAAGCUGCUGCACACCAUAAUAAGAAAGGAAAGAAAAGGCAAAUAAAAUUGUAUUCCCUGAUUUACCCCUAAUCAAAGAUAAGUAGGGGUAAAUCAGGAAAUAAAAUCUUACGAAAAUAUAAGGAGAUAAAUUUCAUAAAUAUGGAAGUGUUAGCUAGAACCCCUAUGUAUUAUGCAUUUAUGCUAGUUUUUUUUUUUUUUUUGUCAUUGUCUUUGUCUUUGUCGAAAGGCAUCAUCCUUCUUUAGUUACCAUUUUCUUUUUCACAAAUACUUUGACAGUUUGAUAUUACCAGUUUGUUGCAAUGCCAUCAAAGAUCAUUUGUACAUGCACCUUUUUACUGUUGCAUGCAGAUAUCAGUAGUGGUCGUUGAACAUGAUAUCAAACUCUAUUGACAAAAGAUAGAUAACUUGUAUGAAUGUAUGUAGAUUAGGACCGUGACAGCCAUCAAAGUUCCUAUGUUAACGAGCAAGAAAAACCUUUUGAAGAAAUAGGCAAUCUGAGACUUUUCUUUGUCAUCGUUUCCAUCAGAUUGGUCUGUUCGGAAUCCAGAAACACUUGAUUUCACCCCACCAAUGCCUGAUGCAGUUGUAUAUAAAGAAAGCCACCUUGUUUCCUGCAAUUUUUGCUGCUGUAGUGAGACAACGAGGUGGGUGCAGAUUUGCUAAUUUUACAAGAUCACAGUGUAUGGAGAACUAAGGCCCAAUACCCAACUACAGGUCCUGGCCCAAUACUACAUGAAACGAUGGGGAGACAUUCGACUCGAGGAAAACAAAACAAAACUGAAUUGGCGAUCACCUCUGCUUGGAACAUAUGGAAUAGCAGACGUAGGGGAUGGAGAACAAAGGAGCUGGGCGCGUUGAGCCUCUAGUAAGUCAGCAACAGCAGCGCAGAAUUCUCUCGGAGGUUUUCCGUUUACUUAUGCAUGGAACAAAACAUGACCAUUAACAUAACCCUUUGCAGACUCUAAAAGAAGCUCAUGAAAUUCAACAAUGAUGGAUAAACAAUACGUGCAAUUAAGGUAAUUUAUCCUUUAUGAUAGACAAAACAGUUCCAAUUUUGUAGCAACUUCUUUGAUAGAUUAGAUUGAAGCUUUGAUCCAACUGAUUAUAUUUGCUAAUUUCCGCAGAACUUUUCCAAGCACAAAAUGUUAUAAAUAAGCUUAUCAAUCACAAAAGAACAUAUACCCAAAAAGCACCCAUUUUAGAGACUAUUACAAGCAGUCCUGACUCCUGACCAUGAGGGCCGAGCAUCUAAUAACAAUUCACAAGAUAGAGUUCAUAAGACAUAUGCCCAUCUGAGUGUGUUCUACAAGAGUCGUAUACCCCCAUUUGAAUAAAAAAAUAAUAUACAUAAAGACAAGAGUGGAUAGAAGACGAAUGUAUAGAUUGAGAACUGAGUCAUUGGGGAGGGGCAAAUUACUCGUAUUACUCCCUUGUAAUGUAUAGUCCCUCAUUGCCUGCUACCUGCCUCCUCAUCUGCAAGAGAGAGUAACCCAAUUUUAGAUGACAUUAUACAAGAUUUCAAAACCAAUAUGUAGCGCCUGCACUGAUUUGGUGCAACACUGCACAUGACACCAGCAAGUAGAUUUUCAAUUAGCUCUACACUAGUAGUGUUCAGACCUCCCUCAGUUGCAAGGUUCAAGUCAAGUUCCAAGUGCUCUCUCAAAGUGAUUAUGAGAAGGUCACAAUUAGCUCUCCAUUAUCAGUAUUUUACCUAUUCUCUUAGAUUAAGAACGGACUAUAGGUUCAAACCAGCUUCAGCCGGUAGCAUAAGCAAAUGCAUAUGUCACACUAGAAAUUCACAAAAGUAACAAGGGAAAAACAUUACUCAAGUUAUUUAUUUGAAAGCAUAUCAAGGACUCGUAAUGUCAUCAAACUAGCCAAAAAUGCGUAUCUGAACAAACAAUGCAAUCAAAUGACGAUGAUUCCCGUGCCAUAUCCAAAGAAGAAAGGGAAAAAAGGGAGCUGCAAAAAGUUAAAAGACCAUAAUUCACAAGAGCUCCACCAUGCAUAUGAAAUGGAAAAUCAGCUGCCUCUACAACUCGGCCUUUGAAAUUUCAAGUAACUACAUGUUUAUCAAGGAUAAUAUGGCAUGGGAACAUUUAUCCAGCUAGCUAGAGCCAUGAAAUCAAAGAUUGAAACACAAAGUGCAUAAUGGAUCGUGAAAGCUAUAGUAGCAUGUUGAAUACACGGUACACUGGAUUGUGAAAAACUGAAAACUAUAAUAGCAUGUAUAGAUGAAAAACAAACAGAAACAUAUGCAUCAUACUCGGAGUCAAAGAGCUAUUGAAUAGGUAGACCUAUGUAUCGUCUAAAGCAAAUAAGUAGUCAUAUCAAAAUGACGAAACAACAACCAAAUUUUGAUGAGAGAAUAACUACCAGAAGUUUUAGAACUAAAUGAGUGAAAAAGAUCAAUUUACCUAUCAGUUUAAUCCUCACGACGGCGAAGUGGCAGAUGCAUACCGAAUGCAUCCAUGUAUGAUUGAAGUACUCCCACCACCCACCAACCAAUAACCGCACCCGUGACCUUGAGGAUGAUCUUCAAAGCAGUUACAUAGUUUCCCUGAUGGAUCCCCCAAUACUGGAGCAGCUCAAGAAGGAAGAAUGAUAAACAUCUUGAGUAAACAGCAAACUGCUCCCGAUUGGCCAUGCCGCCUUCUAUCAUAGCUAGUCGGCGCGCCGCAUACAUGACAAUCGUGACACAAACAAUCCAAAUAACGAAGUAGGGCAUUAUGUGAGACUCCUGGUAGAUAAUCUCAAACACCAUGCCUAAUAUUUCCGAUGUCACAAGCAGUAUAACAAAGCAAUUUGACCUCAAGUGCUGCUCCAGUAGUCGAACCAAAUGAGAAUUGUCCCCACUCAUCUCCAAGGGAGGUGGAUAAUUGCCACUUUGAGGCUCAGCAUUCACAAUGUACAUUCGGAAGUCAUCGUUCAUUGGGGUUAUGUCGCUCCUACCAACACCUAAGCGGCUGCCUGUAAGCAGAUAACCUGCCUCCACAUCGCCAGUUUGGAUCACAAGGGUGUCACCCAUGCUGAUCGGGGAUGCAAGGCCAAUGCCUGCAAGCAUACGGCGAAUGCGGCCUCCCUCCACAUUGCCAGUUUGGAUCACAGUGCCACCCAUACUGAUCAGGGAUGCACUGUCAAUGCCUGCAAGCAUGUGGCCAAUGUGGCCUCCCUCCACAUUAUAAAACACAGAGGUGCCACCCAUACUGAUCGGCAGGGAGGCAAAGUCAAUGCCUGGAAGCAGACGGCCUCCCUCUCCCUCCACAUAAACCAGUGGAAGCACAGGGGUGCCACCCAUACUGUUCGGCACGGAGGUAAAGCCAAAGGCGCCAAGCAGACUGCGAGUAAAGGCUGUGAAGCCAUUCUCAUUAACAGGUGGAAGCACAGGGGUGCCGCCCAUACUGAUCGGGGAUCCAAAGUCAAUGCCUGUACCUUCCUCCAAGUUGCCAGUUUCAAACAAACGGCCACCAAGCAUUGCAAAGUUACCCAUAUCGCUCCUCCAAACUUCGGGAAGUAGACGAACACUCAAGCGACUGCGUGGAAUCAAAGCCAGAAAGGGGUUGAUUGUUUCGAAGUUAACCGGAUCGAUAGGAGAUUCAAAGCCAGUACCUCUCUCCAAAUUGCCAGUUUCAAGCACGAGGUUUGUAUCUUGGGGCUGAAGGUCCGGAUAGUCACUUUCGAUGACAGCAGAAUCAGUAGAGCUGUGACCGUUGCUUCCAUCGGACGAGAUCCCAGCUCCGACGCCGACGUGUAGCCCGCAUCCGGAACCGACAUUAGGCCCGUCUCCGGCGACAGCAGUACUCACUGUGAUAUUGUCUUCAGUGGCGGCGACAGGGACAGAUGGAUGCAGCAGGCACUCGACUCCGACGGCGCAAGGAGGUGGACUCUGCCCGUUCUUGCAAAUCUCAUCUCCGCCUCCGGCGACGGCCCCAACAGGUGAGCUCUUUCCACUUAUGCCGACCGCGAUAUCACGUCCGGCGACGGCGGGACUGGGAGGUGAAUCACUGGCCAUGAAGCACGUCUGCAUCGAGUGAUCGAAUUUCAAAGAUUCAAGAUCUUGUGAGAUACUAAGUAGUAGAAGAAGAUCAGAAGAAGAAGAAGAGAAGAGAAGGGUGUGAUUACCUGCAAGUGAUGAUGGAACCCUUGUUUGACUGGAUUGCAAAUUUGCAAUGGUGAAGGCCCGACGGACUGAUGACGUGACUUGGGAGUAGUAGGGUUUCAGGACAACUUCAGGUCAGGGGGUUUCUAUUUUGCGUCAGAGUGAAAGAGAGUACUAGGUCGCAGGUAGUGUGUUCGGUUUUGCUGCUGGUUUUAGUUUUUACAAAAAAGGAAAAUCACAAAUCACAAAUCACAAAUGUGUUGUGUUUACUACAUACAAGUGAUACAAACUAUGUUUUUUUCUCUCUUAAUUCACUCGUUUUCGUCAAUUCUUCUUUUACUGAACUCAAGUUUGAAGUGAACUUUUAUUAUUACGUCCAGUUUAGUAUUAAGUUUUGAGGAUUAAGAUCAAUUAUAAUCAUCAAUUUAGAUAGAUUAUAUGUUUGGUAAAAUCUUAAAAGGUGUUAAUCUAUAACUUUUUAGUUUAAAUAACCACGAUUUUAGAAAGCAGGUUGGGGUUGCUUAUUUAAAAUUGAGUUUUUAAACCACAAUAUCAAACUAAGUUUUUAGAUACGUGAGUUAACGGUGCGUUCUGAUGCUUCUUACCUAAAUUCUUGAGAAAUUUUGAAAUGAUGAAAUUUGAAACUCCGUCAACUAAAAUUUCGAUAAUUUCAAAUUUUAUUAUUUGGUUGUAUCCAUCUAGAAUUUUAGAUGUGUAAUUAAUAGAUUAAGAAAGUUAUGAAUAAUAAAAUAUUAAAAACAAAAAUUUUAAUUGUUUUGGAAACUAAUAAAAAGAUAAGAGCAGAUUUUCGUAUGAAUUCCAAAAUGAUACAUAUUUUGGCAUAAAUUCAAAUGAGGAAUUUAAACAAUUUUUUUUUCCAAAGAAAUUUGAAAUUUCCUAUUUUAAUUAUAACGCUAAACGAGAGAAUUGAAUUCCGUCGUUUUUUUCCCUCGUCCAAACACACUAUUAAAUGAAAAACAAAGUUAAAGUGAGAAAGCUAAAAACAACUUCAAUAACUUUCAUAUAUUCGAAUUAUUAUUCCGGGUAGAAUCCAAACAGUAAGAGUCGAAUCAGUUUUACAGUAAAGGCAGAUGAGACAAAUCAUCCUACAUGGAGGAGAUUGAACUCAAUCCUUGACCCAUGAGCUUCCCUUAUGGAUCCCAAAACACCUCCCGCUGACCGAGCGUUUCUGGAAUUCUCGAGAACUUAUUCUGAUUACAGCAAGAAAUAUGGUGAUGGUUUGGUGGUGGAAUUGAUGGUUCAAGGAGACGAACAAGGAGAGCUCGAUAGAGAGAGUAUUGGUUGGGUUUGCUAGUGUGGUUGCUUAUCAGUUUAGGUAGUUUGUCACACACGUGUGAAUAAAUUUUUUGAGAUGGCGAUUUUGAAUUUGGUUGUGGAUUUUGUAUGAUUUGAUUGGUUAUUGUUGUUGUUUAGAUUUAUAUAUUGUUGUAGUUGAUGGAGCUACUGAUCCUUAAUGUGUUUUUUUCCGACAUGAUCCUUAAUGUGUUUUAAGUACAUCAAUGUGAACAAUAGUUUUUGUUUUCUUUUCAUACGAAAUAUCUAUAUAUAAGCAUCUCUAGCAGCAUUGAUAAAUUAAAAAAAAUUAGAAAUUUAUCAAUUUUUAAAUGAAUCUUUGCUCCAGCAGUAUACUUAAGAAAAUAAUAAAUUUAAAAAUUGGUAGAGAAAAUUGAUAAAUUUAUCAAUCUUUGGGAGACAAUUAACUAAAACUUAGCUAAUGUAUACAAUUUAGCAAUAUUGCUGGAGCAAAAGUUCAAAAAUUGCUGUUGUAAAUCUAAAUAUUGAUAGAUUUAGCAAUAAAUUUAACUGUACUGCUAGAGAUGCUCUACCAUUAAGGAAGUAGCAAUGUUCAUUUGGGUGAUGGAAUGACCGUGCUACCCCUUAAUGCGUGUUAUCUAUAAUACCUUACAGCUCUCUUCCUCCACGAAGAGAACUGCUUUGUGUGAGUCUCCUCAAUGUGGGUAUCACUCCAACACUGAGAGACACUGAAUUAGAUCAUGCUCUUCAACAUUUCGUUGUGUCUUUUAGGCCUGCACAUCUGUUAAUAAUGGGUAUAUCGGGUUUUUCUCCGGAACCUGUGGCGGGCUUCAAAAAGAACGAUAUAAAGCUUUGACAAAGCCAUGAAGAGGAAAUCGGGUUGUGGCACACUUGCGUGAGAUGGGGAUUGAGUAUCAUUUAUCAUCAAGACAUCUAGAGUUGAUUAGUGGGAAAAUCGAAGAGUGUUUGAUCAUAGGGUUUGAGGGCUUUGGGGUUAAUGGUGAUUGAGUUGGGUUAAUGGUAAUUGGAACUCAUCUAUCUAUGGUAUUCAUCCCGUGGUCUGUGUUAUUCUUGACAAGGUAGAAGAACAACUGGCAUGGGUUUGAACGAAGGGAAGCUUAGAGCAACAAGGCAACAAGUCUAGCCAGCAGCAAGGCGCAGUGAUUGACUAGUGUGAAUAAUAGUUGUUGGAAAUUGACUUCAAAUUAGGUUUGGGCUUCUAAUAUGUUGAUACGGCCGUGUUGUGCCCUAGUUUACAUGUAAGACAAUCCCAAAAUCUAGUAUAUGGGUCAGUAGAGCCGGAUCGGUCCAACUCUACCCAUUUUAGAGGCAUGCCAUAAGAGCAUCUCUAACAGCUUAUGUAUAACUAGAAUUACCUUUAUUUUAGAGGAAAAACAUCAUUUUUGGCUCCAACAGUUCAUGUAAAGCAUCCUCUAUUUUAUAAAAAGUGGGAAGAGAGAGAAAGAGAUUAACAAUAUCUAUAGAAUUCUUAAAAUUUAUAUAUUUAUCUAGAAAUCUCUAAAAUUUAUUGUUUGCCUUAUAGAAUUUAUUCUCUCUUCUGUAAAGAUGGAAAAACGUCAUAAAAUUAAAACAUUUAACAUUUUUUUUAGAAAGGACAAUAAGUCAUUUUAUUGAUCACCGAAUUGUAGGAAUACAAUAAAAACAUAACACACCCGCAAGAGCAACGAUAGAAGAGAGCUACGAUAGAAGAGAGCUAUACAAAACAACCUAUAUGACAUUAGUCAUCUUAAUAUUGUAAACCCUAAAAUAGACACUGUGAUCAAUAAAUCAGAACUGCCAGAAUCAUAUGACUUAAUUGAGAUCCAAGAAUCUUAGAACCAUGAACUUAAGCCCAUUGUAACAAGGCCUAAAAAGCCCAGCCCCAAAGGACCCAAGUCCAUCUGCUAUGGGCACCCAGAUGGGGAACCCAAAAACUCCACACUGUCCUCUGCCGCCAUUGAUUCCGGCAGUCGGCUGUGACUCCACCACACCACCAUCAACCUGCGUGAGCCUGACUUCUCGACGAGCCUAGACGAAGCGCCGCUCAACCAAGCCAGUCAGAGCCUCAUCCAACUGGUCAGAUCCACUACCCUCAAUCCGCCCUUACCUGAAAUUAACCGAUUAUAAGGCAGUGAAGUCCCCUCCGCUAAAGUAGCCCACCCAAACCAGAUCGCACCGCCCACCGCUGCCUUUCCUCGAACCGAGAUUAAAUCUCGUCAAAUUCUGAACCGCUGCUACCCUGCCACCGCACCACCGAUCAAAGACUAAUCUGAGGUUCUUAGAUCAAAGCUUACAGAUCGAGAAGCUAAUCCCAAUCCAAACCAAACCCAACAGUUGUAGAAGAACUCCGCCCCAAAACCCACGACUGAAGACACUGGUUCAAGGCACAACCACUAAAGCUGAUUCUAGAACCACCGCCACCGAUUAGAGGACGCGCCGAAAAUUGUCACCCUUGCCGUUGUCGCGCUUCUCAUGUGCUAUGCCAGAGGAAACCCUAGGUUUCACUCUCACUCUCUCAUGACCUUGUUAAGUCGAAGUUAAAUUGUCACAUCCCGAUCCUUAAAUUUUUACCUUAUUUACUAACUUGAUUAUAAUAAGAAUUUUACAGUCUCCGUCAACGAAGUUAUAGUUUAAUUAGUCCCUAGAGGGGUUUUAGGGGACGAUUAUUUCAGAGAGUUAUUCGUAGGAGAAAAAUGUGACGAAGGUAAAAAUGGUAGAUUUUAGCUAGUAAAAGGUAAUUUUUAAUAGGGUAUUUUGUUUUGGGGUGUUAAAUUGGUGGAGUUGGGUAUUAUUUGUGGUGUUGGGCCGAGUUAGUGUGAGGCCCAAACCCCAUUUUCUCCUCUCUUUUUCCUCUAUUCUUCUCCUCUUUUUCUUUCUUCUCUCUUUCCUCCCGGUUCUUCCCUCCUGAGCUCUCUCUUCCUCUGCCUGAAAUCCACCGCUCACCGCCGUCGUCCGGCCGAACCAGGCUGCCGCACCGGUCCCGUCUGGACCAGCAUCUCCUCCUCUCUCAUCCUUGGCCGAUGAGCGCUGCCACAUCACUGCCGAGCAGAAGGAAACUUGUCCCGAAGGACCGACUGUGUUCUCGCCGGAGCUCCCUCCUUCAGCCACAAAUCUGGGCAAGCCUUGUAUGGUUUUGUAGGUCUCCAACCCAGCUGCCUUGUCUUAAAAUGACUCACCCCGGUUCGCUUCAGGUAAGGAGAAAUUUGAGGUGGAAGUUCUAGGGCGUUUUUUAUGUUUCCGUUCGAUUAGUAUAGCUAGGCUUGGAUUUUGGGUUUGUGCUAGUUAGAAAAGUUGUAUAGCAUGGUGAGAGGAUUAUUCUGUCAAAAUUUCAUAGGCAUUGGAGGUCGCCAGAAUCGGCCUCCGGCCACCGCUAUUUGGGAGUUUUGUAUAGUUUUAAGUGUGGAAUAUUAAGGGGAGUUUAUUGAUGUGAAUUAUGAAAUUUUCGGAUGAGAUUUGGAUAGGUUUGUGAAUUUCCGAAGUGUGGUAUUUUUUGGCGGUUGAAUAAUGUAGAAUCCGGCUGUAAGAUUUAAGUCAUUUUCUGGGGGAAGUUGUAUUUAGGACUGCCGGUAUGUUUGGUGAAGUUUGAGCCAUUUUGAGUUAAGAAUGGCGAAGUUGGGCAAUGAUGAGUGUGAGGGAGGCUCACGUUUAAUUUUGCCAAUUUUGUUUAAUUAUUGGAUUUUUAGUUGGGAAAUUAAUUGUAUAUUUGAUUCAGGACGAGAGGAGGCCCGAGCAGAAGAAGCCUCAGAGCGACAUCAGGUUUAGGCCUAAUUUGUGAGUGGACCUUUGUUUUAAUUGAAAAACAUGCGAUGAAUUAUUUUGUUGAUCAUUUAUUUCUUCUGAUGAGACUUAUUGAUUUCUCGGUUAUUUGACAAUUUUUCCUCCUUUGGAGAGAUCUCGAAAAUGAGAUUUUCGGUGGAUAUGUUUAUUGGAUGUUAUGAGUAUAGUAUGUAUAUAAAUGCUAGCUAGCCCUACGUGCUUGGUCCGUCAUAAUGAAGUAAAAUUCCAUUAUAGCGUGACGUGAAUGUUAGACACAAAUGUCAUAGCCCUAUAUGAAAACUACUUUCUUUUAUGGUUUAUUUAGGUUUUCAUAUAGGGAGUCCACACGUAUAUAUACACCAUCCACUUCGGUCAUAAUGAGGAAAAAUUUCAUUAUGGCACGACGUGAGCGUUAGACGCAAGCGUCGUAGUCUUGUAUGAAUUUCUAUCUUUCUAAUUUGUUCAUAGAAUUCAUAUAAGGAGUCUGACGAGUGUAAAUACAUACACAUAUAUGUUUAUAUAUAGUUUAGCCUGAGAGGCUCCAUUUUAUUUGAGUUGGUGACUAGCCGUAGCUAGUCGUGAAAUUGCCAGUUUUUGAGUUGAGCGCUUUUGAGCGGUUGCAUGCAGCAUAAUUUCUUUGGAAAUUAAAAUGGGAUGCAUAAAUAUUUUUAUUAAUUUAUUUUUGUCCACUCACUCUAACGUUAUUAAAUGUUUUCCCCUGGGCCAUUCGUUUUAAAAUAUCCAGUCUACAGAAUACGGGUUGGAUCUAGUAGGAGGCGAGGCAUAGUCACCCACAUUUCCACCAUUUUUCAUCUGUAGGUUACCUGUUUAACCUACUUGUGUUUUCUUACUUCCGCUAGUGUCUAAUAGCUCUGAAUACUUGAGUUUAAUGUAAAUUAUUUCGGUUGUGGGCGAAGUCUUGUUGACAUUUUAGAAUAUUUAUCGGAGGUUGUACGUUAUUUUAUUUGGAUAAUUAUGUGUUGAUUUGGAAGAUGAUUUAUUAUUCUUGGUGGUGGUUGUGUUAGGGAGCACAUAGGCUCCAGAAGUUAAGUGUGGAUUAAGAAUUUUAGAAGUGUUUACAGGUUUUCUUUAGAAAAGGUUGUCCAUUUUCACGGUUGGUUAUGCCGAAUUUUCAGUAAUAUCUUCCUUGGAGGUGGUUCCCGCAUGAUUUGCUCCGGGUUUUAGGGUAAAUUUCGGGGUGGGUCUUGACAUAAAUCCUCAAACUUCAUGUUAUUUUCAAAUGAAAAUUUUUACAUUAAAACAUUUAACAUUAAAUUUGAGGUUUAAUUUGAAUAAAUAUAUAAUAUUUAUAUAGAUUCAUAAAUUAUAGAGAAAAAACAUUUAAUUUUGUACAAUAGAAUAGAAGAAUUGUUAGAAUUGAGAUGUUUUUUUCUUUUAAAGAUUUUGUGAUUUCAUUCUUCAAAAUUGAUAAACUAUAUGUGAGUUGUUAGAUAUGCUGUAACGAGCGAUAUUAGUCUUGUCAAUUAUACAUGAUUAGGUUAGAUUACGGUUGAACACUAUCGGUUCUUGUCCACUGUAAUCGUUGGUGUUUCGGGUAAGUAGAGAGAAGAGUGAGAAAUUUAUUUUCACCACUAAUAUUUUUUAUGGUUGUAAUAUUAUAUUUUUGUUUAAUGAAAUUUUUGAUAUUUUUUUUAAAAAAUAAAAAUAAAUUAUACGUGAGUUGUCAGAGAGCAUAUCAGUCUUUUCGUCUGUGUUAGAGCACGAAGCGGAACUACAUUUGCCCCGUCAGAUUGUGUUCCCUUCCUUCGCCCGUCGCAUUCGUUCUGUGACUAAACUACGGGAGUCGGGACGGCUUUUUCUACAAUAAUAAUAAUAAUAUAAAAAAAGUUAUUGUGGUUCACACCUACUUUUAUCUUUACUGAGGACGCGUUGAUACCUAUCUACCUGGGACCUUCUGAAACAAAAUUUCUCCGCGGCGGAGUGCUUAGUCUCUUCUUCUCUCAACUUUUUGGGGAUCUCCUGGAUGGUAAUAUGUAGUUUCCUCUCCUCAAAGGCCAUGUGAAACUCCUGCGUGCUUUCCUUUCUUCUCUCAACUGUUGUUCAGAUUGAAAGUCACAAUCCGUCUGAAGGCUAUGUUUGAAGUCCGACCGAUUCUCCACUGCAUACGGGUCGCCGCUUCAGAAUCCACUCUCUCCGUGUUCCCUACUUUGAAGAUAUAGGUAUAUAUUUUCUCUAUUUAUAGAUAUAGAUUUAUAUUUGUUGUGCAAACUGCUGGAUCUAAAGCGGACGUUCUCGAUCUCCAUGGCGGAUUCAAUUUCACCUCCCAACUGUGUCUGUUGGUUUACUCAUCUUCAAUUUCUUGUUAUGUAAUACGGCCUGAGAACCACGGAAGUUGCAGGGAGUCUUCAGUCUGCAGCCUAUGCAUAUAUGCAACAGAACUCUCUUCUCUUUAGACUCAGAGUGGUAGGAUGGUUGAAUUCUUCUUCGCGCAAAGAAGUUCUUGGUAAUACGAAAGAUAGAUCAACAAGGGGGAAGGAAGAUCCCCACUUAUUUCAUUCAGUGCCUGCUGUCCCCUUUCACCCGGCUAUUCCACAAAGAUCCAUAAUAGAAAAGAUAGAUCAAGAAAGAACGUAGCCUCCGGCACCGUGGAAGUUUAGUAGUGUUUUCCAGGAAGCUGAGAAUUGUUGUUAUUCAGUGUUCGUUUAGAUUGCCUUAUUUCCAACACUGUCCUAGACUAGCUUGACUUAGCUUAACUAACACAAUUUCAAACUUCUCUAAAUGCCUCCUCCAUACACACAACUGUUAUCCAACAAAACUUAAAUCUGUUACGUGUGUAGAUCAGUUGAAAAUUUGUGUUAUAUGUUUUCAGUUUUACUAUUAAGUUGUAAUACUUCUUUUUGUUGCAUUCCAUUGAUCGUUUGAUUUCUUAGCUUUGUUGUGUAUGUGUUAAAGCAGGUUCUAAUCACCGUGCCAAGGAUCUUCCUACAAGCAAGCUUAGUAGUGAAGUACUGGGCUGAGACCACCCCAUAUAGUCCCUGCAGUUAUGAACAUCCAGCCUUAUUAUGAUGGCGCAAUUGGAUGGUGGAUUAGUAAUGAAGGGGCCGUGAUGCCACUAACGGAUGAGCUUAUUAUCCAAUUUCUAUUUUACAAGCAAACCAUACAUGAAUUUGGUCCUAUUAAAGAAGAAUACAACUUCCUCCAGCGUGAAAGGGUCAUUAAGAUCACUCUUUCCGAGCUACGUACGGAGGAUACUACUAGUAUUAUGCAAUCUCCUUCAAUGCGUAAGAUCAAGCAGGUUAUCGACAUUGAAUUUCCUUCAUCAGAAACUGCUGUGCGGCUUGAAGUUGAGGAACGUAUACUUCAAAUUGUUCAGAACCCUGGGACACCCAUCUUAGUGCCUCCCAACCAUAGAAUUUUCGUCAAAGCAAUUGACGGGAUAAAGAUUUUGCAUGAUACUUGUGACAAGAAUGCAAAACAGAGAAUACAUGAUCAUUUGGAAGCUACGAGACGCGCAACAUGUGCUAUAUGUACAGACGACGUUAACCUUAGUAAACCUAGUCGAUUGCCUUGCCUGCACUUGUUUCAUCACUGUUGCAUUAUGCAGUGGCUGGAGAUCAAGCAACAGUGUCCCACUUGCCGAAGCCCAGUACCUCUUGAAUUUGUUACAUGGUUUUAAGACUCAUAUGGCAGGAAGGAAUCUGGAUGUUGCCGGUUAUAUUGUUCAGACUAAGGUGGUCAGUCAAGUUUUUGAUCCUGCUUGGUUGUUGCUCGGACUAAGUAAGCUAUCAAACUUCUCCCAUCCCAACUGGUGUGCUUUUUUAUUUUCCAUCUCUUAUGGUGUUCUAUAAAAUGAUUAAAAUCAAGAUCAAGCACGGGAGAAGGUUGAUAGAGUGUCUGUACUUGUAAGAGUCUCCUUAGGGUGGGUGAACAAAUGGGUGACACUCCCCAAAAUUUAAAUAAAUGCAGAUACCGGAACUCAGUGAUUGCUAUCAUUCGUUAAGCUGGUAUGUAUUGCUCAUCACGAUGGGGAAGUUCAGUGUCUGGUGAUGUUUUGAAAGCUUGAAAGCAUAUGUUGUUUUUGUUUUUAGAGAAAGGGGUUGUUCUUAUAUUUUUUUUUACAGAACGGUUCAGUACUUGUCCGACAAUGAUGCAUCGAAUAAGAUUAAAUGUUAGAUGUUUAUCUAAGAUGACUCGUCUUUUAAUUACAUAUGGCAUGCAUAGCUGGUUACUUUGGUUGUGAUUUGUGAAGCUGGUUAAUGUGAUCCAUAGUAUUAUAUAGCUAUGUAUAUUACACAAGCCUCUAUAAGUGCUUUUUCUGCCUCACAAUCUUGCCAAGCUUAAGGCGCAUUUCGUGUUAGCUUCUUUUGAAUCGAAACCUUGAACUAGUCAUGAAGUGUUUCAAGUGCAGAAAUGAAAUCAUUCUUGUCUGCAGGUAGUUUGUGAUCAUAAGAAUUAACGGUGAAUACAAUAACCUCAUGCUAAAAUUGUUUUUGAUGGUUUUCAUUGUCAUGCAAUUUAAUUCCAGCCAGCGAAUCUGCUGCGGCAUAAUUCUCUUGAAAAGUUGAAACCAACUCAAAAGUGUUCUGCAUUUCAACUUAUUUUGUUCACUAAAACCAUAUACAUCGUAGGGUCACACAUCAGACUUGACAAAUUGAUGGAGGAAUGGUCCACCCAUCUUAGUGCCUCCUAACCAGCUGUGGGUGCUUGUCAAAUUAUUUCACAGGAUAACGAUUUUGCAUGAUGCUUGUGACAAGAUGGCAAACAUUAGAAUACAUGAUCUUUUGGAAGCUACAAGGCGUGCAACAUGUAGUAUCUGUUUAAUCACUGCUGCAUUAGAAAGUGGCUGGAGAUCAAGCAUGACUGUCCCUAUUGCCGAAGUCCGGUGCCUCGUGAAUUUGUUACAUGGUUUUAAUACUCGUGGCAUGAAGGAAUCUGGAUGCUGCCAUUAGUAUAGUGCAUGUUCAGACGAAGGCGAUCAUUCAAGUAUUUGAUCUAGCUUGGUUUCUUGCUCCGACUAAUUAAGCUUUUAAACUUCUCUCAGCUAGCUAGUGUGCUUUCUAUAUUUUCAUGGUGUUUAAUAAAAUUAAGAUUAAGCAUGAGAGAAGGUUGAUGUAGUGUCUGUACGUGUUGUAAGAGUCUCCCGUCUUCCUAAAUUUGAGAAAUAUUUCCUUCCAGUCUGCGGCAACGAGCCACUCAGGAAAAAGAAAAAGAAAAAAAAACGUGGUCGGCAGGAUUCGAACCUGCGCGGGCAAAGCCCACAUGAUUUCUAGUCAUGCCCGAUAACCACUCCGGCACGACCACAAGAUACUAAGUUGAAGCAAUUUACAUUAUUUGACGGAGUUGUAACCACAACUUUCAACUAUUUCCUUUUCCCUUGAUUUUUAUUCAUAGGCUGAUUGGCUUGUGUUCAUAAUUUACAUGUGGGACUGAACUUAGAUAUUUGUAUAUCCAGGAUUCCCUCCAUUUCUCUAACAUUUAUAAGCUAGAAGGAUGGUGGCAUGGUGAUCAAGUUUCGAACAGUUCGAAGUAUAUGCUAUAGCUCCUCAACUUCCAGUUAUGCAUGCAAUAGGAAAAGCCAGUUUUGCUGUAACUAUUCGAUAGGUUAAUUAGAUUGAUUGAAUUGAAACUUUGAUCCAACUGAUUGUAUUCCAGGGCCAAAGAAUGAUUACUCUAUUUGUUUGCCUUCCUAUAUAUUGGAGUGUUAGACCAAAUUCAAUAUAGAAGCUAGCAAGUCGAACUAGAUAUCAUUGUUUGAGCGCGACAAAGAUUAGUAAUACCAACAUUUUUGUUUAAUUCAUUAAUCGUAUGUAUACUAGUUUGAACUAGAUAUGCAUGUUCUAUACCUGUAGCUAUGUGUUCUUGACCUAGUUAACACUGUAUUAAUCGUGUAUAUAUAUAGCUAGCUUCAUCCAAAGGCCAAGCCAUAUACAACUUGCCAACCAAACUAAUAUCCUGUCCACAAUAAUUCGUCAUUUUCUUCGAAAAUAAUUACCAGAUUAUUACUAUUAUUUACAAAAUUUUAUGUUAUGGUCAACGACGAAACUACAUUGUAGGCUAGUACGUAGGACUAUAAUCCAUAUGAGAAAACACUUAGUAUCUCUACUACAAUAAAGUUAGACGUUUAGAAAUUCACCAAAAUAUGUUAUCCUAUAUUACCCAUAUAACGUUAACUGAGACAAUAUAAUUUAGGGUUAUUAUAGUAAAAAUCAAAAUAAAAAAAAAUUAAAUAAAUAAAUAAAUUGCAAAGAAAAAGAUAAUUAUGAAAAAUAAACGUGGAUAUAGUGAGAGUACAAGAUUAAAAACUGUAAUUCCACUUAAAAAAUCAGAUUGAUAACUUUAGAUAGUCACUACUCCUUAAUUUUAGGUGAUUUUGUAACACCAUGCAAAUAUGCACGGUAAAGGUAAAAGCUUGUAUGUAUAACCAUGGGUGUUAUUUCCCAAGACGCUUUAACUCGUUCAGUUGGCAGAGUGCUGAGGAAGUUUCCAUUCUAGAGGGUUCCGUCACCAUAACCAGUUCCGGCACUGGUUGUGAUGAUCAAAAGCAAAAAUUCACAAGUCAUAAUUGACAAUCAAACAAUCUCCUUCAACAAAAAUUAAAAUAUGCCAAAACCAAAGAGGAAUAAUAAUCAAGAAGUACAUGAAUAUUGUGGUCGAUCGAUCGGUACAAAUCACACUGCACAAAAAUAGUACUGCUUAUAUUACUAGCUGCUAGCUGCUCCCCAUGAAAAACAAAGCCAGCCCUAGAGCCAAUCCCACGAACGAUCCCACAGUCGUCUUGCUCGAACCACUAGUCCCAUCCGUAGACGGCUCCGCGGCCACCGUCCCUUUCGUCGUGUUGGUGCUUCCGGCCGGAGUUUUCGCAGCAGUAGGAGCCGGAGACGCCUCAGCGAACAUGUCAUUAGGCAACAACACCUUGUCAAUUUGGUACACAGCCAACGGAAACUGCUGCCUCAAUGCAUUGUUGAUCUGAGUAGUCACCGCCCCACUUGACACGUUCACUUGGUUCCCUCCGGAUCCGGUGAAGUUCAGCCCGUAAGAUCCGCCGCCGUUUUGGGAGGAGGACUGAGUCCUCACGGGGUUUGAGACUGUUAGGAGACUUGCGAGAGUGUAGUACUUGGGGAGAACAUGGUAGAGAACGAGCUGGACUUGUUGUUCGGAGGAGAGGUCGUUUAGGGUUCCGGCUUUGAGGUUUGUGAAGGCGUUGUCGGUGGGGGCAAAGACGGUGAGGCCCUCAGUGGUGGAGUUGAGCUGGCUUUGGAUUUGGGUGGCGACUUGGGUUUGGGAGAGGAGGCGGAGGAAGGUGGUGUAUUGGCCAGCUUUGUCUAGGAUGCCGGUGAAGUUUAGUGGGCCGGAUGGGGCCGGGGCGGGAGCGGUUUGGGCUUCGGCGUGGAAGACGACGACGGCAAGGAGGAGGAGGAGGAGAGGGAGGGAAUGUGUGGAAGCUGCCAUUGUGAUGAUGAAGAAGAUUAAGGUGGUGGUGGACUGGUGGUGGGAUGAAGAAAUAUAUGGGAUAAGGAAGUAAGGUAUGGGGGGUGAGGCUUGGGUGGAAUGAGCUGGAGAACUCAACUAUAGUGUAGAGUGUAGACUAUAUUAAUAAUCAAGACAAAGAAGAAGAAAUGAUAUUUGGGCACAAACGUGACAGCCUUAGAAAACAAAUGUGAUUGGAAAAUUAUAUACAAGCACUAGAAUUAUAUUAUUUAGCAUAUUAAUUUGAUCAAACAUCUCAACUAACAGUUUCCCCAGCUUUGAUUUGGAUGCCUUCACUUGAUUUUAGUUUGAUAUACAUGAUCCAGCUUUGUUUUUAAAAAACACUCUUGAUCAAUUUACAAGAUAAGAACCUUUUUAAACACAUUCACACGCACAAUAUAUUGAUUUACACUCAAAAUUGAGAUACUCCGUUAAUGUUUAGCUAUUACAAAACCGCAAAAUGAAGUUACAUGAGUUGAAGUGGAUCGAAAGGGUUUGAUCAACUUGACUUGCUUCUAAAUGGGAGUAAGCUUUCUUAAAUCAUGAAAGGGUUUUAGCUUUGAUUAGAUAAUUGGUGUCUGACUCUUACAUAUUUGUAAUUAUUGACCAAAUACCAGAUCUGAGAUAUAGUUUACAUAUAAUUCUAAUCUCUCUGGUGGAAACAGCUACUAGAGCGGGUUAAACUAAGACCAAAUCAAACUUGCAUUAAUUCAACUUCAACCAUCAUCGAUCUCUGACUUAGUAUAAAAUGAAUCAAAACCUGACUAAUUACAGAACCCAUAAUCAUAUACAAAUAAACCCAGAUAAGUUUGGCAGCCUGGAAAAACAUGGCAUGUGAGAUUCCCUUUAACAACUAUAUGCAAAUGGUGUCCACCAUUUCAAAUAAUUAUACACAAGCUAGUAUAUGCAUGGUUGUAACUUUGUAGCCUUGUACCGAACUCUCUUCUGCCUUGUGGUUCAUGUUGCUAUACAAUAAUAUCAAGAGGAGGACCAAUCACCUACCAUAUAUUCAACCUGGCAAUUAUUCAACGAUCAUCAUAUAUUCAUAUACUGGUGCUCUUUCAUAUUCUGUACAGGUAGACGAUGGAUGAUCAUCAAUUAAUUAGGGAAAAAAAAAAAAAAAAAAAAAACCUCGAUCAUAUACCAUUCUAAAACCCUAAACCCUGAACCAUUAUACAAGAUUACAAUAUAAUGAUAUAUGAGUAUCAUAUUGGGUUUUGAGUUUGGAGUUUGGAGUGAGUAUUGGGCCUUUUGGGCUUGGGACCGCACCGUUUAGAGAGGGUUUAAGACUUUUGAAAAGAGAGUUUUGAGAGGGUUUAAGACUUUCGCGCUCGUUUCUCUCAAUGUUUGCCUAAUCAGAAAUGCUCGUUCCCGAACCCAAAACCAGCUUCCUAUUAGUUUCUCAUGAUUACCCGCCAAUUGAAUUUCAAAACCCUUCAACGAAUACGCAAGCCCCGACUUACAACCUCUACAAUCUGCUCAAAAUUCCAUUCUUAUAACCAUGAACACCACCUGUUCGACGAAAUUCCCCAACCAGAUGCUGCCGCAGUUAACCGCUCUAUGCUCAACUAUAUGCACAGGAACCUUUCUGCUACUUCCCUCGACAUUUUUACUAAGCAAUUUCAACAUUUUUCGUAUCCUUGUAAUAUUGAUGAAGUUACUGUUACCCUUGCUGUCAAGGCUUGCCAAGGAGACCCAAAACCCGGAUGCCAAAUCCACGGCUUUGCUGUUUCGUCUGGGUUUAUUUCUUAUGUUACGGUUUCUAAUUCAUUGAUGAGUAUGUACAAUAAGGCUGGGAGGUUUGAUAGUGCAAUGUGUAUCUUUGAUGGUAUGUGUUACACUGAUAUAGUUUCUUGGAACACUGUUCUUUCGGGGUUUCGGACGAGUGAGGGGGCAUUGAGUUUUGCUUGCAGGAUGCAUUCGAAUGGGAUUGCUUUGGAUCCGGUGACUUAUUGUACAGUUCUUGCGUUUUGUGGGGAGUAUGAGGAUUUUCUCUUUGGAUUGCAACUGCAUUCUCUCGUGUUUAAGUCUGGGUUGGAUUGUGAAGUUUUUGUUGGGAAUGCUCUUAUAAGUAUGUAUUCAAGGUGGAGACGUUUGAGAGAAGCUAGGAAUGUGUUUGAUGAAAUGCGGAAGAGGGAUGUGGUUUCAUGGAAUGCAAUUCUAUCAGGUUACUCUCAAGAGAGAAAUCAUGGCCUUGAGGCAAUUAUACUGUUCAUUGAAAUGGUGAGAGAAGGGAUGAAACUAGAUCAUGUCUCAUUUACUAGUGCUGUUUCAGCUUGUGGUCAUGAGAAGAACUUAAGACUCGGGAGACAGAUACAUGGCUUGACAGUAAAAUCAGGAUAUGAAAGUCAUGUUUCAGUUGGGAACGUGUUGAUCUCCACAUAUUCAAAGAGUGGUGUCAAUGAAGAUGCAGGAUUGGUGUUUCAGCACCUGAAAAACCGCAAUGUAAUUUCCUGGACUACAAUGAUUUCUAUGGACGAAGAGAAUGCCAUCUCUUUAUUUAACAAGAUGAGGUUGGAUGGAGUAUAUCCAAAUGAAGUUACAUUUGUUGGACUAAUCCAUGCAAUAUCAAACAGAAAGUUGGUGGAAGAAGGCCUUAUGAUUCAUGGGUUUUGCAGAAAGACUGGAUUUUUGUCGAAGCAUAAUGUCUGCAAUAGCUUUAUCACCAUGUAUGCUCAGUUUGAGUCCAUGGAUGAUUCUUUCAAGGUUUUUGAGGAGUUGGACUUCAGAGAAAUCAUUUCAUGGAAUGCUCUGAUCUCAGGCUAUGCUCAGAACAAGCUGUGUCAGGAUGCACUGAGGACAUUCUUGUCAGCAAUUAUGGAGUCCACGCCCAACAACUACACAUUUGGUAGUGUGUUGAGCGCAAUUGGUGAUGCUCAUGACAUUUCUCUGAAGUAUGGCCAGCGCUGCCACUCCUUUUUGAUAAAACUUGGAUCAGUUACUGACCCGAUUACAGCAGGUGCGCUCCUUGAUAUGUAUGCAAAGCGAGGAAGCAUUUGUGAGUCGCAAAGAGUUUUCAGUGAGACCCCUCACAGAACUCAGUUUGCUUGGACAGCAAUAAUAUCUGCAUAUGCUGGCCAUGGAGACUAUGACUCGGUGGUCGAAUUGUUCUACCAGAUGGAUAAAGAAGGGGUGAAACCUGACUCGAUCACAUUUCUUUCCGUACUAAGCGCAUGUAGUAGAAAGGGAUCAGUUGAGAUGGGCCGCCAUUUCUUUGAAUCAAUGGUUAAAGACUAUCAGAUAGUACCAUCUCCUCAACAUUAUGCUUCUAUGGUGGAUAUGUUGGGACGAGCUGGGAAGCUGGAGGAAGCAGAGGAACUGAUGAGUCAGAUGUCUGGACAGCCGAGUUUUUCUUUGUUGCAAAGCUUGCUCGGGGCUUGCACAAUACAUGGGAAUGUGGAGAUGGCUGAGAGAGUAGCAGGCGCUUUAAUGCGAAUGGAGCCAACUGAAUCAGGUUCUUAUGUGUUGCUGUCCAACUUGUAUGCAGAGAAAGGGGACUGGGAAAUGGUGGCAAAAAUAAGAAGACAGAUGAGAGAUAGGGGAGUGAGAAAGGAAGUGGGAUAUAGUUGGUUGGACAAUGGUGAUGCUGAUGGCUCUUUGUAUCUCCACGGGUUUUCGUCAGGUGAUAAAUCUCACUGCCGGUCUGAAGAGAUAUGUAGAAUGGCAAAGUUCCUAGGAUUAGAAAUGAAGUUUUUGAGAGAGAACAUGUCUGAUAUAGACUCUGUGAAACAAAACAGUGAGACACAUUCUGAAGUCCCUCGUGAUGAAGGCUUGUAUUAGGUACUUGUAACAUUUGAUUAUUCAUGAUCUUUUACUGUACUAAUAUUUUCUGGGGAAAAAGAAAAUAGAGGGAAGGCUGAAAAAAGCGUGGUCGGCAGGAUUCGAACCUGCGCGGGCAAAGCCCACAUGAUUUCUAGUCAUGCCCGAUAACCACUCCGGCACGACCACAUCUUGCCGGUAACAUGUGAACUUUGAUACAUACCCAAACAUACAUACAUAAAUUUCGAUUUUUGACACACAUUCCAAAACCCAGAACCCGAUUUCAUCUGUUUCUCCGGUGACAGCAAUCCCCAAGAAGCAGUGGAGUCGAUAACGUGCAAGGGAAGAAGGAACCUUCCAAUUCUGCCAUUUUAAUUUUUGCUUCGUCUUCUUUCUUUUGCUUUGUAAUUAUGCUUCCUUUUGGAAUUUUAUUUCUUUUCGGUAACGUGUUAAAUAAAAUCUUGAUUUUGAAAUGGUGACUGGUGAGUGUAAGGUGUUCUUCCAUACUUGGCCCUGUUUCUGACUUGAUCUCAGUGGUGUCUGACUUGAUCUCGAGCGUAUCAGCCUUGAUAUUAAGUCAGACACACUGAGAUCAAGUCAGACACCACUGAGAUCAAGUCAGGGAUCAAGUCCGAGAAGACCGAGCUCGAUGCUGUUACCGCGAAGUUACUUUUGAGAUUGGAUGAAUUGGGCCUUGAAGUGAAAGAAUUGAAGGAAUCGAAGGGUCCUCAGUCCGUUGCUGCUGCUGCAAUCCAAGGAUGGGCGGAGAACCUUCCAUCUGUUGUUCCUGAUACUGCAAGUGGAGAUGCUCCCCAAUUUUCAGAUGAUGAGGAUGACGACUUUCAGUAGUACGAAGACGCCACUGCUGUUGAUGAAGCUGAAGCUUUGGUUCCAUAGUUGUGAAGCUGCAAUUCCAGAGGUAGUGUUAAUAAUUGGUUUCGUUUAGGGUUCUUGGAUGUCUGUUAGACGGAAGUUUCUUAAGACUUGGUUUGUUCAUAUUCGACUGUUAGGUCCAUUUUGAGUUUAAAAACAGGCUAGUAGAAGGUUCCAUAGGUCUUAGCUGCAAUGCGGAGGUAGUGUUUGUUAAUAAUUGGUUUGGUUUAUGGGCAUUAGACUGACUUGGUUUGUUAAGUUCCUUUUGAGCUGGUAGACUUUAACAAAUGUUUGUGACUGAAAUUUUUCCUGAAUUUGCAUUUGGGUUUGUGACCGGCUGUUGUUCCUUUUGGUUUGGACCUUGUUUCAAUGCAUAUAUGCAUUUUACCUGAAUUUUAAGGUUCAGCGUUUCAGAUUGCCACAAUUUCAGGGUGCUAAAAUGCAUGUAUUAUAAUUAUCUGUGAAGUUGAUGAGUCUUAUAAAUCUGGGGUAAUUUGUGACUGUUGACAUGAAACACUUGGUUCAUUCUUUGGGGAGCUAGGAAGAAGAUUGAUGGUGCCAUUCAUAAUUUUAAAAUAUCAUACUGGUAUAUGCUGGAUUUGUUCCUCUAGGUGCUCAAAUAGUCUAAGGUUUGAGGGGUUGUUGGUGUGGUCGUGUCUCUGAGCUUGAAUUUGUGCGGCUGUGAGCUUGCAUUCGUGUCUCUGACUUGAAUAUGUUAAAGGGGUUGUUGCCUCUGCUGAUUGAUACGCUUCAUCUUACAUUUUUACAGUUAUUGUUCUAGAAAUCUCCAGCUGUGUAAGUCCUUUCUGUAGUACUUUUGAAGUUACUAGGUGCAUUUUCACUAUCUCUCAGUAUCAUUUAGCAGAAGUGCUACUACAUUUUGAUACACUAGUGUCUGUGAUUUAGCGACUGUGAAACAACGAAAGGGUGUUGGAGUUGGGUUAGGCUGCACUGGUUUACUUUGGGGACGGUUAAGCCGUUUAAUAUCUUCAUGAUCCAACCCCUUCAUAGUCUUUUGGUACUCUUCUUGUUCUUUUUAGAAGAUUCUCUUGGUACCUCUUCCAUUACAUAUCUUCUUGUCUAGUUGUCUAGUCUGCAAAGGUCAUGCCCCAAUUAACUAAUCACUUAAUUGGGUUAUGGUUCUUCUUAACAAUAAUGUCCCUUUGAUUAGUGUGUUAUGCGGAAGUGACAACUCUUAAUUGAUUAACUAAAGCAACAUUACCGUUGUAAGUUCCUUUUUUUGGUCUGAUACCGUUGUAAGUCCAAUGUGCGAGACAUAUUUGGCAUUAAAGAAACAAGAUUGCAGAUAUCUGAAUAUCUCUUGCCACAUUUUUACCAGAAUCCCUCAUCUUUGCCACAUACUUCUUCUGCUUCUUCUUUCCCUUUCAUUUUGGUCUGAACAGAAGUACAUAAUGCAUCAGAUGGUGUUAUAAGCUGGGUGAGUCCUUCACUUGAUUCAUCUAUCUGUUGACCACUAAAAUGAGAAAAUGACAGGCUAUCUUUUUCUUUCCCUAUCCUACCAAAAUAGCACAGAUUAUGAUAUACUUAUAGGGUUUAGGGUUUCAGCCAAUCAGCUCGCUCUCACUUAUAGAUAGUUUGUUCUUGUUUGUUCUCCUCUCUUUGUAUCUCUUUAAUCUUUCUUUCAAUAACUUCUGAGGUGGUACGGUACUCAAGUACUAGAGGAACACAGUCUCGUAGUUGAAGACAUCCGCGAAUUCAAAGAUGGACUCCGCCGUCUAGAAGAAUGUUUGCGCCAAUCUAAAGACCCACUCCACCAUCAAGAAGCCUUGGCGCGUCUGAAAAAAUUAACCCAGAAUCUAGAAGAUAUACUACUUGAACGCUCUGAAACACUAGGAAGAAUUGCUGAUCACAUCAAUGACGCAGGUGCAACUGGCUCUGGAAGCGGAGAUCAGGCUCAACUUUGUUAGGAAGUUCUUCAAAGGUCUUCAAUUUUAUGUUCUUCAAAGCAAAGUCACGCUUCAAAUCCUCCAAAACUAAUACAUUUUUUUUCCGAUAAGUCCAAAACUUAUACUUUGAAUGAGGUUUGCAUAUUGCUAGCAAUGAAAAAUCAGGCAAAUCUACUAGUCAGCUGUAUUCUAUGAACAUACAUGAAUAAGCAUAUUGCUAGCAUUGUGCAGGGGAUCAACUUAAAGUAACUACUUUGCAAGGACUAUAGUACAUGUUCAAUUUUUCAUAACCAAAUCAUGCUAAUUGAGAUCAAAGAACAACAAAGCAAAAAGUGUUUUAAGCUCUCUCAAAGCAUGUAUGAGAAAUCAGUUAACUCAGUACAAUCAUGUACCACAACACUAUCACUGCUCUUUGGUAUAUCUCCCUCUUUGACCAAACCCUCGGACUCGAACCUGACGAGCUAUGCAUCAUCGAGCACGCAUCAUCCUCAAGAUCAUCUCCACUCGACGCAUAGCCCUGGCUAUGCCUCUGCCUCUUGUCCUGUUUUACUGAUCCUUGUAUCGAUCCUCCUAAGUUCCUAACCGCAAUGUUAUCAAAAUCGAAUGAUAAGAUAUUAUUGAAAAGGUAAAAUCAAAAGGUAAAAGGUCCAGAAAAAUAUCAUCUAACCACUUUUCUGAUAGAGUAAGAGAUCCGGUCUUAAAGAUGUAACACUCUUUCCAUCAAAAUUAUAAUAACCACUCACCAUGGAAAUAAAUUAAACACGAAUAAAAGCAAAUAACUCAAUUCAUAUUAUGCAAGUUGUUACAAUAGCUUAUACUUGCAAAUAGAGUUUAGAGUUGGCUGCUUGGCAGUUAAAUAGAAAUAAAACUUCAAUACAAGUCAACACUAAAAUUUUUCCUAGUAGUACAACUUCCUCAGUCCAAGCCUCUGAAGUAGCAACUACUAUAGUUUGAGAGGCCCAUCACACCGAAUCACACCAAACCACACUCUGAUAUUGAUUUAGAUAAGGAGCUUCUCAAUGGCAUCCUGCAAUUCACGUGUAAUAACAGUCAGAAUGCAGCAGACAGGAUCAAAUUCAAACAAGGAAAAAUUAUAACAAGCUGUCGACAUAAAACAGUAAGAUGGAUAUACCUUGAGCUGUUGUAUUUGGACUUUCAUUUGGCUGCCCUCAUUUGUUGUCACAGAACAAGCAAUGACAGGUCUUGAGACACCACAUGCUCGUCCAAGAGCUUGCUUUGAAGGCACGAACACAUAGGGCACAUUCUGUGAAUUCAAGUAUAAUGUUUUCAAUAUUAAUUUAUGAUCCAGAGUUUCAUAAACUAGAAUGCUUAGCUAUCGUUGCUAAAUUGUCUGCAGCAUGGUUUUAAUAUUCACAACUAAUAAGAUAGAAGCACAUAAAGAAGCAUGCCUUUGUUCAAACCAACAUCAAGACAACUGACAUGAUAACAAAUAAAAUGUAAGUUGGAUAUGCAUAGUUUUAGUUUAUCUACGAAACAAACCAUAAAAUUAGAAUGGAACUGUUUCGAGUCCAAAUACAACACAGCACAUGUCCAAAAACAUAACCAAACUCAUUGUUUUCCCUUAGCUUUUCCACAUAAUCAGUAAACAACUCUUUUAAGUAAUACGAAAAAGAACCGUACACAUAAUAUAACACUAAAUCCAAAACUUAGUCCACUAACUGUACAAAUACCAUGUCUUAGUAUACCACACACGAUAAACAUAACCCACAUGCCAUAUCCAAUCUUAAACUAUACAAACAAGUUUAGCAAUCCUCACAGCAACAGUAAUCAACAUCAAAGCAAUGGAAUCAGGAUUACCUUAUCUUCAGCCAACAGGGGAAGAUGAAGAAGGAUCUCCAGCGGCUCGGUAUCGGCAGCCAUCACAAUGAACUCAGCAAUACCUCUGUUCAGGGUCUUAGUAGCUGCAGAAAAACCCAACAAAAACAAACCAUCAAAUCAGUUCCCAAAUUUUCCAUAUAACACAAAAUAAAUCAAAGACUCAAACUUUACACAAGAAUCUGGGUCGAACCUUCAUUGGCGCCCUUUUUGAGCUGCUUGAAGUUGAAGGCUUGCUGAACCAGGUCGAGAAUGGUGAUGGUGAGCUGGCCAUCGGCCAAGGGGUAAGCUUUAGGGUUCACUGCUUCUCCGGUCUGCAAUUGAAAUCAAGCAAAAACAAAGUGAUUAAUCAAAAACCCAGAAAGUUAAUUGCAAUCUUGAAGCGAGAUGGAGAGAGAGAGGGUACCAUUGUGUUGGGGUUGAGGAGGAGGCUAGGGUUUUCGAUGCGAGGAAGCGGGGACUGGAUUAGGGUUUAAGAAGGAGAAAUGCGUUUGUCGUAUGAGGGGUAUUUAUAGAAGAGUUUGAUGGACCGACGUCGUUUUCCGUGCCCUGGUUCGUUUUGUUAAAACCGGGUUGCCCCGGCCCAAAGCAACAAAAGUUUGCGAGGCCUUUUGUUAAUAAUUAAUUUAAUUAUUUUGGAACUGGAAUGACAAUGAAUGAAAUAAUUUCGGUGGACUCUACUUUUCUUGUGUUUACUUGGCAUGAAUGUGGAUCCUAUUUUCUUAAUAGGAAUCGAUUCCUGACAAUGUGAGGAGUGUAGGCUAUGUCGUGAUUCUCAUACCGGCUCAUUAUGAGGAAUUUAAUUGGUUUCUUAACCAUUGUGUUUGGGAAGAGGUGACAGUUUUUGAGUUUAUGGAAUGAUAUAUGUACUGAUUCGUUUAUUCUUGUUGUUUUUGAUUCAUGACUUAGUUUUGAUCCAAGUAAAUAGAUAAAUAAAAAUAUCAUAUAAAAAUCAUGUCAUAGAUUUCAUAUCACUAAAUGUGCCAAAAUAACAAUCAGAGUAGCUACUUAUAUGAUUUUCUAAUUCAAUUCUUAUUCUACAUGUCACCUAUAGUCUUGUUCGAUUUUAUGCUACAUGUCUAACACUUUAUGAUAGGUAACUUUAUGAUAGGUAAAUCGAAACACGUUAGUCAUAAUAGAUAGAUCAAAACACUUAUCAUUUUGUGUAAUCCAACAGCAUAAUCACUUUACUGAUUAGUGCAUUGUGAAUGAUGUACUAGGCAAAGGGUAUGGACAAUACCAUAAAAAAAAUUGACUAACAAUGUGUAAAACAUAAAGUCCAAAACGUUUUUGUGAAGAGUUUAGUACUUUCCAAACUCCAAAACAAGAUUUAGAGCCUAUUUUUUUCUUUUUUCUUUUUCCAGAAAUGGAGGACUUUAAACUUGAUUCAAUGCUUCCAAUGGGACUUUAACAUCCCCAUUUUCUUCUUCAUCUUGAUCCCUCAUAUCACCACCACCAAUUUCUUCCAACUCUGAAACCAGACCACUCUGCAGCUCUCAAUUUCUCACAUUGCUUAAACAAAUGGGUUGGUUCGGGGACACCGUGGACUCCAUAAAGUCCAUUCAGAUCAGGCAAGCUCUCACCCAAGCCAUCAAUUUCGGUCAGUACCAAUACAAAUCAUUUCAAAGUCUUCAACUUUAUCUGCUUCAGAUUCAAAGAUUGCACCUUUACGAGUUUUCUAUACGUUUUCAGGCUUGAUUGUCACUUCGGCGCUGAUAAUAUGGAAAGGGCUGAUGUUGGUGACUGGGAGUGAAUCACCUGUGGUGGUUGUGCUCUCUGAAAGCAUGGAACCUGGGUUUGCUAGGGUGAGUUUGUCAGUCUCUUUAGUUAAAAAAAAAAAAAAAAAACAGUUUUACUGUAUUUGAAUAGUUACUGUGUUUUGUAGUUGAAAGAAUUGAAAGACUGAGAAGUACACAUUGUAUGAAAUGGUGUAUUUAAGAGGAUCAAACUUGGUUAAUAUUAGUCAUGUUAGUUGCAAUGUGAUUACUCUUUUGGCUAAAAAGGUGUCUGAAUGGUGUUUAGUAAUGUGAGUCUUUCUUUGGUUCUUGGGUUUAACUUAUACAGACUUAUCUUUGCUUUUCGUUUUGGACCUGACUAUCUGUUAUUCACCAUUGAAUGUGCAAAAAGCCAAAAACAUAUGUGGUUUCUUUUACUCCUAUUUGUUUGUUUGCUGGCUUGACCUUCGGAUAUCUUUCAGGGUGACAUUUUGUUCCUGCAUAUGAACAAGGAUCCUAUUCGUGCAGGAGAAAUUGUGGUGUUUAACGUGGAUGUAUGCUCCCUUUUCUGAUUUUACUCCUUUCCCCAAUAUAUGAUAAAUGUUUGUUAUUUGAUUAAUCCAUUUCUGGGAAAGCCAUUCACUCUGGAGGUUAUCUUAUAAGUACCUUUUGCAUUCUGCUACAGGCCUGUGUAUAUUAUUUUGUCUAUACUUGUGCUGAGAUAACUUUUACUUGCUCUCCAGGGACGUCCAAUUCCAAUUGUUCAUCGAGUAAUUAAGGUAAAAUGAUGGGUUACCUUCUUCCUCCCUCCCUGCCUCCCUCUCUUUUCUUUUUUAGUUCCAUUCAACUUUUACAGAUAAACCAAUGGCUUGCCUGCAUUUCAGAAACCAGAACCCUGUGACAUCAUACAACUGCAUAUGACUGUCAUCUUAUGAUUAUAUUUUGUCUUACUAAUCCUUUCUGGUAGGUUCAUGAGCGGAGAGACACUGGAGAAGAUUAUGUCCUCACAAAAGGUACUGCAUUUUCAUGUAAACAGACUUAUCAAAUCAAUUGUGUUCCAUUCUAUUGUUCCACUGUUUUUGCAAUUUAUAAGAAAGUGAAAAUGAAAGAAAUGUUGAAGUCAUUACAUUAUGGCAGAGAAAUACCUUAAGAUGUUUAACUUGAUUCAGAAUUUCAGGUUUUGUUUCGUUUUGUUUCGUUAGCAUACAUUGUAUGGAACUAACUGUGGUGUUGGUUACUUGGUUUGCUUUUGUAGGGGACAAUAAUCCUGAUGAUGAUAGAAUCCUUUAUGCUCCAGGCCAGCGUUGGUUGCAAAGACACCAUAUCAUGGGGAAAGCUGCCGGGUAUGUCUUUAUCUUGUUUUACUUUGUUCUGAGCUGUUAGGUGAAGUUUACACAGGAAACUGAAACGUACAUUGACAGGUGGAGACGAUAACAUGUUAAAUAGUCAGAUAGCUCUAAUCAUGUGUGCAAGUCUAAUUUUGUAUGUCUUACAUAUCUGAUGCACCUGUAAUUCUCAAACACAAACUAGUAUAAGGCUGGUUUACUAUAGUUAUUCGACAUACAUUUCAAUAUGGUGAAACUAUCUAUUGAGAUGGUUCAGUGCAUGUUAAAAGUAAUGGCUUCUAUCACGGUUUGAGUCAUAAUUAGGAGAUUAAUACUUUUGGGGUUUCUCUGCCUCUCUCACUGAGCCUGGUUAAGUUUAAAAGCAUUGGCUUUUACUUAUCUUUGAUACCUGAGGUUUGAUAUCAAGAAGAAUCUGUCUACUGUCUAUCAUCAUGGAUCCGUUACCCAUAUGCAUAUCUGGUCUUCGUGAAUACUGUGUAAUCUGUACAUACACGCAAUUCAUGCUAAACGAGUGAGCUUUCAUUUUCUAGAUGUAUUGUAUUUUAUUUUAUUUUCGCUUUUCUGCAGGUUUUUGCCUUAUGUUGGCUGGGUGACAAUUAUCAUGACAGAAAAGCCUAUAAUCAAGGUAUGCCUUUAUUGGAAUUUAGAAUGGCUUCUCGCAUGUGUAUAUCCCUAACUAGAAAAAGUUCUUCACAGUUGCUCAUUUGAAUAAAAUUUCAAUACCCUCUAUUUCUCGGGCAUCAACAGCCCACAAGCUUGGGGAUUUUUUUGAAAUGCAACACCACUUCAUUGAUACAAGCUAGUUUCAUAUCUUGUGUUUUGGUUCUUGCAGUACAUUAUCAUAGGAGCGCUGGGAUUGUUGGUCAUUACCUCGAAGGAUUAGAAAUACAAUUUUAGAGGCAUGGCAAGGUACAAACAUCUUUUUCUUAAGCAAGGAGUGAGAGAGAAUCAGAGUGAAAGAUGACUGUACUCCUAUUGGUUUUGACCAAGGGAUUAGAGAUUACAUCUCCUCCCUGCUUGUAUUUUCAAAUACUCGGUUGGCAUGUAGAUAUACUUGUAUUUCACGUUACAUGCACUUCAUAUUAACAAAGGAUAAUGGCAUUUCAAUUUGAUACGAGUUCCGAGUUUGGAUUAUGGCGAUUAAAUCAAGCUCAAACAAAGUGCCUUGUGACUUUGACAAAUUCAAGUGCUCGAAACCAUUGACAAAUUUGAAUUCAUUCUUUCCCUCAAUAUUCACAGCAAUUGAAUCCAAAAACAACACCAAAAGCUAAAGCUGUUACCAUGUCACAGCCCCGAGACUGUUAACAGCACAGUUGAAACAAGACAACAAGCCUCCAACAAACCGCCUCACUCCACCUCUGCGUCUUCUUCUCCCGCCGUCGGCUAACCUCCCCGCCGCCGGAGAGUCCCUCCGCAGCUGGUGCCGGCACAUUGGACACGAACUAUGGUGCGCAAGCCACUGCCGGAUGCAACGGGAGUGGUAUGUGUGCUUGCAAGGUGUCUCUCUAACUUCAUCUCCCAAUUCCAUUGCUUCUAUGCACACGGCGCAUACCUCCAUCGUCGGCAAUGACUCCACCGCCGGUCGCUGAUCUUUGACCUCGAUCGUCGUCAAUGACACCACCGUCGGUCGGUCACCGCCACCGUUGUACUCCACAACCGCCGAACUCCACCGUUGUUGGCCGCAGUCCGGACACGCCAGUGGCGAGUCACCGCCGCCGGCAGAAACCGUAACGAAGCUGCUACAUCUGUAGCACCAGUAAGAUGACGUGGUAGCGGACAUGGAAUCCAAACAACAACACUCUUAGUAAACUAGCGAGUAUCUUCUAACUAGUUGCAAAGAUUGUUGGUUUCUGAAUCCCGAGAGAAAUGCUGGGGAGGCUCUCAGUUUCCUUUUUAAAUGGUGGGCCUCACCGCCCGCUAGGGCCCACGUCACGUGGACCGCCUAGCCAUAUCAUGUCUCCGCCUAGGUCGGAGAAAUUGUUUUUCUUUUCUGAUUUUUCUUUUUUACGCUUUUUUUAAAUGGUGGGCCUCCUGAACUGUUAAGACCCACCACACCUGAACCGCCUAAGCCCAUCCCUUUCUGCCAAGCCCAGAUAAAUUAUUUUUCUUUAAAAAAAAAAGAAUUUGGAUAUCUACGCGAAUGAUACCUAUAUCCGGAUUUGGAUACUCGUAUCCGAUACGUGCUACGUAGCGUGUGCUAAGUACUAACCUUCUUCUAACAAUCGGAGCAGCAUCACGGCAGCCUCGGCGGUGCGCCAUAGGAGCUUGGCUUUGGGAGAGUAAGGAUGAAGAAGGUCGUCGAUUCCGACCACAUCGAAAACUUCGACGCAGAGAUUCGAGUCUUGGGACUCUGCAUCAGUGAAGACGAGGAGGAGACUGAGGCCGAGAGAAGAGGAAAGGAGAAGAGAGGAGGGAGAUGAAGUUGAAGCAGAGCCAACUGAAGGCGAAAAAAAUAAGCAUUGAGAAAUGUCACUGUUUUCGAAAACGAUUACAAAGACACUAUGAUUUACGUAGAAUCAGGCGUCUUUCUCCCUUUGUAUUCGACUUCAUCUCUCUGGUGCAUGCAUUAUAAGAGCUCUUCUCACCUGCCAUUAGAGACGGAGUCAGGAUUAAGAGUUACGAGAGGUCCAAAUAUAAAAAUUAUUUUUUGUCAUCUUAAACAUCAAAAUGAAAUGUAAAAUGAACAAAUUAUUAACAUAAAGUAAUGUUUUUUUAGCUUUUUAUAGAUCAAAAUUCAAUGUUUGAAUAUCAAUCAAGCACCAAAGUUAAGAUUAAAUAAAUUUAUUCGUUCCAAUACCAAAUUAAAAGAGAAAGAGUGUCCAAAAUAUCAUAUCAAAAGAAAAAGAAUCUCCCAAAUGUUAUCUAACAGGGGUUCAAAUAUAGUAUAAUUGUAAUUGUUAAAGUGAUUUAGUUAGCUAAUGAAGGAGGUACGCAAAAGCUGGCAGGGGUCUGAACCCUCCCAGACCCAAACACAGUUCCGCCUCUGCCUGCCACAGUUCAUACAUUAUAUCAAUGACAAGAUCCAAUCAUGAAUCAUACAAAAGCAUACGAUUUGCAGGUAGAUAAAUCCAAUAUGAUAGCAGAAUAUAAAACUGUAAUGGAAAUUCAAGUCAGACGUGUAUUAUUGGUUUUCAAACGGAUACUCACAAUCAGGGACGGAUCUUAGUGCAUCGCUCUCUGUGCUACAACCCAUAGAGUUUUUUUCUUUAUUCAAAUUAGACAUGCAUAAUUAUCAUGGAUUAGAGAAAAAAUUAAAGUUAGCCCAGUUAAAAAAUAAGAAGUCCAACAACCAAUCAUAACUGUAGCAUAAGAAAGUAAAGAAACUAAAACUAAAAUUCCAUUAAAACGAUAAAUCUCAUGGAUCAUUUUUCUGAAAGCAUCUCAAGCAAGUUAAACACUAUAUUUUCUCUUUUUCUAUGCAACGUUAACUCAUUUUAUAGUAGUUAGACUUAAUUAACUCACUUUCUAGAGACCAUGAUCAACAUUCUUCCAUAGGAAUAAAAUCUACUUGUUCUAUGAAUUAAUUAUAAGCGAAUUUAUUAUAUAUUUAUAACAAUUUUGCAACAAGAUCGGCCUUUUUCCUUAAAAAAAAAUUUGUAAUAAAAAUAUAUAUAAUUUUGUUCAAAUUUUUUUUUAACCCAUCUUAAUUUGAAAUCCUGGUUCCAUCCCUGCUCACAAUAGACUCAUUCAUUCCCAUUCUUGUUUGGUUUGGUUGCUAUUUUCUCUAGGUGACUGUCAAACAGGUUCAAAUUACCUUAACGUCAUUUGCCAUCUCGGGACUAAUAUUGACUUGUUGAUAAAUUCCAGACCGUGCUGCGUCCAUUGUGGAUACAGUAAAGAGUCUUACUGCUUCAGUCACAUUCUCCUCAGUAGCAACACGGGAUCUGAAUUCAUAAUGCAGCAGAUAAUUAGUACCCGUUCUCCUGUUCAUAGCAUUACAACUCUAAGUUUUUACAACCAAACAGUAUCACACUUACGGUUCAUUUUUGCAAGCGACUCACUCAACCUCACUAUAGCUUCAAGCUGCCUUACAGUGAUUGGUAUUGCAGCAGCCGAUCCCGUUUCAUUUGCCUGCUAACUGUCUCAUGUCCUGCAAGAAAACCAUGAAGGUAAUGACGUCAGUCAGAUUCUAAAAUAUAUAUUUUAUAUAUUUAUUUCAGCACCAUAUAAGCAUUGCAGCGAGCAAGGCUGAUCUACUCAAAAUGUUUAGUUCACAGCAAGAAUACCCGUCUGAUUUUGACGUAAUGGUUCUGCAGGGAUUUGCAAGCAGACUCUAACAAGCGGGAAUGACACUCGGUUCGACAGUAUUGUAGGUAUCAAACCCGACCCGAUGAUGAAGACCCGGUUGCUCAAGCUUUUUUGUUUUUAUAGACCAAGGGCAGGUUUACGGCGUAGUCCGUAAUGUUCAUGAGCAAUGAAAAAUUGAAAAUCAAUGAAAUGCAACAUUUGGGUAAACUGAGUUUCAUCAAAAUGUAUCACCUUGAUCUCCCAAGAUCGAGUCUUUGCAGCUUUUGAGGUCCUAAUAGCUAGCCAUACCACAGACCGCCUCCGAUUUGGUUGAUGAUAACAGCUAUACUCUACUGCUCUCAUCCUUAAUUUGGAGGAGUCUUGCAGGCAAUGUAGGCAAUACUCAUUACUACAAAACACUCACAGUCACCACUAUAAACAACAAACUCACCAUUGUGUUUGCUCCUUCAUCCCAAACCAGACCAAAAUUUUGCGAGCUUCGACGAAAAUCUCGAAUACAAGUAAGGCUAUUAGUUAACAAUCGAGUAAUGUAUGACAUUGAGAGCAAACGUUACCUUCCACCGGCGCCGACGCCGGCCCCUCGCCCGCAAAAUCGCCCAUGGUCUUGCCAAGAUAAUUCCCCGACCUACUUUGGUUUUAUUCAAGUCUUGGCAUGUUUACUUCAGCCUCAUACUAGAACAUAGAUAAGUUCAGUUCAUAAAGCUUAAUCACCACAAAGCCCAUCAUCAAGUUUUGCUUUCUUUGUAACAAGCCCAAAUUUGAAUAGUUCAGAUAACUAGAUGAGUCACUGGGAUUAUUAAGAUUGAAACAUGGUCUAAAUCAAGCUCAAACAAUGUGCCUUGUGACUUAGACAAAUUCAUGUGCUCGAAACCUUUGACAAAUUUGAAUUCAUUCUUUCCCUCAAUAUUCACAGCAAUUGAAUCCAAAAACAACACCAAAAGCUAAAGCUGUUACCAUUGCACAGCCCCAAGACUGUUAAGAGUACAGUUGUAACAAGACAACAAGCCUCUAACAAACCGCCUCACUCCACCUCUGCGUCUUCUUCUCCCGCCGUGCAUCUCAGUGUGAACAACCGGAUGCUCCCCACCGCCGUCGGCUAACCUCCCCACCGCCGGAGAGUCCCUCCGCAGCUGGUGCCGGCAUAUUGGACACGAACUAUGGUGCGCAAGCCACUGCCGGAUGCAACGGGAGUGGUAUGUGUGCUUGCAAGGUGUCUCUCUAAUUUCAUCUCCCAAUUCCAUUGCUUCUAUGCACACGGCGCAUACCUCCAUCGUCGGCAAUGAUUCCACCGCCGGUCGCUGAUCGUUGACCUCGAUCGUCGUCAAUGACACCACCGCCGAUCGUUCCAUUCUGUUUAUAUUGUUCUGCGGUCGGUCACCCCCACCGCCACCGUCAUACUCCACAAUCGCUGAACUCCACCGUUGUUGGCCGCAGUCUGGACACACCGCUGGCGAGUCGCCGGCGGCGGCCGAAACCGUAACGAAGCUGCUACAUCUGUAGCACCAGUAAGAUGACGUGGCAGCGGACAUGGAGAACCCAAAGAACAACAAGCAUCUAGUCUGUUCUAGUUUUUCAUUUCCGACAUAAGUUGAAGACAGACAUGCGAGGAAGGCUCUCAGUUUCUUUUUCUUUUUUCUUUUUCCGAAUUAGAAAACAACGGACAUCACGUAACAAAACUCACUCUCCCAGCCGGUCCAGAUAGAACGUUACUCACUCAGGGUGAGAAUGAGCAAAGUCAGCUCGGAGUUCCGUGACGAAGUUGGCUUCACGUUGGUAAUGACUCUUUCAUGAACAGAAAUAUGGAAACCAAACAUGAAGAUAAGUUUUUCAAAUCCCUCAAACUUAAAUAUUGAUCACCAUCUUAUUCAAAGAAAAAAGAAAAAAAAAAUUCAUCACCUUCCGUCCAAGUUAUGUUACAAGGAUCAUACUAGCAUUAAGUAAUGCUAUCAAUACGUAUGAUCGAGGACUUAUACAUGGCUGAAAUACUCUUUUUUUAUUGAAUUGAAAUAGAUACAGAUCAAUCUUUCAUUUAGUUAUUCUAAAAUUGUUAUAACAUACAUCAAAGGAUUGAAUGUGAUUACCGGAACAAAAAUACCUAGAUCCACAUGCAUAUAUGGAAGAGUAUGUAUUGAACAAGAUAUAUAUGCAACAUUAACAAUUGCAAAGCUUUCAUACUAGCUGAUGAUAAGUUGAAUCUCAGACAAUUUUAUGGUGUCAUGGUGUCAUUAUGCUUAUAUCUGACUAAAGAACAGAAAACUUGUGGAGGCUGCAGAUGCUGUCCAGAUGUACGAUGUAAAACACACAAAUUUGCAGCUACUAUCCUUCAUCUCUUCGGCUUAUGCAUUAUGCAACAAGGAUAGACGGAGAGAUUGGCACUCAGUGAGCAAUCUGCAAGAAAGGAACACCCAAAUUCAGAUGACUAAACAGUGUGAUAUUUUCAGAUCCACAACUGUUGAAUUUAAAAGGAAACUCGAGAGUUGAAUAGUCUGGACUGAUUUGGAGGAACAUUAUCCUCACGUUAGUAGAUUUUAAAUUAGCUCUACUCUAUUAGUAUUUAGAAUACGUGUUUAUAAGUAUCCAUUCUCUUUUAUCGAUCAAUUUAUCUCUUGAAGUGGAAUCGUCUGAUCCUGAAUCGCUUCCAAUCAGCAAAAGGCCAAAAGCAAAUCUCUAUCCAAUACUAAAUAUUCACACAGGUCACACUUAAAGCUGUCAUUUCCAAGUUUUUAAGUAAACUAAAAGAGCCGUCAAAGUAGCAAACAGAGUAGUAAACAGAAAGUUGUCAAAUGCAGCAAUACAUUGUCCAACAGCGAAAAAUGCAAUGACUCCAAAAUACUAUAGUUCACCAGAACUCCACGAAAGAAUGGAACAUAGCUGCUUCUCUUCAAAGUAAUAUAUUCUCCAAAAUUGAUGCUUUGACAUUUUCAUAUAACGAAACAUCUAUCAAGUUAUAUGCUUUAUUUACCAAAUGGAAAUUCUUUUAUGAAAUCCAGCAAGAGCCAUUUUAUUAACAUGUAUAUAUUGAUAGUUGAUCACAUAUAGAACACCAGUUCUGCAUAUUACCAUCAAUAGCAGCAUUUGUAAUAAACAGAACUCAUAGAACACUGGGUGUUCAAGCAUAUAGUGUCAAGAGUAAAAUAGCAGAGAAUCAUUUAUUGCACAUUUCAUCUAGACUAGAUAGAAAUCUGUAUCAUCUCAAGCAAAAGAUAGCAGCAGAAAUUGGACCUUCAGUUCAAGACAUCAAGUUGCCGCCUCAAACUGCUUCAACAUGUCACAAUGUGGUGUUUCACGUACAAAUCCCCACUGGCGACGCUGCAAUUCUAGCCGACAGUUCUGCGACAGAACACUGAAAUAAUCUCUCUCAACCUGCUGAUCAAGCCUAGCACGGUCUAAGCUACCUGACGGGUAAUCUUGCUCAAACUUGGUUGACUUGACAUAAAAAUUCACACCCCUUUCCGUAGUAAACCGGUACUCAUAAGGAUGAUUCCUCGACAAUGAGUAAACAGGCUCUGAAGACGGCAUGAAGUUGAGAAGCAAAAUAAGCAACACAGGCAGCAACUGAAUUAGAGUCCUAGCAUUGAACCCACCAGAGCCAUACUCAGCAGGCCUCGCUGCCCCCAUUCCUUGCCCGAAACUGAACCCCCGGAACUGUGUAGUUGCCGGAGCCAUUCCUCCCCCGAAAAAGAAGUUCCUAAAAAUCUCAUCCGCAUCAACAUCACCUCCCUCAUAGAAAAACCCAUUCCCUCCGCCGUGCCUAGGAGCACGCCUCCUCUCGUAAACCGGCUCAUCCGACCCCGAAACAUCAUACUUCUUCCUAUUCUCCGCAUUGCUCAGACACUGAAACGCCUUCGAAACCGAUUUAAAAGCCUCCUCGGCACCGGGGGCCUUGUUCUUAUCCGGAUGAACCUUCAAAGAUAGCUUCCUAUAAGCUUUUCGAACAUCUUCCACACUACAACUCCUCUCCACUCCCAAAAUCUCAUAGUAAUCCUUCUUCUUCUUCAAUUCUUUCACAAUCGUCACCUGCUCCGCCGUGUACCCACUCGCCGACAACCCGGACCCGGACCCGGACCCCGACCCGGUAGCUUUCCUUUGACGGAGCGGAGGCAUACCCAGACCCGACCCGGCCGGCGCGUCGGCGGUUUUGGCGCCAUCAGGCGGCGGAGGAUCGGAGUCUUUCUCCACCGACGAUAACAGAUCGUCGAUCGGUAGGGACGGAUCGAGCCGGCGAGCUUUGGCUAAGAAUUUCAAGGCGCGUGUGCGAUCUCCGCCGUCCAAAGCUUCCUUCCCGAUUCUGAAGCAUUUCAAAGCGUCGUCUUUGUUGCCGUCCAUCUCAGAUUUCUGAGAAGACCAAACCCCAAAUCAAAUCCCAAAUCCACAGAAACUAGGGCACAGAAGAAAAAAAAAUCGAAACGAAAAUAGAGGAAAUUGAACUUACGGGUGAGAUGGAUCUGAAGAAGGGUCUUCUGGGUCGUGAUCGGUUUCUGGAGAUUGUGAUCGAGUCACUGUGAUUUCAUGGAGUCUAGGGAUUUUGGUUUCCCCCAAAAUUCCCAAAUUGGUUUCCGUUGAAAUGUAGACGUCGGUUGUUAAACCAAAAGCUUUUGACGCGUCUUGGGCCGGCGGCAGAGUUUGUAAGCCCAAUGGUCUUUUUAUAAUCUUAAGCCCAAUAAGAUAUAGGGCAACCAAACGGCGCCGUUCGGUUGGAGUUACAUAAACCCUUGGAAAGCCUCUGUUUUGCUCUCUUUUCUUCUGCAGCUUUCAAGUUCUGAGCUGCUAAACCAAAACAGAGUUUGUAGAGAUGGAGACCGAAACGACGGCGUUUCAGAUCGACUUGGGUAAUCUCAUGGCUGUUGACCUUCAUCACCAAUUUCCUUCCAACCCUUCUUCCAGGUUUGUUUGAUUUUUUUCGAGUUUUUAUUGUUUUUGUUUUAGUGUUGUAUAAAAAUUAUAUAAAAAUGGUUAUUGAACUCAAAGUUGAUGUCUUUCAAGCUUAAUCUACAACUGUGGAACUGGGUUUUUCCAUUUUGCCUUAAUUUUUGUUAAAGUUAGAAUUUUUAUGUAUAUGGAUUGUUUGGAUUUUGGGGUAUUGGUUUUGGGUAGGAGUUUGAUAUUGAAAUUGAUACUAUGCUCAUAGGCUAGCAUGUUUGGUUGUGCCGUAUUGAAAAUGUGUAUAAGAGUUUGGUUGUUUGAUUUGAUGUGAGAUGGUUUUGUUCGGUGAGUAAUUUUGUUGCUUUUAUUGAAUUUUAGGGAGGAUUUAGUGAAGGAAUGUAUUGCAAAAGGAACGGAGUUAGUUCAAGCUAUUGCGAAUAAUCUAUUCAAUUUGCCUUCAACUGAAGACAUUGAGGGUACCCUUGUGAAGUUGCCUGCUCCAACAACUAGACUGCCCAGAGAGAAGCAUGUAAGUGAUCGAUCCCUUAUAGGUUGUAAAGCUCCAAGUCUUCUUUGUCUAUACAGUAUGGAGAUAUGGAUUUUGUAGCUGGUAACCGUUCUAUUAUACCUGGCAUGAAAACACCUUGCUUGUUGUUACAAGAGGAUAAAGUAAUGGGUUUACUGUUGAACAUUGGAUAUUGCAUAAUGCUUCGUAUUCUUUAACUAGGAAAUAAGUGGAAUGUUGGUUCAUGGUAAGCAAUGCUACGUUUCAUUUAAUGGCAAAAUAUGGUUCUCUGUCCUACUUGGUUGAGUCGAAUGUUGGCCUGUGAUAGUGAUAUUAGUUCAGAUUUCCCUGAUAAGCAUGUAGAUCUAUUUAUUAUAAACUGUGCCCGGUUGCUUUGAGUAACAACUUACGACUUACUAUUGUUUUAUUUUAGCUUAAACAAUCACAUUUUCCUUUAUUGUCUACAGAUUCCAAAGCCUAAACCUCCUACAAAAUGGGAAGUGUUUGCCCAAAAGAAAGGUCAGUCAUUGCAGUUUUAUGAAAGGAGUCUGUUUUGUGUCCUUUAGUCUCUCUCUCUCUCUCUCUCUCUCUCUCUCUCUCUCUCUCACACACACACACACACACAUCCAUCUAGUCUAGUUUACGAUUUUGAACUGGAUUGUGAUUUUAAUUUCUUGCAGGUAUCAAGAACCGUAAGAAAGACAAGAUUGCGUAUGAUGAGCCCAGUGAAACUUGGAAACGUCGUUAUGGAUAUGAUCGUGCAAAUGAUGAGGAUGAUGUACCUAUCAUUGAGGCAAAGAUGACUGAUGGUAAUUACUUCAGAUCUUGUUGCUAUGGAAUGAGUCAUUUACUACUUUGUUUAUUUUGAUACUGAAGAUAGCACAUUAUAAAAGUUUCUUUGACCGACUUGUUAUAGAUCUUAUAAAUCUAUGUUUUGUCAUAGAAUUGAUCUUCUUUCUCAUGGUUGCCACUUGUCUUUGCAGUGCCAGGGGAGGAUCCUUUUGCUAAAAGACGAGAAGCUAAAAAGAAUCGUGUUGAAAAGCAAGACAAAAAUAGGUUGCAGAACUUGAAGCAAGCUGCAAAAGUUGGUGCUUUGCCAAGGUAUUCCCCUUUCACUUUUCUAUGGUGUUCAAAUUAUAGAUAGUUCAUCAUAAGCCCACAUAGUAAAUCACUUGGCUAUAUGGACAUCCACAUUGAGAAUUUGUAAGUACAACUAAAUUUAUUAUAUGAAGUCUAGAAACUCAAUUAGGUAGCCUUAAUGGAAGUUCACACAUUAGCCAAGUUUCAGUGAUCUUAAUAUGAGAGAUCAUUUGCAUAUAAGAUCAUAAUUAAACUCUUUCUGCAGUCAUGUUCAACUAGCUGCGACAAGGUUGCCUAUAACAGGAACCCAGGCUGCACCCCAAAAGGUUACUAAAGAUGAACUUGGGAGUGUAGCUGGAAUUGCAGCAACUGCAACAGCCAGUGGUGGAAAAUUUGACAAAAAAUUGCCAGGUGAAAAACCUGGUAAACAUAAAGGAAAGUAUCGCAAGGUAUGCCUUUUGAUCUCCUCCUAGCAUUUACUUGUGGGGUGCUCGUCACGAUAAAGUGAUCAACUGUUUAAUCCUUUUUUUCCUUCUGUUUCUACUUUCAGUUUUUACCAGUUAUAGGAGGAAAAGGAAUACACACGCAAGAGCAGGAGCAAACUGAUAAAAUUCUGAACAAGCUAAUUUCUAAGAACUCCCAUGAGAUGCUCAAUGUUAACAAGGUUUGCUUCUCUUUUGCUGGCAAUGGGUUCCAGGGAAUGAGUGAGUUAAAUUAUAUACUUAUGAGUGAAAUUCUGUGUGACACAGGCUGUUAACAUGUAUAAUGUGAAGAAAGAUAAGAAGAGAAACAACAGACCGGAGAAGUCUUCAGGAACCCCUGGCCAGUUGAAAGCAAGGAAAAACCUUACAAAGAAGCCAUUUUACAAGGGCUCUUCAAAGUCAUUUGACAAGGGAUCUAAAAAGCCAUUUAACAAGGGAUCUUCGAACAAAGGCAGAAAAUGAAAUUCUUACUCAUGACAGUGAUACAAUGUGGAAGUUUUGAAGGAGAUUCGACUAGUUUAAUUAUUGCUGUGUAUCAAAGUUUAUUGUGCAAGACUUUUGUUAUUCAGAGGAAAGCAUUUCUACUCUCUUGCUAUCUUUAUGUCUCAAGCAGCCAACUAUACCGACGUGAUUGAUUUUGACCUUUUGUAUAGCUGGUGCUAUUUUACCUAUGUUUUUAUUUUUCUUGGAGAUAUGAUUUGUAAGUGUAUGUAAAACAUCGCGCCUGUAGUUUAUUCUCCUUGGAGAUUUUCAAAACGUUUAUCCAUUCCCACUUAUGCCGCAAAACAAAUCUCAACCACCAAAAUCUCUCAAGGCUUGACAGCCAACUAGUUUGAUCUAAACCUCGUGGCUUUCAAAGUGCCAAGAAGCAUUACUUCGUCUUGACAAUGGAAAAUCCAAGUAAAGCAUUGUAAAACACAAUAAAGUGAUAAACUAGACCAACCACGUACCACAAAAAUUCAAAAUAAACCCCAUUUUGCAAUUUAUUCCCAGUUUUGGAAAAUGUAAUCAGAUUAUCAGAAUAUAUUUGUAGUUCACGGAGCUCUUUCUCAUAUACCACAGACGUUGCCUUUUAGAUACUUUCAUCAUGGCCAUGCAAAAAUCUCUCUCUUUGUAUCACAGAUCACCAUAGUAGUUGGAUUUAUGUUCUCUUGUUUCAGAAAAGAUAAAUCCUUUUGCCUACCCUCUAAGCCAAGCAACUCUUCUUCUGCUUGAAAUUUCAUCUUGGCAGUAUCAAAUAAACAAAAACUGGUUCAUGAUGGAUAGAGGAAGAUUGCAAGUGAUUGAACAUGCAAGUGAAGAAUUUGUGUUGUUUUGUUCUGGGAUUAGGAUUCAGUGGAGUCCUCCAGAGAACGCUUCUCGUGGCUUAUUUGCAAGUAUUGGUCAAGUGGCAAUGGGAAUGGGGUUUGGUAUUUCACCUAAUCCACAGAAUCUUAGGAUGGACAGCACCACAAAACUACUGAGCUCCACAUACAUGAGAUAUGUGCCUGUGCCGGAUUUGGGUUUUCGGGUCAGUGGAGUUCAAGAGUUGGUGAUGGAAGAAGUACUAGAGAUUGAAGAGGAAGCAGAGGUUGUGACCAUGAACAAAAUGAAGAACAGAAUACAUGGUUUUGGAAAGAAAAUCAAGAUUGCUAAUGCAUCACUAAGAAGGCUGCUGAGUGGAGCCAUAGCAGGUGUUGUGUCAAGGACAGCAGUUGCACCAUUGGAGACCAUAAGGACCAACUUAAUGGUGGGGAGCUGUGGCAACUCAUCCAGUGCAGUAUUUCAGUCUAUCAUGGGAGCUGAUGGAUGGCAAGGCUUGUAUAGAGGCAAUUUGGUUAAUGUCAUUCGCGUUGCGCCAAGCAAGGGUAUAGAGGUAGGUUUUGCUGAACUCUUAACCACUAGAGCUACAAGUCGCGCAACUCUAGUCCUUGAUCAUUGAUCCAAAAACUUGAGAAAACUUGAUAAUUUAUGUUUGCUGACGGAUACUUACUUUGUGCAGUUAUUUGUGUUUGAUAUGGUGAACAAGUACUUGACUAGACCAGGGGAAGAGCUGAAAGUCCCUAUUCCUGCUUCAUCAAUCGCAGGCGCCCUUGCUGGAUUUAGCUCAACCUUGUGUACAUACCCUCUUGAGCUGUUAAAAACACGAUUCACUGUCCAGGUAAACUCAAUAAUAUAUAGCCUUAAAGGAGGGACUGGUUUUAUUCAUUAGCUUGUUUUCUUAGAGUUGAUACAUUACUCAGACAAUUUAAUUUGAUUGCAGAGAGGAGUGUACAAUAACUUUUUUGAUGCAUUUUCCAAGAUUGUCAUAGAGGGAGGACCUGGAGAGCUGUACAGAGGCCUUACACCAAGUCUAAUAGGAGUAAUCCCAUAUGCUGCCUCCAACUAUUUCGCUUAUGAUACACUCUCAAAAGCUUAUAAGAAGGCUUCCAAGAAGGAGGAAAUCGGAAAUGUAAUGACGCUGUUGAUUGGAUCAGCAUCUGCUGCAUUUUCAAGCAGCGCAACUUUCCCACUUGAGGUUGCUCGGAAGCAAAUGCAGGUCAAUGGGAGACAAUACAAACACAUACUUCAUGCUCUUUGUAGCAUAUUUGAAAGUGAAGGACUCGCUGGUUUGUACAAAGGGUUAGGGCCAAGCUGCAUGAAGCUGGUUCCUGCUGCUGGGAUAUCCUUCAUGUGCUACGAAGCAUGCAAGAGGAUACUCGCUGAGAACGAGAAUCAGGAAGAAAUCUAAGACUUACUGAAAAACAAGAAUUUGCAAUUUUGAAUGGCUUUUAGUUCAUCAAGCAAGGUUUGUAUACAGCUGCUGAGCUUAAUAUUGGCCCCCAAACAUGUACAGUAAUUGUUUUGGUCAAUUCAUUCUAUUGCAUUUUUCAACUUAUCAUCAUAAACAUGUAGAUUCACAAUGAAUAGAAGGGAAACGAAGAGAUCAGAGAGGAUCGUACAAAUCCUAACUUGAUUACUUUCCAUUGAUAUAUUAACCUGAGGCUUUGGAUCAUAACAACCAUAAUGUGAAAGCAUGCUGACAAAAUACGUACUGCGAGAUUAGGUUCAUUACAAAAGGAUCACAUCCUAACACAAAACGAAACUAGCUUCUUGAUACUAUGAAGGUCAAGAGGCAAGUUAGCUCAGCAAUGCUUUCAAGUACUUGUAUUAGACCAUUUCCCAAAAGAUAUUAGGUUGAAAUCCUCCUACUUGUAGUUAGCCCCCACUCUUCCAAAACUAUUUUUUUCACCAUUAUCUAUAAAUAUCACUCCUCAUGUACUGUUAACAUGACAAUCCUGCGGAUCUAUUCCCACCCACCAGCAACAAUAUUCUCAUAAUUUCCAAAGCUCGAUAAACCAGCAGUAACAGCAGCAUCUGUUUCACCCCCAUUAUAAGAAGGACCAUUAUAGGAAGCAGCAGGCUCAUCUACAUAAGAAUUCCCAAAUUUUUCUCCAUAUCCAGAUGAAUCAGCAGCAUAUGAUCCCGAAGCAUCAUGAAAAGUAGCAGCAGCCAUAUCCACACCCACAGAAGAAUCACCAUAACCAUAACUACCUGAACCAUAAUGAUUCUCACUCCUACGGAAGUCAUAUCCACCAAAGUUACUGCUACCACCAUACCUAUGGCUCUGGUCUCCACCAUAAGGCAAUGAUUGUUUAGCAUAAUCAUGAAGCCAGUUAGGAACCUCCUGCUUUGAUUCCUUCAUCAACUCCGCUAAAGACUUUGCAAGUGGCUGGUUCUUUUCACUGAAGAAAGCAGUUGCAAGACCAGAUUUACCAGCACGUCCAGUCCGACCAAUUCUGUGAACAUAAUCAUCUAUGCUCUUCGGAAAGUCAAAAUUGAUGACAUGGGCAACAUGAGGGAUAUCUAAACCUCGUGAAGCAACAUCUGUCGCCACCAGUAUUGGAGUUGUGCCACAUUUGAACAAUCUCAAUGCUCGUUCCCUCUCCUACAAAUUUGACAAGCAACAUAUGAUUGCAGGUAGGGGAAAGGAAUAAAAUGGUAGAUGGAAAUACAGUGAUAACUCAAAUAUGAGAUUCUAACCAUUUGCACUUUGUCACCAUGUAUUGCUAUUGCAGGGAAUCCAUUCCUGGACAACCAGUUCUCCAACUGAUUUGCUCCUUUCUUGGUUUCAACAAACACCAAGGUUGAAGCAAGCUGAAACACAAACAAUAUGUAGCAAUAGUUCAGAAUAAAUAUGUGCCUUUCUUAAUCAUAACAGAUCUGUCAUUACCAAAUCAAUACUAACUACUACAAAUUCAAUGGUAACAUGUUGAAAUCAUACCUUUCCAUGAGUUCCAUUAUCCCUCUGAUUCUUAAGAAGACUGCAUAAAUGCUGAAUUUUGUCCAUAUCCCUGACAAACUCAACCUUUUGUGCUAUAAGAUCAGUGCUUGACCCGACUUUCCCAACAGUCAGAAAUAUGUAGUUCUUCAGGAAAUCUGCAGCAAGCCUCUGCAAGAAAUGUAAAUGAUAAGAAAGACAUAGAGAACAUAUGGUAUUUUCCUGAGAAAGUUCAUAAAAGGCAAAUUUGGUGUUGAUGCUUAUUAACACAAGUAAUACGUCCCUCAAAGUUAUCCCAAAACAUAUGCACCCUAUGCAAACGGCUUAUUUCAACAUGUACCACGACAAACAAAAAUGACAAAACUUUCAGCUUAAUAGAUUCCUCAAGUAGGUGACACGCUUUUCAAUUGAAUAUAAUAAUCCAUAUAGAAACACAUUUUAAAGCAUCAACAUUUACCCACCUGUAUUUCAUCAGGGAAUGUUGCACUGAACAGUAAUGUUUGCCUGGCACCUGGGGGUGGCAUGUCCAUCCGUUGAACAAUCUUCCUUAUUUGAGGUUCAAAUCCCAUGUCCAACAUCCUAUCAGCCUCAUCUAGUGCCAAGUACUUGAUCAUCUUGAGGGAAACUCGUGACCUUUCAAUCAUGUCCACCAAGCGCCCUGGAGUAGCAACUAGGAUGUCAACUCCUCUCUCCAGAUCACGAAGCUGCACAGUCAAUGUAAGCAUCAGUAAACUGGACAAAUGUAGUGCACUAGAUUAACACCAUACAGUCAUACUGCACCAGCCUAUCUUACAAGUAGAUAUCAUAACUCAAUGUGCAAACGAACGAAGAAUUGUAAUUGAGAAGCACAGAGAAUAGGUAAUCAAAAUGAACACCAUCUAUCCUUGUCGACCUUAUGGCAAGUAACAGAAGUCUUGAAAAUAACAUUACAGAUUUAAAAAUCCACCAGUAACCCAAUUCGAUUAGCAGAUACCAAGUUCAACAACGAGCACAGAGCAACAAACCACAAACAGAGCGUAGCCUAGUGACGAAAUGUAACACUUCAAACCCCAUAGAAUCACCAGAUCGAGACACAAACCUGCUGAGUCAUCGGCGCCCCACCAUAAACAACAGCCACCUUCACCCCACUCUGAUAAGCAAACUUCUUAGCUUCCUCAUAUAUCUGCAACAAGAGCAUUCAACACCAUCAAAACCAUAACAUGUUAAGACCAAAACCACAAUGUACCUUAAACCCGCAAAAACAAACACAAACCUGACUAGCCAGCUCUCUCGUCGGAGACAAAAUCAGCGCAAACGGAUACACAGUCCACCCAUCAUCACUCUGAGACCUCCCCUGAGACACAUUCAACACUCCACUGAUGAUCGGGAAGCAAAAAGCCGCCGUCUUUCCGGACCCAGUCUGAGCACACGCCAUCAGGUCCCUUCCGGCCAAGGCUAUCGGAAUCGCGUGGCGCUGCACCGGCGUCGGCUUCACGUACCUACACCUCUUGACAUUGUUAUUCAAACACUCCCCCAAAUCAAUCUCCUCGAAACUCCCCGCCGGCGCCGGCACGUCCUCCCCGCUCGCCUCCACCGGAAUAUCCUCGUAAGCAUCGAAAUUGAUCCCCGCAUUGCUGACGUCACCGCCCUCACUCACUGUCACCUGCUCGAGCUUCUCGCACACGUCGUCAUGCACCGCCGGCCUCGGCGGCGGCGGCGCCCAGCCCCGAAUCCGGCCGCCGCCGCGAUAACCACCUCCACCUCCUCCGCGAAACGGACCGGUCCGGCCGCCUCCGCGAUAACCACCGUGCUGAGCCGGCUCACCGAACCCUCGGCCGUACGAGGCGUAACCGCCGCCGCCGAGGCCGCCGGAGUAGCGGAGAUGCGGAGGGACGUAGGAGGAGGAGUUGAGAGGGCGGCGAGUCUGGUUCCGGGUCGACUCGGUGACCGCUUCGGCCCAAGCCAUGGUCCUCAGGCUCAUGAUCACACCGGAAAAUCAAAAUGCAAGCUUUAAAAAUGGGAGAGUCUCUCCGAGAGACCAAAAACAAAGCUGGUAGAAAGCUGAGAGCUUUCUGGGCUUUGUUGAGAUUUGGGGGUGAAGAAGAUUGAUGGGUCUGGGUUUAUAUAUAUAUAAUGUGAGAGAGAAAUUGAAAGGGUUUUAAGGGAAGAAGAUGUACGGACUGAGAGAGACUGAGAGAGAAAGAGUGAGGUGGUGGUGGGUGUGGGUUUGGUUUAAUGGUCUCGACGUAUUUGGUUGAAAAUGACUUGGGGUGGAGAGAGAGGGAAAAGGUUCUAUUUUUUUAAAGCUUUGUUUUUGUCCUUCUCCCCCAUUAAAAUACCUGCAAAACCCUAAUUGAGAUUCUGAAAAAACAAAGCACCUAGCAACCAAUGGGAGUCUGAGCCUUACGGGGUAAGGCCAGUUUCUGUACUAAUAAUAACUUCAGAAUAAAGUUACUAUUAAUUUCGGUAUACUAGAUAAAUGAAGGUCUUUAGUAAUUUUACUUGUAUUAUAGAACAAAAUUCAUUAGUAACUUCGUGAGUUUGGUGUCCGGUUUAGCUAGUAUUGAAAAAUUAUGACUUAGAUAUAAGUCAUUUGAGAAUCCCACAUCGCAAACGUGAAUGAGUUAUUUUUAGGUUAUAAAGAAUGAUACCACACACACUAAUGCCAACACCUUUUGUGUAAAACCUCAUACCCGUUUUUUCAUCGGGUGGCUAAAGUAAGGGGAGUAUUGACAUUAUUGGACUCAUGUGUGUGGGACCGUCAGGCCCGUCGGCCGCAUCCGCGUAAUAGCUAGAAGGCUCAGCCCUACAUUCGGUAUUGUUUAUUAUGUUAAUCAUGACACGUAAACCCGACCUACGGAUAAACGAUUAUAUAGAUCCUCGUAAAAAAAACCUUAAAUCAUACUUUUUUGUCUACCAUCGUUAUUUGUCGUGAGUUCGACUCAUAAUAAUAGAUUUGUUGUUGAUUUUGAGGUAUUUGAUUAAUCAGAAAAAUAUGACGAAAAUAGUCUAAAUGUCUCGAGUUUAUGUCAGGGAGGUCUUGUGUUAUGUGAUGUGGGGAGAUUUGAGUGUGGUAGUAGGGAGACGUAGGAAUGCUGCUUUUGGAAAUAUCUUCGACAUUUGGUUUGGGAGAGAGUCUUCGGUGCGACAGCCGUGCCACGUGUCCGUGCGACCGGCCUACGGUCGUGUGACACGUGUUUUUUUUUUUUUUUUUUUUCACAGCAGCACACACGUUCUCCUCCGGCGAAGCUUCUUCUUCCUUUCUCUCGAGAUUCUUGGCUCGUCGGAGCUCCGGGAGAGAAUGGAGGGGAGAGGAGAGGGAUCCGGAGAGGUGUAGAGGAAGAAGAAGGCGGAGAGAGGAGGGGUAGGGUUUCGGAGGGUGUGGCGGUCGCGGAAUUUGGGGAUGGAAAUGAGGGAGAGCAGCGGAGGAGGAUCUGCGUCGUGGUUGGCAAUGGUUUCGGCCGGCGAGGGUGAAGGAAAAACAGAAGAAGGUUCGCCGGAGGAGAACGCAACUGCUGCUGUGAAAAAAAAAAAAAACACGUGUCGCACAACCGUCAGCCGGUCGUACAGACACGUGACACGGCCGUCGCACCGAAUAAUUUCUCUUGGUUUGGGUGUUGACCGUGUUGUAGUCUACACGCGUAUUGAAUGCGGGUGGAGUUUGAAUAUUGACAAUGUAGACGGCCUGGAGGGUGUAAUGGACAUUUGCGCGAUCAUGUAAUGCUAAAUACGGUUUAAGUGUCUCUGUGUCUGUUGGUGACUUGGUGUUCCCCAAGGAUUCACAAUCACUCACAUUUUGUUUUGAUUAAGCCAUUUGAAUAUGUUUUGACUGACAAGAUUAAACAAGUCUUUGAAUUUUAAACAAAACAAACUAUUUGAAUUUCAAAUAAAUUUUUUUUUUCAAUAAUUUUUUUUAAAUGAUUUAGUCUUUGGCUUUCGAACAGAGGAGAAUAAUCAUCCAAUCUAAUAAAUGACAUUCGACGUCUAUCUACUUAUUUCGAUUCACUUGAAUUUGACAUAUUUAAUAAGAAACAAAUUUUUUGUCGACUCGGUUGCAAACUUUGGCCACUCUACACCCAUUGCAAGCCGGAACCAAAGCCUCCCUCUUUCUGUCUCUAUUGUUUUCAUUUUUGAUUUUCACGGUAUAGGUUGUAUUAGAGAUUAUUUUUUUUUUCUUUUUUUUUUUUUGUUAAUUGUGUUUGUACUUUAUUUCAUCAUCGAAAAACAAUUUAAACUGUACCCUUUAAAAAAAAAAAAUUAACUGUUUAAAUGAUGAAAAACAACAGGCCAAUUAUUUCGUUGGAGCCCAAUUAUUUCGCUUUAGAUUCCAUCCUGAGGGACAUUUAUAUACAUGUGCAGUUGAUAAUUGAAUUGAAGGAUCAAAUAUUCCAACAAAUAACGAAACAAGGAUGAAAUAGCCAAUAGAAAAACAUACGUUGAACCAGAAUACAGAUAUAUUAUUGAUUUGCAUUUGAGGCGAUCAUGAAUACAGCGCUAGUAUGAGAAGUCUGAACCGCCAGUACAGAAGAAAUUAAGCAGAAUGCAUAUUACACUGCAACAAAAUGAAUGCAAGUGAUAGAUGAGAAAUCAUCAAGUCUGGAUAAAAGGUAGGUCACAAAUUAAAGUAGCACACAGAAUAGAAUAGUGCAGAAGAUGAAUUAAGUUAAGGUGAUUAGAGCACAAAGCAACCAAGGGUAAGAGGCGGAAAGGUAGAGUCUGGACGUAUAUGAUAUUCGAAAACGCGAGGAGGCUGGAAUUGGGCAGUGAAACAAUUCUUCCUGUCCUUGUCGACCUUGGAGGUAUCAAAUUCGAAUUGAAAUGGUAUGGCAGCACCUUGUAUAGUAUAACUCAUCACAAGCCUAACUUCUUUAUACUCUUCAUGAGCAGGUUUUCUGAUACAGGUGUUGACAAGGCACAUAUUGUUUCCCCCUAGAUGGAGCAAAUGACAAGUCACUCGGUUCUUGAGGGAGCGCAGCAGCUGGCAGAUUCAUCUCCAUUAUUUCACUGAUAUCUUCCUGGUUUUCAUCCAAGGACAUAAGAUGAACUACUAGACUAUUCCGGAAAAAGCCACCAUCUUUAACCGAAAAGAGCAACUUUUUGUUACUGUGUUUUGGCUGCGGCAAGUCCACCACUAGAGCUUGGCCUGUAAACGGGAGAGGGCCGCCUUGGCACAUGCUGGGGACUCUCCUCCAUUCUGGGUCACUGGCCGCAAGGUCAAAGCAGCGAAUUGAAGGGUCCUGUUUAAGGUAGUUGCUGUAGUAGUUUUCUUCGCCCUCUGGCACUGGGGUAGACAUAAACAAUUUGGUUCCGGCUAUUGCAUAAGAGUAGAGGAGGCCAUGAUUGGGAUAUUUUGGCAGACGUGACCAAGUACCCUGUUGGGGGUCAAAUACCUCAAAUGAAACGUAAGUGUUAUACUCCUUAAGGGACAGUACAUAGAGUUUGCCGGCAAACUCAGUCAUCAACGGUUCAUGCUUCCCUCCGUUCAAAGCGGGCAUCUCGACUAUUCCUUGGUUGGGGUCAUGGACAUCAAAGGCAUAUGCAUCUGUGGUGGCAAGAGGGCCGAAUGGGAAUCCGAAAACCGGAUUGGAGUUGGGUUUCAAGCCGCUGGCGAAAACGAUCUUGGAGCCGAAAACACCGCAACCCCCUUCAUAUGGGAGAUCAUCGUCGACCAGAUUGGCCACUUGUCUUAAUUCUAAUUUCACCGACGACGACAGCAAAUCGGAAAGAUUGAUGGAACGAACAACGUAAGAAAACUUCCCAUAGGCUCAUACCCCGCAGGAGGGAUGGUGGACUUUUUGUGAGUUUCAAAGCUACAAAUGAUUAGAGACUUGUUAUCACCAUAUUCGUCGGACAUGGUGUUUCUCUGUUUGCUGACUUUGCUCUCAAGUACGAUGAUGGUACGGCUACAGCUGAGUUUGAGGCUUCGCAGUUUAUAUAUAAACAUUCUUCUUCAUCACACUGUUGGAUUUCCAUUUCCUAAUAACAAUUGGAUGAGAGGUCCUAAUUAUUAUUGGAUUUGGAUUGGAGUCCAAUAGAUAGUUGGGGCUCAAACGAAAACUCGGCCCAGUUGCUUUAUAAUUAUUCCCCAUCCUUUUUUCUUAAAUUAAUAUAUAACGACCCGCUCUAUUCUAAAUGUCAUAAAAAGUUAUGGCCUAAGUUUGCAGAUAGGUCUAGCCGUUGGAGUAAUUAUUCUCUGUACCCGGAACAUCACGUGGCACUGCCAGGUGUUGUACUCGACCAAUUAUAUAACUCAGAUUCAUACGGGGACCAGCACGGGGUGGAGAAAAAAAAGGAAAAGUAAUUAAAUACACCAAUCAGAAAUAAGGAUAAAACACGUGAACCAAUGAGAUUAAAGAUGAACAUAAAACAGGUGGUGUUCCGGGUUUAAAUAAUAAUUUCCCUAGCCGUUGUACGGUUUUCAACCCUUUUCAUCUCAACCGAUGCCGACCUAAAGGUAGACGGUAUACGAAAACUAGAUCGAAACGGCCAGAAUUUCAUUUCAUCUUCACAAUUCCUCAACAUCAAAAUAAUAUACUUUAUUCCUCAACUAGUAAACAUACACAAACCAAAGCCACAAAGCCAUUCUGAAUUUCCAACACACAAUCAUACAAAUCGAAUCAAAAAUGAAACUCCCACAUAAUCACACUGAGGUGUACCAGUGUCUGGUCUCUUGCUAGGCUUUCUGCAUUUUUUCAGGCCUUUAUUGCGAAGAAAGAACCCCUUUUAUGAAGUCAACUUCGUCACUUAUUAUGGGACUUCAACAACUAAGAUAUGUAAAUAUGCCAAGAUGAUUUGCGUAGCAGAAACUGUUGGAUGAUGUCAAAAAUUGUAAAAGUUCAUGACACAUUGCGUAUGGAAUACAAGUUUUGGCUGCAUUUUUCACCAAAAAUUGAAGCUAAAAUUCUUAUAUUGUUUUGGUUUUCAACAUUGUCUUUUCGUGAAUUCAAAAAAUUAUUAUGUUUUUAUUUUUAAAUUUUUACUAUGAUUACGUAAUACAUUACAUAUUAUAUUAUGAUGUGAGAUGCUUUGAAUAAUCGAUUCAAUUCACCAUAUUGGAACUUCGGACUGUUUAAUCCGAGCAAGAUCUUGGAUGAAUCUUUUGCUUUUGAUUUGAUUUGAGAGAGACCGAAAUGGAAUGCCAAAUCAACCUCUUUUAGUUUUCACCAACCAAAUCCUUGUCAUUUUUCAAGUCGUUUACAACAAAGGGGCCGCAAACUUCAACAAAAGUGUACCAACCACACUUCAACACUUGGCUCCUUUUCAUCACCCUUGGAAGUUGACAAUGCAAAAAGGGCACCUGUUGUAAUGUCACAUUUGCUUCAUAUAAUACUUAUCUACUUUUGGUUAUUUAUGCUAUAUAAAAAUUACAUAAUAGUACAUAAUUAAAUUUAAAAAUAUAAAAUCCUACUUUCAAUUUUUAAUAUUCAGUAACUAAUAUAUAACUUAUUAUAAAAGAAACAUUCUUGUCAUUUGGCUUUUUAACACAUUUGCUAAUCUCCAUAAAGUCAAGGUUGGAUUUUGUGGUAGUAAUAGUGACCCAAAUGAUAUAUGAAUUAAACAAAGAACAAAGUCAGGAAAAAAAAUAUAUGACAUAAUUAUUAAGAGAUACGUCAUACUCAUAAAUGAUAUUAUCAGAAUCUGAUUAUCGAUCCAUACAAGUUAUCCGUAUUAUAACUCUAAUUAGUUCCUUCUAACACAAGCAAGAUUUUCCAAUUACACAAAAGUCAUUGAUUACCAAAUUAUUUAGAAGCAAGCAACAAAGAACUGUGUAAGGAAAAAAAAUAAAGAAGACGGCGACGAUGGACAAAGAAAAUAGGAAAAAUCGCCCGUCUAAUCCGAGCGGGGGCACAUCCGUCAUUUCAACGAAACCGGAACUCUUAUAUAUAACCUGGAAAAUCGCGAGGCUCUUUCUUCAACUACUAAACGUUGUUGCGUUUGAAAAAUCAAAGAAACAAAAAAUAUCCAAAAAAAACCAGAAGAAGAAGAAAAAUCGUUGAAGGCGAAAAUGGGAGCGGUGAACAACAUCUGGAACGCCAAAGAAGUAGCUGAAGCUCCGGAUAACUCUGCCAUCCAAAUCCGCUUUUCUUCUCAAUCCGUCGACCCUUCCCUCCCUCUCCCCCAAAUCACGCCGCUCGUUACGUCCGUUUCUCACUCCCUACAUUUUCCGGUGCUUCGUUUUCAAUUUUUGUCGCCGGAGAAAAAAAUUAAACGGCGCGUGAUUCGGAUUUGUGCGGUUCGGAUUGAUUUGAUUGUGAUUUGUUUGGAUUUGCAGGAAGCUGUGCAAGGAUCUGUUCAAGGAAUGGUCGGAUUUGGACGAUUCUCGCUUCUCCGUCGAGACGGUUUCCGGCGGCAUCACGAAUCUCUGUGAGUGUUUCGGUUUUUGUGUGUUUGAUGAAUUGGAAUUGGUUCUUGUGAAAAUUGCGAUCCGCUGUUAGUUUUUGAUUGAGCUUGUGUUUUUUGAUUGAUGUAGUACUGAAGGCUACUGUGAAGGAGGAUGAUGGAAAUGAGGUUUCGGUGACGGUGAGGCUGUAUGGACCUAACACUGAUUAUGUGAUCAAUCGCGAGCGCGAAUUGCAGGUAGUUUUUGUGAGCAUUUAUAGCUGUUGGAGUAUUUUUCGUGUCGAUAAUGUUUGCUGAGAUUAGUUGUAUAUGCUGAAGGUGUAACUGUGUGCUGUGUUUCGGUUGGUUAGGUUAGUUUUGUGUGUGGUUUGCUUUGUAAUUGAUUUCUGUGUAUCUGUUCAGGCAAUCAAGUACCUCUCGGCUGCGGGGUUUGGUGCGAGUUUGCUUGCAGUUUUUGGAAAUGGAAUGGUGCAGUCGUUUAUAAAUGCACGUACACUCGUCCCAUUAGGUAGGUGAUGUAUAUUUCUUUGAUAAGUAGCAUCCAUUUAAUGAAAGAAGUUCCGAUGGGAAGCAAAUAUGUAAAAAAUUGAACUGAACAUCAUUCUCAAAAAUGUUUUUGGAGGCAUUCUCUUCAGUUUUAAGUGGUGUACAAAAUUCAAGACGAGGAUAUCAUUUUCAUUGAAAUAAAUCAUAUGCAUUUUCAGGGUUCUUGGUGAACUGAAUCAGUCUAUUGACAUGAUCUUAAAUUCUUCCCAUCUCGGCAGACAUGAGAGAUCCAAAGCUGGCUGCUGAUAUUGCCAAGGAACUACGUCGGUUCCAUCAGGUGGAAAUUCCUGGUUCUAAGGAACCUCAGCUGUGGACCGACAUUUUCAAGUUCUACGAGAAAGGUAUUUGUUGUUUGAAGAUCAGUUACCAGUCUUUGUGUUCUGCUCUAGAAGUGGUCUGUUCGUUGGCUGGUUGACAAUUGUUUAACUUUAAAUUCAGUUCAUAUGUGCAAUUUUCUCAUUGUUGAGUUGCCUCCUUGUUGCAGCCUCUGCUCUUGAAUUUGAUGACAACGAGAAGCAGAAGAUCUACGAAACCAUUUCAUUUAGUGAAGUUCACAAUGAACUCGUUGAGGUCAAGGUAUCUCUCACUAUUAUUGUUACUUGGUUGUUCUUGUUGCGGAUUUUAUGAUUAUACUGUGCACUAGUGGUAUUUAAUCCAAGAUGCCUCCGCUGAUAAUGGAACAGGAAUUGACUAGCCAUUUUAAUGCUCCCGUGGUUUUUUGUCACAAUGACUUGCUUUCUGGAAAUAUAAUGGUGAAUGACGAAGAAGGUAUUCUACUAUGUGCUCUUCUUUUUAGCCUUUCCCAUUGCUGACUCCUGCAAAUUGUAUUACCUUCUAUUGUUUGUAAGAGUUAUUUCUGGUCUUGUUGCUUUAAAUUAUGAGCAUCUUAUGCUUUGCGAAUGAACAAAAGUUCCAUAGGCGCCAAAUAGAUUCCAUGUAUAUUUGUCAUCUUAUUUGGCUCAAGAAUAAUUUUCUUAACUUGUAAAAUGAACUAGUAUAUAUUGUUUUCUGCUUUUUAGUCUACUUACAGUUCUUGUCUGAUGAUUAUCCAGAGAAACUCUACUUCAUUGAUUUUGAGUAUGGAUCAUACAAUUACAGAGGCUUUGACAUCGGUAAUCACUUCAAUGAAUAUGCAGGCUAUGAAUGUGACUACAGCUUGUAAGUUUUUCCCACUCUCUCUCUCUCUCUCUCACUCUCAUUUAUUUAUACUAUUUUAUUAGCUGCAGAAGAUUACCUUCGCACGUGUUUUUGAAUGCAGAUACCCAACCAAGGAAGAACAAUACCAUUUCUUCAGGCAUUAUUUGGGACCUGAAAAACCACAAGCGGUACGAUAUAUAUUAUUUUUCUUCUCAAAUAUGUUAAGUGAAAACAAUCAUAUGGGGUGGUAGUUUAUUAUAUUUUUCUCAGAUCCACUGUGCCAUUUGUUAUAAAGGUUUCAGCAUAUUCAAGUUUGGUAAAACUUUUCCAUUGUUUUAACACCAACAGGUAUCGGACAAAGAUCUUGAAGCUCUAUAUAUUGAGGCAAAUACAUAUAUGUUAGCUUCACACUUGUACUGGGCUUUAUGGGGAUUAAUCCAGGUAACAUCCCUGUUUCUCAAGUUAGGUUCCUCCACAGCAACCAUCUAUCAAAUUCAUCUUUAUUCAUAUUCGAGUCAAUAAUGUGCAGGCAAAGUUUUCCCCAAUCGAGUUCGAUUAUCUCAGUUAUUUCUUCCUGCGAUACAACGAAUACAAAAAGCAGAAGGAAAAGUGCUUAUUGUUGGCAAGAUCAUUCCUCUCACGAUCUAAUGCAGGGUAACGCGUAACGCACAAGCACCUGCCUGUAUGUUAUGAAUAUGUAGGGAGUGCUAUUCUUUUUAGUCUGUUACCAUCAGGUGAUGUUGUAAUAUAUUUUUUUGUAGCGAUGAAAAUUAGACAAUACGAGCAAAUAACUUGUAUUAGGGGCUCUCCGAAGCACUGUAAUGCAAAGAAACUAGUGUAUUCUAUCAAUGUAAUAUUUUUGUGCUCUCAUUCAUGUCAACAGUUGUGAGAACAUUCUUGAUUAAAUUUGUUGAAUAUUACUUGCAGCAAUGCAACAAAAAAGGAUGGAAUGAAUCCUAGUAAUCUGUGUUUCAAUGUAGAUGUUUAUAACAAAAGAAAGUCCACAAAACAAACAUCCUUGACCAUCCAGCAAAGAUCGCUAUGUUAUAUGUGUGUACCAUAUAAUAUGGCGAUCCUUCGGCUUUCUCUACAUAUAACAUAUAUGGUCCAUUAAUCCAAAAACAUAUAAACCAAAGAAAGCACCUUUGGUUUUCAGUGCAAUUUACAGUUCUAAGCUUGAAGAACCUGGCAGUGAACUAUGUGACUUUUCAGGCGGUUUCUGCCGGCAAGGCUUGACCACAGAUUUGUGACCAUAGUCCUGAACUGCCCUUUGCCUGCUAGAGUUUCCCACAGAUGUUCAGCACUUGCUCCACCAGCAUCAUUUGAUUUCGAAACAUCAACGAGUGAAAUACUCAUAUUAUUUCGGAUGAUGCAAAGUUUACCGUUAAGGGGAACCAAGGAAGCUGCCUCCAAGGCCCUAGAGUUACCCAAAUGUAUCUUACUGUCAAUAUGCUUGCUCCAAGAAUCAGUUGCUUCAUCAUAGACUCUGAGUUUGCAGCCAUCCUUGCACUCCAAAGCAUAGAGAUGCCCCUUCAAAGAAGCACUUGGGUUCCUCCAGCCUGCAACCAUUCCGUCAUACACAGAGUCCCAGCUGUCAUUUUCCGGUUGAUAGACCUCACUAAGGACUUGUCGAUGAGACCCUAGCCCCUUCAAGAACCAUUUCCCUUCGUAAACAACCCCAAUGAAAGGCACCAUUGCAGUGCUCAUAUCUGAAAUGAAGGACCAUCUAUUCUUGUUGGGAUCAUAGACUUCUGCUGAUCUCAAGGACCUAUGCACCCCCUCAUUCUCUCCACCAGCAACAUAGAGGCAGUUAUUUAUAACACAUGAGCCAAAAAAAUGUCGUCUGCGAAGCAUAUCUGGGGCACGAUGCCAUUUAUUGGUCCUGGCACUGUAAAAAAUGACUCGUCUCAUUGAUCCCUUUAGAGGGUCUUUUCCUCCAAACAGAUAGAGGUGACACCCACCGAGUACAGCACAACCAAAUCCAAGGGCUUCAGAAUAUUCCUUAGGGACAGGAGGAAGGGACUGCCAAAGCUGGUAUACGGGGUCAAAGGCAUGCCAAGAUAUUUUCCCAUCUCGAUCUCUUUUAAUCAAGUAUAUCCAUUCUUCAGCAAUGCCAAUGCUCUUACGGAGAGAGUAAAAGAAGUUGCCAGCCAAAAGACGGUACCAUUUUUUGCAAACUAGGCGAAGCUUGCGAUGCUCCACUCUUGGAACCCGAAUUAGGCAAGCAAUUGCAAGAUCAUCGGGGAGUCCAGGAAGAAGAGGGGAUUGAUUGCGGCUACUCUCACCACGUGCAGGCUUACUUCUAGUUGGAUGAAUGGAUGCUUUAAUGUCUGGUUGAAGACAAAGCUUUGCCCCAGGGACAUACUUUUUUGCUCCAGCAACAGUUUUAAGACCAGCAUCAACUCUGCAUAAACAUGCUGUGCUAUCCACCUGGAAAAGUACAUGUGUAAUAGUUAAUUACUUGUGAAUAAUUUCUAUCAUUAUUUCUAAUUUGGCAGACAAAUUCUUGUGUGGAUUAGUGCUUAAGAAUGAUAGUCUAUCAUGACUGGGGGAAAAUUAGAGCUCCUUUCAAAUACUUGUGCAGUCUGUUACUCUAAUGUUAUGAAUGGGUUUGCAGCCAAUUUCCAAGGCAUAUGAAACUAGAGCAAUAGCAGUAACCAAAAAAGAAUGCCAUGACAGUUCAGAAAAGAAAGUUUCAAAUUGAGACAAGCAUAUUUCUACCAAUCCAUCUGUUCGAAACCUAUAUGUUUAACCACUAAAAUAUUAAGCUUUACUGAAAACCAACAGUCAACAGUUCAUACAAACCUGGAAACCAACAAGAGACAAAAUAAUAAAUGUAAAGUUUUGAAUUAGCUUGAAGCCAAAAUUUACAUCCACUUGUACCCACAGAUAGAAGAUUGUCUCUUUUGUGAUCUUGAUGUCCAACUACUCCUCAUUUAGCGUUUCCUAUACCUCUCAUGGCCUAGGCAAACCAUGCAGAUAAGUGCAUCACUAAAGGAAAUUCAGGUUGUAGUUGCAAAUUGGAACCAGUCCAGCAUAAUCAUUUUUCUUUCCUCCCUCAAACGGCAACACAUCAGUUAAGAACCAUCGUGCCUAUAAAUUUUCAUCCUCAUUUGACAGGCAAGGAACAGUCUUUCGGGAUUGAAGGAGAGCAGAUGACCUUAAUGACCAUCUAUUGACUUCUUAAAAUAACUUCAUCAUAGAUUCUUGGACAGGAGAUAUCUUCAAGCUAAGUUUGAUAGAAUAACUAAAUUGUAUUCAGGAAGAGAGGUAAAGUCUACAUUUUGAACUAAAAGUAAACUCUGGGGGGCGCUAGAGUAGCUCUCCUUAGUCUUUCCUCAUCUAGACAAAAUCAGUAGAAAUGACUUGACACAAUUAACAUACACACUCAUGAGACAUGAAAAUCAACGAUUUUGAAGAUGUAAGCUUGAAAUAAAGGAAAUCAAAGCCAUUUAUAUUUUAAUAAUUCCCUUGCAUGAAACAGAUUAUGAUAUGAUUAUAGGAAGCAAAACAUUCCAACAGCAGAAAAAGUUGACAAAGAAGUUACCAAUGGAGGCUGUAUCAUUCUUCUUCUGUCCAUGUUUUCUUCCUUUAACACCAGCAAGACCCAAUUUACCACAAAAACUCCACCUCAAGAAUCUAAUACCUUUCUCUUUCAAUCAUAAUGACCUACUGCUUUGUUCAACAUAAGCCCAGACUGGUUCGUUCAUCAGAAGCCAACAAUUUCCAUCAACACCACCAAAGCUGAACUUGCAAUAUGACCCCAAAUCUUGAAAUUCUCUACAACCUACAAUUAGAGAUUGAUUCUCCAAGUACCCUAAACAUGUCCCCUAUUCACCUCCAGUAGUCAAAAACCCCUCUGAAAAUAGCUUGUAGUUGACAUAUAACCAGCUUCAGAAUCACAAGCUCUAACCAUUACAGACACAGAGCCACUGAACCAGAGUCAACCCUCAGUUGGAAACAAGACAAACACAACAUUGUACAAAUCAUCACCUCAAAACCCCACACUUAUAAGCCUUGAAAGUUCACAAGCCAAGGCAUCCAAGGGGAAUAAUCAGAAACCCAAAGAUCUUAUCUUUACAAUAAAAAGAAGAAAAGAAAGGAAACCCAAAAGGCCAAAACCAUGAAAUGCUAGACAGCACAAAAUUAGGGGGCAAAGAGAGCACUGAAGCAAUAGAUGGAGAUCCCUCUCACCAUUUAAUCUUCAGUGGAGUUUAGGGCCCCCAUUUUUCUCACCUCAAGGGCGCAACCCACCAAGCACAAGGGUGUGUUCAAUAAACAAGAAAAGCAAAUCCAACCUAAACCAUUAAAGGGUCAAAGAAAGAGAGAGGCUUUGAAUGAAUGACUUGUUUCAUGAAACAAAAUUGAACCAAAACAGUUCACAACAAGAGUUGGAAGAUAGCUGUUGUUUGAGUAUGAGGAAAGAGAGAGUGGGAAAUGUGUGAGAGAGGGUUGAAAGCUCAUGUUGAAGGUUUCAAGUCUUAUAUAUAUUUGGUUGCCCUAAAAGAGAAGAAUAUGGACAAAGAUUCAAAAACAAUAAAAAUAGGAGGUGACCCAUUGGUCCCACAGCUUCACAAAUCACAACACAACCCCCCCAUCAAGUGCCAAAUGCCAUUAAUAUACAAGAUUUCCCAGUACUGUGUGUGUUUGACCCACUGCACAUCAUAGUGAUGAUCAUACUAUCAUCUGCCUCCGACUCCACAAAGGGUAACUUGGUCACCAAAAUUCAUGACAUAUUUAGUCCUCCAGUUCUUGAUGGGUGAUGAUCACGGCCAUGGAUACGAUAGAUCUUCUUCCUGUGAUAAGAUUAUGAUCACCAGAGUAUAUAAAUCCUCUUAUUUCAAUAAAACCAAGUAGUUAUAAAAUCUUAUCAAUUUAUCAGUCUGAACCAAAUGAAAUGAUUAUGUUUAUCAAAAUGGAGAGCAGAACAAGCAUCGUGUUGUAUAAAGAGAGAGUAUUGAGCACCACACAAAAUGGUUGUUCAAAUUUAAAAUUCACACAUUUAAUCUUUCAACCAUUUCUAGAAGGGAUGUGCACCUAAGUCAUGUCUAAGCUCCUAACCUUUUGUCCAACCUUUUUGGCUAGUUGCUUUAACUUGUUGUUAUACUAACAAAACAAGACCAUUAGCUCAUACUUGUUUAUCGUGUUGCUCUUUUUUUGGUCUCAUGAUUGGGAUUACUCCUAAUCUCCAAAGCAAGAGGAUUACUUUUCUUAAAAGUUCCACUAACCAAUCUUUGAACACGUAUUAAGGAGACAGCUACGUAUUUGAUUGAGUUUACUAAUCCCCUAUUAUUGUUAAUCCCUAGCUCACAAUCUUGUGAUGGGGAAUAACAAGACUUUUGAACUAGUCCUGCAUAAAAAUCCUGCAUGUGAAUUGAUAGAUCAUAGAUGUUUGGCAUUGUGACCAAUUUUUCUCCCUUUACAGGUUUAACUUAUACUUGGAAUUGAAAUCAAACAAAAACUGCUUAUGUAAGACUCCUGUGUAUUCCUGAAAAAGCAUGCAGAGGUGCCUAGUUCAACCUUAUCGUUCUCAGAAAAGUCUUCCAUCAUAUUUUUUGCUCUCUUUCAGUCUCCAUCACAGAGAAAAAAUAACUUCAUGAUAAACAAGUCCGUUCACAUUAGCAACUUCAUUAUUUUCCUCACCAGGGUUUUCAUUAUCUUGGAGUACUGUUGCAUAGUACGAGCUCUGGUUUGAAAUUUUCAGUAGCGUGCUAUAUAUGUGAUAUGCAGAUAGAGAAACUGAAACCAAUUAUUCUGAGCACUAAGUCGAGAAUGAUGAGACUACUUUUCCUUUUUGAUGAGGAAUGAAGGGGAUGUGGAAGGUUGAAGUCUUUCCCAACUUGGGGGACAAGGCAUGGUUGAGUUCUUUUGUGGGGUUUUGAAAGCAAGUCAUGGCUAGCUGUGGGCUUCACAUGAUUUUACUUUCUUUCAUUCCAUUGUUCAUGCUUUAUACAUUGCAUUUUCACAGUUCUUCUGAUCAUUCAAACAUUCAUCAUCGAUCGAUCUUCAAAUCAAGAUUAGUUGAGGGAGCAUACAGAAGAUGAAGAUGAACAUAACAAAAUGAAGUAGAUAUAACACAGAAGAAUCACAUAACUACAACACAGAAAAGCAACCACUUUCACUCUUCCUCGUACUGCUGCUUAACCGAUUUGAAGACAUAACAGAAAACAUAAAAUUGAAGACCUUCCUAACAAAGUUGAGCCUGAUCUCCGCUUCCAGAGCCAGUUGCACCCGCGUCAUUGACGCAAUCAGCACUUUCAAGUAGUUCAAUUUCUACUAGAUCCGCCGAUAGUUCUUCUAGACUCUGGGUCAGACCCGCCAAGAAAUCUUCUUGACGACGUUGGUGGAGUGCUCCUUUGGAUUGCCGGAAACCUUCUUCUCGACGGUGGACUGCUUCUUUGAAUUCCCGUAAACCUUUUAGAAGAAGGGUGAAUCCUUCUUUGAAUUCGCUGAUGUCUUCAACUACGAGACCGCUGUGUACUUUUUCAUCAAAGUGCCUUCUUUUUUCCUUCGAUACGGUGAUAUGCUUCUUCCAGUUCAACUACGAAGUCUUCAAUCUCUCAUUGAGGAUUCUCAAUUUCAUUUGACGUCGACAUUCUUCUUCUUAACUAAGAGGAUGACACAGCGAUGUAGGACUGAAGGGAAAAGGAUGAGAAUUGAGAACACUGUUCCAAAAACAAAAAUUGGAGAACUGGGCCUUUCGUGGGCUUGGCGGACGUUUGGCACCGCUAGGCGGUCACUAGCUUGAUUGGGCCUAGGCAGGCUAGUUGGCCCAACUUUAAAAAACAUCUCUCUUCUCUCUCCGGCGACCCAGACUCGGCCGGAGACCGCCGCAACCGGCUGCUCUGUCUUCCAUUAAGAAAUCACAAAUCUAUAUUAGCAUUGACCCCCGAAAUUGAGGAGUGGGAGAGCAAUUACUCUAACAACUGGACUUCUCAACCCUAUUUACCAGAAUAUAUAUUAUAGAGUGAGAGGCCAAUAUUCCCUUUUAGUGUCGUCUAAGGUAAAUAUUAUUCAUAGCCUUCCUUCCUUUCUCUUUGCCGUGCCGUAAAUUGUAGGGUAAGCUUUGCUUUCCAAGCAGGCAAAGCAGCAGCGCCAACCAAAGCAAGUCAAUUUGAACCAAAACCUCUGACUUUACUAGUCUCCCCCAAUCCGUCCUCGCCAAGUUUCUACCAUCCCAUUCCAUCUCCAAAGUUCACAAGUCCAAAAGUCUCUUAGUCACACUCAUACCACGUAAUACGUCCUACUUUUAUUUAUAUCGCACAACAACAAAAAAAGUGUCAAGUUCGAAAUUUGAAAUAUCUAAAGUGUUCUUGUUACAUUGCUACAUUACGAGAUUGGUGGUCGGACAAAUUUAGUGGUCCGACGGCUUGAUUUCGACCUACAUUAACAAUGUGACUAAAGAAAAAAUCGGACCAAACAUGGAAGGACACCUCACACACACACCAGCCACCAUUUCAAAAUCAAGAUUUUAUUAACACGUUACCAAAAAAAGAAAUAAAAUUCCAAAAGGAAGCAUAAUUACAAAGCAAAAGAAAGAAGACGAAGCAAAAAUUAAAAUGGCAGAAUUGGAAGGUUCCUUCUUCCCUUAACAAAUUCUUCCCAACGUGCACGAAACGUAUCACAUCUUCACUUCCUCUUCUUCUCUUCCUAAAACCCAUUUCUCCGAUAAUACCUGAAAAGACUAAACUGCCCUUGCUCUGCUUUUCUCCGCUGCUUCUUGGGGAUUGGUGUCACCGGAGAAACCGAUGAAUUUGGGUUCUGGGUUUUGGAGAGGGGCUGAAUUCCGAAACUGGGUCUGAAGAAUUCGGGGAGUUCGUUAUUGGGUGGCCGAGGAUUUUCAGUUCUGAAGAUGGGUUUGUUCUGAAAUUCUUGCUUGGUUCUUUAGUUUCUGUGUUCAAAAUUCGAGAUGGUUUUGCGGGAAAUUGAGCUUCUGAUUCAUUAUUGGUUGUUUGAGAUUGUUUGCUUUGAUGAGCAUUCCGAGUUCUUUUGUUUUAGGUGACACCAAUUUUUCGUUUUUUUUUAAUUCGAUUUUCGAAGAUUGAAACACAUUGUGGGUUAGGAUUGAUAUUAGAGGUUUAGAAGGAUCAGUAGAACAGGACAAGAGUGUUAGUACAUUUUUUGUGUGUGUAGAAUUGUGGAUUUUUCGAGUUGGGUUUAGCAAUUGGAGUGGUUCUGUGGUGUUUGUUAGUGUGAUUGUGUAGUGUGUCACUAUGUCGGGUAGCACAACACCAACUGGUGGAUAUAUGAGGCAGAGGCAUAGCCAGGGCUAUGCGUCGAGUGGUGAUGAUCUUGAGGAUGAUGCGUGCUCUAUGAUGCAUAGCUCGUCAGGUUCGAGUCCUAGGGUUUGGUCAAAGAGAGAGAUUGCGGAGAAUGUGAUUUGGCUUGUCUCGGCAGCAGGCAUUAUGUACUUGGGUGAUUCAAAGUCCAACUUGAUAUUUCUCUUGUGGCAUGAUGACCGAAUAAGAAGGUAUAUUCAGUUUUAUGUUGGUCUGGUAUGCUCACAUAUAAUCUGUACUACUUGUAAUUUUAUGGUAUACUAAAGAGCAGUGAUAGUGUUGGUGGUACAUUAUUGUACUGACUACUGAGUUACCUGAUUUCUCCUACAUGCUUUGACAGAGCUUAAAAGUCAUUUUGCUUUGUUCUUCUUUAAUCUCAAUUAGCAUGAUUUGGUUAGGAAAAAUUGAACAAUGUACUCUAUUCCUUGCAAAGUAGUUACUUUAAGUUGAUUCCCUGCACAAUGCUAGAAUAUGCUUAUUCAUCGUUCAUAGAAUACAGCUGACUCGUAGCUUUUGCCUUAUUCUUCAUCGUAUAGCAAGUUUAUGUGUAGUAAGGUAAAACUUUGACUGUUCACAAGGCUAGUAAGUAUAGGAAGUUUAUGCUAGGUAAUCAUUUCUAAUCCCAAUUCUCGUCAAUAUGGUAAGUUUAUGGUCAGGUUUUUCAUGCAUUCCUUAAGAUUUACAUUAUGUCUUUCAUGUUUUUGCCGCAUUUGGAUUGCUGUAAGGUUUAAGCUUUACUUGAAUCAAAUUACUAGUUCCUCAAGACUUAGAUAGUGUGUUAAUUGCUGAGACUCAAUGACAUUUAAAUUAUAAAGAAAAAUGACUUUUAAAGCUGCAUUUUUUCUUAUCACUUUCAUGUAUCUUGUAGAUUGCCGUUGUACAUUGGGAUGGUGGGCGUGGUUUUGAAUAUAAUCAUCUUCUGUUACACAAGUAUAUCAGCAUGGAGUGUUGGGCGAUUUGAUGAAAAAUGGGAGUUAGCAAGUAUAUCUGCUCUGCCAUAUGUGACUCUACUUGGUGCCAUUUCCUUUUGCCUGUAAGAAAACCUGUUAUUCAGUUACCUUCUACAUUCUUUAGGUGUUAUGUUUACAUUGCUGCUUCUGACUUAUUGAUUGGUUCUUUGGCAGGUUCUGCUUUGCUCUGUGGCCAAUAUGGGGAUUCUUAACCCUUCCUCUUUUGGUACAUCCCAAGACUAAUUUUUAUUUUGUUCAUGUAGAUAAACAGUUUAGUACUUGUGGCAACUGUCUAACUUUAUUCUUGUUGUUGCAGUUCACGCUGUUUAUGGCAGGCAUGGUUAUAUUUCCAUACAUCAUAAUUGGGAUAUUUAGGAAACAACAUGAUGCGCUGCGUACAGAUAAUGCCUCCUCAGAUUUUAGUGAUAAACUAUACUGACCUAGAUCAAGAGCUGCUAACUCAACCAUGGACAGACUGUCACAUCAGUAGUGGAGCGAUUAUUGUCUUCCAAUCAGUCAGGUUUCGAUUUUACAUACACAUUCUUUUGAUACACUUGAUAGUACCACAGAGUUCUUUACAAACCUGGAGUGGACUGGUUGGGAUGUAGUUUUGGAUGUUGAUGCCAGUGAGCAUUAGUUGUGUAAAAAUGUUGAGUUUUCUGGAUAGGAAUGAUGCCUAUGUUUCUGGUAUGAGUCCAUCUUUCAGUAGGGAGGAGAUUCUGGCAUUGGUUUGGCAUUAUGAAAUUCAGUUUUUGUUUACGUUUCUCUUUCAGAUUUCCUUUCUCCUAUAUUUUGUGUUGUUGUAAAUGAGCUAUUGGGUGCAGUACGUUUGCACACUUGGUUUUUUUUUCUUGGUUUGAAGACAUUUGGGGCGCUGGUGAGUUUGACAGUUGCAAAUUCAGCAGAGGUGCCAUGCAUCUUCAAUAGUCUUCUAAUUCCUUCAUGGCAUCUUUCAAGAACAUUUCCUCUUAAGGGUUCAUAUUCAUCUAUUAAGGAACUACAGGAAAAUGAUGGUUGGAAGCUUCCAGAGUUGAAAAUGUUAUCUGGAAUUGUUCUAUGGUCCUUGGUUCUUACUCGAUCUUAUCUUUUUCAAUUUGAUGUUUGCUUCUUCUUAUUCUCUACUGAUUUUCAGGUAUCUAGCUUAUUCUAUUGCAGUUUCUAAAUCAAUUUUCAAUAGUUUGCCAUGUAGUUUGGUUUGGAAGACACCGAGGGAGAAGAGGAACCCGAAUUUGGGUUUGCCUUACUUUCUAUCAGCUUUUUAGCCUUAUCUGAUAGACAUUUUCACAUGAUCCAGCUAAUUAAGGUUUUUGGCUAGAGAUUUAGACAUUUACCACAACAAUUCUUUUACUUUUACCUUGAUAUCACUAACCAGAACCUGAGUAACAUGUAUAUGAAGCAUCAAUAUAUCAAUGCUGUGCCAAAGUUUACACCGGAGGUAUCAGACUAAUUAUUAUUAUUUAUUUUAUUUUAUUUUUGAGAACUGAGGUAUCAAACUAAUUACCUACCCCAAUCUGUCGAAAAAAUAAAUUACCUACACCCCAAUUUUAGUCAGGUUUUUCAUUACCAACCUUGAAUCAAAAAGGUAAAACAAUAAACAGAAAGGUGAAGAAUCAUCGAAUAAUAUCCAAAAUAUCAAAGGUCUGAAUCAUCUAAAAUUUAGGCAAGUAAAUCCAAGAAACCAAUAAUAGGCAAAAGUUUGUUGCAGCACAACAUUACGUGUCAAGAAACGAAGGAGACAAUGCCAAUCUUAUGAAAUGAGUCAUCAACGUGGAACCUACGUGUAAUCGACAUCAUUAUCUAAAACUAUUACAUGCAGCUCUAUAUAUACAUACUCUUAUUUCUAGCUCUGUUCUAUCUAUGCAUUGCCAAUUAUACAUCAUCAUCUUCCAUUUCUGCUAUCGAAUCUGUUGUUGGUUUUGAAGCAUAUUAGCAAGGUGUCCCAAGUUCUAGCCUCUGUGGAAUUGUGUUUUGUAGAAUUGUAGCUGAAUCUAAACAUCAAGGAAAACCAAUCAUGAAAGAAAGAACGGGAAAUCCUCUGCAAUUGAAGUCCUUGAAUCACAUCUCACUUGUUUGCAGGUCGCUCGAGAAAUCCCUCGAUUUCUACCAGAAUGUUCUUGGCUUCUUUCCCGUUAGGAGGCCUGACUCCCUAGACUUCAAUGGUGCAUGGUAUGAUAGCUAACAUUCCGUCAUUCCCCAUUGUAAAAGCUAUUGCAUAACUAUGGACCUAUUGUGUAUUGUUUCGUGUUUUGAUGUUAAUUAUAUCUGCUUGGUUUUGUUGAUCAUAUGUAUGUAGGUUAUUCAACUAUGGCAUUGGCAUUCAUCUUCUCCAAGCUGAAGACCCUGAGACGCUGCCCAAGAUCAGCCACAUUAACCCCAAAGAUAACCACAUUUCUUUCCAGGUCUCUAGCUCUCUCUUUUAUAAUGGAUGAAAAUGGUCAUUUUUCAAUACAGUAUUGCAUUGCUACAUUAUAUACACAAAUUAAAUCUAUCACCAUAUAAAUGUAUACAUCGAAUGGACUAAUCUAUGGCUGCAUGCAUCUGAUUAUCGAAUAUGUGUCAAUGAUCAAAUUAUUAUUACUAGUUAAUGUAAUGUAAUAAUCAUUUGUGUUUGACGGCUAGAAUGACAUAAAUCUGCAGUGUGAGAGCAUGAUCAGAGUGGAGAACAAGUUGAAGGAGAUGGGGAUCGAAUACGUGACGAGCAGCGUAGAGGAAGGAGGAAUCAACGUUGAUCAGCUGUUCUUCCACGACCCGGAUGGCACCAUGAUCGAGAUCUGUAACUGUGACAACCUCCCAGUGAUACCCCUAGUCGGAGAUCAAACUCUCAGGUCUUGCACACGUGUGAAAUGCAAUGUGCAGCAGCAGCAGCAAGAAGCAAUAGCACAGAUGAAGCCUCAACAGCAAACCAUGACCUGCAUGCGUUCUAAUGCUAUACACAUGAAGGAAGAUUAUCUUCCUUGUGCUUGAUUUAAUUAUGUGAGAAAGUUGAUGUGAUCCCCAUAUAUAUAUGUCACAAGCAAUGCAUGCUUAGAUAGAAGUAGUUAGCUAGUUAGUUACUACUUCUUGGCCUGUAAAUAACUCCCCGGUGAUUCUGAGAUGAAUAAGAGUACUAAACCAUAUAUGGAAACCACAAUACCAGCUUUCCCUAAACAUGCAUCAAAUGCAUGGUAGACUCGUAAAGUUGGUUCAUGGGAGAUUAUAUGCAAUUUGCAAAGAUAUAAGACAUAGUGCUCUUAGCAAUGUAUCAAGUUGAAUUGAACAAUGGGCUAGAAUAAGAGGAGAAGAGGACAAGACGCUCACUAUGGUUAUGCAACACCGAGCAAAAGUACGCCUUGUUCUUGGUGUUCCUCCAUUAGUCCCAGAGAAAUGUUUGGUCUUCUUCAAAAUUUGCAGGGUUUGAAGAUCAUUAGGCACUGGAGGUAAUAAUGAAAGUAAAAUAAGAGAAACUAAAUAGAACAAAGUAAAACCAAGUGAUCAAUGCCGACGAGUUUUCGUUGGCAAAACCACUAUUGCGGACGAAUCGAAGUAAGCGAUGAUGGUUUCUAAUCCAAAAGGCCUUAGGAAGGAUCGGAGGUUCUUAAUCCGACAAGCCUUACAGUAACCAUUUGCCUCUAGAAAUGAGAUGAAAGAUGAUCGAGGAGUUGUUAUGAAUGAAAAGAGAAGAAUUAGGAGCUCCCUUCAGUCCAAAACAAUGAGCAGUAUAUCUCAGACGCAUAUAUAACCACUGUUUUGGGCUGCAAGGAACUCCCAUUUCUGCAAUUUUCGCAUGAAAAAAUUAUGUGAUCAAGGGAAAAGGAUGAGAAACUAAGAGGUAAGGAACUGAGGCACUGCGCAUUUGGUCUUAUAACGCUAAAGAUCUUUAGAGUUUAAGGUGGUCUCUACUUCUCUCCUUACAAUCUGUAUAUAGGCUUAAUUUGUUGACUAAUUGUAAAGAAGAGCUAGCUUUAGCUACAUAAUUCACUAAUUAAGAGGCAGAUGAGCUGCAAUUAAGCUCUUCAACCACCAUUUCUAAAACAUUAAACCUACAUAUAUGCUAUAAUUUCAUGAAGAUUAACAAAGGAACUCGAAGAGGAGAUAGUAAAUGGUUGAAGAUGAAUGCCAUGAUGACCUGAUGAGUGACAUCUAACAACACCAGACGAUAGAUAUAGAGGCGGAUCAAAUAUGAAGUUUUCAUUCAAUUAUUAUUUCCCAAAAAUAAAAUGUAAUACUUGCUUUUGUUCUUCCUCCAUUUUCCUCUCAAGGAAAAUGAUAUUAAACUCUUUUCCAUUCCAUAAUCCCUCGUAUUAGUUACAGGAUAGCGAACUUUGCAGCUAAUAACAUCAUUCCUUUUAGCUAAUUUUAGCUAUAAUAUUGACUAUGCAACAUCCUAUCUACUCUCCCUAGUUAUAGCUUUAGGUCUGGUGAUUCAUUUGCCUUAUCUCUCCUGGGUCACUCAGGAUCGAUUCAUAUAGUGUAUUUCCAGGGAGAAAUAUAUAUCACCGAUCGAUUUAUUGUAGUAUAAGAAUGGUUAAUUUGGUGCACAUAUGGCUAUGCCUCGCCGGCCAUUUUCUGUGGAUUUGAAUCAUCUGCUACGCACAAAUCUCAGAUAUUUGGUGAGUGGUUGUGGAUUAUAUAAGAAACCCAGAUUAAAUUCACAAACAGCUCACAUCUCAGGCGCGGCACUUGGGGCCUCUCACUCUCAUUGUCACACAAGUAUGAGAAUAUGCAUGAGAGAGGGAUAUAUAAUCUGCUUGCUUUAAUUAAGUAUGAAAAACGACCCUCCCCCUACCCAGUGAAAGGUUUGGUGCUGAGGUUUUAGCCCACAGAAUGUCCUUUCGAAUCUGGGGUUCACCUUAGCGUUUGUAACUUCAAACCCUACUUGGAGAAUGGAGAGUGUAUUAUUAUGAUGAAGAUAAGCGCGCAACUAAAUCACAGACUCAUCCAUCACCUCCAUCAAUACCAUAACAAACAAUCAAACAUGCUUCUGCAUACACCCCACAAAUUUUAUGUGACAUUUAAUGUGGAAUAAUAGGCUCCUAUUUCAGUAUUUUCUUAGGGUUUUUGGGUGUAUGAAGGUUUCUGUGGCACAGAGCUUGCCAAAAUUUUGAGUCUACAAGCAUAUGGGACAUAAUGUUAUGAAUAUCGUCAUAGGUAAAAUCACAGAAUACAUCUUCUCAUAUAAUUUUCUAAUUAUUUUCGUCUUCCGGAUCGACUUAUAACAAUAGAGGAAAACUUGAUCCCAUAAGAACAUAUUUUUUUCCCAACAAGAUCUUAUUUCAAAGUUGGAGCACAUGUUAGGUCAUGAAGAUGCUCAGCAAAGUUCCAUUGACUAAAUUGAAAACAAAGGAUUUCGGCUUCCUAAUCUUCAGAUUAUUGAACAAUCCAUAUUAAUCAAACAUAUUAAUUCUUUGUGUAAAGCUUCUUGUCGUUUCAACUCUUUUCUUCUUCAUGCUGGUUUGGUGAAGAUUCUGAUUUGAAGAAAAGAACUUUGAAAAAUACAAUGGUGGUUACAGAACAUAGCCAAAUUGUAUAUGAGUAUUGGAGCUAGCUACAAAUCUAUACAAAACUUGUGCUGUCCUACUCCUCUAUAAUGUUAUCAAUUAUCUAGGUAGAUAUAUACUCUCCAAUUCUAAAUAUAUAAGAGAAGCAAAUCAAAGACAGCGACCCUUUUUGUUGGCUACCCCAACAAAUAAGCGGUGGAAGGUAGUGAGGGUCUGGGGGUCCUCUCCUGGUCUGUCUGGAAAUCGAAAACCAUUGCAGACAAAUAUUGCUCCCAAACAGCAAUUAUAUCAUCAUUUCCAUUAUUGAUUUUAGGCAACAACAACAAAAUAGGUUCUAUCGUGCUUGGAUCUAUGUCAAGUUCACCACACAAUGAAUCAAGCUCAAAAGAUUGACAUAUUGGUUUUACAUGCAGCUCAUGUAAUGAAAAGAAAGAGUUUGAUCUGAUUCAAUGUGCUAAUCCCGCCUAGUUUUUAACCAAAUUAAAGAAAGAAUUUGUUCGCAAACAAUAUGAUGAGCAUGUGUAUUAGUAUGCGAGGAAAGCUAGCGACAUUUUCUUUAGCGAAACUCUGAUAAAUCGUUGCUAGCUAACAAUUAUACGUCUCAAUUUGAGAUCAGCACAUGCACUAACAGUCUAAGUCUAACACCAUUAAUCAUGCAUAAGGUAGUGAAUAAGAAUUUCAACUAAACCAUCAUCAUGGAUAGAAUAUGGUACAACUCAAAAACGACAUACGAGUCGAUUGUCUUGUCACUCUCUUAUUCAAAGAAGUUACCAAACUAAUUGAUCAUGGAUUCAUGGAAGAUAUAAAUAUCCAUGAUUACAGGCAAGCACACAUGGUUGCUUCUAUAAACUAUGUUACCGUCUUAAUCAACUAUUAAUCAAUCAAUUUAUACCCCCAUUUCCUUUGUGGCCAUGAUUCCACAGUCCCUAGCUAUUUCCUCAUUAUAUAGUUUUGUACCACAACAAGCACUCAACUAAAGAAAGAGAGCUCGCCUAUCAAAAAGAAAAAGAAAAAAAGAGACCUCAGAAAUGAACACCCCCUUUCAUGACCAUGACAAGAAGCAGAAGAAGGGUUUCAUGUCCUCGUACAAACCCAGCCCCGGACGUCACCUGAAGCCGGAUUCUAAGCCUGACAUGGUAGAUAAGUACCCGGUUUUACGUAGCUGGUUCAGUUUAUCCAGGAAGUCGAAAACACGUCAAGAAGUAGUAGUAGAUCAGUUGGAGCAUGCUGAUGAUCAGAGUCAAAGAGAAGAACCAGAUAAGAAAGUUGUAGUGUUGGUGGAAGCUUCAAGAAAGUCGGUUUCUCAUGUCGAAACCAACUUGGCAUCAGUGGCUUCGUUUCUGCAAGUGAAGGUCUUGGUUUCAGACAUGCCUGGCUUCAUGCAAGUCCAUGCCUUCCGCAGCGCCAGAAGAACCUACGACAGUUUGGAGAAGUUUAGCCCCAAACACAUGGCUUACAACCUCAAAAAGGUACACCAAUGUUGUUAAUUAGCUAGCUUUUCGUUAUCUUAAUCAAACGAGGAUUAUACGAUAUUAGCUCUUCGAGGGUUUGACUGUGUCUAAAUUCUUCGAUUGAUUUCAUACUAUAAUUGUUGAUGGGGAUGAGUCCUUGAGAGGCCAAGAGACAAAUGUGUCUGGAACUUUGGAUAUACGCGAUUGUAUUCUUGCUUCCUGUAGUUUCUUUUUGGAGUUUCUCUUCUUUCUGUUAUUGAUGAUUGACGAUGUAGGAUCGAUCGUAUAGAACAACCCCACUUGAGAACAAUAUUGAAUGUGUGAGGAAGACAAUGCACUGACCCAGAUCUUAUUCUUGGCGUUGAAUUCUGAAAACACAGCACGAUGUCUCUCUUUCGCUUUGUCUAUCAUUAUUGGGGCCAUGCACUGUCGUCUGACACCUUCAGAACACAGAAAUUUUGGAUCUUGGAUCUGAAGACUCUAAUAGAAUAUAUAAGAUAUAACAUAUAUAUAUAUCUCAAUUUCUUUCUUUAAUACAUUUUAUCGAACAUUUUGUAUUCGGUUUUAAUAGAUAGACUAAUUACAUUAGCGUUUCAUGUGCAGGAGUUUGAUAAAACGUAUGGACCGGCAUGGCAUUGCAUCGUGGGAUCCGGUUUCGGGUCGUUUGUGACGCAUUCGACAGGUUGCUUCCUAUAUUUCUCAAUGGAGAAGCUAUGCAUUUUGUUGUUCAGAACCAAAAUCCAGAAAGCUGCGGUUUGAGUCUUCUUGUCUGUAAAUUUAGUCAUUAUUGUGUUCUUAUAGUGUGCAUAAUAUCAAAUUACAUUAUCAGACAUACAUAAAUUUGCACUUAAUUAGUUAAUCAACACCGUUGUGUUUAAACUCUUUGGACCUUCUCUUUGGUGGGCCUUUUAGGCUGGUUAUCCGCAAAAUGGAAAUUUUAAUUUGGGCCACUCGGAUCAUUGGAAGCUCAGGUGGUGAUUACUACGUGAUUAACCACACACAGUGUAUGUGAUGUGAAAAAAGUGAAAUGAUCAUGAAAAUGAGUAAAACAAUUGUUUGAUCGUCAUGGUUCUCAUGUAAUUCAGAGGUAUAUUAUCCUCAGUUUCUGUUUUCAGACGCAUAGACCAAAAUGAAUGGAGUUAUUCCCUUUAACACAUCUAUUUGUGAGGUAUUGAGAGAAAUCAAACAAGGUUUUCUUGAUAUAGAAUGUCUCUGCUUUAGUGUUGUAGAUUUUGCAUCUCUCCGUCUAACUCAGUUUAGGUCUUGGAACCAUCACAACACUGGUGAUGUGUGACUUGGGUGGAGAAGAACCUCAAUUUAUUGUUUAUUGAUGAUUCGGGUUUUGUAAAUCUCUGUCAUCCUUGUAGUUAGGAUCUACGUAAUUUAUCUCGAAGUAACAAGUGCAUACACAUGUGACGUUAUUGAAAAUGUUUCUUGGUUGUGUAGAAAUUAGAAAAAAAGGACAAAUGGAAAUAUAGAAAUUUCUUUAUAGAAACAAUGAAAUGUAAUGAUGUAAUUCUUAUUAACGUCAACAAAGUUUAUGUUUUAACCUCAAUAGUCAAUACUAUAAAUUUGCUUUGCAUUUUGGUUUUGUCUAUCAUGUUUUACUUCUUAAUUUUGGCUUUCUUCAAACAAUUCAAUCAUUGCAAGAAUUCGAUUACAUGAGAAUGGGAGAUACAUCACUACAUCCUACUCGGUAGUAUGAGCAGUGUUAUAAAUGUUUAUUCCAGAGCUCGAAGCAGUAAAAAUAAACGAAGAAAGAACUAAAAUGUAAAGCAAUCACUAAUCAUCAGGUUUAUACAGAAUCUGAGGAGAGGCAGAAGAACUGAAGAAGUCGUGAGGAUAGAAACAUAAAGGAGAGGUAAGACUUGCAAGUCAAGAAUGGGUUGCCAGUUUGGUCUGACCCUUCGUUUCUGGUCCUAAUUUCCUCCUAUAUUGGAUUGUCGGCUUUCUUGAAUUUGUCCAAGCAAGAAGCAUGGGUUUCUGUUGCGGCUGCUAAUUGCCAAUUGGCUAAGUUAAGAUGGCUUUCUGGUAUUUGUCCAAAGCAUCAUAGGGUGGUCGGGUUUAGUUUAGUUUUUAUUAUCCUAACUAUGAAAUUGACUCCUAAGCAGUGAAGAUUUCUCUAUAGAUCGACAUAUCUCAACAUGUAGAGUAUCUCAUGUUGUAAUAUUCUAACACGUAUUAGUUUAUUAAAUUCUGUCAAACUUUCAAUGUAAAAUCAUUACGAAAUGAUUUGUACGUUUCAUUCUAUGAUUUAUAGAUAAAAUUGACGUAUAUGACUAUCAUUUUAGAGAGCGAGUCUCAUGUUAAUCGGUCAUACACAUGUUGUAAUAUUCGGACACGUAUUAAUUUAUUAAAUUCUAUCAAACUUUCAUUGUAAAAUCAUUACGAAACGCUUUGUACGUUUCAUUCUAUAAUUUAUAAAUAAAAUUGACGUAUAUGACUAUCAAUUUAGAGAGCGACUCUCAUGUUAAUCGCUCAUACACAAUUUGUUAACGAGGCAUGAAGUCAUAGAAGAUCUCGAUCAGUAGCGAUCAAGAGAAAGAUAAAAGAAAAGGUAGGGCAAGUACGACUUAAAAGGUAGAGUUGCCGUUUUGGUCUUGACCUUUCCCCUCGAUCAUGUAUCAUGCUGGGAUUGGCUUAAUACGGUUACUUGGUGAUAGGAUACAGAUUGAAUCCAUUUUCCAUUGAUGUUCUUCAUAGUUCAUACACAUUGAUACACGAAGGGAGAGGCCGCAAAAUUGAAAUUACAAACAAAAAAACAAAGGAAAAGAGUUUGUAAUAUGAGGGUGCACCUUAUCCUAUCCUUACGUGUCCCCCACCAUGAAUAAUCCAAAAUCCUCACUGGCUCACGGUUCACUCUAUUCAAUAUUCAUUGGCUUUGAUAUGAAAACCAAGAAAUUUUGGAUUAGAGGACGAAUUAGCUGAUAGCUUUAUUAGCUGUCUCCUUUUCACAUCCCAAUCCUUCAAUAAUUUUGCCGGGACCAACAACGCCAAAUUGCUAAUGCAUGAGUUUCAUAUAUGAAGAAGAAGAAAAGAUUAUCAUUCUCGAAGAUACUAACAAGUCUAGAGCCUUCUUCGAACAGUUUCACAAAUCGAACAAGAUCAUACGCUACAAGUAUAGCGCAUUCUUCGUACAAACGAACACCACAAGAGUCCGCUCAGUUUUUUUUUUUUUUGAUACGCAAAAGAGGGAAGCAACACAAGAACUUUUCAGGAGGUCACCUAUCUUAGUACUAUUCUCGCCCAAACAAACUUAACUUCGAAGUUCUGAUAAGAUCCAGAGAGUCCGCUCAGUUUUGGAUUGUCAUUGUUUUGAAGGCACUGUAUCGAUGAUGACCUAAAUCUAAACCAAAGCAUAAAACUAUGCUUCCCUGUUGUACUCGUAUCAAAAUUAACUCUAAAAUAAACCCCGGAGGCAACCAAUCAUUAGAAUAUUCCGGCCGGCAAAGAUAUAAAACAAAAUAUUCCAGAUGAAAACAAAGCAGGUACUUACCAAAAUACCAACUAAAAAAACCAACCAGCACACUCCAGGUUUCUGACAUUAUUGUAUAAAUAAUACUAUGGUCUUGUAUCGAAGGAAAAAAUGGGGAGCUAGAUGCUAAACGCGUAAUGGUAUGCGCUGUCCUAAACCUAAAGGGCCACAGUGGUUGUUAUGUAAUUGGAAAUUUUCAAACUAACCCACAAUGGAAACAAGUCAAUAAUGGUAUUUGGUUUUCAGGACAAUAUAAAAACCAGCACAACUUUGUUGAACAGAUCAAACUUACAGUUCCCACUCUCUAAGAAUGGUCAUGGAAGGAAAAGCUAAACACAAAUGAUUGAAGAAGAAGAACCCAAUUUCAAACUACCUCACUUGUGAAAUUAGCAACAUAACCAAAUUUCGGAAUGAUCCGAUAUUAGCUGUGUCUAAAUUUUCAUCGACUUAAAAAGGGUUUGAAACUCAGCCUAACGGACCGAACACUCAGGAUUAGAACAGUUUUUGUAGCGAAAAGGGUAAACAAUACCUCUUAAUCCACCAAAGUGGAGUAAUUUACUUAUCAACAAUCUCAUCAUUACGAUAUGGAAAAUAUUGAGCAAUCAUACAAACAUGAUCGUAGUUGUAUAUUAGCUAGGAAGCUAGAUCAAACUCCAAACUAUCAUCUAAAUUUUUCGGAAAUUCGAAACUCAAGGAGAAAUGGAAUGUAAAAUUAACACACUAAUCAUGAACAUGAACAAUGGAAUGUAAAUUGAUACACUAAUCAUAAUAGCUCACCACCACCAAAACACCACCCAAAAGUAUUUAGAAUUAUACAUUUUUAUCAUUAACAUUAACAUUACAAUCACUCACAAAAAAAAAAAGAUCGAAAAUUCAAAACAUGCAGUGUUUAAUUUAAUUUUUUUUUUUUCUUAAAACUAAUUUAAAAUUGGAGCAAGAACAACCACACCUACUUUGACCUCCGCUUGUUCGAUCUGGGCCGCUUCGACGCCGCCGGCUUCCCAAACACUCCACAACACCCUGACACCUUCGGCGACGGCGGGUCCAUCAUCGGCGGCGCAACCUUCACCGUCCGAUACCCCCUCCCUCCUCCUCCUCCUCCUCCAGCUCCUCCCUCAGAAGCCGCAGGCCCGUCUGAGCCGCUCUGGCCUUGACCGGCGGCGGCGGCGGCGGCUUCGGCUUGCUUCUCGGCCUCGACUUGAUUCAAAGCCCUCUGUAGAAAUUUAUCAUCCCAAAUCAAACCGGACGAUCCUUGCCUCCUGAAGGUGCUCUCGGACCUCUGCAAUUCCGCCAUGGACGAUUUCGAUUUUCCGAUCGCCGGUGAUCAGAUCCCUGAGUUGUUGAGAUCGGUGGCGGUGAUGAUGAGGGUGAAGAAUUCUAGAGAAUUUUAUGGAGGAUUUUUGAGAAGGAUUUGAAGUGGUGAAUGUGAGCUGAGAGAGGUAUAACAAGGACUCAAAAGGCUUUUAUAUUAUAGAGAGAAGAGGAGAGGAAAUUGGAAAGAGGGAAAGUGACUAUAUGGUGUCGUUUUGGAUGCGUUUGUGUCGUUUUUAUUGUGGGUGUGGAGUUUUGCCAAUUACUGGCUUCGAUUAUUUCUUCCCUUGUGUGUUGACUUUAUUGGUGUUUUGGUUGGAUGACUUGGAUCAAGUUAUCGAGAGAAAGAGAAUGUGAAAUUUGGAUGAAUAAGAUGAAGAAUUAUUCGUAGUUUAGUAAUGUUUCAAAAGAUCAGAGAAUUUCGGUUUGAAAAAUAAUUUGAUGAUCAAAAGUGUUUCGUUUUUAAGAAGAAAAGGCUGAGUAAACGUAAAUACGUUAUAAUUACGAGCCAAACAGUCUUUCCUGACUAGGUGGACCUUGUGGCUAAUAGUGAAAUAAAAUUUUGUUGAAAUGAAGGAAUUGUUUAUGAAUAGAAUUAACAAUAUAUUUCGGAGUUAUUUGAGGGUACUUACUACUUACAAAUGUGAGACUAAUAGAUCUGAAUAUAACUUUCUAAUCUGGAACAACACUAAUAGAGCUAUGAAAUGCCCGAAACGAGGCUAGAAAUAUGAACAAACAAGCUAUAACAGUUACAUUAGAUCGUCUUUUUUGUAAAUUAGAGCAUCAAACUAAUAGGUAAGUAUCCGAAAAUUAGGAUAAAUAAAUAUAUAAAUUUAGUGAUAUAGUCAUUACUUUGUGGAGGCGUGUGGACUAUUAGGCGGGCUUGGGCCAGGUUUAUAUAAAACCCACAAAAUAACCACAUGUAAAAAUGGGUCAAUUUGUUCUCUGACCUUCUUGGUCAAUCUUCAUGUCCUAAAGCUUCUAAGAGAAUGCGGGUUUGACUUGGUCAAAAGAAAGAAUGUUAGGACCGGUUCCCCUGUCAAUUAGCUGUGCGCUGUGAUUAAACAACACUGACUUGAAGACAUUAUCAAUGUCUGAUUCUCUUUCGUGUUCUCAUUUGGCGAACCAAGAACAAAACACACACAAGUUAAACGAGAACAUCAUGCAUCAGAAGCUCAGAACUAGUCAAUGUUACUCCCAGAUAUAGGCGAGAAAAGAAACCAAAUGAGCAAAAUAUGAGCAUAAACGAUACCAGUGAAACAUGGCUCUCCUGUACAAAAAUCAAAACGAGCUUCCUUUCAGUGGCUUCAAGUCUUUUUCGGGAGUACGAGUCUGUCAUGGCUCGGCUCUAGGAAGAGGUUAGGCUUCUGAUAGUAACUAAGAUGUUAGGGGGCAGGCGGAGGCUCAAGUGAUGUCCUCCCAAACAAGUUUCUAGCACCCUGGAAUGUAAGGAAGCUAAUGUUCAAGUGCAUUAUAUUCUUCUCCCUUGAAAAAGGUCUCCGCAAAAUGCAGGUAAGAUUCUGCAAAAAGGCGCGCAUGCACGCACGCACAAUCUUCAUCUAGCAAGUACUUCUACAAAUCUAAUUCUACCUAGUAAUGGUCACAAACAACAUUUUCUUCAGUUGCUGCCAGAACCACUCCUGUCAGCUAUCUUCCUCUUCUCUUUUAGUAUUUCAGUGAAAGGUUUAGGGCCCUGGAAGUCAUCUCGAGUUCUCUGCACACAUCUCGACUUCCUAAUACCACCUCCAUUAUCUCCUGCUUUCUUCUUCUCUUCUUUAAUCUGAGCAAGGGACUUGGGUCCUGUAAAGACAGUUAAAUCCUCUUUAGAUGAUCUCUUCUCCCUUGGUACUGGAUUCCUUGUGAAUUCAGAUGAAGGAAACUGUGGCUGAGCCAGCCUUCUUUCCCGAAGUUUCCGAGAUCUGUACUGCUGCGAAUGCUUACGUGGACGGCGUUGAAUUCCAGCACUGUUAAACACUUCAUUCUCCUUGCGUGUGUCAUGAGUUCUGUUUACUACUUCUGAUGCCAAUCUCCCAGGCCGACCCGUAUCAUGCCUUUGAGGCCAUUCUUGCCUUCUACCAAUUAACUGAAGUGAUUCAUGCAUUCUUGAUAAUCCAGAAACUGAACAAUCAUCAAUCACUCUUCGUCUUCUCAGGUGGUUUCUAAGAUCCAAACCCUCCUGGUCAUCUUCCAUUGGCAUAAGCUUCCUCUUGCGGGACAAUAUGGAAUCCAACAUUAUAUUUUCUGCAUAGCCAUGAAUACUUCUCUCAUUACCAAAAAGGUACCUGGUAUCUAGACAAUCAUAAGAGUCAUAAAUUUGGUUUUCAUAUAAAAGUUCAGCACCAGGACACAUGGGAUCAUACUCAUCUGGAUUGUCAUAAUCAUGCCACUCCUUAUUUAGUUCCCAGUGCUCUCCAUCUAGUGUGGGAAAGUACUCAGGGCUCACCUCACCACCCAAAUUAUCGACAAUAACAUCAAAGUCCGGAGAUGAUUCCCACCAUUCAUCUUGCACAAUAAGGUCAUCUGCUCUCUCCUCUGAACUCUGAUCAGUGAAUACUGGAGAUUUGCUAUGAAUAGAGCCUUCAGCUGGAAGAAGCAAGGGGUUUGAUCUAAUUUCAUCAACCUCUUCAUCCCCAUAUUCAGAAACAUGAGAAACACUUUUCUGUGGUUGUUCCCAAUCAUCAAGAUCCUGCUUAGGAUGGAAUUUUGUAUCUUGUAUCAACUGCUUAGGAUGGAGUCCAACCGUUGGUGCUGAUGCUGUUUCAUUUACUACAGAUGCCUUGUUUUCUGAAGGAAGUGCUUCAGUACAUGUAGAGGCUGUGUUCGAACAUUUCCCAGUUGAUACACUACCUUCAAUGUCAUGCAAGAACGUGCAGCUAUCACCUUUGCUGCACAUCCCAUUCAAGUAAAAGUAACAAGGAACGUUGCUCUUGUUUGCAGAUAUGGAAGAUGGGGCGGACUCUGAUAGUGCUGCUUCAUGCUCCUCCUCCAACGGCUUCAAACACAACUAUUCAAUAAGUAAUCAAAUGACCAAGGGAUUACAAACAGCCACUAAAGGUAUAAAUCCACCAUGAAUUGAUAAAAAUCUCCACUAGACAAUUCCAAAAAAAGAAAAAUACAGAUGUAAAACCUCAAUGCAAUUAAGUAAUAAUUUUCACUUGGUCAGAUGUCAACCAUCUAGUAUUCCUAAUACUUCUAUCCCAAAACGGUACUAGAAACAAUAUGUCACAAGGAAGUUUAGCACUUCAGCAGAUCAUUAUACACAAUUCAGUCAUCAAUAUGUCCGGAAUUUGUUUCAUAUAACAAGAGAAGGUAAUGUGAAGCUUACAGGAUGCCUAAAAGCACAGGAGAGAUUAAGACAAUCCCCAGCCAACCAGUACCAGCAAACUUUCGGAUUGAGCCUCGCAAUCUUGCUGUGUCGAAACUCACAUUCAAGUCCCUGAGUCACAAACAUCACCAUCACCAAUGUCACUAUCCAAACAAAGCACAAAGCACAAAGCACAAAGCUCAAAUGGUAUAUUCACACCCAAAUAAACAUUAAAAAGAAAACAAUGACGAAAUUGCUUGAGCAUUACAACAUGUAAAAACCCUGAAACGCAAAGCCAGCCAUUUUCAGAAACCCUAAACCUAGAAAUUGUAGGGUAAUCUGAUAUGAGAAUGGGUGACGAACCUUGUCGCAGGCGGGAGGGGUAGCCAUGAAAUGGACGCAAUCGGUGUUUCGCUUUAGCAAAUCUUCAUCAUCCAUUGCAAAACCAGAAUUGGCCACGAUCGAUAGGUAACAGAGAGAGCGAGUGAGAGCCUGAGAAGUUUAGUGAUUAGCAUUGUUGGGCCAAACCCAAUGCAAACUAACAGCCCAAUACAAACCAAUUGUUACAAUCGGGAGGAUCGAAAAGGUGUUUAAACCUCUAUGAAAUUUAAUCAGUGUUUAUAUUCCGAAUCAAUAAAACCACAAAGUGUUGAAUCAGGUUUUAUAGUCAAGUUGUCUUCCUGUAACAAUUUGUAUUUGCAGGAAUACAGAUACAGUGAACCAAGUCAUCUCAUCAUGCAAACGUAGCAGAUUCCUAUGCACACUAGGAUUCCAUUUAAAUGGGUAUAAACUCCAUAGAGAAAUUGUUAUGCUUCCUAUGAAAACAUCUUAUUGGCAGCAAACUGUUCCUAGUAAUUGGCUAAUCGCUUCAAAACCUAAACGGCCUCUGCUAAUUUUCAAAAUUUGUAAACCAUUUCUUCUGUGUAGCCAAGUUCUUUUAGUAUGCCAGAGAGCUGCAAUAAAGCAAAGAGAGAACUUAUCAGACUACAAAGCAGGAAGAAGAGAGAAAAGGUCAGGCAUUCGCCAUGAAAACAACACGAUGUCUUUCUUACCUCUCCUUGUGACCAGUCUUUAGCCUUGCCUCCAGAUAUGUGUUCCAUCAUCCCAGGAGGACCGCAUACCUGCAUGAGUGGACAAGUUGAAAUGAACGUUGGUUGAUGAAUUUGAGCAUAUACUGAACUAGAAAAAUACUUUUUUCUUAAUAUUCUAAGCUGUACAUAGUUAUACAAUACUAUAUGCAACAAGUAGAUGAGCAACUCCCCCAAAUAACACUUACAAGGAUGAGAGUAUCUUCAGAGGGACCAGGUAACCCUUUAACUGCCAUGUCCUUUGAUAUGAAGCCUUUCCCUCCUUUCCAACUCUUUGUAGGAUUAUCAACUGUGUAAUAGACCUGAUUUUUCCCCAUAGAAUACAGUCACAUUGUUUGAGAAAAAUAUUAAAUUUGGAAUGGCAAUAGUAAUUCUAAAAUGAGGCAAAUGGUACCUUCAAAUUAGGGUGGGCAGCUGCAAGUAGGUCAAGUUUCUGUUUAAGCAGUAUGUCAUCUGGAGACACAUUAGCAUAAAGCAGUGACACCUAUGUCAUCAUCAAAGUUUAAUAUUCUCAAUCAGACAUUAUUUUCAGGAGGGUAUAGUGAAUAGUUUCAUUGGAUUGACCAUAAAAAAAUGACAGUCACACAUAUGCGCUAAAUAUAGAAUUGUGAAGAAAACUGUAGUUAGACUCACCUUGGUUGUGUCAUCAGGAUUUUUAAGUAUAGCCUCAAUGACCUGAAGCAUUGGAGUGAUACCAGAACCACCUGCAAUCUGGAUGAAAUACAGAAAUUACACGUGAGAGGUGACCUACAGAAUUCUAAGUAAUUAUAACCGACAAAUGACUGCCCUUGAUAACUUGCUCUUACCAUGCCAAUGUGUUUCUUCAUGUUGGGAAUAUAUCUCAACUUUUCAAUAGGCCUGAAAGAAACAGAAACACCUGAUUAUAAGACAACUUAGAGUGUAUCCUCUACUACCCAUUUCACUGGUAAAAAUAGAUUACCCCUUCACUUCGAGUACAUCGCCUGGUUUUAAGCUUGCAAAAUGCUGGCUCAUUUUCCCUUCUGGAUACACCUACACACAAUUCCGAUGAAAGGAAAGAAACUUGAAAUCACACCCAUUAAUCAAUAAAUCAUUAAACACACAGCAAAGCAGUGUAUGUGACCACCAUAGACAGCAUACCUUAAUCAAUAAGUCAAAGUAUCCCUUGGACUCUGGAUCUGAUAUAGGAGUAUACCUGGAUAUAUAGGCACACCAAAUAAGUUUCUGAUGUUAUGGAAAUAAAAUUUGAGAACAACCACCAAAGUGAAAAGUGAAAUCCAGAACUCUAAUAAAUGGAUUCAAGUAAACGGCAUAGUUAAUGGACUUCAAAUGGUACAUAAUAAAGUUCUGAGAAAAUUGACGUUUGGAAAGAAAGACUUACGGGCGUGUGACAAAUUUUGGUUUCCCUUCAGCAUCUUGUCCAAUUGGAGCCCUAGUGUCAACAGGACCACAUCAAAAGAGAUUAGAUAUGAUGAAUAACUUCCAAUGAAUUAAGAGUUUUAUGACAAAGCAGAGUAUACCUUGUAAUGAGGCAUGAAGCCACAUCUAAACCUAACUUGGCGGUUGGGUCAAAUGUAAAUCUGCAAAUUUUGGAGAAUAAAGAUAAUUUGUAUAAGAACAUUUGUAUUGAAUAUGCUCAUACUAUUUGCAGAUCUAAGAGUAAGUUGAAAACAUUCCUGUUUAUAGUGCACCUCUGAUCAAAAUAAAAUUUCCAUCACUGUUGUGUAAGUAAAUUAAGGAUCUGACAAACUGACACAUUCUAUUCAUGUUAGCAUGUAUGAUGCCAGUUUCCAUAUUAAUCACCUGUAUGCUAUGUGUGGGCAACACAUGUUAUUUUUUACCAUAAGCUUUUAAUGGGGGAGGAUAUUAAAGAGAAAGCAUCACUGAGAAACUAGGAGUAAAUAUCAAACAUCAAACAAUAAGGUAUAGAGUGAUUGCUGAUUUGAGAGAGACUAGAAGAUUAUACCUGAACAAUUGAGUAUUGUGGCUAACUCUUGCCGAGUCUUGCAGCUUAAAUUCUGUCCAUUUAUUCGGAUUAAGUGCUGGAGAAACACGUUAAAAACAAUUACUCAGUAUGAAUUAGGGGUGACAAAACUGGACAUAUGGCAUAUGUCCAGGAUUCAUGCUUGAUAUGAUAAGUUGCUAAUACUUCAAGAUGAAAACCUUUAAGCUAAAUAUAUACUCUUAAAAAGUCCGAUCAAUUUUCCUCCAAGUGUUUGGGAAAAGAGAGACUCACCAACUUUUGGACCAGUCUGUUCUUCUUUGAUUUCAUCUAGAUAAACCUGUGAAAGAAAUAAGAGUAUUCAACUCUCAAUACCGAAGAACAGACUUACUCACAAACAACUUGCUACUUUGGCUCAUAUCAAAUGACUAACAUUUAGCCGAAAUGUAGCAUGUCAAUGUAUCACACACAGGUUUUACGAAGAAAACAAUACACAUAAACAACGUCGUAACAUGUUUCCCUCGACUCCCCAGUUGAUUAAAUUUAGUUGACAACGAACACCGAAAAAAAUGGGAAUGCAAUCAUCCAAUAAUCAAUGAAGGACAGACCUAAUUGACCGACAUAAUCCAGCAACUCUUGCAGUCGUAAAUGUAAUGCAUACAUGAUCUCCUGUAUUUUUGUUAACAUCACUCUUUCAACAGCUAAGCAAUAUCUAUUAUCUUACCAAACACACUCACUACUCUUAUCGAAACGAAAACCAAAUGCAUGAACAAUCUCUACAAGCUCCAAAAGAAUCUGAAUGAACCUCACAAAUCAAAUACACUACUAUCCUAAUCACUUUAGUUAACUCAACUCUACAUUCCAGAAUCAACACUAAAAAAAAAUCAAAAUCAAAGAUUAAGAUCACCAAAACCUAAUCCGCUACUCCACACACAAAAGCCACUGAGCUACACUACAUUGUGACAAAACAGGACUAAAAACCUAGACGAAACCGGCGAGAGAAUCUUACCGGAUCGGAAACCGACGAGUGGUAGUAGACGUACGAGAUUCCGCCGGAGACAGCCGCGAGAGCACCGAUCGGAAAGCGGAAGGCGGACCUGGAGUGGCCGGAGCCGGAGUUGAAGGCGGCGGUGAAGGCGGUUGGGGUGGCCUUGGCGAGUCUCUGAAAGAAGGCAGCCAUUUUCUCUCCAGGUAAAAGUAAAACCCUCGGUGCUGAAGAAGAAGAAGACUGAAGAAAAUGAUCUGGUGUGUACGCGGCAGUGAAUUGUUUUCCUACGCUGCUUGCGUGGAGGUCUUUGAUUCGAUGAGGAGGGAUGGUUGUAUCCAAGUCAGAGACGUGUAUUUUGGAUUGGGCGGGCCAGAGAGUCGAAUAUGGGCCUGGCCCGGCCUUAUACUGCGCUGUAUAAGGGUUUAGGGGUUAAGAAUGAGGAAAAAUUUGUGCAGUUUUUUGUUAAAGACAAUUGAAUUCUUGAUCUAUUGAGUUAUGAAAGUUUCAGAUUGAUACAAAUUUGUGAAACACGUUUGAGAUUUGACUCUGCUAAUGCAAAUAGUCUAAAUAAGCUUUACCAUAGAGAACCGAAACAAACAUAUAGACGUGCUUAGUGAGUAUGACGUGCAAUAUGGCACAUCCGUCACGCGGGAGACUUGCUUGUUGGUGAGUAUAUGGCACAUCCGUCACGCGGGAGGCUUGGUUGUUGAUCCAAAGUGUUUUUGGCCACGUAGACAAAUCUGUGAAAUAUGCCAUGUCUGCUUCACAUGGGUUGGACCCCCAUUCCAUCACAAAGAUUGGAGUCAUUAGGUUUUGGUGAUACGUCCUUAGCUACUGGUUCAUGCUGACAAAUUCCAGUGUUAUAAAACUAUAAUCAAUUUUUGUUCCUUAAAUUCUUGUUAGUGUCGCCAGUUACUACUUUAUUCACAAGAUCUAUAUUUCUUGCUCAUGAGAAAUCAACAUUUGUUGCUAAUGUGCAUUAAUACACACUGGUCUCAUACUCAUUGCAUUUGUUGAAUUUGAUUGUUCUAUGAUAUGACUUUUACCUUUAUAUAGAGAGUACAUAAGUUAGGUAAAAUAAGGUGAGUUGUUUUGAGCUGAUAUAUGUAGAUGAGACGUUGGAAGCAAUUAAAAGUCAUUUACAGAUAACCGUUUACAUCAAUUAAAAGUCUGUAUUCGUAUACAGAGAUGUCAAUCAAUCACUUGUUUUGUAGACCGUUUCGUGAGACUGUCCUCGCCUUUAAAGUCCCGUGCAGAUAACCAUGCUGAUUUAGAAUAGUUAAAAACGUUUAAUUAUUGAAUAAUGCAAUUCUCAGCAAGUAACCAAGUAUAGUAAAAUUGCCAAACAAAUAAAUUUAUUACGUGGGGUUAAGCAAUGAGCAUAUGAUUCUAUUGAGCAGUGAGUGGUGUGAUCCUGAUAAGGAUGAUGAUGAGGAUAAGUUUAUCGUUUCCAGUUUGUAUAAAUCAGUCACUUUCUCAACAGUUUAUAGCUGGAUUAAAACAGUGAAAAAUGAUAAGCCAGAUAAUCAACCCUCACCUUCAUCUUAGACUCAACUAGCAAAGGGGUAGGUCCCUUCAUAAAACAAUUCUUCAUGGAGAUUGCCAGAAUCUUCAAACAAUUCUUCAUGGAGAUUGCCAGAAUCUUCAUCUGGGACAAACCAGGAAGAUAUUUUGGCUGGUGUUCAAUACUAUAAAUGGAAAAAAAUGAUAGGGGAAGAGAUAUUUUGUGUUUCUUAUAAUACUAUAAAUGGCUCAUGUUAUUUUCUUAAGGAGUGAAAGUUGUUUUUCCGACAUGCGAAGUUUAACACGUUACAUUAUUUACAUUCCGGCAUGAUGGUGUAACCGCUCUCUUGUGAGCUCCGGCACAUUCAUGUGCUUAACAUUUUGGCCAUCUGAAUUGGAUACGAUAACAACACAAAAAAUAGACCAAACAUGAUCUGUAGUUUAACAAUGGACUAAUUUCAGUUUACCCCUAUUAAUUUUAGGUCGAUCAUCAUGUUAAUAUUUUUUUUUUCAAUUUCAUCAAAAACACCCCUCGACUUCCAAUUUUCAUCAGCCGUGUCCAAACAUCUGUUUUCCAUCCAAUUUUUCUGUCAUGUGAUGACUUGCAUUAAGAAGAAAACCAAAUUUGAAGUCGUUGAGCCCACAAAAAACGGCAAAAUAGACAAAUUACAUCAAUUUCAUCAAAAUCACUAAGGUUAGGUGGUUGUGAUGGGAACAGAGAUGUGUAUCGAUAUGGAGGGAAAAUGGUCAGAAAGGUUAUUUUUCGAAAUUUGAUUUUCUUCUUGAUGUCACAUCAUCACUUAACGGAGGAAUUAAAUGGAAAACGAAGGUUUGGACACGGCUGAUGAAAAUUGAGAGUCGAGAGGUGUUUUUGAUGAAAUUGAAAAAAAGAAAAACUAAUAUGAUAAUCGACCUAAAAUUAAUAGGGAUAAACUGAAAUUAGUUUUUUAACAAGCAUGAUCAUGAGAAUGAGAAUAAUAAGUUAAAAUGUUAUGAUUGUUAUUAUUAUCUCAACCAAUGGAAUCCAGAUGAAAUGUGUCACUGAUCUGACUGGUGAUGAAGAGUCCUCAGAACAAACUUGCAAGAAUUUACUAUAUUAUGGUACAUGUGAUAAGGCAAAGAAAUGAUUUGUAAACUAGGUGAAUGGACUUGGAAGAAGACAUGUGUAUCUGCCUGUCGAUCUGUGUUUCGCUGAGUUCAAACGGUAGUUCCAAUAAUUGGAGGACGACCAAUGGUAUAUGACUAUAUGUCAUGCAUGAUGAGUUUAGUACUCACUGGUUGAUAUAGAUUGAAAAGACUUUUUGUUGUUUCUUCAUAAGCAACCAAGUACCAACAACAAUAGUGAACCGUAUGGAGAUCCUAUGGAGAUUCAAGAUCGAAGAUUGGAGGAUGCAAUGGCGGAUCCAGUCCAUGGGUGCCUGCAGUGAACGCAUUCCAAGUGUUCAACCUGUUCAUAUUUUAAGAUGUUCGACAAAUUACUUCAACAUGAUCUCAAUAUGAUAUGAUAUGUAUAUUACUUGCUUCAUCGUCAGUCAAUGUGUUUCGCUUGUUUGGGAGAAAAUCAAUCCUCUAGAAACCACAUGAUGUCCAAUUCAUGGUUUUUAUACAAUCUAUGAUUGAUAAUGACAACAUCAAUUAAAUCACUCGAGUAGUUUCAUGAGUGUCGACACUGUUAAAAGUGGGCGAGUAAGAUGUUCGAUAAAUUACUUCAAAAUAUCUAGAGAAACAAAUGAUCGCGGCAUUUACACUACCUAACAACAACGAAAACGAGAGGUGUCAUAUUGUACUUCUGGGUGCGUUCAAGACUACCCAAGUUUACUCCUGAGAAUUAGUUGAGCACUCACCAUCCUAGAAGUAAAUCACAGUGAAGUCCAGAUCACACUGCAAUCCUGAUCAGAAUUAACAGAUAGAUAUAUACAAGUCCAAGGUGGUAAAUAAUAGUCUUCACCACAUAGAUAUUUUGGCAUUCAUUUUUCUUCAGUUGCAUUAUAUUAUAACAUUGUUUCUUCAACGGCUGAGAAUGAAGCAAUGUUGGCAAAACCUGACAAGAAAAUUGUGUGAAGAUUCCUUGGAACUUUGCAUGAUUGGACCUUCACUCUGAUUAUUUCCAUAUAUAAAAGCCCUCCAAAAGUUCAUAACUCCCCUUGUGGUCUGGAAAUGCCUCAUCACAAUUCUCACUUAUAGCAAUGAAUUCUUCUUAAGGGUUUUGGUAUUUAGUUUGUAAUACUGUGCUGCACUAGUUUAGUGUAGCUUUUGAGUAAAGGAUCUGGGGUCUGAAAAUCUUCCAUAGAUUCUUUAGAUCCUUGUGUUCUUGGGUUUCUUUUUCUACAAGCAACACCAUGUAUACUUGUAGAAGUAGAAAUAUGCUUAUGGGGUCUUGAUUAGUGCAAAACUAGCUUGACAAUGUUCUUCCAUACCCAAAAUCGUCCAACUUUUCUUCUCGGUGUUCUAACCGUAAACAGAACCCAAAACAGAACCAAAUCAAGCCCAUCUAUAGCUGUACAAGUAUCCUCAGUUCUACAAACUAAUGGAAAAGGUGGAAAUGGGAAUGGAAAUCUGUCUGAUCAACCCAAGAAAGGCAUGGCUCUAAAAAAGCGUCAAGUCUCUAAUUUUGUACUAAGCCAACCAAACACUGUGGGAAUCAUAGGAGGAAUGUCUGUAUAUUCUAGCCUACUUUUCUUGGAGAAGCUUGUUUGGUGGAGUUUGAAAGACGGAGGUGAAUGCCCUCCUUUCCUUGUGUGCAGUGAUACAACACAAUACAAAGAGCUUCCGAUUCGCAGUUUGUUUCAAUCACUCAGGAGAAAAUCUACUGAGAUCAAAUAUUCAAGCAACAAUUGGGCCAUCAUUGACAGCUUGUGUCGAAAAAGGGCAUUCCUAGAGAACUCUGGGGCUCAAUGCAUAGUCAUGCCAUGCCAUCUGUCUCAUGCUUGGCAUGAACAGAUUUCUCAGGACUGUUCUUUGAGCUUCCUUCAUGUUGGUGAGUGUGUUGCUAGAGAGCUCAGAGAAGCAAAGAUGAAGCCACUCGAAGCUGGGAGUAAUGUGAGGAUUGGGGUGCUUGCUGCUGAUGCAACUUUAACAGCUGGUUUUUACCAGCAGAAGCUAAGAAAUCAGGUACACAUUUAGAAGCCACUUAUAUGAACCAAGCUUCCUAGCAUGAGUUGCAUUGUAUACUAAUUCUAACAUAUUUCGGGUCUAGUUGUCGUCUAACAUGUUGUUCAUCAGUUCAUGAUGUGAAGAGUCUUUGGUUUCUGGUGCAGGGUGAGGCAUGGCCUAUGUGUUUCUCUUCGCCUGCAUUUCUACAGCUAGAGUUUUCGAGUCUAGUGAUUGUGUACUCCUUAUACCAUAUAAGCUUGUUUAAAUUGAUCAAAGUUGUGUAGAAGCAAUGAGCAUGGACCUUAAGUGAUACUAACCAGCACAUAAAUACUUUGUUCAAAAAUGGGUGUCACUGGAACAGUUUUCUUUGUUUGAAUGGAAAAUGCACAGGGCUUUGAGGUUGUUGAACCAGACAAAGCAACAAUGGAACAUGUCAUGAUUCCUGCAAUCGAGGCAUUGAAGAGAAGGGACAUGGAAGGGGCACGCAAUCUGUUAAGAAUCGCGGUGCAGGUUCUGUUGGUGAGGGGAGUGAACAUUGUCAUCAUCGCUGCUGAUGAAUUGCAGGGUGUUCUGCCUCAUGAUGAUCCUCUUCUUAAGAAAUGUAUUGAUCCCAUGGAUGCCUUGGCCAGGUCAACCAUAAAAUGGGCAAAGGGCACAGGAAACGGUGGAUGAAGAUAGCAAAAUGAGCAGCAGACCCAAACAUGUAUAUAAAAUCUUGCUGUCAUUGGUGAUGGCUUUGUGUCCAUAAACCAAGCUAUGCUUCACCCUCUCUCCACAAAAGCAUUUAGAUCUUGAAAAUCAACUGGAGUAAUCAAAGAAUGAAGGACUUGAAAAGCAACACACCUGAAGUUGAUCAAGAUUCAAUGACUAGGAGUCGGGUUAUUCUGUGUUUGUACAAUAUGUUAUGCUUUGUCUAGCUUCCCUGCUCAUACAUUGAAAUUUAUUGUAAUAAAUCAAGUUCAACCCACAAGAGAAGAAAACUAGUAUAUUAAGUAAAUUACUUAUGCAUUUAUAAGAUUCAAAACAUAUAUAGUUAUACAGGUAGUUAUAUACACAGACGUUACAUCUGGAAGAGUAAUGUGAUCAAUCAAAAAUUAAACAAUAUACUGUUGCAAGGAUGGAAUGGUAGGAAUAAUCUCAAGAAGGAAAAGCAAAAUUCAGACAUUGAAUAACCUGGAUGUAACCUGGAGUUUAGUUCACAAUCAAAAGAGAACUAAUCCAGGAAUUCGAAAUAUGGAUGAAGUGAAUCACGACUACAAAUUCGAAUUAGAACCACAAGGUUGUUUUGAAUGUGCUUUGGCACUGUCCGGUGCAUCCUGAUAAACCCAAGAAGAUAUGAGGUGAUGGGCAAUUGCAAAUGGCCCCGGUAUAAACAUGGGAGCAAGUUCACCGCUUUCCACAUUGAAGUCGGCAGACAAGUUCUGUCCUUUCUCAACACCCCUGCACAUCUGCUCAACCUUCUCUACCGCUGUUUUCUGUGCCUUCUCGUAUUCAGCAAACGUUAAAGCUUUUUUGACAUCUUCUCUACUGUGCCACUCGGCGUCUAGUCAAACAUAAGUGUAAAGAAGAUAAUGAGAACUUCAUCUAAUCUAAUACGACUAAAAUGUAGCAUAUCAUUUUUAUCAAAAAAUGCACAAACAAAAUUCUUGCAGAUGCUCCCAGUUCUAUCACUAAGAUGACUUUCUUUUUAGGUCACGAUAAAAAGACUGAAAUAGUUCAUAAUCUUUAUCACUAAACUGUUUCUCAUGGGAAAAACAGAAAUCACACCAAAUUUAUUUUUUUCCACAGGAGGAAAAGUUGAUUAUAAAGACACGGCAGCUUACAGUCUUAUACUAUAAUAGGGCUUUAUUAUAAAUGAUUAAAUGCAACAAUAUAUUAUAUCCUACGUACCUUCCAACUCUUCCUUGUCGACAUUUAUAUCAAGUGAUUUGGCAUAUGCAAAGAAACCAACCAUCAACUGGCAUGGCAUGCUACUUGGUCCAACUGGAGACAAGCCAAAUUAAGAACUCAAUCAAUCAAUACAGAGCUAAAGAAGAUAUGCAUAAUGCUGAAACAAAGUUUGAAAUGUACCCACCAGGCCAUGGUUGAGAGCUAUGAUAGACAACUUCUCCUACUUCAAUACCAGUCUCCUCCCAUGUUUCUCGCUUCACCGCUUCUUCUAAGCUUUCUCCUGGCUAAGGACAACAAAAAGAUCGAAACUAAUGAAACUGCUUUUUAACCCCCAAAUGGUCCUCAAAUUGGCCAAGACACUAACCUCUAUAAAUCCAGCCAAGCAACUCCACAUUCUAGGUACAAAUCGAGAUUGCCUACUUAACAGAGCACGGUCAUUUUCUUUAUCAAUCACUAACAUUAUGACAACCUGUUAAAAUGGCAAAUGUAUAAGACAAUAUAUAAGGAAUUGAAGCAGUUACUAAUUGAAAUCUAUGAUAGAAGCAAAUUCACACCGGAUCAACACGAGGAUAAACUCGCUUUCUGCACAGCUCACUAGAACACUGCUUACGUCUCCCAGCUUCUUUGGGGACUGUCUUUUCUCCACAAUGUCCACAAAACAGUGCUGUACUAUGCCAUUCAAGCAAAGCCCUGGCCUGAUCACCCACACAAAAACCAUACAACACAUUUCAAACUAUAUUCGAAAACAAUCAAAACAAGAUCAAACUUCAAUGGAAAUGUCUAUUCUAUUAUGUCAACACUCAACACCAACAUUUGCAUCAAUAAUCAAACUCGAAAGCAUUAACCACAAGCACUUACAUGACCAGCAACGGCCAGCUCUGCCAUAGCCCUUUCAUCAGCCCAAUCAGUAGCCACCAUAAGCGUUCUGAGCUCAACAAAACACAACUGCUUCCCACCCAAUUCAGGAACCACACCAUCCUCCUUAGACACAUCAACAGCCCAAUAAACCACAUCCUCCUCAGGCCUUGAACCCAGAUACACAAGUGAAUCACCACUCAACUCAACCCCACAAUUACCCAACAAUCCCUUACAAUCAGCCAAACUGAUCCAACCCAGACACCAAUUUGGCUUCAAAUCACUGAUCCCACCAUUGGUUGAGGCCAAAGGCCUCCCCUUUCUGAAAGGCAGGACCUUGAAGCUUGGUGAACAAGAGGGCAAGUGGGUAUUGUCCAAAAGUUGAGUCUUGAGGGUCUCAAGGGCUUGGGUUGGUGAAAAAGGGUCACUGAGUUUUGGGGUCUUGGAUCUCAGAGGAUUGCCAGCAAAGGCAUGGGACUGGAGGUUUAUGGACAUGGUGGUGGGAACUGAACAAAGGGUUCUUCUUGUGAAAUUGGGGAGAACAAGCUUUUUGGAUAGGGCUAGGAGAUGCAGUGAGCAAGAAGAGAAGAGAGAUAGCUUGACCAUGUUUCCAUUGGGUGAUUGAUUUGUCUAAUUUUUUUUGGGAGAAAGCCAACAGAGGUAGGUGGUGACUAAGGACUCUGGUAUAUCGACAACUGUCCUGAUUGAGACCCCAUGGCUGCGGCUGCCUUGCCAGACUUGCAGCCACAGAAUCAAAAUUUGCAUUUCCUAACCAGAUUUACCCUAUUGAAUCACAUCUAUUUUUGAUGUCACAAAUGUGAAAUUUUAAUGCAUUCAACACCGACGUGAUUCAGUGUGGGGAACAAACUUCAGUCCUUGUUAUACAGUACACAAGAAUGCAGCAUCCAAGAGUUUGAAGUACAAAACAUACCACAUUGUAUUGGUACAAUGGUACAGGUAUUUUAUUGCUGAUUUGGAAUAACAUGAAAAAAUGUAUGUAAAAAUAUAGGUAUUUUAUUGCUGAUUUGGAACAGUACAAUCACAUUUACCACAAUCAAGAAACUCGCUUAUUUGAUGUUGUAAAACAAUGGCAAGUUUUGCAACAAAACUAUGACACAAUAGGGAACCAGAAUAAGAAACAUAAAACCUAUUGACCUCAAUGAAAACAAAUCUUCCAGGACCACAAAUAUUUCAAAACUUGGCAGCAAUGCUAAGAUAUGAACUUGAACUCAGCUCUCCACCAGCGGGACAUCAUCAAGCCAGUCACCAUAUAUGCGAUUGAUCUGCUUGAUCUUCAUGGAUCCUCUCCAUUUAAAUCCGCACUUCUUACCCUGCACUUCUUCGUUUACAGCAGCAGGCAUUGCUGCCAUUGCAAGUGUAGAUGAAUCAUUAAUAGGAACAGCUUGUGGUUUCGUUGAAAUGGGAGCACUUGCCAUCAGUUCUGCUUCAACCCGCAUACCAGGCGCUUGUAACUCUGAGAUCAAGAGUUCAAUUUUAUGUGAUAUUAGCAACCAAAGGGCCAAACAAAGUAUGAGAACAUAUCCUAAAGCCAAAUUCCAAUUCAUCUCACAAGAAUGGAAAGAUGUCACAAACACGCUCAGACAAGAACUCCAUGAGCAUGAUAAUGAUAAUGUAUACACCAAGUGAAGGUUUAACUUCUAAAUGCAACAUACCACAGAAAAACACAAUGCACAAAUGGAGAGAUUCAAGUACAAGCAUUUAGCAAACACUGAUUUAGGUUUAGAAACUGAGAUUCACUCGGUCCAACAGUUUUACAGUUCUGUUCCAGGAAGGUUCACCAAUGUCUAGAGGCCAGUGCCAAUAUGGUUUUAGGACCAAAUUCAGAGUCAAUCUAGGUUUAAUUUUGAUAUGAAUGUAACUAGGAAUGCCUGUUCAGGGUUAGAGUUAAUCAUAUUAAGCAGAUGACCAAUAAGCACAUAGUGACAAUGCUAAAUUCAAGAUUACAUGAGACUAGCAAAUACCUUCUUGCCCAUGAGCAAAGUGACACUUCUCGCCAAACGGACACUUUCCUGUUUGCUCCCACUUAUUACAAAUCUUAGUCUUCCAAUAUGGCUUCGGAGUUACUAGGAAGGUAUUUAUACCAGUGUUUGGCCUAUUCUCCUCCAAACUAGUGCUACUUGCAUGUGGCAUCGGUGCUCCUGUUGUCCCAAUGCUGAUUGCUGCAUUCUCCCUAUACCUACUCGAAUCCUCCCUAAACUUUGCUGGUUCUUCAUGACGAAAGUUACACCUGUCUCCAUAAGGACACUCCUCCCCAUUAUUAAACUUCUUGCAGAGCUUCAUCCUGUGAAUUAUCUUCUGAUCAUCCUCCCAAUUACCAGUUAAUGGCCUAUCCUCGUCACGCACGGUAACAAGCUCUUGCCAAUUGGGAGGCGGCUGGCGAAUGUCAUCAAUGCCAUGUGCAUAGUUGCAAUUCUCACCAUUCCUACACGAACCAUUCUUAAAAUUUGCACACAGACGAGUCUUGUAAAAUAUGUUGUUUGCUCCUCUAUUAACCGGAGCAUUUGAUGGGGGCAAUCUAGCAUUGUUCAUUGGCGGAUAUGGCAUUGGAUUCGAUUGGGGCUCCUCGGAAUUUCUAGGCCUCUUAAAGGGUGGACCUUGCUGCUCAAACUGAGAAUGCUGAUCUUCAUUGUUCAUAGCAAUAGGAGGCCAGCAAUUAACAGCAUCACUGCCUCCAACAUAUAGCGAUUGGACCGGCAUAAACGAUGUUUGAUCAGAAUAAUUCAUAUCCAACAAACUACUCUAAAUCUUGCCUCUGUAAUCAAAUCAAAUAAAAAAGACUUAGGCUUUCAAACCACCUAGAAUCAAUAAUGCAAUAUCAAAUCAACAAUCUUUACACAAUGCUUAAAAGCCUCAAAAUCCUAUACAACCAUCAAAAGUAGCAUUUGCAGUGAAGAAUCAAAAGAACUGACCAGAUGGAUGAUCAAAACAACAAGCAGGGUCUGAUCAACAACACCCAAUUCUGCAAAAGUCACAAAGAACCAAACUUUAACAAGAAAACUUCAAACCCUGAUGAGAAUUGUGGGUAAAAGCAGAAAACCCAAAUUGGAAUUUGGGUUGAUCACACACAACCCUUUAUAUAUGAAAGAAUAAAGAAGCAAACUUUAUCAAAACCCUAGCCGCCAAGGAUCUAAAACCCUAAGUUGUUUUGGUUAAGAGGAGAAGCGAAAUCGGUGACUCUUAGUCGUACCCACUACCACUAAGAAAGAGCUGCGCCUUAAACCCUGACGCGUCCCAAAACCCUGAGAUUUCGGGGUAAAAAAAAACUGAUGGGAUUUACGGCUUUGUAAAUUUUUUUAGUUUAACGUUUUUAUAGGCAGGCACUGUCAUACGAAAGCGGUUACGAACUGGAACUGUGGGGCCAUCCUUUGUACUUGCUUUGCACCACGUGUGUCUUCUCCUAGGUUUCUUUUUGUCUGGUUGUAUUUCCGUUUUGGAUUAGGAUAAACCCUUUCGAGUCGAGUUGAACAUGAUCCAGAAGGUUUAGAUCAAACUUAAGUUCAAGGCUUGUGUUUGGCAGUUGGAACUUGAUUAUAAACACCUUUAGUAUGUGCUACAUAAAAGUUCAUGUUGAACUUGAACGUACAAUAAAGUAGAUUUUUUUUUUUUUAAACAAUCAAACUACUCAAACGAGGCCACAUGAAAGAAGUCAAAUACAAGAAGAAAGUGAAUCUUAACAAAAUUGAAAAGUAUGUAGCCCCAAAACAGAAUAGCUAUAAGAGCGAAUAAAAUUUGAAGACAUGUCCCACCAUGGUAGAUCAUCAUAACUGAUAUUCAAGUUAUCAAGAGCACUAGCAGAUUGGUUCCAUUCUCAAUAAAUAUGGGAAUAACGAAAUGCAUUUGAGACAUACGUUACAAACAAUUAUGCCGCUCAAGCUGUAACUAUCAAAGGACCAAGUGGAAAGAAUGAAUAAAUGAAAGAACAAGGGUCGAAUUCUAACCAUAUAUGUUUUAGUAUUCUAUUUGGUUACACUCAAGCUAACCUAAUGUCUUAAUGAUCGUCGUAGAGUUCGUUGCCACAUAGCUCGAAAUAUUAAGAUACGAGAAAGUUAUGAACUUGUGCCAACUAUACACUAUUACAACCUUUACAAACUAAAUAAGUCGAGCUUGAUUUCUAUUUAUUUUCUAAUUUGCAUCGAAGUUUAACCUUUAGGUCUAGAGCUUAAUGAGUCGGAGACACGUUUUUACACUCUUACCGAGAACAAAUCAAAAUAUAACUUCAAUAAAUGUUGGUAGGUUUCGUAUGGUUCUUAGAGCAUCGAUCUCCAACAGCUUUCCUAAAAUUUCUCUAAAAUGGAGAAGCAAAAGCUAAAAUAUCUAAAAAAAUUAUGCUCAAAAUCCAACAGCUUAUCUAUUUUGGAGAUUUAGACAUUUAAUACAACAAUAAAAUAUACUAUAUCAUUAUUAAUUAUAACAAAAAACCAUUAUAUAUUUCAUUGUAACAAUAAAAUACCCAAUAAAAUAUUAUAUUGUUAUCUUGAAGUCGUUGGAGCACGUGAAGAGUUAAAUUUUGGGGAAGAAAUGCUUUGUUGCAAAUUUGAGGAAUGAAAAUUUUUUUUCUUCUCCAUCCUUAUUUUGGGGAAUGAGAUGGGAAAACUGUUAAAUCUAAAAACAGCUCUAUAUAAGUGGCGGAUCCAAGAUCUAAUAGUUAUCUAGGCUAAUUUUUUAUGUGCAAUUUUUUUUUUUUUUAGUUAAAAAAGUGAUGAGCUCUGAAAAUAGAUAUCGGCCAACAUAAGCACAAAUAGAUAUAAAUCAUAAAGAGUUUAGAUCCCUAAUAAGCACCGCAGCUUGCUUUGUGGUAACAAUUACCAAUCUUGGUUGCCGAUCUCUACCUUCACAAGUAGAUAGAGUAUAGAUCCCAAUUUAAUUAUUAACCACUUGAGCUUCGUUUUAUGGUAUGAACUGUAAUUUACUGGAAACAAUUAUCAAUCUUUAAGUAAGAAGUCGAGGCUUAUAUGGAGUAUGGUAAAAGAUAUAGUACUCAACACGGCUGCAAUAUAUAUAUACCCUACUUGAGGCUUUUUGUCCUAAAAUUCUCUGUAGGCUUGAGCCUAUAAAGCCUUGUACAUGUAUCCGCCCAUACUCUAUAUUCUUUAAAAUUGAGAAAUUAAAAAAAAUAAAGAAGCUAUAUAAUCAUCACACAAGAAGCAUAAUCGGUUCAAAGAAACCCAAUUUUGAUGACUAAUCGAAGCGUCAAGCGACUGAGGUAAAGAAAGUAACAAAUCAACCAAUGAUCGAUAAAAGAUGAAAAACAAUGAGAAGACAAUAUCAUGAGAGAGUGGUAUUAUUGUUUACGGUAAGUCAAAGUUGUUUGUCCCAAGCAAGCCCCCUCCCCAGUCCCCACUGCAGAUGAACUCUCUCCACCGAUCACCUGUACUCCGUCCACCACCGUCUCCACGCCCCUCCAAUCUCGGCGCCGGCGGUCUCCUCUUCCAGACCUCCAUAAAGCAGGUUCAUUUACCAAUUCUUCCAUUAACAUGUGAUACGAUCGAUAUUGCGAUUGGAUCCCAGAAAAUUUUGAUUUCAUUCCAUUGGCAAAACCUAUUAUUGUUUGAUCACUUCUAAAGUUUAGUUAUUUCUAUGUCCUGUGUUCGAUUUCCCUUUUGCAUGCACUCUUUAGGCUAUGUGGGAUGCUCCAAGUUGACAUUUUUUGUUUAUCAGUUUUCAAAGUCAUUACCUUGAUCUCAAUAUUACAUGUGUUUACUUUGAUGAGUUAUACUUGUGGCACUAGAAAUCCAGAAUCUUACGAAAGCUAAGUAAUGGAGUGUAGGGAUAACAAACCAUAACAUAUCGAUGAGUCCAUUUCGACAAUGAUAUACAGCUCUGAUGAAUUAGAGGUCAAUGAAGGAAGACCUAUUAAUAUGCUCAUGAAGUUUUAGGCCGGUUGGGAUUUGAAACUUUUAUCAGUUUCAUCCAAAUUUAGAAAGGGCAUUAUGAAGGUGGAAUCCAAUGACAAAUCUUUUCUAGCUAUUGCGCAUGAUGUUCAGUUUAGGGUGAGUUUGUGUGCUUUGUUUGCCAUCAAAUGAAAUGCUAGAGGUAUGGAGGGAAAAGUUGAAUUUGACUUGCUUUGAACUUCUGAUAUAUGCAUCUAUGCUUUAUUGAAUCGCAGCAUCUGGUUCUUAUCUGCAUAAUUAUUGGUUGCUCGGAUAUUUGAUACUUAAAGGGAUUGUAAAUUAUUGCAGCGAGAGAAGGCCCUGUCAUCUAAAGUGAACAACUCAGAGAUUCCUUGAAUCCAAUAUCUGUUUUUCUUUUCUGAGCUAUUUUCUUGUUGGUUUGAAUCUAGAGCUCUAGUUAACGGUCCACGAUUUAGACUUCAAUUUUUCCGUUGAUCUUUGUAACCCCUCUGAGGGUUGGACCAUGUUGUAAAGUAGUAUUGAAUUACCAAUAACAUAUGUUCCCCACCCACACACACAAAGCCUGAGUGAGAGUUGAUAGAGGUACAGAAAACUAAGUAACUCCAUUAAUAAAAGACAGAGAGCAGAAGAAAUUGCCUAAUUCAGUUGCACCUUGCAACUUAAUUGGAAACCCUCCCUAAAACAGUUGUAUGAUUGAUUGGCUAUACUUGAGAAAAUGUGCCUUCAACCAUGACCACCUAAGUUUAUUUAUUUCUUAAAGGAAAGUGGGGGGAAAUUAAUAGACAGAUUUUGAGAAGGAUCUGAGUGUAAGAGUCUUCUACGCCUCAUUUCCUUAAACGUCAGCAUCUGAAUUCUGUAUUACAGACCUGCAACCAAGCAACAUUUACAAUCAUGUUCAGAGCCACUUAUUUUGUGUUGGGAAACCAAUGACUUAGGAAGAUUAGUACAUACCGUAGUCCUUUGGAGUUUUGCAUUUGUAACAUUCUUGCCGGUUAGCAUAAUUGUGCAUUCCACAUCCGACUCUGUUUCCAAUCAAAAUGCCAUAACAAUUAGGAAACUGAAGAGAAAUGACAGUAUUCUCUAGCACUAUACGUACAGAUCCUUUAAGUUAAAUGUAAAAUUUAAGUUAAAGGAGAGUGCUAUAGUUAUAGGCUUAUAGCAAAAUAUGGUGAAAGAUUGGAGGCUAGUUAUCUCGCAACAUGCAUUUUCAGUGGCAACUGCUAAGUGAGUAUGUUCUAGUCUACAUUAGGUUCUAUUUUAUCUAGAGACUUUGCAUGCAAAAUAAUACACAUAUUAUCUAUUACUAGAUGUGAAGUUACCUAGUGCAAAUCCAGUCACCAGCUUUCCAUCCUGGUGGUGCACUGCCAUCUGGAGCCAUCAUGUUGUACCCACCACAGUAGUCAUUUUUCAAUGCACCACAUCUGAAGCAAUUUGGUCUCUGUGCAUAGUUGUGAGCUCCACAGUUGCAAAACCAGUCCCCUGCCAAGACUUCUGUUCUGUUGCAUCCAUAUGUUGAGGGAUCAGGGCCACCAUACUUAGGGUAUUCGCAUCGUUGGCAUGCUUCUCUCUUUUUAAAAUUCAAGUGCUGGCAUGCGCCACACAUCCAGUCUCCUCCUGCCCAGCUCAUUCUUCCUGUGUAUGCAAUCAACAUGAGAUUUAGCAUGAUAAACCAACAUUUUAAAUAUUUUCAUUUUGUGUGAUUAGAAAUUUAUUGAGAGGCUUCAUCAGCAACAAGAUGACAGCUUAACUAGAGAAGAUGUAUUGUUUUGUGAUAGCUGAGAUAUCCAAGGAAGUCUAAAGACAAAUAUUAAUAUAUGGUAAGGGAUACUAAUUCUACUAGCUCAUCAGUACUAUUCCAUGAAUGAAGAAAGAUAUUCUGCAUAAACCUGGUCCCUGGCCUGAAGUUCAUAUAGUGUUUCAAUAAUAACAGCUUUAGGAGUCUCAAAGACAGGGAAUUAUCUGAAUUCCAGAACACAAAGUAGAAGGAAGGAGCUAGAGAUCACCUGAAGGAAAUACAAAAAAAUUGGGACUGUAGUAGCUCUGCUUGAACUGUGCCUGUUGUAGAAGAAUACUACUUGUCGAUGAGUUGGUGUUCUUGUUGUUCGGCUUGGACGGUUUAUAUAGUAGUUGUUCAAGGCUAGAUGUGUGGGGGCCAUGGAUGUUCCUGUUUUAUUCUCUGGCUUUCAGAUAGGUUUUCCUUAAUAUGCAUAGAGGAUUCCGUAAGAUUGUUUCUUCAUGUAUAUUUUAGGAUUCUUCACUCAACUAGUUACUUCGGUUUCUUUUACUACUGUUGAGAGUUAGAAGAGCAGGGUGGCAAGUAGCAUGGGUUUCUAAAGGUGGCAGGCAGAACUAGCCAGUUGAGUUCAUGCAUGAUGCAUACACACAACACAAUUUUCCCAAUAAAAUUCCACAUGUGACCCCCACCCCUGCCCCAUCUUUACAAUAUUCUUCAUGCAUUAUUGCCAAAAAUACACUUGGAACUAUUAUUCCUCCUGUUCUCAGUAUAUCCAAAACAUUUAUGUAUGAAGGUGUUAUGAGGGGAAGUUGCUACUUGAAAGUUGAAGGAGGCCCAGAGAAUAUAUCUUCCCUGUUUUAUGUCAAAGGGACUGCAAUCUGAUCGCGUAAGUUAUCUGAUCACCAUCUUGUAAUACUUAACCUGUACUUAAUACAUCCCUUAUCAUAUGAUAAUCUGUUGACUGAUUAUUGCCGCAUGGUGCAACUUGACACUAAUGUGAUCGGAAGAUAUGAUGUGGUUUAUCUGGUCACCAGUUUGUUGCAGGUAAUGUGUAUUCAUUACAUCAAUUAUUAUGAUGGAUCAAAUUUAGCUCUGUUAUGUAUUGUGAUCGAAAGAUAUGGUCCUGCAGGGUUAGUCUUUUUUCUUUCUUUCACAUCUCUAAUUCUCAUAUGUUUUCACGUGGGAAGCUGAUAUUUAUGUGCAUACACACACGUCACACGCCAAGAGUGCUUCUCAUCCAGUUUGCGCAUACACCUUCCCUAAGUAGUUCAUGCAGAUGUGGGUCAUGUUAGAAAGGGCCACUGAAUGGAGGUAGAGAGGAACUUUUCUACUACUAGUUUUUCACUUAGAAUCAAUUCCUCCAAAUGCACAUUCAUUACGAAAUUCUUUUAACCUUGUCUAGGUUGCUUUUUGCCUUUCAGCUAUAAUUGAAAUGCCAUUCGAAGAUUCAUAUCACAUUGCUUGGUUACCUAUCUUUAACCAUUAAUGUUUAAAACGUAGCUAAUCAUCCAAUUCUUUAAUUCAUAUGGAUUUAGAACUUUCGAUCAAUCAAUAUGUUGUAGGAUAUCGUAUAUUGUAGGUCUCAUGUGAUACUCGUUUCAUACGAGAUAGAGAGGAAGGAACUUGAAAAGUAGUAAGAGGACUAAUAUUUCCUUUAUGUAUAUACAAACAUUAAUUUGUGUAAACUGUUCAUGUAUUUGUUUAGUCUCCUAAGAAUGUAUAAACUCAAAUGUGAUUUGUUAGGUGACUAACUGGGUCCUCUACCAGGUGGUGAUGGACACGUGUUUGGGAGAUCAGUCUUGAAAUGAAGAUAGCAAAUAGGUAUGGGGUAGCAAAUCUUACCCUUCCAUGCAGUUCCACUCUCUUUAUGGAAAAAGGAAUGCUUUCAGUAAGUUUACUUGGAAUAAGAAUCGCGGCGGACCGACGCUGGUUAUGCACAAUGAGCUGGAGAACCUGGUAUAUCACAAAAGUGCCACAUAGGAACUAGGAAGUAAGGCCUUCUAGCCUUUUUCUAUUGAGCAACUGCAACAUAACUCUGAAUGCAAAUUAACUUUAAUCUAGUCUAUGCAAUUUUCUUUGCCUGAAAAUAUGUUCUUACAUUAGACAGCCUUUCUUCUAAAGGACUUUAAUUUAUACAGCCUUUGUUUACUGCAAAUUAAUAUCAGGCCAUGUUUGUUUGCUGGAAUUAGCUUUUAUGAAAGGAAUGCAAUCCCUCGGCUGAAGGGAUUUGUUUCGUCCUAUUUGGGCAUUGAGUUUGCUCUUGCAGAGUUGCAGGUAUCGUUGGGAAGCCUCCCAAACGAGACCUCAAUUCAUUCAUCACCAGAUUUUCAACAGCUGAAGACUGUUUAGUGAAGCAUAUCUCUACUACUAUAAAACCAGCAGUAGGAAAUUCACCAAAUUAUGUUUUGCCAACUAGGGUCAGCGAUUCAAUCUACCGCCCAUGUGGAUGCAGGAUGAAAAGGAGGUCGAAGCAUAUUAUAACUUGCAAACCCAUCACAAGCUUCUUCAAGAACCAGAAUAUAUUGCUCCCGUAACACAUUCAUUCAUGCAUGCAUACAUGUUACAUACCCUCUGUCCAAGAGAGAUCCUGGCAUUAGCUAUAAGGGUGUACGCAUUUGCUGACAUGUCAAUGACAUACAGAGUCCAUACGAGCUGAUGUGGCGCAAAGAUGCUUGCGUGUUGACCUGGGAUUCGAUAAGAGAGAAUCCUAAUCGCCACAUUUUCACCAGACAUGAGGAAUAUUCCACCAUGAUUUAAAAAAACCCUAGACAGUGCCCCUUCAAUCUUUAUUCUCCAUACAUGACUAUUCUCAAAAGGAAGAGGGGAUGAGGCCAUCUCCCUUCAAUAAUAGACACUUUUGGUUUUGGAGAAUCCUCCACGAACUCCACAUCCCAAUUCCCAAACCGAUAGCCAUAACCAACAGAAAAUAGCCGUGGCUUUCGAAUUUUUGAAUAUACUCAUGUCUGUCACUCUUAUUAUUGUGAUCAAUAACAUUAUCAUAUGUGGAUUGAUAUUUCUUUUUCCAGAUAGAUGGCACUAGCUGGAAACCUUAAUCAUCCAACAUGUGAAUUUCUUUCGAUGUCUUAAUUUGAUUGAAAAAGCUGUUUGAACGAGCAUGACUAUUCGCAAUUGACAACACAUCAUUAUUUCCUCCCAAUUCUGAAAAGCUUUUGUUAUCCUAUCCUUUAGUCUUUGGUGGAUUUUAUUUAGGAUAUUGAAAACCAUGGAAAUGAAAUCGCUUGUGAAUGCUAUCUUUUUCUUGAGUCAAUUGUGGAAUCACGUUUUCAAUGCUUAAACGUGUAUUAUAAAGACAGAAACAAGUUAAUCAACUACCUACUAGACGUGAGAAUUGCUUGUAUUAUAAGUAACCGAACCCAAAAAUUGAAUAGAUGCAGCUUCUUUAGGCGAAAAUGGCAAAUUAAGAGUGGAUCUCUUUAUUUCGAUCAUUUUCAGGUAGUAUUUCCACAUCUCAACUGUAAAAUGUUUAGAACAUAGUAUGUUUAUCAAGGAAUGUUGAAUAAUGCCUAGGAACGACUUAGUCAGCUUGUUUGAAGCGCCACAGCUGCACCUGGUUGAUCCUAAUAUUGAAGCGCCCCAGCUCGAUAAGAAUGGUGACGAGCAGCAUGACGAACCACCAUCCUCCUAUAUAAGCCUGCAACAAAUCAAGCAACUUCACGAAGUUUCAAUCACUUAUACACAGACAUAGGAGAAAAAAUAUGGCAACUAAGAUGUCGCUUCAGUUUGUUUUAGAAGGAAGCAUAUCAGCUGUGCAUGACAUGGAGGAGGUUGAGCAAAGACCCUACCACCGUAACUGCAGUUGUGCAAUGCAUAAGGUGAAGGCCAACGCUUGCCCUCAAAGACAAUGCUUGUUUGUCUCAUUGUGAGAUUCAUUUAAAUUCUCAUCAACUUCACAGGUAUAUGAGAACUCUUUCUUUCCAGAAUGUAACGAUUCAAUCCCCAUAUCUGAGCUUGAUAUGAACGAUGAUAUCAGUUGCAGUCAGUGGUGACUCAUGGUCAAAACUACCAGUAGGAGUCAGGGGUGGCCCUCUAUUACCCGAAUUAAAGCCCAAACCAGAGCUGUGUUUGGAAUCUCCUUCACCACAACAGCAACAACUUUCCCAUUCACCAAUGAAUUUUUCUUCUUCUUCAUACUCAGCCACCCCAAGACUCAAAAAUUACACCCAGAACUUCCUCUACACUCCCAAAAUUCAAACCACACAUCCAAAAACCAGUCCAAAACAAACAAAACCCAUAUCCAGAAUAACAUGCAUUACCACUUUCCACAAGAAACGAAACAAGGCAGAAUAGCCAUUAGAAAAGCAUAUGUUGAACCAGAAACAGAUAUACAUAUUUGAUUUGAAGUUUGAAUCGCCAGUACAGAAAGAAGCGCGAGGCAUAUUACCAUUCUUGUAAUAUGCAAUUCCGUUAUGGCAUAGGACACAUUGCAACAACAUUAAUCUCAGUGAUGGAUGAUAAAUCAAACAAAGCAGAACAACAAAAUCUGGAUAAAUAGAUAGUAGGAGUACAACUUAAAUAUAAUAGUACAGAAGAUGAUGAGACAAUCAAGUUACAAGUCAUUACAGCAGAAAGCAACCAAGUGUGUCAGGCGGUGACAUACAGUCUGGAGAGGAAUGGUAUUCGAAAAUGCGAGGAGGCUGGAAUUGGAGAGUGAAACAAUUCUUCCUGUCCGUGUCCACCUUGGAGAUAUCAAAUUCGAAUUGAAACAGUACGGCACCACCCGUAUAAAUCCCAGAGUUUGUGCGUUCUCCAACACGAGCGGUGGUGACAAGGAAGACAUUGUUUCCCCCUAGAUGGAAGAAAUGACAGUCAUUUGGCCAUGGUUGAUGAGGGAGCUCAGCCGGCAGAUUCAUCUCAAAGAUUUCACUGAUUGUUUCCUGGUUUUCAUCCAAGGACAUAAGAUGAACUACUAUAUUGCAACGGGAGUAGCAAUGUCUAGCCGAAAACAGUAACUUUUUGUUACCGUGUUCUGGCUGAGGCAUGUCCACCGCUACAGCUUGGCCUGCAAUUGGUAAAGGGCCACCUUGGCACAAGCUGGGGACUCUCCUCCAUUCUGGGUCUCGGGCCGCAAAAUCAAAGCAGCAAAUCGGGCAGUCUGCGGUAGGCUUAACCAAUCUGGUAGACAUAAACAAUUUGGUGCCUGCAAUAACAUAAGAUGCAGUUGAAUAAGGGUAGCAGCAGGCAGCAUCAGGGUAGCUUGGCAGAACUGACCAAGUACCCUGUUGGGGGUCAAAUACCUCAAAUGAUUUGACACUUUCCCACUUAUAUGACAGAACGUAGAGUUUGCCGGCAAACUCAACCAUCAACGGGCUUUGUUUCCCUCCGUUUAAAGCCCCCGGCAUCUUGACUAUUCCUUGUUUGGGGUCAUGGGCAUCGAAGGCAUAAGCAUCUGUGCUGGGAUGAGGGCCGUAUGGUGGUCCGAAACGAUCCGGAUCGAAGUUGGGUUUAAAGCCGCUGGCGAUGACAAACUUGGACCCCAAAACACCGCAACCAACUCUACCUGGGAGACCUACUCUACUCCGGAGAUCUUUACCUGGGAAAUCUUUGUCGUCCAUUCUCGCUAGUUCCCGCAAUUCUAGUUUCUCCGACGACGACGAUGUCAGCAGAUCGGGAAGAUUGAUGGAGCGAACAACAUAGGAAGAAUCCCAAGGCUGACGAGGAUACCUUGGCGGAGGGGGCCGAAAGUUGGGUCUGUCCCAGUAACGUUCCAUGCUACAAAGGAAUAGAGACUUAUCAUCAGCAUAUUCAAGGCUGCAUGUGCCUGUCUUGACACGCUUAUGCGGACGCGGGCUUUGCUCUUCUUCUACUUCUUCUUUAACGUAGCUUUCUGGGUUUAACGAUUUUUCGGACAUGGUGCUCUCUGUUUGCUCUCAAGUACGAUGAUGGUAUGGCUUUAGGUUUGGCGUUUAUAUAACAUGUUGUUCUUCAUCAAACCUAAUAACAGUUGGAUUAGAGUCCUAAUUAUCAUUGGAUUUGGAUUGGACUGCCCAGGGCGGUAAAGUCAUUUCUGUUUGGGAACUUGAAUCAGUAGCCACGGAGGACCUGCUUCCUUCCAGAACUGGAUGCCAUCUACUUGUAGCGCAUGCUUCGAGAUACAAUCUGCUGCUUUGUUGCGUUGGCGCUGAAUCUUCUUCCAGCUUCAUCAAAUGCUGUCUUAAGCCUCUUUAUUUCUUCAAUUACUGCUCCCACUGGGCUAGUUUUACAUGCAUGCUGUCAACAAUGGCACUUCAAACAAUGCAGACCCUUUAAUUCACUCUGUAUGUUGAAAUUCGAAACCAAUUAGCUGCCUUUCAGCCAAAGGCUUAUCUCUCCGUGCAUGCAUAGUCAUUGCAGCUAGCACGUAAACGCAUCGCAGAUUUUGCAGGUGAGUAGGUGACCACCUCAUAGAACCCCCAAUACAAACAUGUUUGAGGGUUUGACAUAGAAACCUGCUUUGUUUGACUAUAUACUCUCGAAUUGUUCGUGCAAUUAAUGAGGUUUUUAUAUAUUUGAACCCUAGAGAAACAUCAAACAUGAACCUGCUAGCUAGCUGCAGCAAAAUGAAAGCAUGCAUGGUAUUCAUUGUUUUUCUCUUAGCUCUGCUACUGAUCACCCAAACAAUCACAGAAGCUAAACACCCGCAGAAUGUGAAGGAAGGAAAAGUAGCAGAAGAGAAGAGAAGCGGAAGCAACAGAAACAGAACCAGUACUGGUAGAAGCAGCAGAAGCAGAGGAAGAGGCAGUAAUGGUGGAUCAAGGUCAAGAACAAGAUCAAACUGUGAUCCAUUGUUCCAGUUUCUGUUUGGAACCUGUGGCCAAUGGCCUUUCCCUACCAACCCUUCCCCGAACAACCCUUUUGCCCCAACGCCGAGACCCUCUCCAAGGCCGCCUCGAGUUCCACCUUCUCCUUUACGCCCCUUCCCGCCCGUAAUCCCGUCUCCACCGCCACAAGCACCAUCUCCACCACCUUUGCCACCGCCACCAAUUCCACCACCCCCUUCAGCUCCGCCACCAUCAUCGUCACCUCCGCCGUCAGCACCACCUCCAUCAUCGCCACCUCCACCGCCUUUGGUUCCUUCUCCACCUCCGCCGUCUCCACCACCACCAGAAUUCCUGCCGCCACCAAUACCAAUCGUCUUUCCACCACCACCGGAUGUAGAGAUGCAACCACCCACAACUCCUUGGCUCUCACCUCCCGACACCUUCCCUGAUACACCACCAACCAUUCCAGCUCCACCAUUAGUACCAGAUAUUGACCUUCCUCCACCUGCAUUACCAGACUUACCACCAUCCGGAGAUCAGUCUAGUACUCCAGCAACACCACUGGUUCCAGUAUUUUCACCACCACAAGAUGAGCCUACUCCAACCUUACCACCCAUAUUUACAUUACCACCACCAAUACCUAUACCUGAUCAGCCUUCUCCCAUCUUUACAUUUCCACCACCAAUAACUGUUGAUGAACCAUCUCCAAUAUUACUACCUCCGCAAGAUCCAUUUUCGUUUAACACACCACCAAUCUUACCAUUUCCAACUACACCAGACACCGGUAAUGGUGGUGGUGGUGUGAUUGAUCAGCCACCAUCUUUUGAUCCACUUCCACAGACACCAGUCUUUCUGCCACCUCCAAUUCCGGAAAUUCCCCAAAAUCCACAGGAACCACCAGUACUUUCAUCUGAGACUAGUCCACCAGCACCAGAUAUACCUAUCAAUGAGCCACUGCAGCAGCCAUUGGAACCCAAACUCCCUUAAUUUUCUGCCUCCCUCUUGUACGAUCCCCCUUUUAUUUGUUUUUUGUUCCUUUUUCUUGCCACAAAUCUUGUAAGAACUUGAUAUCUCAUCUCAUUGUCUGUCUCUUAUGCUCGAGCAUCAAGUACUUUGAAGCAAUUGCUAACACUUUGAAGUAAAUGAAUAAAGAUUCUGGAGACUGUACGAAGGAAAACAUAAUCAAACUUGAUUGGAUAGUUCUGCGAUCAAAGCUUGAAUUCUUGGGUGGAUACUAAUAUCACUACCAGUUUUGUAUUUAGCUUCAAUGACGCUGUGAGUCAGACUCAAUUAUGAUGGAUGACAUCUUCUUAUAGUCUUUCCCCCCAUAUUGAGGCCUCUUUUCACCAGCCUCAUCUUGCUCAUGUUCAUAAACGCGCUUCAGUAUCAGAUUCUCAUCGAUUGCAGUUUUCAUCAUCUUCAAAUAUUCUUUCUGCCCAUUCUCUGCAUUAUACACAUCUUUCCAUCUAAGUUGCUCAGCUUCUGUUUUGUCCUCAGAGUAAUGAUUUCGGAGGUAGUCAACUACAUUGAUAAGCAAGGACAACUUGGCAUGGGCACAACGGAAAAAUGGAUGAGACAACAUAGUUUCAAACAACCUUACAACAUUAAUCUGAACCUUUUGUGCUCUCACUUUUAAGAAUAUAAUUAAUUGAGACAUGUAAGGAGACUCUCUCUAUCCUCAAUGACCACUUCCAGGCCAUUGACCUCAUACCUUCUCAAUAAGAGCUUCAAAAAGGCGCACAACAUGCUUGAUCUCACUUAUGUUCUAAACUCGGAUAUCAGAGGGUGGUGGAAGUCGUAAAACUCCAUCAACUAUCUCAAUUUCUUCAGAAGUGUGCGGUCCAGGCGCUACUCCUAAUUUACUACACAUUCUGCUUAAGAAUGCCAGACUAGCAUCAACUGCCAAAAAAACAUAAAAUUCUAGUUUCAACACUAUCUUUAUCGCUCUGUGAUGCUGGUCCAUAGAAAAUAAUGUUUAUGGGCCAAUGUUUUAUGAUGUUUAUCGUAUGAAGCACAAAUAAUUUUAAGAGAAAUUUUAAAUACACACCCCUAUUGUUUUAUGUUUCUAUUGAGAUUUUAUAGGUAAGCUAAAUGACCAAAACAUACAUCUAUUAUUAAAAAAAAAAUCACACUAGAAGUAUUCUUUUCAACGUCUUCUACCCUAAAAUAGUCGAAAUCACGUCUUCUCUCCUAACCCCAAUUCUUCUCCACAAUUCAUUUGGGUUUUGUUUUUUAUUCUGUAUCAGCUUCAGUUUGAUCUUACAGAUCAUAUUGUCAAGUACUACAUCUUUAUCAGCUUUAGUUUGAUCUUGCAGAUCAUAUNNNNNNNNNNNNNNNNNNNNAUGAAAUGCAACAACAAAUGACAAUGAAAGUGAGAGCAACAUGGUACAAUGUACACGAGCAAGAAAAGGUCGAUUUUUAUGAUAAAAACAGAUACGCCGAUUUUACAUGAGCAAUAAAAAGUUAAUUUUGAUUAUGUGGCAAUGAAAAUUCUGGCCAUUUCGAUAUAGUUUUCGUAUACCAUCCAUCUUCAGCUGGGCAUCGGUUGAGAGGAAAAAUGUUGGCAACCGUAGUACGGUCCUCUCAAUGAUUAAACAAAAUAAUAUAUAUGGUGCGGCACAUUUUUGUAAUUAAGCCAUCUGAUUCAUUUUCCCUUAACUAAAUAGUUAAUCUCCUUCACAUGCAUUUUGCGUGCAAUUUAAUUUCUCGAUUUCUCUUAACAGGUUUUUUAAAUUUUAAUAUAUAAAUUCUCCUUUUUCGCUCAAAAUAAUUAAGUAGCCUCAAAGUGAGGUUUGAUUUGAUUUUGCUGAAAUAAUUUUAAAGAAACUGUUCCCGUUGAGUGUUAGGUUUUGAACCGAUAGCCCUGCAUGGAGACUUGUCAGAUUUCCUAGCAUAGAAGAGAGACUGUUAGCUAGCUUUGAUUCCCCGAAUCACAAAGCAAAUUGUUUUUUCAUAUAUAUUUAUGCUUCCCAGAAUAUACAUAAGUUUUCGCAUCACGAAAUCAACGAAAUAUCAUAUUAAAAAAUCCAGGAUCAAUCCCUCCAAAUAGUUUAAAAACUAAGUCGACGCUGCCUCCUUUGGCAAGUAGCAAAGGAAAUAGCAGAAAUGGCGGCAUUAGCACAAGGAGUGAUUGUGGAUCACAUUGCCAGACAAUCCAAGGACAUUAGGCGCCUCGCCGAUUUCUACAUUGAGGUUCUUCUUCGAGCUUCAAGCUUCAAAUUUCUUAUUUCAUUGUAAGCUAAUGUGUUCAUCAAAUCAAACUGAACUGAAAUUCUAUUUGAUAGACAUUUGGAUUCGAGGAGGUAGAGAGUCCAAAGGUCGGGCCACUCAAGGUGAUAUGGCUGGUUAAGCCCUCAGCUUUUACCAUGCACCUUAUUGAGUUCAACCCAAGUUACCCCCCAAACGAGAGUAAUGACACGGCAGCGGUAGCUGAACCUGCCAAAAUUCCCAGAGGCCACCAUAUCUGCUUCUCUGUCUCCAACUUCGAAUCCUUUGUGCAGAAACUCAAGGUAUAUAUUGAUUUGGUUUUCGGAUUAAUUACCCUUUCGGAUUAUGUAGAGUUUAAUUUGAGUUAAGUUUAAUUAUCUUAACCUUUCUCAAACAGAUGAGAAAAUGGUAUAUUGUUGGACCUCAUGCAUCACCUAAACCUAGUAGCUAGAAAAUCAACUUUUUAUGUCCCCCUUUCCAGAAUGUGUACAAACGGUGGAAACAUUCCAUUUCCUUUUUCAUCUAGGAAAUUAGGAACCUCGCAGCUAUAUCUCUGAGAAUUUUGGUCUCUCCAAAUUUCCAAUCACUACUAACUAGUUUUGAUUAUAUAUGAAGCUCGAUGUCUAUAUCAGUUGAAGGGAAAAAAAGACUAUACUUGCCUCUCCUCUAUAUAUGUUCCUCUUUUGUAUGGGGGAGUCAGCUGAGUCGGAUAUGAUUGUGCAGGAAAAGGUAAUUGAGACGGCUCGUAGGCCAGUUGAAUAUAAUCCAACUGGCAGUAAGAAAAUCGACCAGGUCUUUUUCUUUGAUCCCGAUGGUAAGCUUUUCUAGAUCUAAUCCCAGUUAUUCUAUCAUAUAUGUUGGCAUCAGCGCUCAAACGUUGCCACAGGGGCCCCACAGCCAUAAUUUAAAGAUGAGGGGUGUUAGACUGUUAGGUAUUACAAUCUAUAGUUGUCAAUCGGAUGGAUAUAUGGAUACAGACAGUCGAGUCAUAUAUGGAUACUUAGUUACUGAUGAAGUGAUUUAUAGUCAAUUAUUAUUAGAUUAAUAUUUAUAGGUUGAGAACAAAAUAAUUUUACUUUAAAAUAAUACUUUUUAUUGUUAGAUUUGCAUCUAAAGAUGAUUGGUUAUAAUUCUCUUGAUUGGUCAGUAGGUGAACCCUACUAAUAUAGAUAAUAUAGAUAAUGGACUUUAUCGUAAGUGUUUCCAUUAUCACUCAGCAACCCUGUUGUCCUUGUUUUUUUAUUUUUUUAUUUUAUUUUUUUAUGAAAUAAAGAUAGUCCGAUCUGUUUUAGUUAGUUUCUUACAAUUAAUACUUCAUAUUGUCAGGCAACGGUUUGGAGGUUUCGGAUUCCACCGCAGCAAAGUGGGUUGCUCCAAAUCGUAAUGCAGAUUGACGACAAUAGUGUACAUUUUCAUAACAAUAAGCUGCAUAUAUAUAUAUAAAUAUAUAUGUCAUUUUCAUCGACAUGUCUCCGUUUAUGCAAUUGUAGUAACUCGAUCAGGUAUCGUUUUAUGUAUGCAUGUACAUUUGUAUCGUUUUACAGACAUAAGAUGUAAUUUAGUUCUUAUAUUGAACUCCGUUACUCAUGUUUCUCUUGUUUAAAAUUAUGGCUACGACAUUGUUUCUAAUUAACCCUAGCUAAUAAUAUUGUGUGCAUAUGAGUAAUAAUUAGAUUUUUUAAUAAUAUAUAAUUAUAAUUUAAAAGCAUAUAUAUACAAUGUUGAAUUAAGUCCUAUGCGGCGAAAAACGAGGAACAUCGCCGGAGUUGAUCCAAUCGAGAGAGAGAGAGAGAGAGAGAGAGAGAGAGAGAGAGAGAGAGAGAGAGAGAGAGAGAGAGAGUAGAGAGAGAGAGAGAGAGAGAGAGAGUAGUAGUAGUAGUAGAGUAGUAGUAGUAGUAGUAGUAGUAGUAGUAGUAGUAGUAGUAGUAGUAGUAGUAGUAGUAGUAGUAGUAGUAGUAGUAGUAGUAGUAGUAGUAGUAGUAGUAGUAGUAGUAGUAGUAGUAGUAGUAGUAGUAGUAGUAGUAGUAGUAGUAGUAGUAGUAGUAGUAGUAGUAGUAGAGUAGAGNAGAGAGAGAGAGAGAGUUGACCAUUUAUCAUAUAUGGGUGGUUGUCAUUAGAUGGUCAUGGUGGUUAUCAAAUUUGCUGGUUGGCAAAUUUGAUUCCUAGACUGUUAGGUAUUACAAAUUUACAAUCCAUAUAUUAAAGUUGUGAAUCGGAUGGAUAUAUAGAUACAGAAAGUCGAGUUAUGUUCACCUCAUUAGUUACUGAUUAAGUGAUUCAUGGUCAAUCACUGUUAGAUUUAUAUAUAAGGGUUGAGAAUAAAACAAUUAAUUCUAUUUUAAAAUAAUACUUCCUACUAAUAUAGAUAAUAUAGAUAAUGGACUUUAUUGUUAGUGUUUCCAUCAUCACACAGCAACCCUGUUGUCCUUGUUUUUUUUUUUUAAUUGAAAUAGAGACGGUCCGAUCUGUUUUGGGGAAUUAAGAGUCUUACAAUUAAUACUUCAUAUUGUCAAGCAACGGUUUGGAGGUUUCAGAUUCCACCGCAACAAAGUGGGUUGCUCCAAAUCGUAAUGCAGAUUGACGUGAAGCAGACAGUAGUGUACAUUUUCAUAACAAUAAGCUGCAUAUAUAUAUAUAUCAGUUCCUAUUCAGAACGAAGUUUCGUUCUGAAAUUAAUAUGUGAAGUUCCUUAUUUGACUAACUUUUCGGUCAUAUUUCCACAUCUCCACCGUUUAAUUUGUAAAACCUAAUGCAUAGAUCACUUAUGCAAAGUUUCAUCUAAUUUGAUGAUCGUUUGAGUUUUCGUAAUCGUGAUUUACACAAACAGUUUUGGUUAGACAUAUUUAUGGUCCGUUCAUUGAUUUAAUCUAAUUCGAUACUCAAAUAAUCAUCAAUCUGAAUGAAAUUUUGUAGGAAUGAUCUAUAUAUUAGUAUCAAUAAACUGAGCGGGUAUCGUUUUAUAUAUGCAUGUACAUUUGUAUCGCUUUACAGACAUAAGAUGUAAUUUAGUUCUUAUAUUGAACUCCGUUACUCAUGUUUCUCUCGUUUAAAAUUAUGGCUACGACAUUGUUUCUAAUUAACCCUAGCUAAUAAUAAUAUUGUGUGCAUAUGAGUAAUAAUUAAUUUUUUUAAUAAUAUAUAAUUAUAAUUUAAAAGCAUAUAUAUAUAAUGUGAAUUAAGUCCUAUGCGGCGAAAAAUGAGGAACAUCGCCGGAGUUAGAUCCUCGCCUUAAACAUAGCGACGAUUAAUAAAUGAUCGUGUAAAAGGGAACUAAGGCGACUAUAAUUUCCAUGCGUCACCACGUGUUGGCGACAAUGAUUUUGACGCCUGAAUGUGUCUGUUUUCCUCACCUUAGACUUAUGUGAUAAUGAAUAAAUAGUCACCUAAGUAUCCAUUUAGGUGACCAUUAUUUUUUAUUAUUCGCCUAAAUUCUUACUUGUCCAUGCUCAUCGCAUGAGAACUUAGGCGACAAAAAUGGACAUUUAAGCGACGAAACUUGUUUGUCACCUAAGUCCUUUAUUCUAGUAGUGUAUAUUGUGUUGUACUACAAAGUUUUAAUGCUUUAAUGUAUUAGGUUAUGCUAUAUGUUUGGUUUGUGGCCUGAUCUACUUUAUUUUGAGCAUCACAAACAGCAAUGUAAUUCUUCAUGUUCUUCAUUGGAACUUUGCUUUGAUUCGAGUAGAAGAUUCUGAGAUGUAAUUCUUCAUGUUCUUCAUUCUCUGGUAAGAUGAGUAGUUGAGUACGUGUUACAGCAAAUAAGCAUCGGAUAGGGUUUACCUUUUUUUUUUUCCGUCUAAACUGGAUAAGGUUUACUUUGAUUUUCAUUUCUUCGCUCGACCUUGAAUUAUCCCUUUGUUUUCGAUUACUUGAAUUAUCCUUUUAAACAAUAGCGUUGGUGAAAGCUAGCUAGUUAAUUCAAUGCAUGGCACCGAUCUCGUUGGAGACGAGGAGGAGGGAGUCGGGGACGAGGUCGAGGCGGCGGAGGAGAUCAGAGGGCUCGCGGUAGACACGGGAGGAGGAGGAGGCCUUGGGUUUGUAGAGAUGGGAGAGAUUUGAGGGGUCUGAGAGAGAUUUUUGUGUUGUGUUGUGGUGGCUUUUAAGAGAGGAAAGAAAGCGAGGAGAGAGACGGAUUUGGGCUCGUGUAUUUGUGAUCGUUAGAUCAAGCAAAACUUGGUUCCCAUCAACGACACAGAAGUCGAUCCACGCCAUUUUUUAUUGUUGGAGUCCGCGCCAUUUAUUCAACAUUUAUAUUUUUUAAUUAUUAUAUAAUUAUGGUAUUAUAUUAAUUUUGGCAAUUAAUCAGGCAUUAAUGAUUUUCAUCAUCAUUUAUAGAAUUAGAAAGUCAAAUAAUGUAGUAAAUUAGACAAUUAAUCAGUCAUGUCAUGAAAUUUAAGCCCAUAUGAUUGGAAGUUAGUAGAAUUGUAGGCAUAAUUAAAAAUAACAAUCCUAAAUAGAAGUAAAACCGUCCAUAUGAUUUUUGUCAAUAUACUAAAUUGAAGCAACAUCCAAUCACGUUAGUCAAAUAUUGAUAUAUAGAUAUAUAUAUAUGUCCAUAUGAUAAUUAUGAGAGGUCACUUAAGGUAAAGUGGCGUUAUAUAGGGAUAGGUAAAAACGUUUUCGUGUAAUAAAUGAUGUUAAUUUAAUGUUGACAGCGUGGAUCGAGACUUAAACGUUUUCAAAAACUAAUGAAUUUUUUUUCAUAACCAUAUUUAAGUACACUGAUCAUAUCAGACGGUUGAAUUUUCAUUUUGUGAAAUUUAGCCAUCGGAACCACAACGUGUCUACUAAAGUAGUAUAACUUGUUUAGUAUGUUAUAUGCAAGUGUACGUCUUUGUGAACCAACUAUAGGGAUGAAGCAAUAUUUUCAAAAAUCUUGUGAAAUAGAAUGUGAUUGGUAUGGUGAAAUGCGACUAUGGUUGAAAAAUCACAUAUUUCCGGUAACGUUUGGUCCUUGACAGAAGCGGUCAACCCUAUUUACGGUUAUACUUCCUUAUAGGGAGCCCUAUCGUCGAAAGGUGAACCUCCCCAAAUUUUUACAUGGGUGGUUACAUCUCAUCAACGUGAGAGUUUUGUGUGUGCAAGAAUCAACCAAACUAGGUCAUAUAAGAGUAGACAAGAGCGUUUUCGUGUAAUAAGUGACGUCGUUUUAAUGUUGACAGCGUGAAUCGAGACUUAAACGUUAUCGAAAACAUGUGGAAUUUUUUUUUAUAGCCAUAUUAAAGUACACUGAUCAUAUCAAACGGUUGAAUUUUCAUUUUAUAAUAUUUAACCGUAACUACAUCAGACAGUGAAAUUAUUAUUUUCACACAACUUUUACUGUGGUCCAGGAUCCUCAAGCCCAACUUGAGUCUGGUCAUUAGCAUGUUUGCCACCGGUAAAAGUACUCUAGCAGCUGAGUUAUCAUAUUAAGUCCUCUUUUCACCAAACUCAUCUUGCUCAUAUUCAUGAACAUGCUUCAGUAUCAGAUGCUCAGUGCUUGCGGUCUUUCUCAUCUUAUAAUCUUUCCCCCCAUAUUGAGGCCUCUUUUCACCAGCCUCAUGCUCAUAUUCAUAACCACGCUUCAGUAUAGGAUUCUCAGNNNNNNNNNNNNNNNNNNNNGGGGAAAGACUAUAAGAAGAUGAGAAAGUCUACGAUCACUGAGAAUCCUAUACUGAAGCGUGGUUAUGAAUAUGAGCAUGAGGCUGGUGAAAAGAGGCCUCAAUAUGGGGGGAAAGACUAUAAGAAGAUGAGAAAGACUGCAAGCACUGAGCAUCUGAUACUGAAGCAUGUUCAUGAAUACGAGCAAGAUGAGUUUGGUGAAAAGAGGACUUAAUAUGACGACUCAGCUGCUGGAGUAGUUUUACUGAUGGCAAACUUUAGCAAACAUGCUAAUGACCGCAAGUUCAUAAACAUGCUUCAGUAUCAGAUUCUCAUUGAUUGCAGUUUUCAUCAUCUUCUCAAAUUCUUUCGCCUCAUUCUCUACAUUAUACUCAUCUUUCCACCUAUGUCGCUCAGCUUCUGUUUUGUCCUCAGAGUAAUGAUUUCGGAGGUAGUCAACUGCAUUGAUAAGCAAGGACAACUUGGCAUGGGCACAACGGAAAAAUGGAUGAAACAACACAGUUUCAAACAACCUUACAGCAUUUUCCUGAACCUUUUUGCUCUCACUUUUAAGAAUAUAAUUGAGACAGGUAAGGAGACUCUCUCUAUCCUCAAUGACCUCUUCCAGGCCAUUGACCUCGGCCUUGCAUACCUUCUCAAUAAGAGCUUCAAAAAGGCGCACAACAUGCUUGAUCUCACUUAUGUUCUGAACUCGGAUAUCAGAGGGUGGCGGAAGUCGUAAAACUCCAUCUACCAUCUCAAUUUCUUCAGAAGUGUGUGGUCCAGGUGUACUCCUAAUUUACUAUACACUCUGCUUAAGAAUGCUAGACCAGCAUCACUGCCAAAAAAAAAUAAAAUUCUAGUUUCAACACUAUCUUUAUCGCUAUGAUGCUGCACUGUAGAACUAGUUACACAAUUCGCAAGUAACAAACAUGCAUAACAUGUAUUAGAUGCCUAUUCUUUCAAAUCUAAUAUCAAAUUCACAACCUCUUUGCCACCAACAUCUUCACAUAAUUCAAGUUUAAACACAAUCUUUAUCAAUUGGAUGUUGCACAGUAAUAGAAAAGAUUCAAAAUUUGCUACCAACAUCUUCACAUAACUCAAGUUUCAAACACAAUCUUUAUCCAUGGGAUGUAGCACAAAAAUAGAAGAAGGUUCAAAAUCUGCUACCAACAUCUUCACAUAACUCAAGUUUCAAACACAAUCUUUAUCCAUGGGAUGAAGCACAAUAGAAAAAGAUUCAAACUUUACAACUACAAAAGAUGCAUCAUACUAACAUCACCAAUUAUAAAACCCAUUUCUACCCCAAUCAUAAAUUUCUUCAAUUCACCAAUCCAAGAAUAUCAAACUGAAUCAAGAAUGAAAAUUUAAGAAACUACUCACAUUAACCAGUGGCGGAAAUGAGGUCUGAGGGAGAUAGACCGAAACCGAAUUGGCCGUGCAUAUUGGUCAGCAUACCAAAUCGGAAUCAUUUUAUCAACCCAUACAUCAUGACGGCGGGUGAGCUCGUGCAGUGAAACGGCAAACUGUCUGAAAGAUCCCAAUUGCAUCUCCUCCUUCUUCGACAUUGGAAAGGGGCGAGCUUGAAAUGAAAUUAGGGAUUUCGGAAAAGGGUGGAUGGGAAAUUAGGGUUUGGAGAAUUGGGGAUUUCAAGCGAAGAGGGUUUUGUUUUGCGUUAUGGAAUGGCUACAAUUUUGAAAAGGCUUUAUGUUGUCCUGACUCCUGAGUGAGGGUGCUAAGCGGGCUAGACGGGCCUGGGUCUAAUGGGCCUUGGCGGGUUAGGGUGUCCCAUCUUAAAAAAAAUAAAUAAAUAAAAACAAGCUCCACCCUCUUUGAGAAUUGCGGAAAGUGCACCAAGUGUUACGAUGAAAUUUUGGUGACGAGGCUCUACAAAGACUUCCUCGACAUUCUAAUAGGGACGGAUUCAGGAAUUGAAAUCGGGCGGGACUUGAUUUUCUACUGUUAAAAAAAACUCGAAGGUACGAGAAAAACGCAUAGAUUGAAGAUAAAGUUAUUCUUAAGCCCCCCUGUGUCUUACUCCUCGAAUACAUGCUUAUAAAAACCAAGAUACAAAGAUAUAUAAGGUCCUUCCAUUAAGGGAUCCUUUUUUUUGCCAUAUAUGAGGGAUAGAGGAUUACACCAAUUUUUCGAUCACAAAAUCACAUCUCCACCAUUCAAUAUGUAGUUCAAUAUGAGUAUAUCACUUCUAUAAAUUUUCAGAAAUUUUGGUGAUCGUUUAGGCAUUCAAAAUUACAAUUUGUAAUUAUCAGCAUGAACGGUUCAGGUUUGGCAGAUUUGGUUAAGUCAUUGAUUUAAUCUUGUUCGACACCUUGAUGAUCACCAAAUUGGCUGAAAAUUUACAUAAGUGAUCUAUAUAUAAAGAUCUAUAUAAACGGUGGAGAUCCAAAAAUAUAAUAAAAAGUUGGUGUAGUUCCCUGUCCCUCAUAUAUGUCAAAAAAAAUGAUUCCCUAAUGGAAGGGCCUUGCAUAGAUAUGAUAUAAAAAGAAUCGAAAUAAAUAUGUCGAUGCAAUACAAAAUAUAUAGAUGUAAAAACAUAGCUCAAAUAACUAAAUCUAACCCUGCAAUAACCUUUUUGGGAGUGAAAACGAUGAUAAGUCUCUAUCUCUCUAUGUUUUAGUAAAAUAGAAGACAAUAACUCUCUCUCGCUCUCUAUCUAUCUUUCACUCUCUCUCUAACACACACAAAGAAAUUGAGCACUUGGAAUGGGACUUGGGUUGAAGUUGGACACUAUAUAUGCAUCGUCCUAGAUCCGUCGAACGAUAUGGAGAUCAAGAAUGUGCCCGGCAGUACCUCUCUUGAGGUGGAUAGUGUUGUUCAUGAGUUUCUUGUUGGUGACAAAGUGCAUCCUUUAAGCGAAGAAAUCUAUGAGAUGUCGAAAGAAAUGGAUAGGCUUUUGGAUAUGGCUGGUUUUGUGCCUGAUACAUCUGACGUACUCUAUGAUAUGGAUGAGGAAUGGAAGGAAGGGGUUUUGAGUCAUCAUAGCGAGAAGUUGAUCAGCACAAAAGCAGGCACCACUAUUCGAAUAGUAAAGAUUCUUCGAGUUUGUGGAAACUGUUAUUCAGCUACAAAACUGAUAUCCAAGAUUUUCAAUAGGGAAAUUAUUGCAAGAGAUAGGAUUCGCUUCCACCAUUUUAGAGAUGGUUCUUAACCAAAUGGCAUGGUUCAAUUUUUUGAAAUUGAUACAUGUCAAACACUGUUGACCUGCCACAAGUGAUUAAUUUCUUCCUAACUCUUGUCACAAAUGUCGGGUUCUACUGUUGUUCUAAUCAUCAAUCUCUACAGUUUCACUGCGACCACAUAAACACAACUUCCGAAGGUAAAUAAUAGACAUAGGUCGAUCACUUUCUAAGUUGUACAAGAUAAUAGAACUGUGAUGUUAGCAAGGGAUAUAUGGAAAUUCAAUUUUGGCGGGUAAUCUUCAUAACAGUUACUUGUCACUCUCUCUGUACACCCUCAUCAUUUAUUUUCACUCAGCUCUGCACCACAGAGCUCAGAUAUGGCGUUUUCGCUUUGUCUUCGCCUUCAUUACUCAACACUCCACCCUCCACACUUGACACUCCCCAUCCUUCCCAACUCCGAUCCUCCCGACAACCUCCUCACUCUCCUCUCCAAAUGCAAAUCCAUCCAAACCCUCAAACAAGCCCACGCCCACUUCGCUCUCUCCAAGCUCAUCCACUUCUGCGCCGUCUCGCAACACGGCGACCUCUCAUAUGCCCUCUCCGUCUUCAACUGCGUCGAGAAUCCCAAUCCGAUUAUGUGGAACACAAUCAUCCGUGGCUAUUCCUCGACCUCCAACCCAUUACAAUCCCUCUAGUUCUAUCAACGGAUGAUUCUCUCGAGCGCUGAGCCUAAUUCCUACACAUACCCUUUCCUUUUCAAGUCUUGCACGAAAAUCGCGGCGGCUAAUUCGGAAGGGAAGCAGGUCCACGGCCAUGUAAUCAAGCUCGGACUUGACUCUGAUGCUUUUGUUCACACUUGCUUUGAUCAACAUGUAUGCCAAAAGUGGUGAGUUGGAUAAUGCGAGGUUGGUUUUCGAUAAGAGUGAUAUGAGAGAUGCGGUUUCGUUUACUGCUUUGAUUACCGGGUAUGUCUCGAGGGGUUACAUGGACGAUGCGUGCAGCUUGUUUGAUGAAAUUUUGAUAAGAGAUGCUGUGUGUUGGAAUGCUAUGAUUUCGGGGUAUGUGCAGAGCGGAAGAUUUGGUGAAGCAUUGGGGUUGUUUGAGGAGAUGCGAAUUGCAAAUGUGCUACCGAAUGAGAGCACUAUGGUUAGUGUGCUUUCUGCUUGCGCUCGGUCAGGAGAGAUUGAAGUGGGGAAAUGGGUUGCGGGUUGGAUUGAGGGCCAGGGACUUGGGGGGAAUGUUAGGCUUGUUAAUGCGCUUGUUGAUAUGUGCUCAAAGUGUGGUGCUUUGGAUGAAGCUAGAAGCUUAUUUGAUGGUAUGCAAAUGAGGGAUGUGAUUUCGUGGAAUGUGAUGAUUGGUGGUUCUACGCAUGAGGGUCGGUACAAGGAAGCAUUGGAGAUGUUUAGGUUGAUGCUGCGUUCAAAUGUAGAGCCUAAUGAUGUCACGUUUUUGGGGAUUCUUCCCGCUUGUGCUCAAUUGGGAGCUCGUGACCUUGGCAAAUGGAUUCACUGCCGCUGACAUGUCCGGCAGCCCCUGACAGUCUUCGGGGUUGUGUUCGAGUACGCCAUAGGUCCGCUGCUAAAAUCCCUAACAGAGAGCGAAUAAGUCGACUUUUGUUAACCUAAUUUUUUUUUCAUGUUGUUUUGUUUAUUCUACAAAGUGAAAUUUACACUUUUUAAAUUGUAUUCCACAGUCUAUCUUUCUAUUUUAAGUCAUCAUCUAACAAAAUUAAGUCACUAUCUAAAAACAAAAUGUAAGUUAACAAAAACAAAAAUAUGCAGUGUAAAUUACAAUUCGAGGAGUGUAUUUUACUCUCUUACUCUAUUCUAUAAGCAAAUAAAAUCUAUAUUCUAUAAGCAAAUAAAAAAGAUAGUCCCGAGUCCGGUGAGCCGUGGUCUGGUUGGUUAAGUAGGCUAACUAACAACUUUAAGGUCAUGAGUUCAUACCUCAUUAGCAUAUAUGUAGGGUGGUGUGAGUUUUUUAAUAAAAAAAAUUUUAAAAAAAGAGAAAAGAAAAAAGAUAGGCCCGAGUUUCCUUUUGGGCCCAAAUUCGCAUCUAGAACCACCCUGGGCAGUCCAAUCCAAAUCCGAUGAUAAUUAGGACUCUAAUCCAACUGUUAUUAGGUUGAUGAAGAACAACAUGUUUAUAUAUAAACGCCAAACCUAAGCGUCAAAGCUGUAGCCGUAUCAUCAUCGUCCUUCAGAGCAAACAGAGAGCCACCAUGACCGAAAAAAAUUUAAACCCAGAAAGCCACGGUGAAGAAGCAAGGGAAGGAGAUCAAAGCCGUAAGCGUAUCAAUACGGGCACAGGUAGCGAGGUGGAGAUGAAGCCUGUGGUUGGGUGCGGUGGAGGGUUGAAGGACCAAGUUGCUGGUAAGUCUCUAAUCCUUUGUAGCAUGGAAUGUUACUGGGACAGACCCAACUUUCGGCCCCCUCCGCCAAGGUAUCCUCCUCAGCCUUGGGAUUCUUCCUAUGUUGUUCGCUCCAUCAAUCUUCCCGAUCUGCUGACAUCGUCGUCGUCGGAGAAACUAGAAUUGCGGGAACUAGCGAGAAUGGACGACAAAGAUUUCCCAGGUAAAGAUCUCCCGAGUAGAGUAGGUCUCCCAGGUAGAGUUGGUUGCGGUGUUUUGGGGUCCAAGAUUGUCAUCGCCAGCGGCUUUAAACCCAACUUCGAUCCGGAUCGUUUCGGACCACCAUACGGCCCUCAUCCCAGCACAGAUGCUUAUGCCUUCGAUGCCCAUGACCCCAAACAAGGAAUAGUCAAGAUGCCGGGGGCUUUAAACGGAGGGAAACAAAGCCCGUUGAUGGUUGAGUUUGCCGGCAAACUCUACGUUCUGUCAUAUAAGUGGGAAAGUGUUAAAUCAUUUGAGGUAUUUGACCCCCAACAGGGUACUUGGUCAGUUCUGCCAAGCUACCCUGAUGCUGCCCGCUGCUACCCUUAUUCAACUGCAUCUUAUGUUAUUGCAGGCACCAAAUUGUUUAUGUCUACCAGAUUGGUUAAGCCUACCCUAGACAGCUCGAUUUGCUGCUUUGAUUUUGCUGCCCGAGACCCAGAAUGGAGGAGAGUCCCCAGCUUGGGCGGCUAUUUACCAAUCGCAGGCCAAGCUGUAGCGGUGGAAUUGCCGCAGCCAGAACACAGUAACAAAAGGUUACUGUUUUCGGCUAGAGUUGACUACUCCGAUUGUUGCAGUAUAGUAGUUCAUCUUAUGUCCUUGGAUGAAAACCAGGAAACAAUCAGUGAAAUUUUUCAGAUGAAUCUGCCGGCUGAGCUCCCUCAUCAACCAUGGCCAAAUGACUGUCAUUUCUUCCAUCUAGGGGGAAACAAUGUCUUCCUUGUCACCACCGCUGGUGUUGGAGAAAGCGCAAAGUCUGGGAUUUAUACCGGUGGUGCCGUACUGUUUCAAUUCGAAUUUGAUAUCUCCAAGGUAGACACGGACAGGAAGAAUUGUUUCACUAUCCAAUUCCAGCCUCCUCGCAUUUUCGAAUACCAUUCCUCUCCAGACUGUGUGUCACCGCCUGAGACACUUGGUUGCUUUCUGCUGUAAUGACUUGUAACUUGAUUGUCUCAUCAUCUUCUGUACUAUUAUAUGUAAGUUGUACUCCUACUAUCUAUUUAUCCAGAUUUCGUUGUUCUGCCUUGUUUGAUUUAUCAUCCACCACUGAGAUUAAUGUUGUUGCAAUGUGUCCUAUGCCAUAACGGAAUUGCAUAUUACAAGAAUGGUAAUAUGCCUCGCGCUACUGGCGGUUCAAACUUCAAAUCAAAUAUGUAUAUCUGUUUCUGGUUCAACAUAUGCUUUUCUAAUGGCUAUUCAGCCUUGUUUCGUUUCUUGUGGAAAGUGGUAAUGCAUGUUAUUCUGGAUAUGGGUUUUGUUUGUUUUGGAUGUGUGUUUUGAAUUUUGGGAGUGUAGAGGAAGUUCUGGAUGUAAUGUUUGAGUCUUGGGGUGGCUGAGUAUGAAGAAGAAGAAAAAUUCAUUGGUGAAUGGGAAAGUUGUGGUGGUUGCUGUUAAGGCUUUGAAGGAGAUUCCAAACACAGCUCUGGUUUGGGCUUUAACUCAGGUAAUAGAGGGCCACCUGUGACUCCUACUGGUAGUGGGUGGUUUUGACCAUGAGUCUCUACUGACUGCAACUGAUAUCAUUGUUCAUAUCAAGCUCAGAUAUGGGGAUUGAAUCGUUACAUUCUGGAAAGCAAGAGUUCUCAUGUACCUGUGAAGGUAGUGAGAAUUUAAAUGAAUCUCACAAUGAUACGAACAAUAAAAAGACGAGUGCUUAUCUAAUGAGUUCAUAUUGCGAACCUUUUGAUUUCAGCAUAUGUAGCCUUGCUAGAUAAGUUAUCUCUGAUUUAAAUCGAGUCCUGAACUAUAGGCUUGAUUCGACUUGAGUAGAAGUGUACGUGAAAGCAAUUUUCCUACCUAGAAAUAUAAAUUUACCUUCUAUACCUCCUCCGUUGUGCUCUGUAUGUCAGCACAAGGCACCUGUCUUUGGCAAUUCUCCUAGGUGGCUCAGAUAUGCUGAGAUAGAACUUGGUACAUGUGGUUUUUCACAAGCAAACUUCCUGGCUGAAGGUGGGUUUGGCUCCGUACACAGAGGUGUCUUACCACAUGAUCAGGCAGUUGCUGUCAAGCAAUAUACAUUGGCGAGUUCUCAAGGAUAUCAGGAAUUCUGCUCAGAAGUUGAAGUCUUAAUAUAAUUGGAUUCUGUGUGAGGAUGGAAAGAGAAUUCUGCUUGGAGGAUGGAAAGAGAUUGCUAUUAUAUGAAUAUAUCUGCAAUGAUCUGGACUCAAAUAGUCUUGUUUGGACUGAAACGAGCAUAUAUGCAAUGUAAUUUCCUUUCAUAGCAAAUGGUAGAGGUUCCUGCCACUACAUAGAGGUACUGCUAAAUUAGGAAUCAAUAUUCUGAGAAAAUAACCCCUGAAAGAAGCAACUGAUGUGGAAACCUUUUCAUACACAUUUGGUUCAAAUUCUUUAGGAACCUCUUCCAAACAAUCUCUACAACUAGAAAAGUUCGUUUGAGAUGGAGAUGAAAGUAAAAAGUUAAAAAAAUAAAAAAUAAAAUAGAAAUAUGGAUAUAUUAGUGGUUGGAGUGUGGAGUGUGGAUUGUGGAUUACAUUCACUACAUACAAUAUAAGUUACUUUUAAUUUUAUUUUAUUUUUUUAACGAAAAAUGUGUUUUAUUCCAUCGCAAAUACAUCAUGAAUUUUUUUCAUUGUCUUGCGUACAGAGGGGGUAUAUACUAUAUAAGCUCGAGUGAUUCAAGUAGGGUAAUAUCUCAUUACACAAUUCCACUCACUUAAAAUACACAAGUGAGUCUAUAAUCACAUAUAAUCAUAUAGCAAAUUGGCUAUAUGCAUGUUAAUCACAAAAGGGAAAUAAGGCAAAACUCUAUGAUCCCAAACAAAGAUCAUAACAAAAGUCUUUGAAACUAAAAGCAGAAAUUAAAAUACCUCUUUGCCCAUGAGAUUAGGACUAGGAGCGAGGUUUAGGCACAUCUAGAAAACUUGACUUUUGCUUUUUCUUGUUUGGAUUGGGCUUCGAGUUCGGCUUCGGCAUUCUUGGAAUGCUUAGAAGACUUGGAAGUUGUGGCUAAGCACAAAGAGCUAUCUGUCCAUGACUUAAUGACUUUUUCGUGGGGAAUGAAAUACUCCUUUGCUGAGAACAUGAAUUUGAGCAAGGACCGCCCUUGUACUUGUGCAGUGCACAGUUGCAGUUUUUAUGGUUGACCUUCACUCAACUUCUGUGUCCAUUGAUAGGCUUCCUUCAAACUCAAACACACUGGAACAUCAAACCGGAAACUCCCAAGGUAGUCAUUCUCUUCUCUGUUCUUUGAAAAGUGUGGUAUAAUUUGUGUGAAAUGAUGAGUGAGCGAUAGAGUACUAAUGUUCUAUGGGGUGUUUGAGUGUGUUGAAAUUAACUUGUGUGUGCUUUCUAAAACAUUUAUAUAGAGAAGGGGAUCAAAAUAUGAUAAAUGGCGAAGGAGAAAUCAAGAAACUAUUUUGUGCUAUUUCUCCCACGUACUCCUGUUUAACUCGAGACAAGUUAUGUUGGUACAGUGUUCCUGCUAAAUUGCCAAACAAAACAAGCGUUUUGUUCUAGGGAAACUUUUCCACAGAGGGAGAGAGAAGAAAAUUAUUACUUCGUUUUAGUCAUGUUUGCCUUUAAUUAGUACUUGGAGUUGGUCGGAUUUUUGUGUGUAGCAUAGUCUGCAUAGACUGAUACACUGAGACGUUAUUCACCUAAGGGAAAGGGAUGCUCAUUUAAUUAGAGCAUCUUUAGCGAUGCUAGCCAUUUUUAAAUUAAAUUUUAGUCAAAUUAGCUAAAAUGUUAUUUUUGCUAGCCACUUUAGAAAUGUGGUUGCAUCAAUACUCUCUAUUUUAGCUAGUACUAGCCUUUUACCCGUACAUAUUUGUACGGAAUCAUAAUCACGAUUAACUAAAGAUAAGCGUGAGCAGUUAAUUAAGUUUACUGUAUUAUACAGUUAUUCGUUCUACUAAUCGGUAGUUUUUAUGAUUAUUUAUUUAUUUAAUUUGUUUAAUUUUUAUUUUGCUUUUACUAUAACAACCUUUGGUUUUUAUUUGUGUCAGUUGAUUCAUUAAGGGUAAUUAUGAAAGUUCACAAUUUGGUGAAGCUUUUGAGGACUUGGUUUUAUAGUAGCAGAGAUUAUAUCAACAAUAUUCUUCAAAUAGAAAUUAAAUAGUUUAAAUAUAUUUAUAUAUCACAUAAAAUAUCUUACAAUUAAUGCAUUAAAUUAUAGCUAACCUAAUAUGAGUCAGCUAAAAGUCAUAAUAGCUCAAGUUCGGCUAGUCUGUUGGAGCUCCUAAGAGCAACUUUAUCAGACUCUCUAUUUUAACUUUUAGCUAUUUUAGAGAGCGUGUUUAGCUUUUUUGGAUGUUUUAAGAGCUCCAGCAGACUAGCCAAACUUAAGCUAUUAUAACUUUUAGCUAUCUCGCUCUUGCUAGCUAUAUUUAGCUAGCGAGAUAACUCAAAUGAGGCUAGCUAUAAUUUAUUACAUUCCUUGUAAGAUAUUUUAUAUGAUAUAUAAAUAUAUUUAAACUAUUUAAUUUCUAUUUGAAGAAUAAUGUUGAUGUAAUGCUAGCUAAAAUAGAGAAUAUUAAUACAGCAACAUUUCUAAAGUGGCUAGCCAAAAUAACAUUUUAGCUAAUUUGACUAAAAUUUAACUUAAAAAUGGCUAGCAUUACUAAAGAUGCUCUAAAACAUCUAAAAAAAAGCUAAACACGAUCUCCAAAAUAGCUAAGGAGUUAAAGUAGAGAGUCUGUUAAAGAUGCUCUUAUAAUGCAUCUUGCCGGUUGGUUCUAUGUAACUAACUAAGUAACUAAUUAACAAAGUUUUGGCUCUAGAUCGAUUUUGUGGGAAGCAAGUAGUUGAACUUUGGCAUUUGUACUGCAAUUUAUGAAAGUAUGAAACAAUAGGAUUUUUCAUAGUGUUUCAUACAAGUGAUACAACUGAUAUGUCUUCACUUAAAACCAGAAGGCUAGACUUUUGAAUUAGACUAUUUAGAUGGAAAACAAUGUAUUAAAUUGAUGGACCUGCCUUCACUAGAAUUACCAUUUGUUCAUGUGUUAAAUCUAAAAGUUCAUCUAGAGUUCACUUAAAAAAAAAAAUCAGCUUCCAAAUGAACUUUCAGAUUUUAUAGCGUUUGGUAAAUUAAAGAAAAACAUUUUUUUUUUUUUUUGAAAAUUACAAGUCACUAACAAUAGCUUUUAGAAACAACACCUUAAUGUUACUUUUAGAAGUUGUUGGCAUUAAUUAAUAUAUUCGGUCUUGGGUCUUGAGUCUUGACAGCACUUGUCGAACAAAUAUUUACUAAACACAAAACUAUUUUUAUUGAGAGUUGAUUCUUUCGCUGUACAACAACAACUUUUUUCUUAAUUAAGUAACAAAAAUAUCAAACUAGCCCUUAUUAAGGGCAUUUUCAACCCUUGGUCUUAGACCUGUAAUUGGUUUAUGUUUUAAAAAAUGUAAUCUUCAAACCUUCAUCCACCUUGACCUAAAAUAGGAUUUACCUAAAAAUGGUUCUAUUUUGACUCAACUAGUUAGGAGGAAUCCUGUUUUUAGAGAGCUUAGUGGAGCAUGGGUCUCAUUGUCCACUAUCAAUUAUGUGUAAGAUAUGAACUCAUGUUGUGAUUAAAUAAGAGAAGUGAAAUUUACACUCCUCAAAUUAUAAUCCACAUUUUUUUUUUUUAAGUUAACACACUCAUAAAAAAACAAAGUUUAAGUUAAUAAAUACAAAAUUUAAGUUACCAAAAAAGGAAACAUGAAGUGUGGAUUGUAAAAUUGGUAAUGUGAAUUUCACAUCCCUUAAAUAAUAGGGGCUAAAUAAUAAUAUAAGAGGAUUCGUGAUGAAAAUAGGUUUGGGUUUGGGUUCUAUGGGUUGGAGAUGUAAGAAUUAUUAAACAAUAAUAGGUUUGGAUGGUCUAUAAUUUGGAUUUGGGUUUAGGUUAUAGACCAACGGUCGGAGAUUUCCUAAGUUUGAUGAUUCAGGCUGAAUAGGGUCUAUGAUUUUUGAAGUUUCAGAAGACAUAAGAAUUUCUGAAUGAUUGGAAUGCCAAAGAUCUUAACACUAGCUACAUUAGGGUUUGUGAUUUUUGAAGUUUCAGAAGACAUAACAAGAAUUUCCGAAUGAUUGGAGUGCCAAAGAUCUUAACACUACAUUUUUCUCUGAUUCGAUUUUUUAGAUCAUAAAUGGUUUCCAAAUUAGAAAUCUAAAUCAAUUUUAGUCUUUUGUCUUUACUUUGUUUUACGUUGUUUUCAUCUUACCUCGUGAGGCGCCGUCUACUGAAAAGAAAAAAGGAAAAAUAUAUAUCAACCAUUUCAUAGGAGAACCUACCUACUACCUUGAUGGUAUCAAUGUGUCUGAAAGAGCAGUACUACAACUACAUCAAUCUAGAAAAUUUAAAAUCAUUUUAUCGUAGUUAGUUGUCAUUCUGUAUUCAAACCAAAUCAUUUUGGAGGUUAGGAAAAGAAAAUGGAACUUUCUCCUUUUUUAUCCUUUUCUUGUCUACCCUGUGACGAUAUAAAAUUUUACAGAAAAUUUAAACUGCUGCCUGCAUUUUGUCCAUAUUACACGUACGUACUUGUACUGCCUUUGGAAUUCAUGUUUUUUCCUCUGUGUGUAGACACACAAAAUUUAACGAAAAUAAUAAUCGUUGAAUUAUUCAAACAAUGCGUAGGUCCGAUAAAAUGUAUACAUGACCCAUGAGUCAACAAAGUCAAAGAGACUCCGGAAAUAAAACAUGGCGACGUGUGAGUGGUCGGUCGACAACAAAAUCAUCAAUCCCGACUAAAAUCAAAUAUUGAAUGUCAAUUGAUAAUCAGGUAUCAAUCAAAUUAAAUUGAUUAUUGAAAAAAGAAGUCAUACAUUAUAUCUAAAUCGGUUAUACCUUAUCAGUCGUAAUUAAAUCAAUCAAUUAAGACUGAUUGAUUUGAUUAUGUUAAAAUUAAUAAUUAAAUCAAUUAAUCAAAACUGAUUGAUUUAGUUAUUACCGUUAAAGAAAUACAAUUGAUUCGGUAUCUUCAUUACAUGCCAUAAAUGGAGGUACGUCGACACUAUAAAUACCACAUCUCAUAUCAAGAGGAGGACUUCCGGACAAGAGAGAAAAAUUACUCCCGAAAGCUCAGAAGUCUCCCAAAACCCUUGAAGAGUCACCAAGCUACCAAAUAGCCGACAUCUUCACCAACUUCAAGACGAAGAACAAACCACCAAGUGAAACCACUCAUGGAUCAAACUCGAUCAACAUCAAGCCUCCACGGCCCUUGAUCAACCCUCGUCUUCAAGUCGUCAACAAAUCAAAACUUCUAUCAAGUUCUUCAAUAAGCUCGUGGGUAAUCAACAAGCACCGAACACACGUGCCAAUUCAUCUGCCAUCAAAGCCGAAGAACAUUCACCACGUGACACCGCUUGUGGCCAAAUCCGAUCAAGAUCAAGCCUUUACGGCCCUUGGUCAACUUUCUUCUACAAAUCGUCAACACAACAAGAAGUCCAAACUAUGACCAUUCGAUUCAAGAUCAAGUGCUUGUCACCCUUGGAUCAAUUGGAUCAAAUUGACGUCGGAGAUCGAAUCAGAGGAAAUUUUUGCUAAAGAAUACCCACAGAGAUUGUAACCCGCAAAUUCAUCAAUACAAAUAUUUUAUUUUGUACACGUGUCUUUCUAUUAUUUGUCGCAGAUUAUUUCGUGUUUACACUGUGUAAUGCGCAUUAAUCUCGAUUCAUCUUGGCAAAUUUGAAGGAAGCUAGAUUUUGGUUUGAAUAGAUAAAAGCUUUGCUCACUGCCUCACUCAAUUGCUAAUGACUUCUAGAGGGAAACAUAGUUAGUGCUGAUACGAUGUUAACAAUGGAUUGACAAUAUGAAGAGAGGAAAGUAGAAUGAAUAAGAGAAUGGUAAUGCAAUUAAAUAAGCCUUUUCUGUGCAGGUUCAGCUUUAUUAAAGAAUAGUGACAGUGUUCACAGGAACUCGGUAGAGUUUACAUGGACAAAGCUAGAGAAAUUAAUUAGCCCAGAAGUAGUCAAAAUGAAUUGAUCUUGAGUACUAAUAUUACUACUGGCGAACCAGACUAAGAGAAACGAAUAAAGAGAAACGAAUAACUCAAAACUGCUUCUCAGUUCCUGACCUUUUUCAUAUAACUCAGCCCUAACCGUAUCAAGCCUCUAUCUCUUGCCUGUGUGACAAGCAAUGAACCUCGUUCAAAGUAUCACUGUUUCCGGUGGACGUACGUACGUGGGAGUGUUAGCGAGAAAAGAGCUUAAUUUGAAGCUGUUGCAUAUGGAAUUGUCAGUCCAUGACACUGUUUUUUAAACGAUAGGGAGGAAAUGUUUUUUUGUUGAGGACAAGCAUUGGAGCAAGCACCACCCUCUUGGACUUGUGCAGCGCACAAUUGCAGUUCUUAUGGUAUGGCCUUCGCUCAAUUUCAGUGUCCUGCAUAGAUAGACUUCCUUCAAACACACUGAAUGACUGAAAUGUCAUACCAGAAAUCCUCAUAGUAGCCAUUCUAUUCUGUUAUCUUCUUUAGAGUCAAUAUGCUGCAUGUAUUUGUGUUUGUCUGAAGAAAUGGGCAGCAGUGUAGGUGUUUGACUUGUGUUGAAACUUUAUUGUGCUCUUCAAGAGUUCAAGGGUUUAUAUACAGUUGGGGAUUACUGUAUGAUAAAGAUCGUAUAGAGAAAUCAAGAAAGAGUCUCCUACGUAUUCGUGAUAAAAGUCGAGACAAGUCAACUUUGUUUGGUUUGGGGUUCUUGCCAAAACUGGAAAGAAGAAUAAAAUAACAACCGUUUUUCUCUAUACUUUUCAAAGAGAGGGUACUGAGAACAAAGAAUUAGGUUUGGCCUUUUGUGUUACGGCUUGGCUUUUGUCUAGGUAGUUAGAGAAUGGCAGCCUAUUUUGUUUCUGGGCAUGCUUGGCGGUUCAAGUAUCAUUUCUUGUUAUUCAAGGAAAAGACACUACUGAUCACGUACUCAUCACGUCAAAAUGUAGUAUGGUAAGUUUUCUGCUUCCAUUAUUAUACUAGUUUUCACUAAUUUGUGUUAAGAGUGUUCAUCUCUGGUUUCUACCACUGUUUUGUUUUUCUCUAGCUGUUCUCAUUUCUUAUAGAAACUUUUCAAUUUUGCCAAGAAUUUGAUUAAACUUUGUCGUUUAGUACUGAUAACAGAAACUGAAAGGUUCAUAUUAAUCUUUAAGUUGUCUUGUCAAUGUAGUUAUGCAACAAGAAUUAGUUUUUCUUGAGGAACUCAGCUUCUCAAAAACGUUAAGAGAGGGAGAGAGUAAAGACAAAUAGGUUGUCUUGGUUUAGCAUUUCGCGAUCAUUGUAAUUGUGGGGGUUUCAGCAUAGCUUUCUCCACAAUAACGUCUUUUAACUAACCUUGCUAGUUGCUACCAAUCUCGGUUUUAUAGCAUAUUGUCUUUACUUUUGUUAGAACUUAUAAUGAUUUAUUAGGAGGACACAAUAUGGUAAUUAUUUAUGCAUAUUCUUUUAAUAACUAAUUGAAGAAAUCAAAUAUUAAUAAUGAUCAACAAGGACUUAAUGCAUUCAAUUUUAAGACUUUGUUGGUUAUCCAUUUCUGCAGAAAGGUUUAAUAUAUCCAGCAGCUUAGUGAAGCUAUUGAGUCGAUCAUUUUACAGCUACUGUAUGUGGUAUAGACUAUAGAGAUUACCAAUUUAAAUGCUUGAGGUCAUUUUGUUACCAGCUUUUUCAUGUUACGAACAGACACAAGUGCAUAAUCUUAAAUACGAUUUCUUUUACGGUUUUGCAGAAGCAAAAUUGAACGUUGGGGUCAAUCUUUUUUCCCCAUUUAACGUCAUUUUCAUCUUCUCUUACCCCUUGGCUCUUCCCAUUGUCCUCUGUCUCUCUCUUCAUUGGAAAAUGUACAAAAAAAAAAAGAAAAAGAAAAAAAAAAGGCCCUCUUUGAAGCGAGUCCUCAGGAAACUUUCUACCUUCUACAUUUUGAAAUUUUCAUGGUUUCCACGAGUCUUCUUAGAAAGAGAGAAAAAUUUGGCACUUUACUUCAGAGUGCUACAGAAACCAUCUAUUGCUAGCUAUAUCUUCUUUGUAGUUAGCAAUUCUUGUUUGUCUAACUAAACUAUUUGGACGAGCAGGGAACUCCUUUCCUCAUUAUAUGAUUUAUAUCCCCUCUAGAAAAUGUAAACAACUGCUGCAAAGUAAUUAUUCCAUAAAAGCCUUAAAAUGCCUAUGAACUAUGAAGUUUCUAUUUGUUUGUAGCUCAAAGUGACACUAUUCACUCUUGAUUAUGACAUAGCUAUUCAAAUUCUAAUGACAAUGCUAGUACCAAAAUGAUGUUAAGAAAGUAAAUUUUAGAAUGUACCCUGGUAGAAUUGGGAAAAGGGCAUAUGAAAAUAUCAGCUCAGGCUGAGAGACAGAGACUCAGAUUUGCUGUUUGAAGUUUCAGUUGUAUUUAAGAUCUCUACAGAAAACUCACUAGAAUUUACAUGGCUAAAGGGUAGAAGGAAUUAGCUCACAAGGACCAGUUUCUCAAAAUUAACAUCCAUGUUGACCUUUUUCUUCUAACCCAAUCCAUCCCUGCAAGACAAGGAUUGGACACCAUUAACACUUUCAAUAUGUCCAACGGAAACGAAUGUGGUGCUGGGAAGAGUGGAGGAGCUGGAAGUUGUUGCUGAAAUGUACAAUGAGCUAUCAAUCCAUGAUUGUUCUUGGUAAAAGGAAAUGCUUCUCAAGCCUAGGGGCCUUGCUGUGGUCUCAGGUGCUGGUCCCAAUCAGUACCUAUCAAACCAGCCCAAAAGAAACCAACACACUCAUUUAUUUCCCCAGGAAAAUGGUGUUCAAGCAACGCAAGACGCUCUUCAGGCGACCAGGAUUUCAAGCCCAAAUUCUUUCUAUGGUCGUUGGCAUGUUUGACAAAGUUCGCCAUUAACAGAAGGACUCCAACAGCUGAGUUCUCAUAACGAGGCCUCUGUCCAGCAGCCUCACCAUCAUCUUGCCCAAAAUCAUACACCAGCUUCAGUAUCGGGUUCUCAGAUAUUGCAGUUUGUAUCAUCCCCGUAUAGUUUUUGUACUUAUUCAACUUUCUAUGCUCAGAUCUCCAAUCCAAGGCCUCUGUUUUUGUUUUUGUUUGCUCCUCAGAAUAGUGAUUACGCAGAUACUCCACUGCAUUCUUUAAAAAUGACAAUAUGGCAAAGGCACAGCGGAAGAACGGGAAGCACAACAGAGUUUCAAAUAGUCUUGCAGCCUUUUCCUGAACCGGUUGGCUCUGAUUGUCAAGUAUAUACCUGAGACCUAGUAAGACACUUUCAUAAUCCCCCUUGAUGUUCUCCUUGUCAUUUUUCAGGCCAUUCGGACUGCAUACCUCCUCUAUAAGAUCAUAAAACAGCUCCACAACAUAUUUGACGUCGCAUAUGUUUUCAUUUCGGGUAUUGGAGGGUGGCGGAAUUCUUGCAAAUUUAUCAACGAUCUCGAUUUAUGCAGCAGUGAGAGAUGCAGGCGCUACCCCUAAGCCACUCUGCACUCUGCUUAAGAGUUGGACACCAAUAUCACUGUAGGCAAACAAACAACAGAGUUCAAGUAAAUACACAGUGACUAAACAACAGAGUUCAAGUCAACACAGCUCUAAUUCAGAAAAAAAAAAAAAUAAUAACAUUCAAGUUUCAGCAACACCAGUACUCAUCAUCCUGAGCUAACCAAAUUCAAAUAUCAACACCACCAUUAACACUAGCCAAAUUCACCAGAAAUUUACACAAAAAGAUUUAAGAAAGAAAAAAACUGGGUCAAUUCUAUAGAAGAUGCAAAGUCCUCCAGUACUUUUCCAUUCACCAAAACAUAAACAAACAAUUAAUAACAGGCCAUGAAAUCCAAAUAGUACAAGUACCAGAUGCAAAUCACAACAACAUUCACAAUCUUUAUCUGGGAUGCUGCAUAAAUACAAAAAGAUUCAAACUUCACAAGUUGCAGAAAUCUAUAUCAUGUAAUAGAUGAUGCUGCACAGCAUCUUCUUUCAAAUCAAAUCUAAUAGCCUAUCCUUUAAAUUCUAAUGGGCUAUUCUGCACAGCCUAGCUAACACCACCAAAUCAGAAAACCUAUACUAACCGAAUCAUAAACAAUUUUCAAUUGAACAAUCAAACUCAUCAAGAAUCAUAUCACAGAAAAAUCAAGAUUUUAAUGUUCAAUUAUCAAUCAAAAUCAUUAAAUUCACUAGAACAACAGAAUCAAGAUUUUAACUUUUGUUAACUACUCACACAAACCAAUUGCGAAACUCGGGAUUGAGGGAGCGAGAAUGUAACACUGUUGGCGCUGCUAGUGGAUCUAUGUACCAAAUCGGCAACCUUUCGACAACCCAAACGUCACCUUUUCUGGCUCGCUCCUUCAGUGUAACGCCAAACCGCCUGUAACCUCCCAAAUUCAUCUUCUCAACCUUGGACGACAUCAGAAAGGGGCCAGCUUGAAAAGAAUUGGGGGGUUUUUUGGAAAAGAUUUGAUGGGAGUCGACGAACAACUGCUUGGGAAAAAUGGGGAUUAGGGUUUGGGAAUUGGAAAAAUGGGGAUUAGGGUUUGGGAAUUGCGGCUUUGAAGCGAAAAGGGUUUUGGUUUUGCAUAAAUCAAACAGCUACAAUAUUUGAAUUGGGGGGGGAGAGCGUGACCUGUGAGGUUGACAUGCGAGUAUUUAUGCUUUCCUGAGUUAGGUUAGGGUGCUAGGCGGGCCUGGGCCUAAUUGGCCUUGGCGAGUUACAGUGUCCAACCUUUAAAAAAUAAAAAAUAAUAAAAAAAACUAACUCGACGCUCUUUGAUCAUAAAUUUAACCUUCUCCUCAAAUUUCUCUAUAAUAAUCUCCGAGAAUUGCGAAAAGUGCGCCAAGUGUUACGACGAAAUGUUGGCGAUGAGGCUCUACAAUGACUCUUCCUCAACAUUCAAACGGAUUCAUAAAUUGAAAUCGGGCGGGACUUAACUUUCCACUAUAAAAAAAACUUGACGGUACGAGAGAAAUGUAUAAAUUGAUAUUCAUAAGACACAAGGGGGACGAUUGAUUCUUACCCCUCGAAUAUAUAAUACAAAAAAGAAUCUAAAUAAAGAUUAAUAGACAUGUCAAUGCAAUACAAUAUAUAUAGAUGUAAAACAUAACUCAACCAACUAAAUCAGUAAAUCUAAUCAUGUUAGAACAAAUCAAUCUCUUCCUUAAAUCAAGCUUAGGAUGCUAUGAUUAGGCUGCUAUGAUUUGUUGUAAUUGUAUAUCAGUUUUGUUACUGCUAUAAAUGUAGUUUAUUCCCUCUUUACUACUGAGUACUGAUUUGUAAUAGCAGUAUCAUUAGCCAUACUAGUGCUAUUUAUGUUGUAUAUCUUGUAAACAGAAAGUAAUGAUAAUCAUAGUUUAGCCAUACUCUAGCUCAUGGACACUUCUUUUCCCCUUAGCGUCAACCUGUUCAUCUAUCUGCUUAUUCUGAUGAUGAUUGAUCUGGUUGUACAGAUUCACAUCGUUCAACCUCCGGCUACCUUAUCUACCUUGGCUCCAACUUGAUAUCUUGGUGCUCCAAAAGGCAACCAGCAAUUUCUCGUUUAAGUGCCGAGUCAGAGUAUCGCUCUCUAGCUCAUGCAAGUGCUGAAACUACAUGGUUAGGUUUUUUGUUACAUGAACUUGGUGCUAAGAUUCAGUUUCUUGUUUUUCUCAUGUAAGUGCCGAAUAAGAUGAUGAUUCUCUUGCUAUCUCAUUCUCUACAAUUUAUACUUCAUCAACAAUAACUUUUUUGGGAGGAUGAAAAUGAUGAUAAGUCUCUAUGUUUUUGUAAAUUAUUUCCGCAUAUUAUAUGUGGAAAUACGAUUUUGAGUUUGACUUACUAGGUUAUUCCUUUUCUGUUGUUGUUUUUACAAAAAAGUCAUUUAUUAGAUAAACAAUAAAUGUUUUUCUUACCUAAUAUAUUUAUCUAACAGAAAACUGAAUAUUGAUCAAGGCUUCAUUUAUUGAGAAAAAUAAGGACACGACUUUUAAAGAAACAUAUAAUCCUGUUUUGAUAUAGUUCCCGGCUCCAUCUAAUCCUCAAUUUGAUAUAAAUAAGGAGACGACUUUUAAAUAUAUAAUCCUGUUUUGAAUUAUCUUCCUAGUAGUGGAGUUAGAAUUUCCGGCUCCAUCUAAGGCCCAAUUUAAUAUUUGCAUGUAAGUUAUGGUCAAAAAAUGUCUUUACAAUUAACUCCAUUAAACAUAUGUAAUAACGUACCAGAGAUAAUGAAAUCCCUUUAAGAUCGAGGAAGACAGAGUAAAUAACAGAGAAGUGAGGUUGGAUGAUCUCUAUAAGAGAGUAGAUAUCUACCCUAAGCCCUCUAGUGUGACAAGUGAUCUACCCUUUGCUUUAUAAUCUAUAUAGACAAGUGAGGUUGGAUGAUCUCUAUAUGAGAGUAGACGACAGGGGACGAAGAGAGCAUUAUGGUCACUACCUAUCUAUGAUUUGUACUCGCUCUACGAGAAGUUAAACCUGCUUCAUAAGUUUCAAUUGAUGGACAAACCAAAUGGCGGGUCAAUUUUUUGAAGUUGAUAAAUGUCAAACACUACUGUUGAUCCUAACUCUUGUCACAAAUGCCGGGUUCUGCACUUCUACUCAUGAAAAAGCCAAUGUGGCCGCAGAGCUAGGCACUCAAUGUUGUUGACAUACCUAGCUUCACCGCGACCACAUAAACACAACUUCCGAAGGUAAACAAUAGACGUAGCUCAUCACUUUCAAAGUUGUACAAGAUAUUAGAACUGUGAUGUUAGCAAGGGACAUGCUCUAAGAGUAUAUAAAAUCCAUGUAGCACUAAAUCAAAAUAAUUAACUACACCGGACUAAGAGAAAAGCAAGGCAUAUGGAAGGAAGGGGUUUUUGAGUCAUCAUAGUGAGAAAUUGGCCAUUGCUUUUGGUUUGAACAGCACAAAAGAAUCUUCGAGUAUGUGGAAACUGUUAUUCAGCUACAAAACUGAUAUCCAAGAUCUUCAAUAGGAUAUUAUUGCAAGAGAUUAGAGAUGGUUCUUGUUCAUGUAAUGACAAUUGGUGAAAGAUGCCUUGAAGGGGUGAUACAAUGCAGAUGUUUAAUUGCAAUGCCAUUUUUGAUCAUUUAUGCAGAUAAGGGUCUCUAUUAUUAAGCUUGGAUAGAAAUUGAACCAGUUGAAAUGGAAGAAAAGUGCAUUAUAUAAUAGGUUGAUAACUGAGUACAUAGAUUUUCUUCUGCUACUACAAUGAAAUACCAUCUCUACUUAUUUAUUAUCAAGAGGAUGGAUUCACAUAAGAACAGCAGCAGCAACAAGAACAGUAAUUUGAACUCAAAUUAGUGCUACGAAUUCAUGCUUCAUAGUUAGGGCCUUGGUGGAAGGAGUUCCUCCUUGCGGUUGCCAAAAUAGUCUUGUCAGCCACUAUGAAAUAUGCCAUUCCAGCCGCUGCCAUAGCAAUCAACAAAAAUUCCAUCAAUACAUAAUUACUACUCAUGAUGAUACAUAAAGAAACUUUUUAUGAAGAUCUUGACAGAAGGAUUGAUGAUCAACCUGUUGAGAUUAUGAGAGCCUGAGCAGUGGGAUUCAGAUUGGCUUUUGCCCAAGGCAGCAUUCUCACACUAGCAAACUGCAUAUAGAGCAUAAUCUUCAUAAUUAGUUUUAGGUGUCGUAGCUCCCCCUUUCAUACAUAUAGAUUCAGAUACUAGUAUACAUAAAGUAAAUUGAGCCAAAGAAAACUUACAGUUGGAAUUGCACUGGCAAUGGUAGCAACAACAGCUGCCUUAACUCCAGCUUUUACACCCUCUGAUACAUUAAAAGAGUAGAGAUUAAACUUCCAGAAGAAAUUUUAGGCCAGCUAGCUAGUGUUCUUCUCAUCAUAGUUUUACUUUUCUUCAGAAAAUAAAUAAAAUUAUUUGGAUACAAAAACUAUGAGUAUAGUAAAGUAUUAGCUAUUGAAAGGGUGGUCCUAUACUUUAUCCAUUUGAUGAUUUUGAUCAAGAACAAGGCCCUUUAUGUGCUCUUGGGCAAAAAGUGAACCAUGAUCAAAUACAAAAUCUUAAGCUCAUAAUAAGCAUAUCUGAUAUCAGUUUUUGCAACUAUUUAACUAACUUUUUACAGGCUCAAGGCAACAGAUAUGUAAAACAUCAUGAAUUAACACAUGGCUCUCAAACCCUCGUACCAAUAUGAAUUAUAUAUGACCAUAUAUAUACAUGUAAAUGCAUCAUGUAAGAAUCAAGUUGGUCAAAAAGGUGAGGCUGCAGCCAGCAGGAAAACAAGAACAUACCAUGAGAACAGCGCUUAGCCAACUGCUGGUCAAAUGAAGUCAGGCUGUGUUUCUCCAUGGGAGAUUGAGACACAUUCUUUGCCAUUGUAAGAGUACUAGUAGAAGUAGAUGUAUAAAUGGAAUGCUAGAAGAUAGAAGAGCUGGUAUGAACUUUGAGAAGCUGGCUGGGUUUUCUGAAAGCUUUGGAUGAAUGGUAAAGUGAUGCAUGGGUGGAUAUAUAUAAGGGAUUUGAACUGAGAGAGAGAUCCAGGUGUUGGGAGAGAGUAGAUGGUUUUUCAAUGAAUUCUGGUGUCUGAGUCACUUGUUUUCAAAGAAUGGUCGGUUUUGUUCUGUUGCUUUAGAUUCCCCAAAUGCCCAUGGUUUUGUCAGGGAAAGUUUGGAUGCAUACAGGUCACAACAGUAAAAACAAAUGCUCAAAGAUCAGGUGAAGAGCAUAGAGAUGAGAGAUCCUGCUCCUAUUAUCCAUUGGUGUUUACAGAACUGACAUGAGAUUCUUUAAUAUACAAGUAAUAUAUGACUCAUUUUUUCAAAUUAGCAUAGUAUUUUAUCAAGUAGAACUCCAUCUUUUGUGCAAGUCGGUUUCGGUUUCAAGAAAGAGAGGAAACUGCAACUGGUAUAGGACAAAGCUGCCCCAAAACCAUGGGUGGCGCUUUAAGCAAGCUCUGGUUUCAGGCACCUAGCCUCGAACUGCUACUGAGAUCGGGGCACGUGUGCUUAAGGUGUUGCUGAGAUUAUAACACGUUUCAUAGAUCGAUCUGCAUCUGUUGCAGCUGAUCCACAGUGGUCAGUGGCACUCAACUCAACUCAAAUAAUAAUGUGUUUAUUUUCAGAACAGUAUCUAAGGAUUUUUGGCAUUGGUACACAAAUAUAUCAGUUCCAUAUUUAUGUUAAUGUAAUUCUUGGUAGAUAGUUUCUACGUGUAGGAGGAGUUCAUGGUUUUGCCUUUGAGUGGGUGAGCAGUGGCUACUGUAUAUGGGGUAGCUAAUGGUUUCAUGGUUAUACAAUGUCCGAGACUCUUGGCAAAAGGCAAGUAGCCACUGCUGGGUAGUGGUUUGUGUAGGUUACUUUUUUUUGGUGGAGAAUAUCUGACUUUACCUCGUUGAAAUAAGACUGAGCGGUAAUCUUAUUCUACCAACUCUCUCUCUCUUUUUUUUCUUUUUUUUUUUUUCUCUCUCGAACUUGUUCAAUUAACUCAGCCAAUGACCCCAAAAGGCCUUUGCUCUAAACGAUUGCCCAUAGAGAACCCAAUUUGUAUGGACCCAAAAACAAAUCUGGGUAUAUUGGUCUACUGUAACUAAUGCCCAUUGUGUCUCACUGAGGUUGUGACAUUGUAAUAAGUGAAAAUUUGAUCUCCGAAACAUGAUGGAAGUUCUAAGAGCAUAAUCCAUGUAGCACUAGACGUUAACAAAAACUAACUUACAGUAGUGUUAGUGGAACAAAGGACUAUUAUGUAUCAAAAUCUAUAUCAAAUUAGUAUUAGGAUCCUCUGUUCAUCAUAUGCUUUUUAACACACUUGAUCGAGAUGACAACUGAUUUGAUCUGAUGAUGCUCUACAUCCGAACUAAUAACAAAACAUGAUAAUUGUUAUUAAUAAUUACGAUCAUAAUUGCCUAAAAUGUAUGAUACUGAUUACAGUAUAACACUCUGUUGUUGGUUGGUAUCAGUUAAAAUUUUUAGCCCCGCCACUUUAAUAAUCCUUCAUUUUAGUCCCACAUCAUAAUACCUUCCAAUUGAAGGUAAAACGAUCGGACUAAUCAUGUGUGAUAGCAAAUAUUCUUGGAUUAAUAUUGUAACUGAAAAAUAACAUCAUUUUUGUUCAUGUCAUCGAAAAGCUAAAAUGCUAAGCGACUAUAUGUUUAUGGAAUUGUUAAUCGCUUUGGUUUCAGAUAGAUGCACAUGCAUGAUCAGUUAUAUUCACAUAGUCAAUGACUGAUUAAAAGAUUCGUGGUCAGUCAACAUUAGAUUUAAAUCCAAUGAUUAGAAGAAUUAUUUUUUAGUAGAGUUGUUUUAUUUUCAAUCUUUGGAUGUUAAUCUACUGGUAACUGAUCAUGAAUCUGUUGGUCAGUGACUGACCAUGUGAACAUUACUCAUGCAUGAUAUAUUGAUAGUACGUACGUACUUCGACACGUAUUAGAUCAACAUAUAUACGUACCUUCGUACGUAUGUAUGUAUAUCUCUUUCGUACGUUAUGAGUGGAGAGUGGUGAAGAAGAAGCCUCACGCGUGCUUCUGCAAAAACUGGAUCUAUCAGUUGGAGUUUUCAUCAAAUACAGGAAGCUCUUGAAACCUCUGUUGACCUUUCAUGCAAAUAUAUCAUUGACUUCCUCCACCCCUAGCUAUCGAAAGCCAUGAGUAAACUGAGUACUGACAUCUUACUGUGAUCGUAGACAUGUAAAAAUCCUUAUAUAUAAAAGACUGUACCAGUACUCGACGACGUUGCAGAUUAUGAUUAAACUGAUACACAAGAACUGUAAUGAUCAAAUGCCUUAGUUUCUACUACGCAUGCUUGAGUUGGGUCAGUGCCUGCAUAUAUAUACAAAUAAUAUCACCACCCCCAUCAUGGAAACUUUGAUUCAUAUGCAUAUAUAUAGCAAAGGAUCUUUUGGAUCUCACUACAAAACAAAAGGUUCAUUUGAAUUUGAUGGAAUGGGUUACUCCAUCUUGGAAUCUCUCAACUAUGAAUAAAGGUUGAAAGGAGAAAAUGACCUCUCUCUUUUUUCAUGAAUGAACAAAAACAUAAUUAGAAGAACAAAAAGGAGCAAAUGAAGCAUGCAUGAUGGUUUCUUUAGUUCUUUUCUUGGUGAAGAAAGAGCAUGUGAAUGUGAGGAGUGGCCAUCAAAGUUGCCCAUAUGCAUAAAGCAUACCAUUUCAAUUUUUAUAGAAAAGAUCAUUUCAAUUUCUUUUUAUUAUAGGUUUGUUUUCCAUCAUGACAAUUGACAAGAGUAAUUAUUGUACUCACAUGACUUCAUGGAGUUCUCAUGAAAAUCACAUCGGGACAAUUAUGGGUAUCAUCCAUCUCUCUUUACUAUUCUAUAUCAUACAAUACAUAGACAAAGAAUCUAUCACAAUUGGUCCAAAAGAAAACAUAAAGCUCUUCUCAUUAAUAUAUAAUUAGUGGGAAAACAUAUAGGAAAUAAAUUCUCAACUCUUUGAUGUCAAGCUAGCAUGAUGAUAAGUAAUUUUGCAUACUUUCUGUUUUACCUAGGUAUUUACAUUCACAAUACAUGAAUAUAUCCAAGCAAUUAGAAAUAGUCAAUAUGAUGAUGAGGGAUCUGAUAUGGUUCAUCCCUCUCUUUCUUGCUCAACUUAGGUAAAUUAUGACCUCUACUAUUACUACUAGUCCUAAUCUUAUGCAAAUGAUCAUGGCUAGCAGGAACUUGAGGAGGCCUAACUGAUCUAAUCAAAGCCCAAUUCACCCCCUUAAAGAACUCAUGCCUUUUGAUCUCAACUGAACCCUUCAAGCUUCCUAUUCUCUUCUUGGGAUUCUUCACCAAAAGCUUGCUUACAAGGUCUUGCACUUUGGCCAUUUCUGCCUCAAACUCUUUGCUGCUGCUACUGUUAGUAACCCUAUUAUCAUUAAGCACUAGCUUUGGAAAGCUCAAUGGCUGCUUCAGAAUGUUGAUGAGGGUUUUCUCAUUGUUUUCACCCUUGAAAGGUGUUCUCCCAUAUAACAUUUCAUACAAGAACACCCCAAAUGUCCACCAAUCCACUGCACUCCCAUGGCCUUGUCCUGAGAUCACCUCUGGUGCUAAGUACUCGUGUGUCCCAACAAAUGACUUAGAACGAGCAUUGAUAGGCUCUGCUACCAAUUCCGGGUCAAGUACUAGUUGAUUAACACCUUGAGCAUCAUCAUGAUCAUCAGUAUCACCAACAUGUUCUGUAAUUGUUGUGACUGUGGCUCUCUUUUUCUUAGAGGCUGAGAAAAUGCAAGAGAGGACAGGCUGCAUGGGAGCUGCACAAGAUGGCAUAGAUGAGCUCUUUACGAUCUUUUCAGUGUUGGAUUCCAAGUCCAGUUUACGCCUCAUCAACUUCGGAACGACGUCGCAUUUGAGAGACAGAUCAAAAUCCGAAAGCAUUAUGUGACCGUCCUCUCUAACCAGCACAUUUUCAGGCUUCAAAUCUCUGUAAACAAUGCCCAUCAUAUGUAGAUACUCGAGAGCUAGCAGUGUCUCAGCAGCAUAAAACCUGUCGUUUUCAAAAUGAGCACAAUAUUAGCAUAAAAUCAUAAAUUUAAUUGGAACAAGCAAAAGUUUUACUAAUUAUUAGUAAUGCACUACUAGUUUAGAUGUAUUUCUUUCUUUUUUUUGGAUAAAAGUUUAGAUGUAUUUCGAGCUAAAUGAAUGCUUAAAAUAACAUAGCUUUAAUCUAUAUCUGAAAAUUUAAAACGAGGUAGUUUUAGACAUAAACACAGUGUAGUAAAGAGACAAGAUUAGUUACCUAGCAGAUGAGAGGCUGAAGCGCUUUCCGGGCAGGCGCUGACGGGCAGCAUACAAGUCGCCGCCUGGGCAAAACUCCAUAACCAAGCAAGAGUAGUGAGAAGCAUCAAAGUCGGCAUAGAGAGUUGGCAAAAAUGGGUGGUCAAGCAUGUCCAAAAUCUCCUUCUCCAUUUCAGCUCUAUGCAGUUUGUUCCUUAUAGCAAGCGCUUCUCUGUCCACCACUUUCAUGGCAUAGAAGCACUGCGGCUGCUUAGGCUGCAGCCCUGCCACGGCUGCGGCGGGGUUCCUUAUCUGGCAAAGGUACACAUUGCCUAUGUCGCCGCUGCCGAGGCGGCGCAGGAGGCGGAAAUGGUCGAGUCCCACUCGGCCUUUGGAGCUCCGGAGCCGCCUCAUGGCUUCCCAUGCAGCUUGGUUGGCCUUGUGAGGCUUGUGAGUUUGGGAGGCCUCAGAAGUGGCGGAGGAACAGACGGAGACGGAGCUCCGGCGCCGGCUGCUGAAGCUGAGGUUGCUCAUCCAGCUACGGCUAGAGUCGGGUAUGGUUAUGGAGGAAGAGCUACUGUCAUAGUCGGAUGAUUCAGUGCUUGUUAUGGCUGCCAUUGUAGAAGUGUUUUGAGAAAAUGCGGAGGAGAAAGCAUGUAUAAUUGUAUGUGUUUUGUGAAGUUCUGUUGCUUUGCUUUAUGAGAAGGGUUUUUAUAAGAGAGCAGCUUGUGGGAUUUGGCACCCAAUAAGCUAGCUAGCUACUUUGUUUGGUCAAAGAAAGUUACAAACUCUUACAGUCUUUUCUUUUACUAAUAGAGAUAGUAAAUUUAAAUUUUGUUUUGGUAUCUAACCAGAAUGCACGUACUACUUUUAGAUAGUGUUCUAAACAAGGCGCCGCCCAUGCCAGCAGCGGCUAGCACUCCUUCCCAUGCUAGCAGCCGCCUAGGCGUUACAAGCCAACCAUCCGUCAUAUUAGCAUCUAGCGAGUUUUCUAACUUUAGCUAAUUAUAUGUAGUGUUCUAAAAUAAGGCUGCCAACCCAUCUAGCUAGGUGGUUUCUAGGCGCUACUAGGCGCUCCAAGCCUUCUCUCCGCCUUAGGAGCGCCUUUUCAAACCUUGUUUUUAGGGAUCAGAGGAUAGUUAAGCAAAAUUAUAACACAUAACAAAUUAUAGUAACUAAAAGAGAGGUAACUGAAGGUAAAUUUGCUCGUAUACUAUAUAGUAUAUACUAUGCCUCUACUACUACAAACUUCUACCGAAAACGCCAUCGUUUUAUCUUUAUGGAUGAAUCAUGUGAGGCUCUUCCAAAAGAAGUAGAAAUGAUUAAGAGGAUUUGCUAUUUUGGUGCUAAAAUUAUUUUAAUCCGCACACAGAAACGAAACACUUUUAGGUGCACAGUAAGUGGUGCAGUCCAUACAGGAUUUUUGUUCCAGAUUAUUACAGCUGAACUCAACCAAGCAAAAGAUACCGCAACCAAAAUAAAGAGCUUUUAGGGUUGAUGGAUAUUCUAGGCAUGCUCAUCUCAGCUGACACAACCACUAUGCUUUGUUUUCGAAAGUGGCUUCCAAGAUGAAAAUGGUGACGCAUUGAUCUUUCAUCAUAUAAAAGAUCCAACACUGAGCAUUGUAACUUGUAACCCAGUUUUCUAUCUUAUCUUGCCCAGAUUUUUGAUUUUUCAAUGGUGUAGUUUAGCACCUUGUCAACUUCUUAUGUAUAAAAGUCUUCCAUGGAACAAUACAUAUGAUAUUUCUGUCUUAGAAUCGCACUAGUACUUGUUUGUGAAUCGUGGAGAUGUACACGUAGUGCAUAUAGUUCUUUACUAGAUAGAGUAAGCUACCCAAAUAUGAUUUACAAACCAUCGAUUAUCAGAUCAACGUACAUGCAUCAGUACAUGAAGUGAUUCAUAUACGUAUCUAAGUAUCAACCAUCCAAGUCUAAUGAUAUCAAAUUUUCAAAUCAAUCACAUAUCCGUCCAUAUGUUAUACGAGAGUUUUCUUUAAUUUACCAAUAUAUGUAUUUAAUGAAUUUUAAGAUUUGAAACAUGAACAAACGUACUACUUCAGUCGACAACCAAAUCUUACACAUAUAUCACUUAUUCAUGUACUGAUAAUCAAGCUGGUCAAUGAUCAUAUAUGAUUCUCUUACCGUUUAUUUAAAAGUCCUUAUUUGGUUCUCAUUAAAAGUUUUUCCUACAACGAGACUGCCACUCAGUUUCGAUAUUUUCCCUGAAUACAUGAGAAUUUCCAUAGACGCAGUCAAAAAGGGUAGGUUCUUUCCUGUUAAAAGCUCCUACACACUCCGUUUCUCAAGAAAUCACCGUCGUAAAAAGUGCUAAAGAUCCAAACCUAAACCCACGCUUAACUUAAACGACAUGUCGUGCCAACCGGUCAACCUCUUUUUCUUUUUAUCUCGGUCUCGGUUCAUCGGCCAGUCAAAAUUGCCACUGUAAAGAAUGAACGGUAGUUACUUUAAAAAGUGAGAAGUGGUUUCGGUGAAUUUAGGGGACAAAACGUGGCCCACAUGAAUCCCAAGGGAAAAAGACAAAGCUCAAAAAAGGCCUGGUGGGCCGGAGGUGGGUGGGUGGGUGCACCGAAAACCCGUGCCCCAAAUUCAUAUCCACCUCACUCUUUGGUGCUUCCCUUUAUAUCUUCUUCUUUUAUGAUAUUCUUGCCAAGCAUGUGAACCCAUGUAGAGACCGUAGGGGACCUGUAUUGGGUCCAAAGUAUUGCAAAAACUUAUAUUAAUUACCUCAUUUUCGGGUUUUCUCUAUCGUUAAGUUGUUAUCGGAAUGUACUGAAUUAUGAGUACAUGCAUCUUAAAAGAGACGAAUAUCCCUUUCUCAUGACCAAACAAUCACUUGUUUACAAUCCUCAUGCAAGACUAAUCGUAUUCAUUCCUCCCUCCCCCCUCCCACGCUGCGUUUGGUCUUUUACUUCUAUCUCAAUCGACCUGGCGACUAUUACGACAUAACAAGUCAAUUUCACAAUAUUAUGUUUAUUUGUUACUUUAAAUUGAUUUAUCGUGUAAAUGAUUAUUGAAAGAGCACUAAUUCUUGUAUUUAGUUUAUAUUCCAAUUAACUAUGCACAAUCUUGGAUUUCAUCAAAUUCCCCCCACCAUAUAAAGGCAUCAUAUUCCCACUUUUCAGCUUUAGAUCAGACAACAAAGAUCACCCAAUCACUGUGAUUCUGGACUUGUUGCUCACUACCCCAUUCCAUAGACCAUGGUGCUGAUCUUGUGGGACCUUAAUGAGCACAGAUCAUUUCAUAUUACUAUUGAUCACAAAACUUCUAUCAAAGAAAUGAGAGAAAAGCAAUAUGGGUUUGAUUGAUCAAGUGACACCAAAUCUUGUCAUUCCUGCCUAUUUGAUUGGACUUUAGACUUUUCAGAAACACAUUGAAUUUUUCCCUCUGCACAUUUUCAUAUCCUAAAACCAAUUGUCAUCCCUUUCUUUAACUCUAUCUUUCAAUUCUUCACUUUUCUCAGCAGGAUCUUAUCUCUUUCAGUUUUUGGUUUCAGUUUCAGGCAACAGACUUGGCAAGAAUUGCAGGGUUGCAGGAUGGCAUAUAUAUAGGAAGACUCAAAGCUCCAUCACUUGCCCCAUACAUUCUUCUCCCCUCACUCUCAAAGAUAUCCAACAACUUUGGUUUUGUUUUUUUAUUUCAGUUUCUUUGAUUGAACCAAAAAUCUCUUAGGAAACAGGUUGGUAGACAUUUAAUUUUCCUGUUUACUGAUUUGGUUAUGUUCUGUAUUGCAUGAAAGUAAGUUUGAAUUAUAGGAUCUUGGAUGGUGCCAAAAUAUUAGUCAUCAUUGCAAAUGAUCAUAAUGAAAGAGGAAAAAGAUAAAUUUUCAUUCAUUUCUGUAAUCAUGUAUCCAGCAAAGGCUAUGUAAGAAAAUGGAAAUAUCAAAACUUCAAUCGGGUCCAAAUUACUUAAACAUAAACUACAAAACUAGAUACAGCAGUUGAUUAAGGGAUUGACAUAAAAAAGGGUGUUCAUGAAGAUACAUGAACAAAAUGAGGAGAUGGAAACCAGCAAUAUCAUAUAUCCCUGUCUAAACAGGACUUCCACUCCUCCAAUAAUGUAAUAGAUCAUUCAUAACCCUGAGCAAAACAUGGCCAAUCUGACAACCCCACAUCACAAUGUGUAUAUACACAACUAUGAAUCUAAAAUAUGUAUGAAUCCAGUGGUUUCUUGACAAAAUUUUUAUAUAUUUGUUGAUAUGCAUCAGUUUCAGUGUAAGAGAAUAGAUUUUCAGGAAGGAUAUGGAUACUCUGAACUGCAUUUGAUCUUGUUAUGUCUUUGGAUAUAGUUAUUGUGUGAGACAUAUCAAAAUGGGCAGCUCCUAGUCAUGGGGUGCAAGCUAACAGUCAUUUUGUCUUCCAGCUAUGUGUUGGUUUGUAUAUACCUUUAAAAGCUUUCGCAACUCAAAAUCCAUUUUUUCUUUUUUCGAAGUUUUCUAACAUUUGAACUGUCAAAACUCAACUGUAACAGUAAUAACAUCAUGUUAUCUGUAAAUAACCCCUGUAGUAAGUUCUAAUAGAGUUUUAAUAGGCCUCACAUACAAUGUGGUUUACCAAAAGAUUUCUAUUCCUGAUUGAAUUAGGAAACACCACAACUUGCUCUUGCCGUAGUUAGAGCUAUGGUGGAAUCAGACUCCACCAACUCAACAGUAACCAUCUGCAGCCCAAGAAGCUCCAGUUGGCAUGGGCUGUAAGACUAGGAUGGAGGUACAAUAGUGUAUAUUAUGUCCUUAGAUGAAAAUCAAUACCUAUAAACUGGAAAUGUAUAGCAGUGUAUAUUUUGAUGCUUAUCCAAGACAUAAAAGUAGCUUAUACAAAGUAGCUCAUCUUAUAUUUUGAUGCUUUCUCAACAAGACGAGUUAAGUAUACAAGUAGUCUGGCUGCUAUCUUGCUACUACUGAUGAAUAUGUCAAGAGAUUCUCGGAAGGGACUCCGCUUCUUAAUGCUUUAUCUACCUCAGACAUCAAGUUAGAAUACAUAGGCUGCUUUGGCAUUGGUAAACUAGCUCCUUCAUUGCUCAACAUUGUAACAACUUCUGACAUGUUUGGUCUAUCUUCUGCACAAUCUUGAACGCAUAAAAGACCUACCUGAAUGCAGAGUACACAGCCAUCCCUUGAACUUGUAUCAGCUAAUGUUGGAUCUAACAACUCCUCACAUCGUCCAGAUAUCCACAAAUUCCAGGCCUACAAACAGUUUCAGAUUUUUAACUGUAGAAUAAAAUAGGGAACAAGAGCAUAAAAAUUCUACAAUGAGAGCCAGAUAUGCCUUGUUACUUACAUGUCCUAGCAAGUUCAAAGAACAAUCUGACUCAUAAAAGGUUGCAUUCUUCAUGCCACUCAUAAUCUCCAACACAAUGACUCCAAAGCUGAAUACAUCCGAUUUUGUUGACAAAAGGCCUUGUAGUACAUACUCGGGAGACAUAUAACCACUGCUUCCAAUAAAAAGAUAAAACAUAUAUGAGAUUCAUCAAAUAAUUUUAUGUCAGCAUUAGUCUACUCAUCAUAUUUUGUUAAUUUAGUUUUAGAAUAUAUGGAGUUACUUACAAUGUUCCAACAAUCCGCUUUGUUUCAGCUCCACAUUCAUUCCCAGAUAAAAUUCUAGCCAAGCCAAAGUCUGAUAUCUUGGGGUUCAUAUAAGCAUCCAAUAAGAUGUUGCUUGUUUUGAGGUCUCGAUGAAUAAUUCUUAGUCGAGAGUACUUGUGAAGAUAAAGCAGCCCUUGAGCAAUCCCUUCAAUUAUGUGUAUGCGGUGUCUCCACUUCAGUUGUCUUCGCUUAAUUGGAUCUGCAUCAGUAGCAAUGUCACAAAAAUGAGAAAAGUACUGAUAACUAAAUUGAAAGGAGGAAAUGAGCACAGUUAGAAUACAAACCAAAAAUGAAGGAAUCCAAACUUCUGUUGGACAUAUACUCGUAUAUUAAUAUUUUUUCUUCACGUUGAGUGCAACAGCCCAAAAUCUUAACAAGAUUUCUGUGCUGCAGCUGAGAGAUUAACUGCACCUCAUUCUUGAACUCCACCACUCCUUGUCCAGAUCUUUUGGAAAGCCUUUUUACCGCAAUGUCAUAUUGCAGUAAGUUACCCUGGUACAAAAAGAAGAUACAAUCACUUCACUGAAACUUUAGAUCAAAUCUGAGUUGCAUACAUAACUUUAUCACAUACGUGAGACGAUAUGUAAACCGUUGAUCCAAGCGGAAGAAACAACAAAAUGUUGAUAUGAAUAUGACUUAAUAACUCAGCAGUACAAGGUAUUAAGGUAACAAACACCUUAUAAACAGGCCCAUAACCUCCUUCUCCAAGCUUGUUAGCAGCUGAGAAAUUAUUUGUGGACGCCACAAUGCAGGAAAAGCUAAGCAUUGGCAAAACAUGAUCCUUCGUCUUUCCACUUUCUAAAACAGGUGAACUGCUACCACUAUCAUCUGAACUCAACUGUGACAAUAAUAGCUUCAUACUGUGUGUCCUGCCAAUAGAGAAUCUGCAAAUUCCUGUUGUUUAUAGGAGACAAGUCAGUGCAAUAGUACUCUCAAAAUUAUAUUUUCGCAAAGUUACUAUAUUUCAGUUCAAUAUACGGUUUGGUUAACGUACCUAAAGAGUAGCGCUUUCUCCAUAGAACAUACAGGAACAAGAUCAAGAUCAAAAUGAAGGUAGUCAAGGGAGCCACAACUUUGACAACCAGCAACAGCUUCUUUUCUCUUGAUGACACCAACCAGCAGUCACCACAUACCGAAUGACUCACAACCGAAAUCUUCUGUCCUACCAUUAUGAACUCCUGGAUCUUACCAUCCGAAGCCAAUGCAAACCAUGAAUAUACAUUACUAUCUUUGUUGCUGUAAGUAAGAUAACGCUCCUCGCUGUUCAAUACAUAGCUGACAUUGUAAUUAUCUAACUUGGUUUUGAAAACAAAUCUGAAAUUAUGGCCAUCCCAGUAGCCAAUCUGUUUCUCUUUACCAUUUGCGCGCCAGACAGUGACUUGAGUUGGGCUGUCCAAACUUACACCAAGAUAACCACUUGUAGGGUCAUGUACGCUUCUCCAUGAUAUAAGAAACAUAAACUUCAACUGAGCAUUGGUUAUGUUAACCACCCCCAAUUUCAUUCCAGGAAGAAAUGUAUCUACCAGGUUAUCAAAGCUCUGCCACAAAGUCUUUCCUCCUUGCAUCAGGAUUAAGUUUCCCGAGUCAAGAAUCCUUGCGCUUGUGCUGUUAUCUGUUGCAGUUGCUCCAUAAGCGAAAACAUACGGUGAAUUUCUAUUAUCACUGAUCACCAAUCCAUAAGGAUUGAAGUAGAGACUUGCAUUGGGAUCCAUAAGACGGUCAUCUCUGUUUGCCACCCAAACUGGCCUUUUCUUUAUGUCAUUCUUCAACCAGAUUCCCAAGUAUCCUUCAGAAUCCGAGGGGUAGAAAAAGCCUAGCUCAAACACUCCACCAUCAGAAAUCAAGGUUUCAUCCUUCUGCAUACGCUGACCAUGCAUAAGGGUGUCUGAUGCAUAAGACGAGCAAACAAAGAAGCAUAAGAAUAUACAAAGGAAAACAGAAGCAGCUCUCAAUAUUUUCAUGCUCGACAAAAUAUAGAAGCUGAAACUAUACUAAAACACUAAUUUCAAAAUGCAAAGGUAAGUAAAUUAUGAGCGUGCAAUUCUUUGGAGUAUGGCUUUUAUGGAGUGAAAUGCAGUAAAAGACGAACUUUGUUCUAACAAUCAACCACAGUCCAAAGUGAAUGAAAACAGAUUAAGAAUCUUAAAAAAAUCCAAAGAAGUGUUCCUCUGGUGUUUAGCUAAGGUUAUGUGCAUGGAUCUUUGCUCUCUAGCAUUGUUACUAUCAGGUUUCAUUUUCUCACAACUGUAAUGGUCAACUCCCUUUUGGAUUAAAAUAAUUAGGUCAUAGCCCCCCACAUUGGAGAUAAACUUUUAUAGUCAAGCAAAUUGACUACAGUCUGUAACAUAGAAUCUUACGUUGUUUUACUUGUUUAUGAUCUUAUGGACAAAAGUAAACAUCAGUCACCCUGCAACAAACGUUGUUCAGUCUUAUGGACAAAAGUAAACAUCAAUCACCAUUUCCGCUAUCUUAGAGUAGUUAGAAGUUAAGGGUUAAACGUUGUUAGAUUAAACAUUGUUAUAGUUUUAUGCACAAUGAACUAAUCUAACAACGUCCGGCUGUAAAUGUUAAUAAACUUUGAAUAACUAUAAAACAUUAUAAGAAGGAAGAUGAAAUUAACACUCCUUAUUUUACGAUCUACACUCUCAUUUUUCAUUUUUAGGUAAAGUUUUCACAAAAAGACAAAACAUAUGUCAUUAAAAACAAGAUUUAAAUUACCAAAAAAGAAAAAUAGGAAUGUGAAUUAUAAAAUUAGGAGUGUAAAUGUUAGUUCCCUAUAAGAACCACUCACAUGAUCUGUAAUGACCUAACUCCGGAAUACUAUAGAACGCCACAUGGCGACACAAGUAACACUAUGUACAUGAGCCGGGUCGGGUCGGACCGGGCCAUCUGUAAUGAACUGGACCAGUCCGUGCAAAACAACAGGCCUCAGUAUCCUUCAGCUACUUGUUCAGUUCUGGCGAGCAGGUCCACCUUAGCUUCACAAAGACAGAACCUCCACCAACCAAAACUCAAAUGAUUCCGAAACCACUGCAGACGGUGGGAAAAGCCGCCGCCGUAAUCUUUGCCGGAUUUCUGACCCUCAAUCUCGCUUCCACCGCCACGAUGGGAGCCAUACGUGUGGCCGUCGAGUCCAAAAGGGUAUGAAAACCAAAACCAAAACCCCAAGUCUCUCAACUUCAAAGCUCGUAUUGUUAAUUGCUCUCUGAAAUUUGAUUGUUUUGUUUGGUGGGUUUAGAAAAAGACUGCUCUGCCUUGUGGGGUUUGUAAAGGGAAAGGGUUUUACAUAUGCAAGCUAUGCCAAGGGAACGCCACCAUUCAAUGGUCGCCUCUGUAUGACCCAGUAGCCAUAAACCCUUGUCUCUGCCCAACCUGUGAUGGAAAUAGGUCAGUUACUUCUUUCAUAUUAGAUUUUGGGUCAAAUUUGGUUAUAUGUUGAAGCAAACUUUACCAAAAAAGAUUGACAUUUUAGGGAGGAGGCAAACUUUACCAGUUCUAUAAAUGAUUGUGAUUUUUUUCUCAUGAAUUGCAGGGUACAGCGAUGCCUUAACUGUUUGGGGAAGGGAUACAAUUGAGUUGUAAAAGCAGAAUAUAGUGUUAGUUCUUUAGCUCUGUUGUAAUGGAUCAUGAUCAUUUUCAUGUAUAACUACUUUAUCAUCUGUGAACUCUUCCUCCUUUUGUUUCUUUAAGCUUAUCAUGUCUUUUGAGAAUGAAGGAGAUCUUCACUUUGAGCAAACUUGCCAAACCACCAAGUGGAUUUCCUGAUCAGUCACGGAAAAGAUUGAAGUGGCUCUCUGUGUUACAAGUUGAUUGGUGAUGUUUGGAUUAACACCUUAUAUGAAUUCCUCAUGGAAAAAGAAAGUGAAACAUGUGAUUGUAGUUGAAAGGAUUGGUAGUGAUUCUAAGAUCAGAGGCAGAUAUAUGUAGAAACAAGGAGGCCCAAAGGCCGGGGAAGAUAGGCACAGCCCAACUUCAAACAUAGAUUUCUGUCACUCAAAGCAUCACCAUUAGCUCGAGACCGGUGAAGAUGACAAAUACAGGUGUAAGUAGCUUCUCAAUCGUUUCGAGGUCGAAACUUUUUGCAUAAACUCUCCAAAGGGUGAUUUUCAGAUCUUCCUGCAUUUCUAAAUUUGAAUAGUUCAGUUUUGAUUUAUGUUAAGAAAGUUAAUAAGCUUUGAUGUAAAGUCAAGCUUGUAAAUAUUCACUCUCACUAGUCUUGGAAAUAGUAUAUAUUGUGGUUAGCCCCUGGAUAUUUACUCAGAUUUUACGACAAAGAUGAACUUGAAAAUAGAAUCACAACACACAACAAUUUUAUAGCGGUUCAGCCAAAAACCUUAACAUACGUCCAUUUUGUGGUCUCUCUCGAGAGAUUCACUAGCACUAUAGAGAAUAACAACUUGAUUACAAGUAUAUAUUGAAAUUUCUAUGCUAAUCCCCAACUCAUCCUAGAUCUCUCUAUCACGCUUUUGCUUUCGCUUUUCCGCGCUCUCUGUCUUAGCCUUAGAAAACCCCCUCGACUCCGAUUUAUAGAGAAUAGGGACUGUUGAUACAACAUAACUUAAACUCCUAAACCUAAUAUAAGUCUAUAGAUCCUUGAAUGACUAACUAAAAAAAAGAAAAAAAAAAACUUUUCUAAAACUGUUUGGACAAUAAGAUAUUGUUUGCAUCCAAAACUACUGGACUCCAAUCCAAAUCCAAUAAGAAUUAGGGUAUGAAGAAGAACAUGUUUAUACAGACGCCAAAAACCUAAGCCUCAGACUCAAAGCUGCAUCAUACUUGAGAGCAAACAGAUAAACACCAUGGAAAGCUACGGUGAAGAAGAAGGAGAGCAAACCCUGCCUCUACGCGGUGGCGGGUUGAAGCUGAUGGACGACGAAUAUGCUGAUAAGUCUCUAUUCGUUUGUAGCUUUGAAGCUUACAAAACGCCCAAACACAUCCCUACUGCGAUGUAUCAGCCUUGGGUUAGUUCUUAUGUUGUUCGUUCCAUCAAUCUUUCCGAUUUGCUGGCACCGCCGUUGUCGUCGUCGGUGAAACAAUUAAGAAAAGUGGUGGAUCUGGCCGACAAAGAUCUCCCAGGUGAAGUGGGUUGCGGUGUUUUGGGGUCCAAGAUUGUCUUCUGCAGCGGCUUGAAACCCAACAUGAAUCCGUUUCGUAGCGGACCACCAUUCGGCCCUCAUUUCAGCACAGAUGCUUAUGCCUUUGAUGUCCAUGACCCCAAACAAGGGAUAGUCAAGAUGCCCGAGGCUAUGAACGGAGGCAAGGAAAGUCCUUUCGUGGCUGAGUUUGCCGGCAAACUCUAUGUACUGGCGGUUGAAGAUUUUGUUUCAUUUGAGGUGUAUGACCCCGUACAGGGUACUUGGUCAGUUCUGCCGCGCUUCCCUUAUUGUUGCUUCGCCUUCUCAUGUGCAAUAGCCGGAACCAAAUUGUUUAUGUCUAGCCAAGACGAUUACUACGCUGAUCAGGACCGCUCCAUUUGGUGUUUUGACCUUGCGGCCCGUGACCCAGCAUGGAGGAGAGUCCCCAGCAUGUGCCAAGGCGGCCCUCUGCCCUUUAAAGGCCAAGCUCUAGUGGUGGACUUGCCACAGCCAGAACACAGUAACAAAAAGUUGCUCUUUUCGGCCGAACAUAACUUCCUCAUGUGCCGUAGCAGUAUAGUAGUUCAUCUUUUGUCCUUGGAUGAAAACCAGGAAGAUAUCACCGAAAUACACAAGAUUAAUCUGCCGGCUGGUGUGCUCCCUACCCAACGGGAUGACUGUCAUUUCUGCCAUCUAGGGGGAAACAAUGUCUGCUUUGUCACCACCCCUUUGAGAGAGAUAGAUCCUGCCCGUAUGUCAGAGAGAGAUCUUGUCAAUGAGUAUAUAGCAAGUAUGCCUGACAAUAAGUGUAGAGCACUCGGUGCCGCCGUACCAUUUCAAUUCGAUUUCGAUAAGGUGGACAAGGACAAGAUGAAGGGUUUCAGUGUCAGUUUCCAGCCUACUGUCAAUUUCGAAUAUCAUCAUGCAGGUCCAGACUCUUUGUUACGCACACUUGGUUGCUUUGUGCUCUAAUCACUUUAACUUGAUCGAUUGUGUCAUGCUCAUCUUCUGCAUGCACUAUUCUAUUCUGUGUGCUACUUUAAUUUAUAAUCCUACCUUUUAUCCAGACUUGAUGAUUUCUCAUCUUUCGCUUGCAUUUUCAUUGUGGAAAUAACUUGGGUGACCAGCUAUGAUCACUUAUGGGUGACAAAUACCAAUAAAAGAUGGAUAAGUGUCAAUAAUAAUCAUAAACAAACAUGUCAAAUGCCUAAAAUCCCCUUGUUAUGUCCUUAAAUUGCAACAAAGUCUUUUAAAAUUGAUACGUGUCUCAUGUUUAUUAGCAGUGGUCACCUUAAGAUGACAGGAUGGCCAAAAACAUGAUCAAAUGGAGCUCAUUAGGAAGCUUUGGUCUUUAAAUAUUCAGCCAAAAAUGAAAUUCUUUGGUUGGCUUCUUCUCAGAGGCAGGCUUAAAACGAGGGAUAGGCUAUCCCGCUUUGGGUUGAUCCAGGAUAAUUCUUGUGUGCUUUGUAAUGAGGAUAAUGAAACAAUGGACCAUUUAUUUGGUUACUGUAAUUUUGCAACUUCUGUGUGGAAUGCAGCUGCCAUGACCCCUCCUAUUGACUGGAAGGAAGGCCUUAUUAAGGUGGCGCGUAAAUGGUUUAUAGAUAAUCACUAUGACUCUAAUCUUUUUGGGAAAUUUAUUGUGACUUGUUGGCAGAUAUGGAAGGACAGGAAUGAUGCAGUAUUUAGGGGCAAAACCCCUAGAUCCAAUGCCACAGUAGCUGCUGCUGCAGCUCACCUACUUGCUAUGAGUAAUAUUCAGACUGAUUCUAGUUCAACUAGGAAUUUGGAUACUCCCGGAACAGACUCUGAAAUGAUUAGGUGGUCACCACCCCCUUUUGAUAGGGUUAAAAUCAACUUUGAUGGCUCAGUCUGGAGGAACUCUACAGCAGGAGGAUUCGUAAUCCGAACCCCUAAUGGUAAUCCACUUGUUGCAGCUUCUUCCAAUUUUGGAAUUACCACAAUCUCAGUUGCAGAAGCUCUUUCACUCCGAAACAGCCUCAUUUGUGCCAAGGAGAGAGGCUUGUCCAGAGUGGAGGUUGAAGGAGAUUCGAAACUUGUCAUCGAUGCAGUGAAUGGCAUUGCUGCUUCACCUUGGAGGAUCCUCAAGCUAGUUCAAGAAAUUUAGAUGUUUUGAGGAAACUUCGUUUGAUUUUAUUAGUUUCAAGCAUAUUUUUAGAGAGGCCAAUUUUGUAGCUAAUGCUGUACGCACAUGUUGGCCCACAAAGUAGGAGAUGUUCGCUUUUGGGAGGAGUGUGUUCCUCCGGAAGCUAGCCUAGCGCUGUCUUUUGACUAUGUAAACCGCGGGUGCGUUAGAGGCACCUCCAUUUAAUCUAUUGGCUUUUCAUAAAAAAAAAAGAUGACAAUGGCUUGUUACCGAAGUCAGGUUCUUUCAUUAUGUUGCAAUGUGUCCUAUACCUAUAUUCACUUUGGGCUAGUGUGUUGAUUUACACAUUGAUCUAAACACUUGUCAGCAAUCUCUCACACGUGAUCUACAUUUUUGAGAGCCAUUAGAUCAUUCAAAUAAGGAUUUGGGUAGCCCUCAGAGAUAUAUGACGGUAACAAAAUUAGAAGAGAAAAAAAAAACACUAUGUUAAGAUUGAUAGUGGUUUGUUUAGGCUCGUCAACUAUAGAGCUCCAAAAUGUGAAGCUGCUAUUCUAAUAAUGUGCCACGUGUUGCUUAGAGCACAAGGUUCUCUAAAUCCGAAUUGGACUAAAAGACAAAAAGGGAGGUUGAUGCCGUUGUAUGGAUAGACAACAGCCACCGCGCCAAGUGGCCAAACGCAGUCAUGCUACGAAGAAGACGGAAGCUUUCAUUGCUCUUUUACGUUUAUGCCCUUGCAUGCGUUGCUAACCUAUAUAACUGCCCCAUGGUUUAUCCGACUGCAAGUGCCUCUAUUUUCGGGCUGUCUUAUCUGAUUAUUAGCUUGAAACAUCGAUUUUUAGGAGAGGGUCAGCGAUUCAAUCCCAUCCGUAUGUAAUUUUAUCUAUAAAAUUUCAAAUAUAAAUAAUAAUUUUUCUAGAUAAUAGAACAACUAUCGAAUAAUCUAAAAGAAGUAUUCAUUAAAAUGAGUGUUACUCUUGUGAGGUCUCGCAUUUCAAAAAUAAUAUGAUUAGGAGUUGAUUUACCAUAGUACGAUGUUAAGCGAACUUUAGCGUAUAAUAGAAUCCCGACCAGUUACUGCUUCUCUAAUACCUCUAACACUUCAUCAUACGACUAAAUUAUUCAGUCUGUUUUAUGUCUUGUUAAGAAGAGUCUGAUAUGAAAGAGAGAAAAGAAUAGAGAUUGAAGGUGUGAUCUUCUUAACAUCUCAGUGGUGCUUCUAUAGAGCAAUUUUAAAAAUAAAUAUGUAUGUUCAAGUCUUGAAUACUGUAAAUGACUAUAAUUUUUAGUGCUUAGAUACGUUACUAGCUUAUUUAACUCCGUACCAAUGCGGUAUCCCAUAUCCCUACUUUCAUGUAGCUCAAAUUCUUAAAAAAUAAAAAAUGAAAAAAUCUUCAAGAAUUGAGAUUAUACUACUCACCGGUCCAAAAAGGCAUAACAUCACAAGAAUCCCACAGAUAAAAUAAAAAAUAAAAAAAGUCACAACUCGCCUCAAACCCAAAAUUGUAAUAUCACCCUCGACACACUCCCAUACAAAGUGUAACAAACUCUGCUCCGUCUUCUUCAACAACCACUCCCUCAUGAUCUCCAUGAAAGAGCCACCUCUCUCUCGCCGUAAAAACCCCACCACCAACCACCACCACGCCGCCCAGCCCACUAGGCCCGCCAACCACCACCACCGCACCCACCUCAAGCUCGUCUGCCGCUUCAACGGCGCCUUCCACCUCCGGCCUCCCUCCGGCCUCCUCCACUACUCCGGCGGCGACGCCAAGAUCGUCACCGUCGACCGCCCCGUCAGCUUCUCCAAGCUCCUCUCCAAGAUCUCCGGUCUCUCCCCCGGCAUUGCCUCCUUCGUCAUCAGGUACCAGCUCCCCUACUCCGUAUCCGGCCCCGCCGCCGCAGCGCCGCUCGUCCGCCUCGACUCCGACGACGACGUCCGCCGCAUGGUCGACUCCUUCGACAAGCUCGAGAGCUGCGGUGGUAUGUCCGUCAGGCUCAAGCUCUUCGUUUGUAGCGCUAACGGAGCCGGGUCGUGUUACCGGGUCGGGUCAGAGACCCGGACCCGGUCGGAUGAUGUGAAGGCGGCGGCGGUUAAGAAACAAGAUUCUCUGAGGAGAAUUGUGUUGAAGCAGGUGGCCAAGCAAUCGGGUCCGGAUUCGGGUUUGGGCCGUGCUAGUGAGAGUGAGGUGGAGCUUGGUGAGACCAAGCAAUGUGAAGCAUAUGAACCCUUGCUUAGAGAUUUAGAGUCUCAUUGUGACAAUGUGGCUCAGUUUUCCGUGGGUAGGUCUAGUCCAUUGAACCCCAGAGAUGGGAAUUUGAGGGGUGAUCAAGCUUUGGGGAAGGUUUUGUGUAAUGGGGUUGGAGUGGCUGAUCAGUCAGUGUUGGCAAUGCAGGGUUUGAAGCCGGUGAAUUGCUCCGGUGUGACGAAGCCGGGGAGUAAUGGUUUUCAUGUUAAGAAGGAUAUGGGGCAGAAUGGGGUGGCUGGGAUUGGUAAUGGUAGUUUAGUGAAGAAUGGUUUGAGUUGUCAUUGUUGUGGUGAAACUAUGAUUCCCUUGUAUGCUGGCGAUAGGGUGUGUGACGGGUUGAGUAGCAGCAUCAGGAACCAUAGGUUUAGUAGGGAAGAAGCUAGACAUCAGCAGUGUAUUCCUUUUUGUGUUAGGAAUCAUAGGAGGAGCAACAUAGCUGAGAAGGGGAACCAUAGAAUUGUUAGAUUGGAUGGGAGGGUUUCGACAAGGAAAUGCUGCCUUGUGAUCAGGCCGCAUAUGAGUAUUUCAAAGGAGGGUAAGGCUGUGAGACUGUAUCAUCCCUAUUCAUUGCCGCAUUAUGCUGAUAGGGUGAGGAUGAGGAAAGCUAGCUCAAUCAAAGACAGGUCCUUGAGUGGUGUCCAACAUAGUGCCCAGAAGGGAAGUAAACAGAACGGUCCUGGACUUUUACAGCAUCUGAAAAUGAAUCUUGAGGAAAAUUGCUUAGGUUAUUAUGGUGAGUUUACUAGAGUGGGUGGUCAAUCAGUAGUGAACUGUGAUUCUACUGAGAAUUUGUAUCCAUCUGUGAGGAAUAUGGACACUCAGGAAAAUCUCAUAACUGUGUCUGGUUUUGGGAAGUGUGAAGGUCAAUAUCAGACUUCAUAUGAAAAUGUUCAUGGAGUGACCAGCAAAUGUGAGCCUAUUCAUAGAGAUGUUGACAAUGAGACAUGCCUAAAAGUCAUGGUGAACGCUCCUAACACCUCAGGCACCAUUGAUAAUAAGUUGCCUGGUGAGGAAACAGUCAACAAUUCUUUAGGCAAUUCCCAAAAUGGCAGUAAUAACAUACAAGAUUUAUGGAAUGGAGUAACAUGUUCAGUGAAUAGAUCUUUGCGUGAUCUUUCACUGUCCAAAGAAGUGGAAGGUCCUCAGCUCUCUUCUCAUGCUAGCUGUGUGGUGACUUCUGACGCCUUGCUAAAACCUCAAUCAAAACCGAUGGAUAUCAUGGAUGUAGGACAGUUUAUCACGAGUCCUCAAGUCAAGGAAUCAAAUGAAGUCAAAUCUAAUCCUUCAUUCCAGAAUUUAGCUAAGAUAGAGAAAGGCAGUGAGCAUGUUGAGGAGGAUCGACAGGAAUCUCCAUCUAGUUUAAGCUCUACUGAAGAGGUAAUUACUUGAAAACAUCUUAUCUCAUUCAACUAUAAGAAAUAACAAACAGAAUGAAAGCAAUCUGUUUUGUAGGUUUUACUAGCUUUAGUCUAUAGGGAGUAAGCUUUUGACAUUUGGUUCUGUAUUGUUAGGCCAACCAUGGAAAUAGUCUUAGUUGCUCUAAGGUAAUUGGUGGAACCUCCAAUGAUCUGGCUGCAUUUUAUACUCAUCUAGCCACUCGAGAGCUGCAGGUAACCACUUGAACCUAUGCAUUUUCUGCUUUGAUAAGCCUGUGGAGGCUCAACAGAAUAUCAAUAUAUAUGAUUGAAUGUCGUGUGUUCAACCUUUUCAGUCUAUCAGAAACUCUGACCUUGAGUUCAUAAAAGAGCUUGGUUCAGGCACAUAUGGAACCGUUUACCAUGGGAAAUGGAAGGGAUCUAAUGUUGCCAUAAAAAGGAUCAAGCCAUGUUGCUUUACAGAUGGGGUAUUGGAGGAUAGAUUGGUAACACUUAUAUUUUUCCUCCCACAAUUCAAUUGUUCAAAUUUAUGUUUGUUAAUUGUUAGCAAAUUACAUAGUUAUUUGUAUUACUAGGAAUUAAACUCUUGUUCUGGGUAAACUCUUUCGAGGAAAUAUUCAAGGUCUCACUACUAUAGUUGGAAAUGCAUGUAUACCUGUUUGUUGUGUACCUACGCUUACUAUUCACUUCUUGUAGCUUGCUGACUUUUGGAAGGAAGCUCACAUAUUAGGUCAACUUCACCAUCCAAACAUUGUGGCAUUCUAUGGUGUAGUGACAGAUGGACCAGUGACAGAUUUGGCAACGGUGACAGAAUACAUGGUGAAUGGCUCCUUAAGACAAGUUUUGCGGAGGAAAGACCGGUAAGAUGAAUGAUAUCUUGUCUUUCAUAAACUGAUAUGCUAUUACCUCCUUAUUCUUUCUGGUAUUGCAUAAUUUCAAUUGAUUAGUUUCAGAGCCUUAACGAUAGAGCUUGCUAAUUAUUACAUGUAUAGUAUACUUGAAUUAUGUAUUCGUUAUAGCUGAGCACAUGUAAUGAUAAGCAAAACCUGAGGAUUUAAAAGACAGGAUAGAUGAUCUUUAAUAUCAACCCGGAGAUAAUCUAUACCAUUUAAAAUGCAAAGUGAUAGCAAAAUAUAAUUAAAUCCAUUGGAUUUCUACUAUAGUCUAUGCAUAUGUUAAUUCUGUUUUCUGUAUAGCUUGGCCUUAGCCUCAUGAAAGUUGAAGAAUGAGCAAUCUUUAAUAUCAACAUGGACAUAAUCUAUACCAUUUAAAUUGAAAAUGAUAACAAAUGAUUUUGAAUUCAUUGGAUUUCCACUGCAGUCUGAUGAAAAUUUAAUCAUCUCACUGGGUGCACCAGAGUCUUCCUACAAUUUUGGUUCUGUGGGUUCAUAGUUCUUGAUUUGGUGAGAGCUUGAACGUUGUGUUGUCCUUUCAAGUGUGGAAACAGUUAUUAGUUGCUCUGUAAUAUAACUAAAAUUUAUAAGUGUAGUUAUCACUCUUCCCUUUUUUUUAUCCUAUGUUCUUGGAAAUUCUGACUGCAAAGGGAUGCAGGCUAGUUAUCUGAUCAUGUUUCAUUCUAAUUGCUUUACAGGACUAUUGAUCGUAGGAAGCGGAUGAUAUUAGCAAUGGAUGCAGCCUUUGGAAUGGAAUAUCUUCACGAGAAGAGCAUUGUCCAUUUUGAUUUGAAAUCACAUAACUUUCUGGUGAAUAUGAGGGAUCCUCAGAGACCAGUAUGCAAGGUAUCCAACUGAGAAGAAGGCUUCUUGUUUCUAUAUCAUAAUAUUCCUAUUGUUGUCUUUGCCUCCAUGUAAUUUUUCCCCUAGUGUUGAGAUUUCACUUGAAUUUGUUUAGAUUGGUGAUCUGGGAUUAUCAAAAAUCAAGCAGAGGACACUCGUCUCUGGUGGAGUACGAGGCACUGUACCAUGGAUGGCUCCAGAACUUUUGAACAGCAACAGCAAGAAUAAUCUGGUGACAGAGAAGGUAAACAUUGUUCAUAGUUAAAAGAUCAGUGAGUGUUGAUUUAGGUUUUGUCUUCUAUCAAUUAGUAUACUGGUUUUUAUUGACUUCUCAUGUCUUUGUAUCUAGGUUGAUGUGUAUUCGUUUGGAAUAGUUAUGUGGGAACUAUUGACUGGUGAGGAGCCAUAUGCAAACUUGCGCUCAGAGGAAAUAAUAGGUAACAUCCCAUUUCCUUUUGAAAACUAGGUGAUCACUUUUGUUUGAAACUUCAAAAACACCUUAUUCUGUUUUCAGGUGGUAUAAUCAAGGGCAAUCUCCGUCCUGAAAUACCAAGCUGGUGUGAUCCAACAUGGAGAUCACUAAUGGAGAGAUGCUGGUCAUCUGAUCCGGAAUCUAGGCCACCAUUCUCAGAAAUCUCAAAGGAGUUACGUGCAAUGGCUGCUGCUAUGAACAUUAAGUGACACCACUUGAGCUGAGCAGAGCCACAUAACUGCCACUGUCUCUGGUACUAGCGACUAUAGAUCAGUAGAUCACUUAGUGUACAUAUUUCAGGAGCAAGCUGAACAGCAGGAAGUGCACAUGCUGAGACAUGGAUAAUUUUUGCCGUCCACUGUCAUGUGCUUAGAGCAUUAGAGAUCGUCAAGCUGGGUGAAAUUUUUGCACUCACCGGUUUGCGAGAGGGUAAUGGGUAGCGUUACGUGUAGGAUGCUGAAGUACGUUAAAGAACGAGCUUCAGUAGUUGGAUUCGUCCUAAGGUAGAACAAGAUUGCUGCCUGCAGUGAUGAGCUGAUAGUUUCUUUGAGGAUUUGCAACGGUCAUGCACUGUUGCACAAUAACUGUAAAUAGUCCUAAUCUGAGUUCUGGUAGGAAAAUUUGAUUGUCUCAAAGAGGCAUUUGAGAAAUGGCCUAGACUUGAUGGACAUGGAAUUAUCACAAGAUUUCCUUGCUGUAAUGUGAUGGUCCUCUCUCUUAGCUUUCCUUGUUCUUUGUGAUUGUGGCCCUAAAGAAAGGCUGGCUUAUUAACGUUUGCCACCAAUCAGUUCUUAUACGUCAAUCCUGCUAUGAUUUUUCGAACCGCCAGUACAGAAGAAAGCACAAUGCAAAUUACAUUAUUCCCUUAUGGCAUAGGAAACAUCGCAACAAAAUGAAUGCAAGUGAUGGAUGAAAAAUCAUCAAGUCUGGAUAAGAGGUAGCAUUACAAAUUAAAGUGGCACACAGAAUAGAAGAGUGCAGAAGAUAAGCAUAACACAAACGAUUAAGUUAAAUUGAUUAGAGCACAAAGCAACCAAGUGUGUGGGGCGGAAAGGUAGAGUCCGGACGUAGAUGAUAUUCGAAAAUGCGAGGAGGCUGGAAUUGGACAGUGAGACAAUUCUUCCUGUCCUUGUCCACCUUGGAGAUAUCGAAUUCGAAUUGAAAUGCUAUGGCAGCACCUUGUACAGUAAAAAUCAUCCCACGGUGAUCUGCUUCAUACUUUUUUUGAGGUUCUCUCAUACCGGUGGUGACAAGGCAGACAUUGUUUCCCCCUAGAUGGAAUAAAUGACAGUCACCUGGUUGUUCAGGGAGUGCAGCAGCCGGCAGUUUCAUCUCCAUUAUUUCAAUGAUAUCUUCCUGGUUUUCAUCCUAGGACAUAAGAUGAACUAGUAGAUAUUUGGCAACACCCAAUCAUUUACAUCUUUAUAUGAAAAGAGCAACUUUUUGUUACUGUGUUCUGGCCGCGGCAAGUCCACCACUAGAGCUUGGCCUGUAAACGGGAAAGGGCCGCCUUGGCACAUACUGGGGACUCUCCUCCAUUCUGCGUCAGGCGCCGCAAGGUCAAAGCAGCGAAUAGAAGGGUCCUGUUUAAGGUAGUAAUUAACGGUAGUAGUAUUCUUCGGUCUCUGGCACUAGGGUAGACAUAAACAACUUGGUUCCGGCUAUGGCAUAAGAGUGAUGGGAGCCAGGAUUAGGAUAUUUUGGCAGACGUGACCAAGUACCCUGUUGGGGUCAAAUACCUCAUCAAGGCAUAAGCAUGUGUGCUGGGAUCAGGGCCGAACGGUCCCAAACCUUCCGGAUUGGGAUUGGGUUUCAAACCGCUGACGAAAACAAUCUUGCCCAAAACACCGCAACCCCCUUCAUAUGGGAGAUCAUUGUCGACCAGAUUCGCCACUUGUCUUAAUUCGAAUUUAUCCGGCGACGACAGCAGAAGGGGAAGAUUGAUGGAACGAACAACAUAAGAAAAAUCCUGAGGUCAAUACCUCGCAGUAGGGAUUGACUUUUCGUAAGAUUCAAAGCUACAGAUGAAUAGAGACUUAUCAGCAUAUUCGUCCUUCAGCUUCAACCCGCUUGAGCUUUCUGGGUUUAACGACAUGGUGGUUUCUCUGUUUGCUCUCCAAGUACGAUGAUGGCUUGAGAUUUGAGUUUGAGGCGUUUAUAUAGUGUUGUUCCUCAUAUUAGCAAUUGGAUGAGAGGUCUUAAUUAUUAUUGGAUUUGGAUUGGUACCACUAGUUUUUGAUGCAAAAGAGUUGGGCUCAAACGAAAUCUCGGCCCUGUUGUUUUAUAAUUUUAUUUUUAAAAAAUGAAAAUUCUUGUAUGCACGACAUGUAUUUACACUACACAAUCUUAACCAUUUAUAACAAUUCAUAUGUUUGACUACCAUGUUUUUAUAUUAUUUUCUUUAAUCCUGACUAGAGGUGGCAAACAGGCCGGGUCAGGUUUCGGGCCAUGCUUGGGCCGGCCCACGACGGGCCACUUCUUAACGGGCUCGGGCUUAGGCAGAUCCAUUUACUUAAAUGUAAGGCCCAGCCCGACCCACGGCCCAAGCCCAUAACGUGGUGGGCCGUGCUCGCCCCGGGCCCAUGAACAGGCCGUGUCGGGCCCGUUUUGUGCCGAAAUGGUCGAGGUGAAUGUCCUAUACCAUUGCUUCUACUCUCAUAAUCUCAACUUUUAAUUAUACAUGAUACGAUUAGAAACCAAAACUAAUUCACACAAUCUAUCGAUCAUUUUUUUCUUUGUUAACAAACUAAAGAAAUAAGUGAUAAAUGCUUAUUGUUCACAAUUAAUAAAUUUUAAAUGCUUAUUGUUCACAAUUAAUAAAUUUUUAGGCAAAAACUUCUUAUGAGUUUAAGGGAAUUUAAUUCAUACUUAAAUAAAUAAUUAUUAGUAUAUAAGUAUAUCGUUCAUAUUCAAAACUAAGUUUAUUAUUUAUAAAUAUGUUAUUUUAAUAUUAAAAAUGGAAAAAAUUAUAUUUUAUAACGGGCCGGGCCGUGGGCCUCAAAUUAUCGUGCUCGGGCCGGGCCAGGCCAUGGACUCAUUUUUCUAGGCCCAGCCCGACCCAUUAGAAUAACGUGUUUGGGCCGGCCCAAACCGUUAACGGGCUUGGGCCGUGCCGGGCCGCUUUUAAACGUGCCGUGCCGGUGCUUAGUACCCCGUUUACCACCUCUAAUCCUGACCAUCCAUGUAUGUAUAUGAAGAUACACGUCAUGCACUAAAUAUGUUCUCUUCAAAAAAGGCAUUAAGAGCAACUCUAAUAAAGGAGUCAAAAUACUUGUGUUAAAUUCAAAAUUUGAUAAUUUUAAACACUCAUGUGUCCAUUUUGAAUUUUGACCACUUUUACUUCAAUGAACAAGUCAAAUUUAAGAUAGAGAUUUAUGUUUUUUUUUUCCCAUAAUAUUUUGUAUUGUAAAAAAUCUCACUUUAUCUUCUUCCUCUAUCUUCUGAUUCUCCCCUUUUGUGGUUGUUUAAGCCUUUCUUCUACAGUUCUACCCACUGAUCUUCUUCUUCUUCUUCCUACAAAAACCCACCCACCCACCCCAGGCUAUCGAAAAAAACCCACCCACCCCAGUAAAAUCACCACACAAUCGAACCUCCAAUUUUAAGAUUCAAUAUCCGGUAAUAAAUUUUUCAUUUGGCGAUGAAUUAGCAAGAUCCAACUCUAUUCACUGCAUCAGAGGAUGACUUGAAUAACUAAAAAUUCCAUGCUGAUGAAGAACAACUAAAGUAGGAAGAAGGAAGACGACCAAAAAAAAGAUGCAGAUGAUGUUCUUAUUCUGGGUUUCAAUAUGGGAAGGGAGAGCGACGAGAGAGAAGGGUUUCAAGCAAAUGGAAGAAACAAUUUUUUAUUAAAUGACUCUUCUCCCACUUUGUGGCAAAUUUGACAACUAGCUCAGUGGAUUUGGCUCAUUCUUAAGAGAGCUCAGCGGGUUUUCAAAAGUAACUGUUGGGCUACUGUUAAGGAUUUAUCUCUUUUGUUGAAGAUGCUCUAAACCCAAAAAAAAAAAGAGCAAGUAAAACAAACAACUAAGGAACAACAUAGUUCCUAUUUCUCCUGGUUGUAGCAACACCAGUCAAAAAAAUCAUUUAUCAAAUCCAUUUUUCUAGUAAUAUCAUUGAUUCAAAAUUUAAAUUUACAUUUAGAUUUGGUAAUCAAUUAUCUUAUCCCAAUGUAAUCACAUCCUUUACAAAAUCUCAAAAUUUCCCAUAAUUAUUCAAAUUUCAAAAACAAAAAGUAAAUAAAUAAAUACAAAAGAGAUGGAAGAUGAGUGGUCCACGUCGGCACCCUAAGACCGACCACGAUGUUCGAGUCAGACAUGGCAUGAAUAUUAAUGAUUAUAUUAUAUUAUAUAUAUAGCCCUCCAUCCUUCCACUAAUUUUUUCUUUUGUUUUUCUCUUUGGGGUAGCUGCUUAGCUCUCAAUCAGUUACCCUAGAACAAAGAAAGAGAAAAACCAGCUGCCUUCUCCAGCUGAAACCAGUAAUCCCCAGCGGCUGCUUGUUUCUAAAGCGCUUUUUUCUAGAGUCGUCGCCGAGUCAAAAUCCCUAAUUCAAUCCGAUGAUGAUUCAAGCUUAGGGUUCCUCCGAAAGUUUGAAACUUUUCUAAUCCGGUAAUUCUCUCACCUGAUUCUGACCUCCGAUUGUUCCUGGAUCUGGGUAUUGUCUCGAUUCGAGUACUUCUGGGAUUGGUUUUUGUGGGUUUUGUUUCAAGUUUUGGGUUUUGGGAUGAAAUUGGGGGUUUCAGCGUUUUGGGUUUUCUGUUAGUUUUGGUUUUUGGUGAAUUUGGGUUUGGUUUGUGUGGUGGUGGAUUGUGGAAAAUGAGAAUAAAGGUUUGAUUUUGCUUCAUUGUUUGUGGUUUGGGUGAUAAGGGUUUGUUUGUUUAUUGACUUGUUGAGGAUUAUUGGGUAGUUUUUCUUACCAUUUGUGUUUGAGCUGUGACUAAUUGUUGAGUAUCGAAUUGAGGUCCUGUGUGUAAUGAACUUGUGAGGUUUGAUGAAAAUUUGUCUAGUUUCAGUCCUUUUUGUUGUGAAAUUGUGUGAUUUCCUCGAUCGAAAAAGGAAGAGCUGGGAACUGCAUUACAGGUGGUUUGGUUUUCUGGGUGUCAAAUGGAAGAGAUGCAUUGAAUCACUGUACUUUAUAUUUGAGGUUUUCCUUUGUGUUGGUUCUUGAAUGUAGAAGUGCUCUUGAGGCUUGGUUUGAUUUGUUGCUUCAUAGAAAGUAUGCAAAGGCUUGGAUGUGAAUGCUCUUUGGAAUAUCAACCAAUUCAUUGUGAAAUAAACGUUUUCAGUCUUUAUCCUUUUAUGCAUUGUGGAACUUCUUUAUUGUUAAACUACUAAUUGUCAAAUAUGUGUGGUUUUUUGUUUAUUUCUAGGGCCUUGGAUACAUUUUAUCCCCUAUUUUGUUAUUGUUUUGACUCUCCUUGUUUACGUGUAAUGGAUAUUCUUGUUGCUCAUGCUCAGUAUGCACUUCAAGUGGUGUCUGUAAUCUGUGUUAAGCAGAUUGUUAUCUGUAUUGCUGAUGUUAUGAUUUGGUCUUUUUUAGUUUCAACCUGCCACUAUCGUCUGGCAAGAGGGUGCAUUAUCUCUGAUAGCUCAAAAUGCCUAAGGAAAGAAGGGACCGUUCUGUGUCUCGUGAGAGGUACAGAGCAUCUCCUUAUCCAUGCAGCUCCAGUCAUACAAAGCGUCCCUCACUCAAAAUUCCUUCAGAAACUGAAGAAAAUGUGAAAGAGUGGGAAGAAGCUAGGUGCCCAGUUUGUUUGGAACAUCCACACAAUGCAGUUCUCCUCAUAUGUUCAUCUUUUGAGAGGGGAUGCCGCCCUUACAUGUGUGACACAAGCUACCGCCAUUCAAACUGUCUAGAUCAGUUCUGCAAGUCAUUCUCAGAAGAGGAUCCACCAGAGAUACUGCCACAAGAAGAAACUCUGCUUUCAGAUAAUCUGUUGCCUCCAUUUGAAACUUCUGAAUCAAUAAUUACUGAUGUGCAGACUGAUAUAACCGAGGAAGAGCCCCCACCCAUGAUUCCCAUAUCUUGUGAACACCAGGAACAGCCCAAGCUUGUGUGCCCACUCUGCCGUGGGGAGGUAAAAGAUUGGAUAAUUGUGGAGCCUGCUCGUUGCUUCAUGAAUGCAAAAUUGAGAAACUGUUCUUGUGAGACUUGUAGUUUUAGUGGAACCUAUACAGAUCUCAGGAAGCAUGCAAGGCUGGAGCACCCGCAAACACGCCCAUCAGAGGCAGACCCAGAGCGACAACGUGCCUGGAGGAGUUUGGAGCGGCAGAGGGACAUUGGUGAUCUGCUCAGCACACUCCAAUCUUCAACUGGAGAGGAUAGGGGUGAUGACAGUAGCUUGGCAGUUGAACAUGAUGGAGGAGGAUGGCUAACUGUAUUCUUUCUAGUUAGAAUUUAUCGACCUACAUCUGGGUCCAGCUCGCGGAGCAGCAGUUGGUCUCCUACCACUAGAACUAGAGCACAAAUUAGUAUGAGAAGGAGAGCUACCAGACUUUGGGGAGAAAGCUAUGAGAGUGAAGCUGCUUCUUCUUCAAGGGAAGCGGACAAUGACUCCUCAGAUGGUGGCUCGGCCCCUACUAGGAGGCAGAGCGCACGUCUCCGGCAAAGGCGACGGACAACACCGGACAACAACCAGCCCUGAUUGCAGAUGAAUGUAGAGGCGGCGAAAUUGUUUUUCAUUUAUGGUUUGGAAAGUAAGUUUGCUAAAGUUCUGUAAUCAGCAGCUGUCAGUUGCUUGCUGAUGAUUGAAAUUCUGAUUAAAGCAAUGUGCGUGGUUAAGUGCCGAUGCUCUUGGACUCAGGUGGAUUACUUGAAAGGAAAUCAUAUGGAAGAUGGUCUGUUUCUGGCCUGGAAUCUGCUCCUUCCUUGCUAGAAGUGUGGAUCAGUGUUGCUGAUGAGAAUAUUAUCCAGAGAGUGAAAGAAAUGUAAUUUUCUGAAAAUCAAACUUAAAUUAUAUAUUUGCUUUGCAAAGUCUGUUCUUUUUCUCUCUUUAUAAUGAUAAAAGUAAACACUUAAUUCAUAGUUUGAUUACUGUUUAAACAAGCUGUUAUUACCAGGUCCAUUUAUCCAUUUACCUUUAAUCAUCUACAGGGUAAAAAAAAAACAAAAGAAAAUAGAAGCACGUGAGCAAAAGCUUUAAAUGACAGCCAAGAGUUUAAUUAAUGUUGGUCAUGUUUUCUCCAUUCUGUCUCUCAAUUAAUCAUUAAAAUUAAAUUCCUCAAAAGUCCCAAACCUUUUCAACCUUUUCCUCUUUUCCCAGAGACCGAUCUAUCUCUGUUCUGUUCCUGUCUCUGAACUCAAAGGCCCUCGAUGGACCGGUAAUGACAACAAAUUAGGAAUCUGGGGCUGUUUUGCAAUUUCGAAUAGAUUUGUGGAGGAAAAUGGGGGCCGAGAGCACCUCUAGUUCGGGCGGUGGGAUUGAUCGGAACGACAGGAGGUACGACACUCCGGUGGUCUUGAACGUCUACGACCUCACCCCUAUGAACAAUUACUCAGUUUGGUUCGGUCUUGGAAUAUUCCACUCCGGUAUUGAAGGUCUGUUCUUGGCUCAAAAUCUCAUCUUUUUUAAUGUUUCUUGGUUCUUCAUUGUUUUGGUGAUCUGGGUUUGGUUCUGUGUUGGUUUCUGGUUAUUGGGUUUUCUGGGUUUUCGUAGUUGUGAUGAAUGUGAAUUUGUUUUGGGGUAUGUAGGUUUUCAAGAUUGGUACUUGGAAUGAUCCAACGUGUUUUCUUGGAUUUGGGACUCUUGAUCUUUUGUAAUAUUGAUCUGGUUUAUAAUGAAAUGUAUGCUGUGCUUGAAGAAACAUGCUUUUGUUGUGUUGUGAUUUCGGAAUUUGCAUUGUUUGCUAGCUUAAAUCUGUAGUAGCCUACUAUUGCUAUCUUUUGUUUCAGCAGGAAGUUAAAUUUGAGGUCAUUGUGGUUAGGGAUAGUGUUGAGUGGGGAAACUUUGUCGCACUUUUAUGUUUAGGGUAUGUUUGAUGAAAGAAUUGUUGGGUUUAAUGUAAUGGAUAUGCGUUUGUGGGUGAGUGUGGGAUUGUACAAGAAGAUAUAGGUUUUGAUUUAGUGAUAGAUGAAUCAGUUUUUCGUGUUUGGAUUUCUAAAAGGUGCAAACACAUAAGUUAGUGUGUUGUCUGGAAAUAUGUUAUUAUGGGAGCAGGUCUUACAAAUCAAAGAGAAGCUAGAAUCCUCUGUUUAAAAAUUAAAUUGACUGAUCAGUAGCCUUUCAUUCUCUGUGAUAGAUACUCUUUAACCAUAAUGUCUUUUUCCUUGUGAACAGUUCAUGGUAAAGAGUAUGGUUUUGGAGCUCAUGACUUCCCAGUUAGUGGAGUUUUUGAAGUGGAACCAAAGGCCUGCCCGGGUUUCAUUUACCGAUGCUCUAUUUCACUUGGUCGUAUAAACAUGUCUCCCACUGAAUUUCGGACAUUUAUUGAGAAUGUCGCUGCGGAGUAUCAUGGGGAUACCUAUCACCUCAUUUCCAAGAAUUGCAACCAUUUUACAGAUGACAUAGCAUGUAGGUUGACAGAAAGACGAAUUCCUGGAUGGGUGAAUCGGCUUGCUCGACUAGGUAAAGAGAAUUUAUACUAUGGACUUCUGGUACUCGAUUUAUUCAUGCGUUGGAUGUGUUAUUUGGAGAAUAUGUUUGAUUACUGCAAUGUUCUAGUUGUUCAGAACAAUGGUCUUAAAUCCAAAGCAUUUAGUAAUACAUCUUUGCUGGAAAGAAAUUCACCCAUUUUUGGUGUACUGAAUGAUAUUUAAAUGUGCAAAUGAUAUCAUGCAUGAGAGUUUUGAUUUCAAUGGUUUGAUUUGCCUUUAUUUCAUUUCAUAUUUUGGGGAUUGGUCAUUUUCAUAGACACUAGCACUCACACGUGUGCUUCCCUUGCUUGAAUCAAUACUGAAGUUUCUGUUAUGUCCAUGUUUUGGUUGGAAUUUUAGGUUCUUUGUGCAGCUGUCUUCUUCCAGAAAGCCUUCAAGUGACUACUGUUAAACAGACUCCUGAAUACCACCAUGAGUCAGGUGGUAUUUUCAACUCAAUAUCAGUGUCCUAACUUUAUUUGAUAAGAUUGGAGUGUCUGUAGUUGCUUCAACAUUAACAUUUGGAGUGUCUCUAGUCCCUAACAUUUUGUGUUGCUUUUUUAUUUAUUUAUUUAUUUUAUCUGGUUGUGUUCAGAAGAAGAUGGUACUGAAUCUUUGACAAUCACUACGCCUCGCGUGUCAACAGAGGUUGAUGACGAUCAAGAAAGACGUCUGCUGUCACCCUUGGCUGCAGUAUCACCAAUGUCUGGAUGCGGGGACGUGACUUUUGUUAAAGAAGCCCAUACGUGAAAUAUAAAACCACAAUUUUUAUCGGAAAAGAGGAAAGUAUCAAUCCUGCAUAGGGUUGUUAGGCCCGUCAUUCUUCUCCAUGUCUUCCUAACCUGGAUGGCUUAUGAGGAAUCUCGUGUUUGCAGAAUCAAAGCUGCCUGAAUUGUAUUGAUUGUUUGUAUGCACAAGCGUUCAUCCGAUUUGCUUUAUUUUUGAAUUCUUUUUUGUACCAUUUUAAGUUUUCAACUACUUUUUGGAACUAUGGAAUCUGAACUAGAAGGUAGUUUGUUGUACUUCAUGAUUUGUGGAUGUGAAAGCUUUGAAGCUUGAAGGGGAGUUGUUUUGGCUAGUGAAAUAUCUCCCUCUGUUUUCAAUCUGAAUUUCGUUUUCUGCAACUUUAUUUUUGCUUGCUUUUCAUUUUCUUACUUCUACAAAUAAAGUGAUUGCCUCCCCGUUGGCCCCAGGCGCCCUUAAUAAAAUGCACUGAACCCAGAAGAAAGAAGUGAAGGGUGAAACAGGAAAGCAAUAGACCAAAGAAUGAGAAUCAGUGAAUCCCUUACACAGAUCGCAUGGUAGUUGAGUUUCAGCUGAAUCAGCCAUAGACAAAGUGAGAAACUUAACGACUAUGAAGCUCUGAUACAUAUGGAGUCUCAACUCCACUCAAAAUGGAACCAAAAUUGAAAAUACUAAAUCUUCAGUUUAGAUUUGGUUUACCAAGAACUAAUAUCCUGCUACCCGCAUACUCUUUCUGUCAUUUGAAAUUUCAGCAAGGAAAAGAAAGCACUUACCGGCUAUGUUCAAACGAUAUGUCUUAUGAUCCAAAUAAUGAAUAUCUUAUUACAUACGAAUAUGGAUUUUAUCCACAGCCAAACAAUAACAAGCCUUAAAGGACAUAUAGGUCAUAACUCUGCUACCAAACCACAAAUAAUUCAUGUUUCUUACAUCUUCCCUUCAGUUUUGGCCUCUUGAUGUUGUUUGAGAUUUUUCAUGGAAGCAAACUAUGAAGAAGUUCCUUCAAGCCCCAACUUUGAACUUAGCCAAGUACAAACCUCAUCCAUCUCUUCAGGAAUUGUGUAAUGACCAAGCCUGCAAUUUAGAACAGAACAAUCUAUAGCUCCUUGAUAGAACCAAAGUUAACAGCUUUUCAACAAAAUCUCAGACCACAUACCCAUUGUAUGAUUUGAACGUUACUUCCUGAAAUCCAGUUGAACUCAGAGCUUGUGAAGAUUUCUCACCGAACUUAUACGGUACCACAUCAUCACCUGCAGCACAUCAUACUUGAUAUCAAUCAAAUGUUGUGGUGUGCAUAUUGGAAGAGCACUGUGAACGUGGACAAACAACUAAACUGGUAUUGGUGAAACAAAUAAGACUCAUGAUAUAUAUAUACAUGAGAGAUGCAAAACACCUUUUCCAUGGCAUAACAAAAGUGGAAAGGAGGCAGCACGCCUUGCAGCUUCACUUGCUUCUUCAAACUUCUUACUCAAGGUCCUGAAAAGGAAGAGGACUUGUAACUGACUGCAAAAGAAGAUAGAGGGGUUAAACUGAGAUGAGUAGUAGUGUGAGAAGCCAAACUUGGAACAUGGAAGCCAUCCACUGAGUCCAACAACUGCACUCAGAUUGGACGGGUAUGGAGUACCAUCCCCGUAUUUCUUUAUAGCAAAGCAUGUGGCUGAGUAUAGAGCUGUAGCUGCACCCAUACUAAAACCUCCAACCCCAAGCUUAACUGCACCAGAAAGAAACUUGAUUUAAUAUAAUAUUGUGAUUCACUGAAUGUAAAGCUAUACCAAAUAGUUCAAAAGCAUAAGGUGGGGAAUAUUCAUCUAAAGUUAUCUUUAUAAGACAACCGAAAGAUCUCAAGGAUCUGAAAUGUCCAAGGCUUCUCUAGAUGUUCACAACAUAAAAGCUCAAACAGACUAUAAAUGAAAUCCAGCAAGAGGACACCUACUGUUAUCUGGUUCUGUUGACAGCAAAUUAGCUACAUGUGCUGCUGAAGCAUCCAAGCCCUCUAUAUCAUCUGGAGCAUCUUCUGAAAGUUCUCCAACAUCAAACCCUGUUUCAUAUCAGACAAGCGAUUCAGGGUACUUGUGAAGUAAUGAAGAUUCACUUAAUUUCAACUGAAAAUUUUUCUUUUUGCGUCACUAAUGAGUGGUGGUAAUGUUACAAUGAUUUGUCUUCAAACAAGAUGCCAUUCCAAGAUUAAUACAUAAGGCUACAUACGAGUAUAAGGAAAUAUGAAUCUUACAAGCAGUGGAAGGAAAACCACCAAAAACUGAAAUUGGUUGAGUAGGAGCGGUUGGACAUAUCCAUUUAAUCUGCAUCACAAUAUUUUAGUUAGCAUGAGAACAUUCAACUACCAAUAGUGUAGAUGUAUUCCUUCUUACAUUUGGAAGAGGGAGGGACUCCAAGAGCUGGGACCAGCUGCAAAACAAAAAAGAGUUGAGCUUAAAACAAAAAUCCAAGCAUUAAAGUUAUAUGAACGAAAAAUUAAUAAAUCUAGUAUGAAAUAAAAAAAUACAAUCAGAGAAAGUCAAUGAAAUAAAAAACUGCAUGAAUUGAAUAAUGUCAACUUUCUUCGAAAUAGGUUACAAAAGCAGUGGGGACAAGAACCACCUUGAGCCAUUGUCACCAAGGCCAUGUAGCCAAACUACAGUGGCCUGGUGUUUGCCUUUAGGUCGGACUACAUAGGUUCUUCCAAACUCAAAUGCCCUUCUAACAGUUCUACCACCUGAAAACAAGUUACAAUCUAGUAAAUAAGAAAAGGAUGGAUAAUAAAGAGAACCAAUAGAAUGUCAUUUCUAAUCAAAUAAUUCACCAAACCUGCUAAAUACCAACAUAGAACACCUAUACAGAUUGAUAACUAGAAAGGCAAGCUACACUAUUCUUAACAAGGCAAUGAAAGUUAUGCUCAUUUUCAGUGGGAAACCCAUUAUUGAGACCACUUCACCAAACCAGUUAACCAAAUUAACAUUAAGAAUGAGAAACAGACUAACCAGAACCGACAGAUGGAGACGUAAAGCUCAUAUUAGGCACCCUCUGGGAAAAUAGCACCAACCACACUCCUACUACAGAAAAUGUAAAGAUGAAGGAGCACAGAACCUGCAAUGACAAAACACCAGCAAUUUCAGAGUAUCAGCUAAUUCCCGUUUAUAGCUAAAUCAGUAUUCUAAUGUAUCACCUUAACCACACCUAUAAGCCUAACAGCCUAGAUGAUCUAGGAACCACGGGAAGGCUAUGUAGGUGGCCACAUAAAUACAUGUUAACACUUCUGGUUAUGAUAUAUCUAUUCAUUAUUAGGACUUACACAGAAUAGCAACCACAUUAGUAAAAGUUCGUUUGUUAGUCACUGAAAAACCAAUCAGAAUCUGAUUUUUUUUUUCUAACAUCUACAGUUGCUUUAGCUUUUUAACUUCAAAACCACAAGGUUCAAACAUGUAAAUUACAGUUAACAUGUUGGAACUAACCCUACAGCUUAGAAAAAUCUUGACAUUAACAGCACAAAGACAAAAGGAACUUAACUUGUGGAUAGCUCAAACAAACAGUCCUAACUUAUAACACAAGGAUUUGGAAAAACAGUGAGGCCAUAUUCCUAGAAUACCUUAAAGAGUUUAAGCCUAAUCUUUGGCAUCUUCCUCUCCACUGAACUAAAAUAACCAUAAUCUAAUACCAAAGUGCUAAUACAAACAACAUCAUGUAACUGUUUCCAAAGCUGGGAAUUUAGUUUUCCAAAUGUCAUAUGUGCCAAAUGGUGCUUCAAUGACUCAUGUCAAUCAUUUGAUCACCUAAAAUGAGGCCCAUGUCUUACAUUGAACUACCAAUUUGAGAUCCCAGCUACGAUUGAAGUGUUUAACAUUGUUCACAACACCUCCUUAACCCAGAAACCAGAACUAGAAAUGUCAAAAUAGAGAAACCAAAAUCAUAAAGGUUCUACCUUGAUACCAUCUGAAACAUAAAGCUUCAUAAUUGAAGCUAUAAACCAAAAAUGGUAACACUUGAGCACCCAAUACUCAUAAACUAAAGCUUCAAAAUUUAACACAGAGCAAACCAAUAUGAAAGUGUAGAAUCAUACAGAUAGUAUCUUUGAAACAUGGGUACAACUGAUAAUAUGAUAAACCAAAAUGAAAUUGAGCAGAGACAACAACUGAAAAUCUGGGUUUUAGGGUUUUGCACCAUUGUUACAGACCUCAGUUAGCUUUGGUGGGCUGAUCUUUCAACCCUGCUCUCUUCUCUUCGUUCUCUCUCACUCUGUUUUCUCUCUGCUUCCCCCAAAUUUUUGUUUUUCGUUUUAUUUGAUGUCGUUUCUUGUUCUUAUAGUAUUCAAAUGAAGAGAAACCAUUCGUCCAAAAAAAAAAUUGAAGAGAAACUUUAACCGUUGGAUCAUGAUCUUUGAUGGAUUCUACUCCACUGAUCCUUGAUGACACUAUAGAUAUAUGCCACGUGUCAUGUAUCAGUGCACAUAGACUGGAGAUGAGAAGUUGAGGGACAUAGGUUCUCUAUAUUAAGGGUGGUCCCCAAGUUCUUGACCUUAUCAUAUAAUUUGACUGAAGUACCCUUGUAAUCUCCUCCAAUUUCUAGACAUUACUAUAUUUUUUGCUUGGUGGAUGAUGAUUUCUAGAAAUAGUUAGUUGGUAAAACACUCAACAGUGACAGGGUAACUGUUCUUGUUGUGAUUCUACCUAGUAGGUACCUGAAAAAUCUAGAAGUUGGGAAAUGGUAAAACUUGUACUUUUGAAAUGGAGAUCUCUUUCAAAUGUCCAAAAUGAAUUAAUGAUCAACUUGAUGAAAGUCUGAUCCACUUGAUCAAAGUCUGUCUUUGAGUGAUUGCUAGGAUGCACAAAAAGUAGUUGUGAAAGAUUCAAUGGGGUGAGGAAUGGGCAAUUAAGGUUUUGCAGAAACAGUUUUUAGAAGCAAAGCCUAAGACUAAUCAUAUUCUAUGAUCAUACAUUUAAUUCAGAGAUAGAACAUCAAUUUCUGGGCAUACAGGAAAAAAUCUGAUAUAUGUUACAAGCUGCAGAAAUUUACCAAAGGAGGAAAAAAAUUGGUAUGUGCCUAAAAGAACAGAUCUUUGAGCAAGAAGGCCAUAAUGGAGUUGAACUAUCUUGGUGUUAUAUCAGACAUUGCAGUUGCAUAUGAGUGUGCUGAGGAUAAGUUUUCAUUAUUGCUAUCUACUUGCUGAGCUGCCAAGGCGGCAACAAUGUCUGGCCUGUGAUGACCAUUGAUUUGUGACUGUGAUUCUUCUUCAUCAAGUGUCAAGAAAUCUACAAUGGUCAUUUGGGUAUCUGGAGGCUGCUCCACAUCUAAACCCGUUUCAAGCAUUUCAACCACAUGAGACAUUGAAGGCCUAAGACUAGCCCGCUCUUGUAUGCACCAAAUGGCUACAUGAACAAGCCUUUUCAAUUCCCUUUCAUCAAUGCCUCCACCAUCUAAUAGUCUCUGAUCAACAAUCUCCAUGAGCUUACCUUCUCUCAUUUUCUCAUUCACAGUUUUGGGGAAGUAUUGCCAUUUCUUACGAGACCUGUUAUGAGUACCCUUUUCGAUAAAGCUCACAUUUCUUCUGCCUCCAAUCAUCUCAAGAAGCACCAUUCCAUAGCUAUAAGUAUCCGAUUUCUCUGAAAUUCCAUGCUCCAAAAGCCAUUCAGGAGCUAAGUACCCUCUAGUGCCCCUUAUUGUUGUCAUGACAUUACUCUCAUCUCUUCCCAUUAGUUUUGAUAAACCAAAAUCCGCCACAAUUGCUCGGAAAUUCUCAUCCAAGAGAAUAUUUUCCGGCUUAACAUCAAGGUGCAAAACCCUUUUCCUGCAAUCAUGAUGCAGAUAAGAAAGUGCCUUGGCAACAUCAAUAGCAACUCUGCACCUUAAAUCCCAAGACAAGCACCCUCCUCGGUAAUUAGGCCUUACCUUUUUAUUAAAAAUCCAACCAUCCAAUGACCCAUUUGAGAUGAAGUCAUACACAAGGAACCGAGGUCCUGCAGGAUUAACACAGCAAUAUCCAACAAGCCUCACAAGAUUCACAUGUUGUAGACUAGCUAUUGCAGACACUUCUGACUUGAAUUCCCUAUCGCCGCGCUCCUCCACAUCAAGCCUUUUCACUGCAACAGGAGUGCCAUCACUGAGAAUCCCUUUGAACACUUUAGCAGAAGCCCCUUGGCCAAGCAAUGCCCUGAAGUUGUCUGUAGCUUCCUCUAGCUCAUUGUACCUAAACUUUGUAGGAACUCCAGCUACUUUUCUUAGAAAGCUGUACUCUAUCCUCAGCUCACGGCCUUCGGUUUUGUACUGAGAUUCCAUCUGUUUUCGCCUGUAAUUGUAGUGAUGUCGGAUUAGGAGCCAUACAAACACAGCAAUGAUCACAGCAACUCCUGCACCACAAAUGAGAUAGAAAGUACUAGAAAGCUUGAGAGACACGCGAGCAACGAUGAUGAAGAUGAUGAGGAUGAUCACUGAUGAAGCAGCUAUUAUGUUGGCUUUCUUGUCCUCCAUCAUAUCAAAGUUGCAUAUUCUGGUUUCAGGUUAAGAGAGAUUGACAGAGAGAGAGAGAGAGAGAGAGAGUACUGAAACUUCUUCUCUCCUUCAACAUGUUUCUCUUCUUCAAAAUUUAAUAGCAUCCUUCAAUAUGGUCUACUUUUUGAAAAAAAUAAAAAUGGCUAGGGUCAAACAUGCUUUGUAUUAUUUAAUCAAAGGGUAGAAGUGUUUCCAUCUACAGAUCAGCCAAGAGUUGAAAAAGAUUGAAUUAUGUGGGUCAGUGUGUUUUCUACUAAUGAAUCAAAAUGGAGCCAAAGAAACCAACAAGAAAUUUACCUAAUUACUUGUCUGACUUUCAUUUUUAUAUCUAAUGCCAAUCGUUUGGAAAUAUUUUGCAGAAAAUAAGAAACCCUUCUGUGAAAUCAAAUAGCCAUAUUCACAUCUGACCUGGUCAUUGACUAUGUAGACAUGCAUAUUAGUGAUCAUAAUUUAAAUUCUUGACUCAUUCAAUUUCUUUAAACUAAUGAAAUUAAACCAGCAAGUGAUCUAAGACAACACUUGGUAAUAAAGUACCACAAUCAUUGCUUAAUUUGACCUUAAUGGUGCUCUCAAGACAGACAGAGUUUCAUUGAAAUAUUCAUUUCAACACUGACUGAAUCAUAUAAUACUAACAGGACUAGUUUCCAUAGUAACAAGACUGCAGGACCGAGUCCUGGAAUUAAUCUGCAUAUGAAUAAUAGUUUUGAGGUUCACGGAUCAUAGAGGUGAAUCGAAGAAACCAACAGCACUAAAUUAGUUUAUGAUAAGGGGAGAGAACAGUCAUUGCAACCCUGACCCGAAUUAACGCGUGAUUAGUAAGAGGAUUAGUAUCAUAUUAUCACUAUCAGAAACACAACAAUGUGCAACAUUCCAAAGGUUUAGAUUCGUAUCAAAAUGAUAAAACCUUAGGGUCAGUCUGUCCAUAAUAGAAAAUCAAGUGGGGUUAAGGCUUGGUGUUACAAACAAAUUAGAUGAACUUGCAGGUACUAAUAUGUUAUAGCAUCUUGUAACGGCUAAAUUCCAUUCGUUGGAUGAGGGGGAAGAAUACAAUAGUCAAGAGUGAGAAUGGGAAAGCGAAGCCGGGAGAAAAAGCUGAUACCAUGACAAAAAACACCAUCAAUACUAGGAAAAUGAAGGUGAUCUGAUUUCUCAUCAAGUAUACACGUAUACAUAUCAUGAUUCAUCAAUAGCUGCAUCAUCAAAUCAAUGUUUGAUUACCCAAAAAUAAUAAUCAAUGUUUCUUACAAAUAUCAAGUUCCUAAGUAUUGUUGAUUCAUUGCUCACAAUCCUCACAUACAUUGAUAUAUAUACCACAUGACAUAUAUCUGAACAAAUCAGAAACUAUCUCAUGAUCUACUUGUGUUGAUGAAUCAAUUAGAGUUAGAAAAUGGAUGAUGAAUUGCGGGGCGUACAACCCAUUCACUUCACAAUAGCCAAACAAACCAAUACUCUUCUAGACUCAAGAAGAAAAAGAGAGGGGGGAAUUUCUCUAUAACUGUUUGAUUUUGAUGUUUGGUAACAUAAUGAAAAUUAUUUAAAUUGUUUUUUUUUUAUGUUAAAAGUUAUUUGAAUUGUAACAUGUGCAAUAAAAUAGUGUGCUAUGAGCAAUGCAGCAACCUUGUUACAGAAGAAAGCAACCAACAGUUGAAGGUUGAGGAAAAGUGGAUGGGUUGGUAUGGAAGAUGCGAGGAGUAAUGCAUUGGAUAGUAAAACAAUUCUUCUUGUCCCUGUCCACCUUGGUGAUAUCAACUUCAUAUUGAAAUGGUAUGGCCAUCCCCAGCGUCUUAUGAGUCCCCGGCUUACAUUUAGGUGUUACAUCGGAAGGAGGGUUAUAGCGGGUGAGAACAAGGUAGCCCUUCUGACCUCCAAUGUGGACAAGAUCACACAGUCCUGGGGCACUAAAUUCGUAAGGCAACAUUGACAUUGGCAGCUUCACAUUUCCAAUUUGUGUCAGGGAUUCUUGAUUAUCCUCCAAGCAAAUAACAUAAACUCAAACUUAUAACCGAAAAUGAGCUUCUUGUUGUUGAUGUCAUUUUGCUCCGGCAGGUCCAGGACUAAAGCUGGGCCAGAAAAGGGAAAAGGGCCGCCGCUGCACAUAGUAGGGACUAGUCUCCAUUCUCUGUCCGGGUGAGCCACGUCAAAGCAGAACACCGGACAUCGUUCUUGGGACACAAACAUCUUGGUGCCGGAAGUUACAUAAGAGAAGUCAGCAUGUGUGUAAUAUGGAGAGAGAGGUUGGAAAAAUGGAGGUUGCGGCAAACCUUCCCAUUUGCCUAUUUCAGGGUCAAACACCUCAAACGAGGGAGGAUCAGCCACCAAUCUAUAGGAUAGAGCGUACAGUUUCCCAUCUAACUCCAUCAUCAUAGGCUCAUAUUUCCCUUUCUGUAAACUCGCAUCCAUCUUCCUGAUUCUAUUGUCAUCAACCCCAAAGCUAUAAACAUUCCUAUUCCAAAGUUCAGAACGUACCCACGCAUAGCCGGUAGCCAAGCUGGGGUCCAAGCCGCCGGCGAUAACGAUUUGGGAGCGGAAAACACCGCAACCGAUCAAAUCCGGAACGUUCUUAUAAGCCACUUGCCCUAAUUGCACUUCUUCUUCUUCUUCUUUUUCACGAUCGAAGAGAUCGGAUAAAGUGAUGGUGCGAACAACAAAACUGAAGCUUUCAUCCUUGUGUUCUUCAUGGAAACAUAAGUAGAGGGUCUUAUUAGCCUCUUGUUCCUCCAACUCCAACUUCUCCGUUGUCUGCUUCACCAUCUCCCAUAAUCUGAUUUUCUUCUUCUUCUGCUUCUGCUUCUUCUUCUUCUUCAUCAUGAUGCAUCCAUCACUCCUGUGCCUCUUGUGCCUCUGUAGAGCGCAGCAAUGACGAACCAGAAUUCUGGGUCUGACGAUAGGGGACAUAGAUUCGUUUUCCUUUGUGGGUUUGGGAGAUGAGAUAUGGAGAUGAUGUUGGUUCUGUCUUCGGACUUUUAUCUAUUUAUAGUUACCAAAUGCUGGUGCCUGAAGUCCUAAACCAAAUGCUGUUCGGACUUUAUUCCGAACUGGAUUCUAAUUAGGUCAAUUGUUGCUGGGUUGGGCUUCGGGGGCAGUUUGCGGGCUUGCCUAUUGGGCCUUUGUUUCUGCUUUCGUCUGGUUGGCGCAGUUGGGUCUUUUUUUUUAUAAUUGUGCUCAAAGGCCCAGCAGUCUGCGGGCUUGCCUAGGCCUUAGGCGCCGUAUCGUAAGGUCCCGUUUGGUAUAGUUUCGUUUUUAAAAAAAUCAGCUUCUAUCCGAACUUUUAGAUCUUAUAGUGUUUGGUAAAUCAAAGAAAAACAGUUUUUUUUUUAAAUUACUGGUCACUGGUAGCAACUUUUAGAAGCAAUCUGAAUGUUACUUUUAGAAGCAACUGUCAUAAAACACUAGAAAUUAAUAUAUUUUGACUUUACAGUAGUUUUAGAACUAAUAUUUACCAAACACAAAACCGUUUUAAUUCACAACUAAUUAUUUUCGCAAUACAGCAGAUUAAAUUUUUCUUUUAAGUCACAAUAAUACUAAACUAGCCCGUAGUCCUGAGUUAGAACAUAGAAGAAGUUUUUGGUUUUGUUUUGUUAGAACAUAGAAGAAGUUAAUCCCUGGCCGCGCUUCGGUGGACAAAAGCGUCGACAUGGUUUAAAUAACCAUGCUUUAGCAAAGAUUGUUGGACCCACAUGGUUUAAAUACAGAGUAAGAGAGGCAGGACACACCAUGGACCCGACUACAUAAGAUCAUCUACUACGUUGCCCUAAACCCCCAAAACCCUCCUCUCUCUCAUUUUCGUGUUCUGUCUUUCACAGCAUUGACCCCUCUUAACCACACUAGACCCAACUCUCUUACAUGGGGAGCUACACAAACGGCGUCGUUUCAGACCACACCGGCGCCACCAGCAAUGGCCGCGCUUCGGUGGAUAAAGGCGUCGACUUUGCCAAUUACUUCUGCACCUACGCCUUCCUCUACCACCAGAAGGAGAUGCUCUCCGAUCGUGUCCGCAUGGACGCUUACUACCACGCCGUCUUCAAGAACAAGCACCACUUCAAUGGCAAGGUAAAGCUCUCAACUUUACUGCUUAAAGCUUCAAUCUUUUUACCCAGUAAGCAUUGACUUGAUAGUAACUUGUUGGGUUUGUUGAAAGCAUGGACUUUGGGGUUGAAUUUCAUGUUAACAAGUUUGAAAGGAAUGAACUUUACUGUGAAAGUUAAAGUUUUUUGUUUUGGUGGAUGAUUGUUUUGUUGGGAGUGUGAAGUUUUUGGGGUUAAUGUGGUUAAAAUGUGGUGAAGGUUGUGUUGGAUGUGGGAACCGGGAGUGGCAUUCUCGCAAUUUGGUCUGCGCAAGCUGGUGCGAGGAAGGUGUAUGCGGUGGAAGCCACCAACAUGGCUGAACAUGCGCGCGAGCUUGUGAAAGCGAAUAAUGUGCAAGAUGUGGUUGAGGUGAUUCAGGGCUCUAUGGAGGAUGUUCAACUUCCAGAGAAAGGUUUGCACAUAUGAGGUUUUCUGAGUUAAGUUUUGGAGUUUAUAUUUUUGUUGGUGUCAUUUUAAUGUGAAUUAUGUACUGGUGUGCAGUUGAUGUGAUAAUUUCGGAGUGGAUGGGGUAUUUCCUACUGCGUGAGUCGAUGUUUGACUCUGUGAUAUGUGCCCGUGACCAAUGGUUGAAGCCAACUGGAGUCAUGUAAGUGUUCCCUUGCUUUUCAUGUUGAAAGUUUUGGUUGGUUUUGUCAAAUGCCAAUUUCCCUCUGGUUUUUUAGAUUGAAACUUCAAUUGUAUGAAUGUACAGUGUAUGGUUGGUUCUUUUGCAAGGGAGAGUGUUUUAUCUGCGAUGUUAGAUAGCCCACACUUCUCUCAUUGUCAACUGUAGUAACUUUGUAAGAACACCCAUAGUUUCUUGCAAACCACUCCCCCUUUUGUCCUAUUUUCUUGCACAUGUGUGCUGAAACCACAUGAAAAAUAGUGAGAAGGGGGGUGCCAAUUUCACCCCCAAGCAAAACAGUGUUCUGGAAGGACACUUCUGUAGUUGUUUCUUGGGUUUAGCUAAUAUGUGGUAUUGCGAAGGGAUUCUGUUUGUCCGGAAUUACACACUCAAAUCUUUCUACUAAAAAGGAUCACUCACAUCUGCUUAGCAGUUGUUAACUGCGGCCAAUAAGCAACACCACAGGUCAUAUGAUAUAAUUUACAGUAAAGCUCGCAUCUUUUGCUUGUCCUUUUAAACAAUAGAGUUUCCUGUUUUGACCAAAUUCCUCAUCUCUGUUUUCACCUGUCCUGUAAUCUGGAAGUGGAAUUGAACUAUGAUGGGAAAUUUAUCUCAAGCUUGUUGCCUCUGAUUUAAUAAAUUGAUUGAGCAAUAUUUGUACACUUUCCUGAUGAUUCUACGAUGUAAUUUGGAAUUGAAUUCUGGUUUUUCAGGUAUCCUAGUCAUGCUCGGAUGUGGGUGGCACCUAUUAGGUCUGGCUUAGGUGAUCAAAAACAAAAUGAUUACGAGUCAUCGAUGGAAGAGUGGUAUCGGUUCACAGAUGAAACACAAUCUUAUUAUGGUGUUGAUAUGGGUGCUCUAACGAAACCAUUCUCUGAAGAGCAAAAGAAAUACUAUCUUCAGGUGAUUGAGUGUUGAUAAGUUUGUGGAUAAAAUUUUAUCUUAUGAUGUGCACUAUUAUGCAACUUUUAUUUUAAAUUACUAAAGGACAAAAAAAUUGUCGCAAAACUUCAUAUCUUUGACCUUCCAAAUUCUGCCCCUUAAAAUGUUUGAUUCAAAGAUGCACAUUGGUCUUUAACUAAAGGAAAAAAAAAAUACCUGAAACCCUGUUCAGUCAUGAUUAUUCUGCACAUUACUUAUUCAUUAUAGAGCAAGGGAAAACGAUUAAUGUUCAUCAUUCCAUUUACUUACAUAUGGAUGUAAAGCAUGCUUGUUCGUAGUGUUAGCAUCUUAAAUUGACUCUGUUGAAUUUUUGUAGACGUCAUUGUGGAACAACCUUCAUCCCAACCAAGUUAUAGGGACAGCUGCAAUACUAAGAGAGAUUGAUUGUUUAACUGCCUCUGUAAGUGACAUCCUUGAAGUAAGAUCAAACUUUUCAUCUACAGUGACUCUUCCCAACACAAGGCUAUGUGGGUUUGCAGGAUGGUUUGAUGUUCAUUUUCGAGUAAGUUAAUCUUCACUACACCUUUAUCUUCUUGAAUGCCAGGGUUGCUGAACAUUUGUAUGCUUACUAUAACAUGUUCUGGUGUACCAGGGACGCAAGGAGGUUCCGGCCCAGAAUGAAGUUGAGUUGACCACUGCUCCUAGUGUAGAUAAUGGAACGCACUGGGGCCAACAGGUUUGUUAUUCUCAAAACCUUUUCUCGAUAGUUUAAUUUCUUGUCAAGAAAUCACUGCAGUCGGGAAAUAUUUUUUGCAGAAAUCAAAAGAAAUCUCAACAUUAUGGCCAACUCUUUAUCACUGCAGUCAAUUGCUUAUAUUUGGGACUGAAAGUUGAUAGGCCAGUGGACAAAAAAUAAGUACUUCACACUUCAUAACUUGUUCGUAUAAGUGCAAUGUUGUGUGUGAUGAUAUAUGUUCCCUUCAUUUUAUACAUAGCAGACUUUAUUUGUUUCUUUUCUUUGGUCAAAACAUACAACAGUUUCAGCAACCAAAUGUUGAGCAAAAGCAUGAAAAAUUACUUGGAGCAUGUGCAUGAAUAUAUUCUGCUAUACUCUUUAGUACUUGUGUGCUUAGCCCUUGUUUUGUUGAACAGGUUUUCCUCUUGAACCCUCCAAUCCGUGUGACUGAAGGGGACAAUCUGAAUGGUUCUUUCUCAAUGAAGCGCAACAAGGAAAAUCAUCGUUUGAUGGAGGUUGAGUUUAGCAGCGAGAUUAAACAGUACUCUGGACAGCUACUCCCACCUUUCAGAAAUAGAUAUUUCAUAGAGUGACUAGAGGCAAGCAGGUUCAUUCCCACCAGCAUAUGCAGGAAGUCUGGAUUGUCCGAAGGAAUCAGACUUGCAAGCUAUCUGUAAAAGUUUUGUGGGAAUUUUCCAGGUUUGCAGCGAUUCUGAUAAACUCGGAUCUUCGUGUGUUUUAAAUUUUGUUAUUUAUUAGAUAAGUUAUGUCAGCUUCCUAAAGACUUGUCUUUACAAUGUCCUCUUCCAAAAUGUAUCUUUAAACAUAUUGAGAAUUGCUUGCUAAAAUGAUCAUUCAACAUUACCUGUCAGCUUCAGUUGACUGUUGGUCAAAUUAUGCAACUGCUGAGCAAGUUCUUUUUUCACGGUGAUCAAAUCUGUCUCAUUGGUGCUCAACUAAAUUCUACUUCUGGCUUCUAAGUAGUGAUUGGUGACUAUGGUCAUUUUGAAUUUCAACCUUAGAUCAAUGGCUUUUGACACAAAUUCUGGCAGACGAGCAUAUUACACAUGACAGCCUCGUAGUAUUAUCUGCUCUUCGAAACUUGAUUCUUCUACUAAAAUAUAGCUCAAUCUUGUAAAUAUAUGACUUCUUGGCAUCAAAUGCACAUGGUGAUAAUGACGUGCAUACCUUUGAUCACACUGGAAGCUGCUUCAAAACUGGGUUGACAUCUUUGUAAGACCAUGGGAACCUUAGAAUUUGGUAUUUUAUUUUCAACCAUAGGCCAAAUUCAAGGCACUCAAAUGCAUUUUUGGCUCUGCAAGCAAAGCUGUAAUCCUUGAUUUCCAGGCUUCCUAACAAUGUUGGCAAAGCUCCAUUGUACAUAUAGUAUCAGUUUACCUUUUCCCCUACUAUAAGAUCUGAUAGAACACGGCCUCUUGCCUUUAGUUCUCCCCAGCAUACCUCUCUGUACCCUGUAAGCCACUAAGCACCAAGAAGGCAAGAAUGCAUCGAUCAUCAAGCACUACGCGAGCCUCCGAGGAGUUUCUGGUGAACUUUUCGCCUGCAUCCUCGUCUCUAGGCUCUCCGCUUCUGAAUAACACGGCAGUUGCCUUCCUUGAUGACUUGCCUGAUACAAAUUCAGAUCACGUCACCAAAAAGGAAAAUUGUCUGCAUCAUCACAAUCCUUCAGGAGAGAAUGUCAUUCACCUAAUUCCCCUUCUUUUGUUCCUCUGUGGUUUUACACUUUGGAUCUUCUCUCAUCCAGCUAAGUUAUAAGCAUAUAUAGAUGCAAAUAUUUAUACGUACGUAAACUUAGCAAUUUUCCUAUAUUCUCUUGCUUUCUUUUCCUUUCUCUCUGAGAUGUAUUGAUCUGCUAAGUUGCUAUGUUUUCCAGUUUUUGCUUUAUGAGAAUUUCAAGAAAACAUUGUGUCUCAAUAGGCAAUAUGUCAUGCAAUUGGCAAGUUAAUCCAGCAAGUCAGUGAGCCCUCUUCUCUAUUUUUUCUUCUUCUUUUUUUGGGUUCGGUCGAGGCCUAACAUAUGGAGUAAGCAUGCCAAACUAUAUCGUAUAAUCCAUCAACCAGUUUCACAUUUCAAUAUAUGAUUCCACACCUCCACAAGCAACAAAUGCAUGCGUGCACCAUGCCAGUCUUGUUUAACUAAUUCGUUAUUGGUUUCUUCUUCGACCUUUAUACUUUGCGAGGCAAUAGCAAGAAAUGCUUGCUGGCUAUGCAAAACAGAAUAAAGUUCGGGCGGUCCUCUCUUUAUCAUCUCUAAGUAAACAAAGACAAGCAUGACAGCAAUACAAAGAUGACAUAUUUAGUAAGCAAUAUUGUUCCAAUAACAGCUUUCAAAAUCGUGAUGCUGCUGUCUUUUGCUUCCAAGCAAACACAUCAAUAUGUAUAUCACGAAGACAUUUCAACGUACUUGUAUCAAAGCAAGAAGCCAAUGAUCCAGCAAGGGAUGUUAUACAUUUACGUAUACAUAUAUAUUAUACAUGUAUUUCAGAGGAAACGUACGUAUAGUACUAAUCCAAGAGUAUACACAUCUUCUACGUUUAAUAUUCGAUUACCUUAAUCGACAUAAUGAUGAACGAUUGAUUAAUUGGAGGGCAAGAUAGAUAAAGACAGAUCGGGUUGGAGUUGUUGCAUGCUAACGUACUUUAGGGUUUCUAAUAAUUCUUCGUGGUUAGCUAUGCUAUUGCUGCCUCUUAUAUAUAUAUAUAUGAAUCAAAAUGAAGGCAGCCAACUAACAUCAUAAGAUUGUUUUACAAAUUAACGUGACUACGAAGAUAACAUCUUAUAUAUGCAUAUCACAUACGUAUGUACCUAACUAGUUUCAUCAUGUCAUCCAAAAGAAUAUGAUAAAGUGAUCAUACAUAAGACACUUUACACCAGAAUCAUAUCUCAUUGUGAAAUACUAAGAUAAUCCAGAACUUUGUUAAGAUAUGUAUAAGAAGGGGUGUGACCUUUUUCAUGGUGGCUAUCCUAAUAUCUUACAUAAAUUGCCCAACAAGAUGUGGUUCUGGCGAUAGGGAUCGGGAAAAGGACUACAAUUUGUUAUCUAUGAUGAAUUUAAAUGACAACUAGCUACUUAGUUUGCUGAAGAUAAUUCGGCUAUCAUCGAUCUCGUUAGUUUAAUUAUCUCUUUCUAAUCUCUAUCUCAUUUCUUAUUGCAAUGUGCGUGUUGACAUGUUCAGAGUUCAUGAGUCAAAAUCAAAAUCACUAGUAGUAAUUAGUCGAAUUCAAAGUAUGACAACUUGACCAUAUGGGAGAUUAUUAGAAGGUCUUGCUAAUUAACUGGUCUUCAGAAUACAAAAACUCACGUGUACAAAGAUAGAUUUUCCACACUUGACAAAGAAUUCCAAUAUAUUAGGAACCUAUGUUAUGUAAUUCCCAAUUUUAAAGAACAAAAAUUUGAGAUGAAUUUGAUGAAUAAGGACCAACUGCAACUCAUGCAGUUUUUUGACCUUGGAGGGAUGGCCAAAAAUGUGUAGACAUGGUUUAGGUUUUUUAUUUAUUUUUUAAUUAUUUUUUUAAGUAGGUUGAGGUUAGGAGGAUACUCAAAUAUUUGUUGUGAGACUUGUGCUUGGAAUCUUGUUCUUCUUUUUUAAGAAAAACUACCCAAAACAAUAUCGUUCACUCAUUUGAAACUUUGAAUAGCUUUCAUUUGAAAGAAGAAAUGCAUGACCAACUUAUUACACUGCCUCACUACCUUAUCAUCUUUUUUAGUAGGGUAACCGAUUCUUCUGGCUCCCCGAGCAUGAACCUUUUCUAUGAAAAACAUUCCAAACGAAUUUACUGUCUUGUUUCUGGUUUUUGGUGAAAGCCAUGAGAUUUCUACAAACCAACCCCAAGCUUCAAACUUUUACCGGAUUACUCGAUAAGUCAUUAGUGUUCCACAUCUUAACUUGCUAUACAAGACAAUGCAAUUGCACAAGAGAUCACAAGACAUCCGAAUACCAAUUAGCUCUUGAAUAUGCAAGAUAUAUACAAAUAUAACUUGAAACAAAAAAGUUUUUGUGAAAAUUGAUAACUCGUGCUCAAAACGGUUUAUCUUAUUUACUUUGAUUUUGUAUUAUCUUUAAUAAGAGGUGAGAGGAUAGUACGCUCUAUGAUUCACGCAUAGUUCCCUUUUUAACUUGCAUUAUCAAAUGAAAAAGCACAAGCUACAUAAUCCAAAGUACUAAAACAAUAAAUCUCUUUUUUGUGUAGCAAACGAAACAGAGAAGAAAGAGGGGUUGUGGCGGUUGCACCCAUGAUUUACCAUAAGAUGUUACAGUUAAGGCCCACCUCACCAAGCUAUUCUUGGGUAGAGGCAACUUGGCAAGGAAGAUUGGAAAUCAUGCCAUAUUCGUUGCAUAUUAAGCUAAAUAUUUGGACCUUUUAAAUACUCACACAAUUAAUAAUUAUUAUCAAAAAACCAAAAAAACUAAAACAAACACAAGAAGAAGAAGAAGAAUCAUCAUCACGGACUUCAAACUUCAUUUCUGAUAGCCAAUCUCUCUCUGAAUUGACAUUAAGGUCAGUUUAACUCUUUGUUUUACGUUUCUUUGUAUCUCUCUCUGCAUUUACAACACAUGAUCAAUAUCCGUGCUUUGAUUCCUUCCAUCUUAAUUAUUCAGUUCAUUUCUUCUUCUUCAUGAAGAUUACAAAUUUGCAGAAAAGCUUUGAUUUUUCUUAUUGGGUCAAUCUGUUUUCUAUGAACCAACUCCUUAUUUGCUGAGAAAACGGUGGAAACAAGAAGAAAAAGAUUGGGUUUUUGUUUAUUUGGCUUGUUUGGUAGAUGAAAUUUGGUGGAUGAAACUAAACCAUGGAGUUGUCUUGAGCUCAGUUGAGUGCUAAUUUGAGUUUUUUGAGGUCAUAAUCAAUGAGAAACUUAGGAAUUGUAAGUAUGAUGCUUUUUAUCUUCUUGCAUUUUGUCAGCAGCCAAGCAGAGCAUAUGUUUUGGCAGCUUGAUUUAGAUUUCUGAUCCUUUUCAAAUUAUUUCUGAUUUUAAAAGUAAUGGAAUUCUUCAAGGUUUUAGAUUUUAUGUAGUGUUUGGUGGAUAAAAAUUGGAACUUUAAAUGAUUCCCAGAUAAGACAUAGAUGUGAGUGUUAAUUUGUUUGUAAUGUUCCCCAAAAUGUGGAUGUUCCUUUUUAUUGUUAGAUUAAUCAUUUGAUCACCUUGGAUCCUCUGUACUGUUCCUUGUGAGAUUUUAAGAGUGUUAUCAUCUCAUUUCAAAACUGAGACUCUUGUUUUGUGACUUUUGCCUUGUGUAUUAAGUUUGUUCUCUUGUUCAGGAGCAGGAUUUGUGAUCGAGAAUUGUGGCGGUUGUAUAAUUAGCAUCAUGAGAUUCAAAAAAGGGAGCAAUGUGGAAGUCCUGAGGAAAAAGGAGGUGCCUUCAGGAUCUUGGUGGUGUGCCAAGAUCAUCUGCCGUGACGGCCACAAGUAUACUGUUAGAUAUGGAGUAGAGGUUGCUAAUGAUGAGACUGUUGUGGAGAGGGUACACAGAACAGCAAUCAGGCCUUGCCCUCCUCCAGUGGAAGUUACAGAGAGUUGGGUUCCUGGUGAUAUUGUGGAGGUUUUUGACAAUUUCUCAUGGAAAAUGGCAACCAUUUCUGAGGUUUUAGGAAACAAGUACUUUUUGGUCAGGAUAGUUGGAUCCUGCCGGGAAUAUAAGGUUGGGAAACUGGAAGUUCGAGUUAGACAGUUCUGGCAAGAUGACAAAUGGGUUGUGGUUGGAAAGGUAAUAUCUUCUGAACUGUUUGCUUCACAGUUUCUUCAUGUUACAUAGUGCAGCUUUGUGAGCAAAAUACUUAGUAGUGUUGAAGAUGUUCUUGUGAUAUCAAUGUUUCAUCCAAUAUCUAUUCUUUAUUUGAAUCUAAUAUUUAGGCGUUUCACUUUGAAUUUUUACUUUACUUUUUAAUCUGUUAUAAUGGCUAUGGAAUACACUUUUCACAAGUUGUUGUCUAGGUUGCUUUCAUGUGCUAAUGUCUUCUUCACUUUCUGGCACUCAGGGUUCAAGUCAAUAUGAUAAUGGAAAGCAAGGUGCAAUCUUGAGUCUAAAAGCUCAGAAAGUCAGUUUCAAGAAGUCCCACACUGCAUCCUCUCAGAAUCUGAAGAGAGGAUCAUCACACUUGCAAGAUGAAUCAUAUGGUGGAGCUACUGAGAAGUUUCGAGCAGUUGAGAGAGAAGGCAGGUGUCAAAGAGUCAUUGCUAGCAACUUAUCUAGGUUAGCUGAACAUGUAGAUGUUGCUUUGCCAAGUCGGAUGCUGGGUGGAAAAGAAAUAUGUGCUUCUCUGAACAACAGAACAACUGUAUUGUCUGAGGUUGAUUUAGUAAAGAGGAAACCGAGUGGUAAUGCUGGGUGUUUGUUUUCUGUUAACUUGAAGUCAGAUGAUGUUGAUACUGUUACGUGCUCAGUAGGUAGUUGUAGCAUCGGUAGCAAUGAUCCCUAUAAGUCACCUCAUCAUGUUUCUUCUGGUUCUACUGGAGAUUUCAAAGACCAGUUUUGUGAUGCUGAAUCUGUUUGUCACUUGGGAUAUGAGGAAGGAAACUCUGUCCUUCCCACAAAGAAAGAAUUGGCAGCUGAGAUCCAUAGGUUAGAGCUGCAAGCCUACCGUUGCACGAUAGAGGCAUUGCAUGCAUCAGGACCUUUAAGCUGGGAACAAGAAGAAUUGGUGACAAAUCUUCGUCUUUCGCUUCAUAUAUCGAAUGAUGAACAUUUAAUGGAGCUUAGAAACUUAAUUUCUGCAGAUAACAACAUUCAUAUUAGAUGACAGGAAAACUAGAAUUAUGUCUUGUGAUUCUUUUCUUCCUUCUAGGUGUAGAAUCUGAUGAAUGAUUUUCAUAAUGACCUGGCUGCACUGUAAGAAACAAGACGAGUUGUUUUCAUAUCCUUUUGUAUUUAGUUAAAACACAUAGUGGUUCAGAUCAAAGUUUAAACUCUAUGUAGUACAAACCUUUUUAAGUACGCAUCUUAUCAAAGACAUCUUUGAGUAUCAAUCAUUCUCUUCUGUUUGUCCUUUCGGGUUGUACUAAUAGCAAUAUCAUGAUUAUGAGAUUAAUUAUAUGUUUACUAUAGGAAGUUGCCUAUAUAUAUGUAACUUCUUAAGAUACUAUGGCUGAUUUCCUGCAAAUAAUCAACUUGUGAGUUUGAUUUGCCUAUGUUUAUUUUAUUUUUGGUCCUCUGUUUUAUUUGUAAAGCUUGCAGCGUUCUCUUAGAUGUUCUUGUCAUGAUAUAUAUGUUCCAUAGUUCAUAUGAGUACAUGACUUGAUUGUCUCCCAUCACUUGGAAGUAUGCCAUUUCAUUUGUGGACAAUUAUUUAUGCUUCCCCUGCGUUUUCCAGGGCCAAAGUAGGAGGUUUGUCCCCUUACUUUCAAGUCUCCAAAGUUGAUGUUGGGGAUUGCCAGCUUUCUCUCAGUUACAGGAUGGCUUAUGAUGCUGUAUUGCACUUGGUUCUGCAUUCUUCCAUUUCAGGCAACCUGUGAGCCUUAGAUGUCUGUUUUGCUGAAGGUUGUAAGACAAAAAUCUUCUGGCUGACACGGGAUGACCUGAGAUGUGGAUGCCUGAAAGGUUUUAUUUCAAACCUCUGCUUCAGCUCAUUCAUGUAUAUAGAUUUGACUUGCUGGUUUCUGUUUUAAUCUCAUUCUGUUAGAAAUUCAUCUUGUGAACACAGUUUGCGUUUCAUAUUGCUUUUCAUUUUAUGGUUCACCCUUCCCUUUUAUUUUUGGUGCCUUUCUUAUAUAGCCUGGAUACUGUAACUGCAUACAAGGGCAAUAUCUUGAUUCAGUCAAUACGAAACCAUGUCUAAAAUGAAGAGCAGUAGCAAGAAACCUUACCUUGGAUUAAGUUCUUCUGCUGAUAGACUUCACAAAUGUAUAGUAUGAAAAACUUGAUUUUUUCGUUAUUUUCAACUUAAGACUUAGAGUCAGUACUUCAAUCAGAUUUUGAGAUAAAGGAAAGACUCAAUCAUCUCUACUUGCUCAUAGGCCUACCUACGAUGCAACAUACUCGUUGGUGACUCUGAAAUUUGGAACUCAGACUUUUACAUUUAACUUCUGCAAAAGAUGCAAUAAAUAUAAUCUACACAUUUUUAUGCAUGCACAUCUGCACACAUGCCUCUAUGAUGCUUACAUGAGCAACUUGGACAUGGUUCAGAUUGUUAGCUCUAAACAUUCUUGUUGGGAGAUGUAUAAUCAAUUGACCAUAACUGCAGAGUUGGAAAAUGUGUUACUUUCAUUGCAUGGUAACUCACUUGAUAGCAUACAGGUUGCAUCUUACAGUGAUCAGCAAGAAUAUGUAAUUUGCUGUCAAAAUAAUCACUAGCCAAAUUGCGAACUAUCCAAGUUUCAGUAGUAAGAAGAUUUCAUGUCCGGACUGUAUAGACCACUGAAUUUCCUACUGCCCAUUCAUUAUACGUUUCCUUUUAAACUUAUCUGCCUGGUUAUGUUGCAUUGCUUGCUCCUUUGGUCCCUCUCAUCUGCUGCAAUAAGCUUUGGAGAUUGUAUAUUUAUAUAGUUAUUCAUUUGAACCACUGAGCAGAGUAUUGAAUAAAAGUGUUGCGGAUGGUAAAUUGGUAUGGGAAUAAACCUCAAGAUAAUAUUGUUAUUGAGCCUGAGCUACAUGGACUGAUGGACAAAUGAAAAUUUUACUUCUUGUGCAUAUUCCUUUUGGCUUGAAUGAUCUCAGAAAGUCUUUCCAUUCCUCCAUCCCAAGCUGUAUACAUAUCCCUUCUGUCUGUUGUGGCUUCAAAUCUUGAGUUACACAGCCCUGAGUUUCAGAUUUUACGGUUUCUGCUGCAGAAUUGUUCUUUUUGGUCAAUCCUCAUGAAACCAAGCAUAAAGCUGUGAAUGAUGUUAGUCACCCACCUGUAAGUCUGUAACAAGGCUUUUGUUUACUUUGGCAAGAUUGGAGGAUUGCGGAACUGGUAUCAGCUCUACUCGUUACUCACUAGUUUGUUCAAUCUGAUGCAACUAUUUCAGGAUCAUGAGCAUAGUUCAUUGAACUGCAUCAGCAAAAUCUUAUUGCUUUGGCAACUCAAAUAAUUCAGCUAAUAUUUUGUUUGUUCACAUAUGCAUUCCUCCUUGACAUUCUUUGGAUAAUCCAGUAGAAUUCUGAAGCCGGAUUUUCUUGUUUUUCGUACUAGAGAAGAUUUCAGAGAAUGCAACAGAAUAAUCCAGUGGAAUUUCAGACAGAUAUUCUUUCUCCUCUCUGAUACUACAGCUUAAUUGCUAUUGAAACCAACUGUAAGCGUCUUAAGUUGGUAUGCAUUUUGACAGAUGGAGCUUUAAACUUCAAUUGAAAGCUGGAAGUCUGGAACCUUGUCUGACAAUUUAAACCAGCAAGAAGAAUGCUUGCAAGUGAAAUUACCAUCUUUUGGGCUUUAUAUAUAUUUCUGGUACAGUGCGGAAUAUAAGAUUCUUGGGCUUUCAUCUAUGCAAUAUUGGAUUGAAAACCCACUUUCUUAGAUUCAUAAUGAGUCUCAUCUUCAUGGUACUGGUAUGACCUGGAAGAAAACUUGUCCAGAAAUCCAUCUUAUGCAUAUCUGCCUAGGGAUUCUUAGUAUCUUUUCUGUCACUUUUUAUUUUAGUUUUUCUUAGAAGCUGCACCAGGGCAUUUGUUUUCCUUUUUUCUUUUUUUUUUUGGACUAAGUCAAUCUCUAUUUCUAACAAUUACAGGUACAUAUCUUGUAGCAUGAUUCACAAGUUAUAUAUGCUUGGUAUAACCACUAUCUUAAUUACUAAAACGUGUUUGACUAUACAGAUAACCACAUGGCACUCUUCAAGUUCACAGACGCGUCCUGAAUAUAGUUUUGGCUCAUCUUCUCCAUCAGAAUCUUCAAGAGAAGCAAAGAGGCAAUCACACAGGUGUUGUUGUCACUGGAAUGAGCAACAGGGUUCCAAGGUGUCAUCCUUUCUUAAAUUUCUAGCAAGAAAGGCUCUUUUGGAUCAGCAAAAAAAUGUGUGGGGGUGGUGCUGCAUUUAUUUGGCUCCCACCAGAUCCUCCCUGCUAUUGUCUCACUCUCUUCUCCUCCAUGAUUGGGAUUCCCAUGUGAUUGUGCUCCUCCUCUAAACACUCAGACACUCAAAGAAAGAGAGAGAAAGAUAUAGACAGAGAUGUCCAGGUCUUGUUUGGGCUAAUCCUCCUUGAUGGUCCUCAGGGACCUUAACCUAUAGGAGUAGUACCAGUACCACUCCCACCUCCUCUCCUCAACAAUGUUUUAGGUGUGGCUACUAUCACUAUAUGAUGAUACAGAUGCAGAGCUAUUACUAUGAGCUAGCUUCUUUCACAAUUUUGGUUUGACAGAUACAUUUUGGUCCUCAUCUGUACUAAUAUCCCCAAUAUCGACACAUAACAUGGCAUUCGAAAAAACUAUCAAGUUGUUGUCAUUUCUAUAUAUAUUUAUGAGCUCCCCUUCCCCUAUACCUAAGCUGUACUACACCAUUUAUUGUUUUCAUUUCCCAUUUUCUGGUGUUGUGAUCUUACUUCGUGCCAUUCUCUAGUAAACAUGUGUUUGCUGUAUUCUAAACGAUUGGGGUGAGAGUUCAAUCAACUAGUUUUCGACUUUUCGUUUGUUUGGGAUCGAUUCUUUCCUAGUCUUGUAAUAUGAUGACCCUAGAGAGUGAUCAUAAAACAACCAUGUAAUCGUUAAACAUGUCAAGUGUGUUAAUUAUUGAUCGCGGAUUACACAUCAACAUUGUCACAUGAUUUCACUGUCGCACUGAAAAAUUUGAUGCAUCAGCAGGAGGGGAAAUUCAUGGUUCAUCAUGCUCUAUUAAAAAUGGAUUUGUUACAUAUCUGUCAUAUUUCCAAUACAACUAACAGAGACUUCUGAGCAAUCUCAGUAAUCAAAUGGUAGGUAAAGAUAGGGCAAAACAGUGAGAUAUGGAUGAUAUGUAGAACAUAAAGAAAGAGCUAGCAAUGGCCAAUCAUAUAAUGCAGAAGAGAAUUACAGAAGGGCAUAGGAGGCCGUUGGUCUAUGACAGACCGACAGCGUUGCAUUAAUCAAGGGCAGACAUUACAUGAGCCAGCUCAAUUGCUUUGGCAUGGCUGCAAAUUUGGGAGACAUUGGUGGGGGGAUUUACAUUAAUAUAAACUCAGCUAGCUAGCUAGUUUUGAUUCAUUAUAUUAGGGAAAAAAUAGAAUAUAUAUAUGACUCUGCCACAACCCUAGCUCCAUCUUAAACCAUUUUCUAGGGAUCUAUAAAACUCAUAUUUCUUAAUCUGGGUGAAGAGGGCAGGGGACAAAAAACCCAUUUCAAUUCCUGAGACAGGUCAAUUUUUCUUGCUCCUGACAGAUAUAUAUAAUCUGCUUGCAGUUCUUAGGGUUCAAACGGCUAGCUACUUGCACAAAAAGAAAACGAGGUUCAAAAUAACCUCAACUUUACUCCAAGUUUUUCUGCAUUGUUGUCUUGUAUAUAUUUUCAAAACCAUGGAGCUGCUAGCUAGCUUGACCUUUUGAGAUGGAUCCAUUGGAGAGGCUGGGUUUGUCAUCUAUCUCGAUGAGGGAGACAUUGCCUAGAUGUUAAUGUUAGAAGCAUGCUUUGUAAAUUAGAAAUAUAAGGGCCAAGAUUAGGACAUGGAUUACUAUAUAUGAGGGGAAGUGUUGCAGAUUAAACAAUGGGGGAGGAGAAUCAUGGGUACGUGAAAACAUUAUAUUCAUAGUUUUAUGUGAUUGGAGUAUCGUAAAGGCAAUUCUAGCUCUUCCUCAUGCCCCAUCUCUCACUCUCUUCUAUUCAGAUUUUCAGAUAGAAAGUAAAGCAAAGCAAAGAACACUUCACCCAAGAUUAAGGAAUGCGCAAUACAUGAUAAUGGUUAUGGUCCUUGUAGAGCUAGCUAGCUAGCACUUUGUUCUAGAUAAUUAAUCAUGCUUCGUGAUAAGGAAGAAUAAUCAGGUUAUAAUCACCAUUAAUGCCCUCAUACAUAUUCUACACCAUGCCCCUUAUGGAAAGCGAGUGCGAGAAAGACUAAUAUGUUGAUUUUAUAUUUGUUAUCUUAUCACUUGUUGUAUAUAACUAUCUAUUAUCUCAUUCUUGUUGCAUUUAUAUUAUGAAAAUGAUCACUGAUCUUUUGUAUUUAAGUCGUUAAAUAAGUUGUUUCAUUUAUGAGCUAAGUAGAUGUCGAAUUGAAGGUUAUGAACCAUGUAGAUAAGGAAAUUAGGGAUGAGUAAUGAGAUCACAUGCUUCUUGGCAUGCUCUUGAUUCCUUUAAGGCUUUAACAAAAGCUAAAAUACACCAAAAUAGAAAUUGAAAUAGAAUAGGGGAGAUUUGAUUUGUAGCUCCAAAGCUCCAAACCCACAUGCUACUUUGGGGACCAUCAAAAACCCCAAAAACUUAGCUACCUUCCAAGAGCAUGAGGAGAUCCCAAAAAGCAAUACAAAAAGAAAGAAAGGUUGUUACCAUUACAUUUCUCAACACAAACAAAUCUUACAAAUUAAACUAACAAUCUCAAAACUCAAAAAGCCCUAAAACCCAGAAAAGAAGAAUGUAUCAAAAAAGUGUGUUUGCAUGCUGGAUUCACAUUCACCUUUGCUUAAAUUCUUAGUUAACACAACAUUUCAUGCCUUGGGUACAGCAUGUGUCACUCCUCCUUGCUUUAGUAUACUAUUGCUUCUACUAACAAUACCAUAAUCUAAUCUAACCAAGAAUACAUUCAUUCUUAAAAUAUAUAACCUAGGGUAGCGAAGGAUUUUGAGCACCCCUAGUUAUUAUGUGUUGAAAAUUACCAAAACUUGUUGCAAUGUGAGAGAACAAUGGUUUAAAUUGUAUGCAUCAAGAUCAUUAUAUAUAGUUGUUGCCCUAAAUGGUAUUAGAAACCUAUAUACAUUAGAGUUUUAUACAUUGGGUUUUGAAUCUUUAACUUGCAGCCAUGUAUAAGAGCGUAUAUUGUAGAUAUAUAGACAGCUGCUAUAGAGUGAGCUAGAGUGUGAGCCAUAAAAUAAGCAAAUGUUGAUGUACGCACUAGUUUAUGUCACCAACAUUGCAACAUUUUCUUUCUUGGGUUCCAACAACUUGGUUUCUAAUCAACUAAACACUUCCAUCUUCAAAAAUCAGAAUUGAUCAUGCGUAAGAAAUGAUAUAAUAAACUAGUCGAUUCAUGUUUUGAAUCUCGGCCUUUCUAUUUUAAUCGUUUUGGUUCGGAAUUUAUUAGCAAAAUUAGAAACCAUUGAUGCAACCAAUUAAAUUAAAGAUUCAUUGAUAGAAACUGAUGGUACAAAACUUUGUAGCAACAGAACAGAAUAUACAUUACAUACAAACGAGAGAAAGGAUAGAAGAAGAAGCUAGCUACCUCUACUUGUUAGCAAUUUACUAAUUCCUAGACUGAGAAAAGAAAGCUUACAUGCCAAGGUUAAUACCUUUCCUUUGGUAAAAAACCAUGGUCAUGUUCAUGAGGGGGUCAGUAACGCUAGGUUAAAGGGAAUUCAACAUAUUACUCUUAAGAUAUAUGCCUCUUUAGCUCCUAUAGUUGUAUGAAAACCCAGCAUAAAAAGAAAAAAAAAGACUGAAGAAAAUAAAAAAACCAAAUUGAGUAAAUCGACCAAAUGGGUAUUUCAGUCAAUUACUUUGGGAUCCUAUACCCGCACUCACACACAAAGGAUUGGUAUGCAUAGGAGUAGAGCCAGAUCAAGACGCUUGAUCUUUUCCUUGAUCUUGGGGGAGACGUUGAAAGAUGACGGGUGCACCAUAUUGAGGGUAAAGCAUCAUCAGGACCGUUGGUGCGUGUUGAUAAGUGGGAGACAUCUUAAACGAGAACCGUUGAAGCAUGAUGGCCAGGGCUAGUUUCGCCUGCAAGAGCGCUAGAUUUUGCCCAAUGCACGUGCGGUUGCCGAGCCCGAAAGGAAUGAACGCCACCGGAUGCUUGGCGGCCCGAGCCACCCCGUCCGCGAACCUGGCCGGGUUGAACUCAUUCACGUCAUUUCCCCAUAAGGCUUGAUCAUGAUGAACGGCCAAAAUUGGGAUCAAAAGCUCGGUCCCACGGGGGAUCUUGUAUCCCCCGAGCUCCACAUCCGUCCUCGACCGUCGGAUCGUCGCAACCGUGGGCGGGUACAACCUCAGGGACUCAUUGAGGAUCAUAUUGAGCUGCAGACAAUAAUUUCCAAUGUCACUUAACAAUUGUGGAAUGCCUAAAAUACCCUUACGUGCUUAAGACACAGGUAAGAUGAUGAAGCAAAAAAGGUGGCAGUUUGUUUUUUGUUAUGAGGAAACAAACAUGGGGGUAAAGAGACAAGACAUGAUUUUUGUCCUAAUGUUUGCUUACCGUCUUGAGCUUUACGACAUCGUCUUUGGUGGGUAUGUCACGUGAUCCACACACCCUGAGCACCUCGGCACGUGCCUGCAGCUGCCACUGUGGGUGCAUUGCCAAGAGAACCGUCGUCCACGUCAGCAAAUUGGAUGUGGUUUGGCUGCCAGCAAAGAAGAAGGCCUUGCACUCUUCCACAAUGUCGUUCACAGUAAUGGGGUCAAUGUCGGACGAUGAGGAUGAAGCAGAAUCCGAGGCCUGAAUCAUAAGCCCUAGUAAAUCCUUGGAACAUUUUCCGUUCACGUUCUUCAUCGAAUUCUCCCUCCUCAAAUCGAUCAGCUCCAUGAGCUUUUUCCGGAUUUCUUUGUCCAAUUUCCACGAGUUUAUGUUCCGUCUAGUGGGUAGAAAUCUAAAAAACGAAUUAAAUUGUUAGUAACGUUUAACGACAUAACAUGACAGACGGUAAUUUUUAUUUUUAUUUUCGUGUAAGGUAACUUACCUAUGACCGGGGAUGAAGACUUUUUGAAAGGCCUCGGCAACGAAGAGCACUUGCUCAGCUUGUAGCCGGAAAAUGGCUUUGCCGUCUUCGUAGCUGGUACCAAAUGCAGUUCGGGUAAUAAUGUCUUCGGUUAGGGUUUGGAACGAUUCGGAAACUUCAAUCUCAACCUCACCAGAGUCGGACGACAUUGCUGACCAUUUGUCCAUCAUGUCCACCAUACUCGUUGCCAUGACAGGUAUGAGUAACUGAAAAAUCAUUGAUCAUCAAAAUUAAUGAGAUUGGAAUUAUUACAUGUCACAAUUAAUAAAGAGAUGAACUUCAUGAGAGUUACAUACCUUGAGAUUCUCCAUAUGAAAUGUAGGGGUGAUGAUCUUUCUGUGGUGAGCCCACUUCUCACCUUUGAGGCUCAAGAGGCCGUCGCCUUCGAGUUGCUUCACAAGAGGGUGAGCCUCAUUUUUCUCAUAGCAUUCCGACUUAGAAGUGAACACUUCUCGGAUGAGAUCGGGGUCGGAGACGGUGAGACGAACUGUUGGUCCGAACCACACAAGAAAUGAUGCACCUGUUUUAAACAAGAUUUAUGAUUAGCUAAUUGUACAAUUAGUUAGUUAUAAGCAUGGAAUGGAUAGUGUAGACCCUACAAUGGGGGAAGAGAGAGAGAGAGAGAGAGAGAGAGACAAAAACAAAGAAAGUAGAAGAAGGAAGAAGACAACUNNANANANNACAUAUAAGACAAUAACCAAACAGAAUAACAUACAUACAAGCUUACAUUAGGGACGUCCAGGCCCCAAAUGAAACAAACGAAAGAGGACGACAAUANAAACAANAAAGAAAUAAGAAGACUACUACUCCACCAAAACAAAAAUUAAAGUAACAAACAACAAACUAAACUUAAUUAGUUAAUAAGUAGUACGUACACUUCUUNUUAGAAGAANAGUAGUAGUAGUACUAACAACGAAGGAGAGAGAGAGAGAGAGAGAGAGAGAGAGAGAGAGAGAGAGAGAGAGAGAGNGNGANGNANAGAGNNAGAGAGAAGGAGAGAGAAGAGGGAAGAAAAACAGAUAGCUAGCUGUGGAAAAGAACAAAAUCUGAACUUCAACAUCAACCAUCCAAAAAGCUCAGAAAAAGCAGCCUGAAAAAGGCUGAAGAAGAAGUACCCAAAACUAAAAAUGAGCCUUUUCUAAAAAGCCUCAAAUUCUGAUCACCAUCUCAAACCAAGCUAAAGGAACAAUCAUGCAUAGCAGCUACAAGCUAGCUACCAUACCCAUCACUACCACUUUAAUCAUUCAACUUCAAGACUCUAUCUUUCUGCAGUUCUUCUUUUUCUCAAACACAGAAACCAAAGAGAGAAGAAGAAGAAGGCUUAACAGACACAUGAAUGCAAUACCCAAACCAAGAAAUCGAAAACCCAGUUGUGAAAACUUGGUUUCUUCUUCUGCUUUGUUCAGGUUAUAAAACAAUGAAAACCAUGUGAUCAGAGAGAGAGAGAGGGAGGGAGGAUAAUUACCAUAUAUUUUUUUCCAGUGAUGGUAAAAAGGGAGGACUCUGGGGAGAAUAUUGUGACAGGAAGAAGGCAUGGUAUGAGCAGAGGCCUUGAUCAUCAUCCCCACAAGCUCUUUGACAUUUCCAAUGAAGAACUGAUAAGGAGGUCCUCUGAUCCCUUGCCUUGCAAAAUGUUCCUCAAUUCUUCUGGGCCUCCACCAAAGCAGCACCAGAAUCCUCAGACCAAACACUCCAAGAAUGAAACACAAAGACACAAACUUGAGCCAGGACAAUAGCUCCAUGUUGAUGAUCACUACCCUCUCUCUCUCUCUCUCUCUCUCUCUCUCUCUCUCUCUCUCUCUCUCUAUCUCUUCCUAGCUCUCCUGAGUCUUGCGUCUGUUACUUGAAGUGUGUCUUGGUUUUAAUACUAGGAAGAGAGUAAGAGAGAGAGAGAAGAGGAGGUGGGUUUUUAAUUUUUAGGAGGGAGAGAGAGAAGGAGAGAAGCAAAGCAAGGCCAACGGCGUAGGGGCCGCCAUUGGAAUUCUAAAGGGUCAACGAUUGAGAAGGGAGAGGAGGAUUUUGUUAAUGACAUUUCUGUUAAUUCUUUGAUGACAAUGUUACCCUUUUCUUUUCUUCUUAGUAUUAUUAUAUCCCACAACUACAUUUUCAAAAUUAUUUAUUUUCUGAUUUUAUUGAAAAUAUCAUAGCCUUUUCUUUUUCGAAAAACCAAAUUUUUUUUGUUGAAUAAUGUAGUGGGCAUGGUGAUGAACAUUCUAAUGUAAGAAUGUUCCCAGCUUUAUGAGAAUUUCGAUUAUCAUUUUAUAUUGACAUAAGCUAAUCAAAAUCUAAUAUAUGGACUAGUUAAAAUAUAAGCUUUACCCAUAACUAGGAUGACUCUUGCUACCCCAAGUUAAAUGGAAUACUUGUGUGCAUUUCUUCUAACAACUAUUAGAGGGAGCAUUAGUUUCAAUUUUAAACCUCCCUAGGUUGUUAUUUGGAAGUUGGAACUCUAGAAAGUUAAUUAUAACUUAUUAAUGGAAAAGCUUCAUAAUGGAAAGUAAUUAACAUGGUUUACCUUAUUGCAUUUGGCAAUUCACUAUACAUAGUAACAUUGUAUUCAACCCAUUACACUAUAUUGAUGUAUAACAUUCUAGUUUGAUAAUGAAACUAUAUAUCUAACUAUAUAUGUGCAUAACGUACGUGUCAUUACCAAGUCUUAAUUUGCCCAAAUCAAUAAACCUUAUGGAGACAUGGAAAGAAAUGUUGGAUGUUCACUUACAUUAUUGCUUUUAUUAAUUAUCUCAAUAAACACCACAUGUUUGUAUUAUGGACAUAAUUUAGAAUAAAUAAAUAAAUAAAUAUUGAGUCAACUCCAUAAUUUAUAUACAAUGCUAAUAACCCAUGUUCCUUAAACCCAUAAUUCAUCUUUUGACAUUGAAAUUGAAAUAAUGAGUGAUGGAGCAAUUCGACACCAAUGUCUAUAGUUUAUAACUUAGCUUCUCAUAUUACACUAAUUAAAGAACUUGCAGCAGGUUUGUUACUCCGAAUUAAAGGGGAGCGGACAAGACUGGGUAUUAUAAAGAGUCCAAACCCGUGUUCGGCGACAACAAGGAUUCACUUUAACGAGGUUAUGGAGUCCCUGAGAUCCCCGCACACCGUCUUCCAUAGCGGCCUCAAAAUUGAUGGGUUUGUGGAAGCUAGCCCCAUCGCUGUUCUUUUCGCUUGUGUCAAUUCUUUCUCUCGCCUCCCUACAGUUAAUAGAUCUCCUCCGACGAGCCGAUUCUGAUGCAUGAAAUCAUAAGGAGUCUUCGAGAACAGAGACAAGGAAUACGAAAAUUUCACAGGCGAAUUUUAGCUCUAUGUUUUGAAAUUCGAAGUCGGCAACUCUCAAAUCCCUUUGGGUUCCAUGAAAAAAGGGCUUUCGAUCACCUCACCACAUAGUAGCUAAGGUAUGAAUGAUUUUGUGUUACUGAAAUCCAGUUCAGGUAUUAAGGGAUGAUUUUUACGAUUCGAAUCUGAGUUCGAAUUUUUUUGGGUUAUUAAAUUUCUGGGUUUCUGAACACUGAAUUUUUAGGUUUGAGAUUUUUGUGAUGUCAAAUUUGUGUGUUUCUGGGUUCUGUUUUGCAACUAAAGGCUAGAGAUUUAUGGGUUCUUUUACGUGGUUGCAGGUUAGAGUUGGUGGUGCUAUUUUGAUUGCUUCCACCAAACAUGGGUUAAGCUUACUCUAGAAUAAGCUCAACUUAAGGAGUGCUGGACUCCUAUAGAAUUUAAGCAUGGGUUAGACAAUCCUUUCUAACAAACAUGCAGUCGUAGUAUUAUAAAGAGAAGACUUGUAACAAACAUGCAGUUGUAGUAUUAUAAAGAGAAGACUUUUAGACGAUAAUAACUGAAUAUGAACGCACAUAUACAUACGUUACAAACAUUAUAAUUUGAGGUAUCUUAACUAAUAUUGAUAACUAAGUCAAUUUAUAAUUCAUCUUUCGACAUUAGAAUAAUUAAUGGUAACCGAUUCAACACCUAUAUUUAUAGCUUCCAACCUGACGCGCACGGGAAAUUAUCGUAUUAUAAAUAGAAAACUUUUAGUCACCAUUAAUAUAAUGUAUAAUAUAUAUGUAUAUUUUCAUACGUUACAACUUACAAACUUAAAAAUAUGAGUGGUCCUCAUACGUUACAAUUAACAAACAUGAAAGUCUGGACAUCCCUAAAUAUUAUCGAUAACAAAGUUAAAUCAUAAAGAAUAACACAAACCACCGCAAAUACAUGUGUGCUAAUCACUAGAAUAUGACCGAUCGAUAUAGAUAAAUCAACAUGACUCAAAUAUAUAUUGAUGGAAUGAUGGAUCAAGCAAGGGUAGAUAGCUACUUGUAAAUAAUUAACCAUGGUGGUUCCUUGAAGGGGGAAGGAUAUAUGUAGGGAUUAAUGUUCAUAGAAAUUGAAGUGGUACAGUUCCUUUCCUAACUUCUUCCUUGUUCCCAGGAAGAUGAUUUGGGAGUGUUAGGAACUCAAGGAGAAGGAGAGAGAGAAAGAGAGAGAUGAGAGGAGAAAGGGAGCACAACACAAAGAAGGUUUUGGUUUUGGAAUGUUGCUCUUAAAUUUGAGCACAUGGAAACAAGGCUGUCUAUUUUAGGGUUUCUUUUGUGUGGUUUGGGUGGGGAAAUAUGCUCUAGUUGACCCAAACAAUGGGGUACCCACGCAAAGGCAUCCUCUCCUAAUCCUGUCCUAAUAAACCCAAGACAUGUUGGCCCAUGUGCCCUUCAAAGGGUCCCUACGGAUUUAAAACGCAAACUCAACUGUAACACUUCGACAUCCAUGGAUGAUCGAGUUCGAGUAUAUACCUGCAUGCUGGCCACCAAGUUCAUCAUCUUCAAUUCUUCAUGCCCCAAAAUUCGACAAAGUAACCGUUCACAUUAACCUCUAAUCAAUCUGACCAUCACCACAAAAAAAUACAAAGUUAAUUCAUUGUGUAGGAACGUUGUGUCUACCCAUAUAUAUGCAAUACAUAUACUGAAUAAAGACAAAAUGACACAUAGUUUACGAUAACUUAUGCAGUUUGAAAAUGCUGUAUUAAGUAUUGAAUUGGCGAUCUAUAAAAAUUUCUUGAAUGUGAUGUCGAGUUAUGUAGUUGUAUAUGAACUAGUGUGAGUGCCUUAAAAGAUUAUAUGAGGUGAGGAGACUAUAAAAAUUUCUUGAAUGUAAUGUUGAGUUAUGUAGUUAUAUAUGAACUAGUGCGAAUGUCUUAAAAGAUCAUAUGAGGUGAGGAGACAAGGGCAAGCGCAAUACAUGUGUUUGUGGUAUUAUAAUAUACGUAUAAUGACGAUCUCCUGAAGAAUACGCUAAAAUGGACACAUAUGCGUUAAGUGAUCGAUAUGAAUGUCUAUAAACAUUGUAUACACUAUAGAAGGGGCAAGAGCACACACGAUACUUGUGUUGUUUUGUACAAGUCGAUCAUGAUAAUCAAUUAAGAGUUUUAUUUUUAUUUUUAAAAUGAUCAGUUAAGAGUUCAGACUUGUCAUGUAUAUAAAUGAAGAAAUGAACGAUAUUUCCGUUUGUAAAGCUAAAUUAAAUAUGAAAGUGAAUGUUAAAGAACGUUUUUGUAUGUUUGGAGAGUACGUUUAGUUAACAAUAUAACACAACUAAACAAGCAGUAUUAAUUGGAGCUAAGAAUCGACUAGGGAGUUAAUAAGAGCCGUCAAUCAUUGUACAUCAAGUUUAAUCAAAAGGCUUAUAUAGAAGAGUAAGUGUGUGUCAGCCUGUGUGAGAGAAUCGAAAUUCUUAAGCAAGAGCAUCGAAUUGAAGCUUUCAAGAAAGAUCUGAACUUGUCCUUGAAGGCAUGUUCACUGUCUAACUUUAGUUAGAUAUGCAGAGAGGUGAUACAAUCAUACAAAUCAAACUUUAAAAAGUAGUAGGGCAAAUACAGAAUCGAUCAGAAGCUAUAGGUAUACUUGCAACCAUAAUUUUCACACUGCACAAUCAAAAUCCCAAAAGGACAAAGCAGAAUAAGCAAUCACUUAAACGAGGCCUGGAGUUUUCGAAAAUGAACAAAGUAAUAAUCCAACAAGGAAAGGCUGCAGCUAACUGGUGAGGUACCUUUGCUUGCAAAACUUGUUUAUUAAAUGCAUUUUUCUUUUCUUAUUUUCCAACCUAUAUAAGGAUCUGAAAUCUGAAUGGUACCCAGCAGAAAAACCAGAAGAAGCAGAGAUCAAUCAAUAUGGUUGUGUCCCAUUAUGUUUAUAGCUUUGUGCUGUCACUUCAUGAAAGAUGGAUGUAUAUGCAUAUUUCACAAUGUGAGAACAAAGUUUAUCUACUAGUUCGUGGCUUUUCUUUUUCUGUUCUGAGUUCUAUCGAGUUUGUGGUUCCUUAAUGCAAAUUACCAGCAUUUUUCUAGAAGAAAAUGAAAUUAAAACCGGAACCUCUACAACAACUGAAACCGGAAUGAAAACUUAUUACAAGUGUUCAGUAACUAUUUUCUUCACAUAUACUUGAAAUGAAAACUCAGAACAUGCAUGUUUUCUAAUUGAGGAGCAAAAAUGAUAUUGGCGACUUAUUUUUAAUUGUUCAUUUCAAAUAUUAUAACUUUGUAAGUCGAACUCACAACAUCCCACUUACUAAGAGGAGACUAUGUCGCUAAACCAAAUGGUAUUAGGAUUUGAAUUAUUAUAAUUGAAAAACAUUCUUUUAAUUUUACACAUAUCAUGAAGAAAAUGUGAUUAAACGUAAAAAAAAGGGCUCAAAUAGCUCCAAACUUACUAAUAAUAAUUCUUGAAAGAAAAAACAAAUAGACAAUUCCAUAAUUGAAUUAUAAGUUUGGACAUUCCGUUCUCUCUAAAUUCUAUCUCAUGCAGUAUAUCACUGCAUAUAAAUGAUUGAACUAGAUUUAUUGGUAAACUUUGGAGCAAGUGCAUGCCAUGUAAAUAAUUGACAAUAAUUGAAGCUAUGCAAUCACUAAUUGUUUUAUUUUUUCCCCCUCCUUUCUCCUAGCUACAAGAUAGAUAAGAAGAGCCUUUAGAAGAAGGUGAUAAAAAAGAUUUAGUUGGUAAAGACAAGUUACAAAGAGCAAAAGAUGGGAUCUUGCACAUAUGAUUAGAUUACAAAUCCCACCCCCACCAUAUCUUAUAAUCUUUUAUCUUAUAAUCAUAAGUCACCGCUCCCCUAUAUUCAUCCUACAAACAAGGAUAAUGAUAUGCUGCUAAUAAUACACAUGUCAUUCCACAUAUGGACAUUACAUCUUGAAUAAGUUGGUUAUUAACUUAAAACAAUUUGAGGUUUUGACCUCAAUUAUGAGAAGCUUAAUUGGAGUAUCCAUAGGUACUCAUGCCAAAUCCGAAUCCGAUUUGAAUGAGAAAGACUUGGUGAUCUUUCGAGUUUUUCAUCCAAGUAAUUAUGCCAAAGGGUAAUCACAAUAUUUGAUUUGAUAACGCGCACUUCGGGUUAGUUUAGAUAGAAAGAUGGUCUAAUCAAUCAAAGUGGACUUGUUUUUGAUCACGAUCAAAUUAAAGAGGCAUGCGCAUACGCAUGCUUUUUGCAAACUCUUUUGCAAAAUAGCACUAUUCGUGAUUUAUGGUGAGUUCAUUAGAUCACUUUGAAUGAGUUUGUUAGGAUAUUUUGUUCUCUUUAAGUUGAUUUGUAGGGAAAAUGAUGUAAUUCAUCAAUCCUUUUCUUGCUUUCCGUCCUUAUAGUUUUGUAAAAGAGCAAAAUUAAUUAUGUUGAGUUCUCAUCACUUUAUAUGAGUUGGUUAGAGAAUUUCCGCUCUUUGAAUUGACUUGUUGGGAAAAUGAUGUAAAUCAAUAUUUUUUUAGUUUUUCUGACUUUCUUUUGUUGUAAUAAUGAGGUUAAGAAUAACCGAAAGAAAACAGGAAUAUGUGUACAAAUCGAAGUUUAUAAUUAAACACAUAAAAUCAUAUUUCGUACUUUCUAUAUCAGAAUUUGAAUGUAGUUUUGCUCAUAUUCCAUUGUCAAAGAAUUAAUGCAAUGCUAACCCUGACAUCUAUUAAAGCGACUACUAAACCAUAUGUCAAGUUCAUGCAUAUUGCCACGCAUUCAUAAUGACAACAAAUUAUAAAAUCUUCCAAUGUGUAACGAAUUGACUUAUUAAGAACUAAAACUAUUACCCCAUGUUCUCUUAUUUGUUUCUUUUCCCUUGAUAUUUUUGCUAUCUUUUCGUGGGUUUAGGUACUAUGUCCUCUCUGUCGUAAAAAUUUAAUAUUAUUAUAAUAAAUGAAACUGGGCAUAGAGAUGAGCCUUCCAGCUAGGCUGAGUUUCAAACCCGUUCAAAAAAAAAACAAAGUCCUAGAGUAAAUUUGCAUAAAACCCCAGUUGCCAUGAUUAGAAGCUUGAAAUGGGAGCUUUAUAAUUUUUUUGACAAAUUCUAAUUUCAAAAAGAUAUAUUGCGUCACAUGAUCUAUGAAUAACGUGUUUUCGUCCACGCAAUCAACGGUGUGACGGGUCUGGACUGAGAGAGAGCCUCCAAGGCGCCAGCUGCAUCACCAUCCAUGUCAAAUACUUUUCCCGCCACGUGUCGGCCAAUCAUUGACUUCCUCUUAAACUUUGUCCGCAUACGGAAGCCAUUUCGUUACAUCAACUCAAGCUUUUGGCAGCUUCAGCAUCGCUCAAAAUUACCAUAUCACCCUUCAUGACACUUCUUUUUGCUAAUCAGGUCCCGAAUUUCCUUAUUAUGUCACCGAAAAUGAACAUCAGGAAAAGGAGAGAUUAACUAAAAGUUAGAUAACUACAUGGUGUGGUGAAUUUAGUCGAGCAGCGUAGAAUGAAACUCUCAGAUCUAGAGUUCGACUUCCAUACCUCACAAGUUUGAGACCAACGUACAGUCUUUAUGGGUUUUUAGUUUCGUGCGUAUGGUAGAACGAGAUAUUAAUCUGAUUUUGUUGUGAUCUAAUUAUCGACAUUUGUGGCAAAUACAUAAAGAUGCAUGCAUCGUCCUAUGAAGCAAACAAAGAGUAAUUAAUCAUUAAUACUUUAUGGGUUUUUAGUUUUGUGCGUCUGGUACAACGAGAUAUUAAUAUGGUUUUGUUGUGAUCUAAUUAUCGACAUUUGUGGCAAAUACAUAAAGAUGCAUGCAUCGUCCUAUGAAGCAAACAAAGAGUAACUAACUAAUCAUUAAUACUUUAUGGGUUUUUAGUUUCGUGCGUCUGGUACAACGAGAUAUUGAUUUGGUUUUGUUGUGAUCUAAUUAUCGAUAUUUGUGACAAAUAUAUAAAGAUGCAUGCAUCGUCUUAUGAAGCAAAUAAAGAGUAAUUAAUCAUUAAUAAAUCUAAAUUUGAUCCAUCUUAGGGUUAAUACUGUUGAUGAAUUAUUCGAAAAGGAUGGACAAAGACGCAUCGAUCUACCACUCUAGGUCUUUAGCUACUCUACCCAAACAACAUGCAAUGUUUGGAUUUUGUUUGUCUUGGUUCAAAUCAGAUAGUCAUUGAUUUGAAGUUUGUCUGAUAAGAGUGUUAGAAACAACAAUAUCACACCUAACUAGCUAGGGCUUAAUACAGAUAAUGAAGAGCUAAGAGCCUAAGACAUGGUUUUUCACCAGGAAAAGAACGUAGUAAUGGAAACCCUAAGCCUAACGAAGCCGACAAGGGCAGUGUUGGAAAACCACAUCGAUCGAAUCGAUCUCAUGCAUCACUGCAUAUAACAAAGCAAACUGGGCAAUGGCAGGUGAGGUUUUGUCUUCAACUUCGAGUAUGAUCGAUCGAAGAGAUAACAACCUCUGGCAGUAAAGAAUCACAGAAUCACAGGCAAGUAGAGAGGUCUCAGGUCCGUACUACACAUACUCUUAUCGAACCCUCGUGAUUCAAGGGUCAGUUUUUUCCCCACUUUAUCGAUCACUUACAAACCCUAGAGUACUGUUGCUGCUGCUAUCUGUGAUGUCCAUCUCAAUACCUUUUAAUUUCUUUCUACCUUCCCGAGAGACUUUUCUCUCUUUUAAUUUCCUUCGAUCGAUUCUCAUCGCCAAUGAGAUGAACUAGCUUGUAUAUAAGUUUAUUGAUUUCCAUGCAUAACAACAACAAGUAACAAUUGGAAGCACAAAGCGCCACAGUUCCAUCAAGAAAAAUGUCAUAUAUAUGUUUUGUCUCUAUAAAACCAUCUUUGUCCGUCGAUGUCUCUUCCCAACAACCAUGUCUUCUAAUUUGUAAGCCUCACAAACCCUUGAUUGCCACCCUUUGAUUAGUUCACUGCUUAGUUAAUUAUCUCCUCUCUAGACAAUAUAAUUCUACUUUUCUUGGUUUGGAUAUUCAAAAGAGAGGGAGUGAGAUCGAGGCACAUGUUGUUGCAUGGCACAAAGAAAUGUUAGUUUUCACCGAGUACAGAUUAGGAAUAUGUUGGAGGAAUGUUUACUGUCAAUCAUGUGACACAAACCCUAGAAUAUUAGCUUAGACUAUUCCUUUCAAUUCAUAUAAUUGGAUCACUUUACUAGUUAAUCCUUCUUGUGAUGAUCGAUCAAGUGAAAAUCAUCCGUAGAAUUUGUUAUGAAGAAAACCAGAAGUGAAAGUAAUAAGUAAAAGGGGAAUCACAAAUAUAAGUUUAUCCAUCACCAGCUUUUGCAGGAUUCUCACAAGAAUAGAGACCAUUGCUACUCAUAAUUACCACAGCAAGGGCAAGUCAUUCCAAAGAUAUGGAAAUAUCAUCACCACGCUUUUGAAAUUCUUCAAAGGUAAUAUUCAUGAACACAUCUAGCUAGAUAUUAUAUUUAAGUUAGCUUCAAGGCUCCCUCACAUACCCGUAAAAUAUUAAGGAAAAUGUUACAAUAAUAGCCUAGUUACAUAAUGUUCAGCUUACAAUUCAAAUUUGGGAAUGGUGUCCAAAAUUGUGAACACAAAUGUGAAAUAAUAAUGGCAUGCAAUCCCAAAUUGGCCUUUCGGAAAAUGGCCUCCUCAUCUUAGAAAAAGGGUAACUUAAUCUCAACAGCUAUCUAAGCAAACAAUAUUUAAUGAAGACCAAAAGUCAUUGGCCUUUCUAAGUGUCUAAGAGUGACUUGAAAUUGAAAGAAAUGUUAAAGCAUAUAUAUGUGGAAAAUUGGAAAUCCAGAAUGCCAUCGGAUCAUUAUUGAUCAGUCCCAAUUAAUUUAAGCAAAGACAGAGGGGUAGGGGAGGUGAAAUAAGCCACUGUGAUCAUCAGUGUUGGCAUUGAUUCAGGUCUGGCUAUAUUAUAACAGAACAGUAGGAGGAGGAGGAUGAGGAUGAAGAUGAAGACGAAGACGAAGAUGAAGACGAGGAAGGAGGAGCUAGAAUUAUAUAUAUGCAUAUACAUAUAGACAGUGACAGUUGCUUGGUACCCUCUCCUAUUCAUGCCAGUCCCGUUACGCGUAAGCACAAGCUGGCAUUGCAGAACAUGUCCUGCUCUGAUCCAAGUUUACAUGAAAAUGAAGUACUGUUAUAUACUGUGUGGUUACUUCGAGUGCAGGCCACCCUUGGCCUUAGCCUGACUAAUGCUACAAAUGAAUGAUAUGAAUUCCUUCCUCUCCCUCCAAGUGUGAUCUGUGAUCAUCAUCAUUCAUGCCCCUCCUUGCCCUACCAUGGAAGCAUAUAUACAUGAGUAUUGAAGCAGAUGAGGCCUAGCUAGCUUUGGCAGUUAAAUACUUAUGCUCCCUCCCUCCCUUCAUCUAUUUGAAUUUCAUAUCUACUCAUAUGAUGGGCCAAGUGACGAUGAGUCGCAAUCCUCAUUCACUAUUGCACUCAAACAUAUCACCUAGCCAGGACUAACAUAGACAGGUAGGUAAAUGCAUAUACGUACACAGUAUUUCACUUUUCCAAUGCCGAUUACUAAAGUUUAUCAACUCUGUCAAAAAAAUGUACAAAUGGGGUGAGUUUUUUUUUUGCGGGGUACUAGACAUAAAUAAAAAUUGAAGAGGGCAAUGAUAGAUUAUAUACAAUAUAGCAAGCAAUAUAUAAAACAGAAAAAGAAAGUCCGGAUGGAGCCAUUUCACCAAGAGAAAGCAAGACAGAGAAGUGAUUGCUAGGAGAGCCCAUUCAUGGAUAAUAGCAAUGGAAACAGACUUUUCGAAAAGAUAUGACUCAUGAGAGGAAGAGGGCUUUAUGCAGUUUGCAGCAGCGGCAGCUUCUACUUAGCUUUGGAACCGAUAUCACAUUCCUUGUGGACCUGCUUGUGCUACUAGUGCUGCUUCUGAUAGCCCACAUUGCCUAAAGCCAGACACAUUGAUAUCACAUAUCUUAUGAAGCCAAACAAUCCGACCACCUACCGACAACGAAAGCCACCUUCAUUUCAAAAUCGACGAUUUACCAACUCCAAAGGGCCACCCCCGCUUCUUUACUUAGUCGUUUAGGAAUAUAUGUGUUAUCUACUGAGCUUCAAUAUCUUUGAGGACCUUGUGGAACUUGAUAAUAGAUAGGGAUAUAGAGCCCCCCUGAAGUUUUGGACAGUGUCGAGGUCAUGAUGGACAAGAGAGACAUGGUGGCAAAGUUAGGCUAAGACUAACAGCUUUCACAAUUCACAUGCAUGCCCCCCUUCCACUGUUCUAUAGCGAGUCCCGGUUGGAAUGAUGUAGAUGUCCCAGUAUUACCCAGUGGAAUCCCCAUAUAAGAGGGUCAGUUCUGUUUCGAGUAGUUGCUUGGAAGAGACAUGGAAAAGGACUAGUCCUCCUGCAAUUGGGAAAACACACUAGGGUGAGACCGGGAAGCCACUAUUGUCGUUUCAAUGAAGCACAAGCACGCGUACUAUUCACUAUGCUUGCUUGCGCCAAGUGGCUUUUUCUUUGGGUCCUUGCCUCUGUGCCUUUUGUGCCUUUGUGCUCGGUGCUCCCCAAAACCAAGAGGAUCGGAUCAUUAGGUUUGGUGACAAGGCAGUUCACUAACAAAGUAUUGAUAGAAGUCUCAAUUUCAACUAAAAAGGUGAAAAUGAAGUGAGUCUUCAGUAAAUUAUUGUGACACCGUAAGUACAAUGUUUAAUGCAAUGUGAAGAGUUUAAAUUUUACAUUGAUAUUUCUACCCUUUACCAGAAGAAUUUCUCAAGAAAACCAGAGAACAUGUAUGUAUCUCUUUGGCGUUUGGCCAUGUGGACUUCACAUGUUAUGGUUCUCAUGAUUAUGUACUGUCUGAGACAGUUAACUGAUGUUUUCUUGUUCCUGGUUUACAAAUAGCACAAACACAAAAACACAUCACUGCAGCACUGCUACACAAACAAACCAAAACACAAAACCUCUUUCGAGUCCUAAGUCCUAACUAACUUGUGACAUGAGGACAGACCUGAAAGUACUACUACCACCAUAGCAAAUGCACUUGUUAUUGCGACAUCAAAAGUUCAAAACAGUGUACUAGGAAAAUCAACAUCAAUCAUCAACUAAGCUCAGACAAUCAUGUUCCUCAUCUCAGUCGGGUCAUUAAGCAAUCAACCUUCGCAGACACAGUCUCCGUCUUAUCAUACUCCGCACCGACACUAAUCAUCUGCCAUAUUGCCGCGAGUUAAGGCUCACCUCCGCCAAUACUGUUUUAUUUCCACAAUGGAGCAGAUGCAAUCUUCAUUCAUCAUGGUCAAUAUCGAAAUUGCUGUGACGUCGCAGCGGGUUAACCCUCACCUCUAGAAACACUGUUCUAUUUCUACAAUGGAGCAGAACAAUCUUCGGAUUACCAUAGUCACCGUCGACAUUGUAACCAGUUAUGAUGUUGCACUGGGGUUCAGCUCACCUCCAGCAACACUGUUCUAUACUUCUAUAUCUAAGUUGGUUAUUCCUUGCUCGGGAAGACCCCAAUCCCACAAGCCCAUUAGCACAGCGCAACUACUGCAAUAUUCAAAAUCCAUUAAAGGCCCAGUGCGUAUUGCUCAUAAAAGCCUCUUAUCUAUGACGGAUUCACGCCGACAACUAAAUUGAAGAAAGCCAAGCGCAAACCCAGACAGCAAAUGAGGCAAAGAGAUUGAAGCUGUGCAACCAAGCAAUCUUAGAACUGCUCAUUUGGGAUGCAGCAAAUUUGAACAGGACAUAGAGAGCACUCAAAAGAUAAAACCAGUAACAAAAUUUCACAAACGAUAAAUAACAUUAGCCGAAGUAACAUCUUAACUAAAACGAUGCACUGUAUUCAAUACAUAAGAGAAGUAAAUCCAAAUCCUGCUUAUAUGGCAGAAAUUUCCAAAAGGAUCGCGAAAAGAAACAAUGGAGAUUGAAUGAAGCAAAGACUUCCUAACAAGGACUCUAGUUGUCAAAUGCAUCAUCAUCAUCAUCGGGAAGAGGUUGGGCAGCUGCUGCAUUAAGCUCAGCCUCAUGCCUGAAAUAAUAUCAACAAACACCAAAGUGAGAUGAUUUACUUCUAUGCCAAAUUUUCAUUCUACUGUCCAUAUAUAACUUAACUUUUUUUGGUAAUGAUCAUAUAACUAACUUAGCCUCAAAACAUCUAAACGUAGGAGAAAAUCACAUAGCAAGUUCAUGAAUGAAUAGGGCCUUACUGUAGUUGAGUAGCCAUGUCAAUCUGGACUUCUGGGGGAGCAAGAGCUGGAGACUCGACGAAAUGAAGAUUGGCAUCACUGAAAUGAAGGCAAUAAUAAUAUUAAUUAUGAGUGUCCAAGCUUGUACAUCAUUAAAACAAAAUGAGUCUAUAGUUAAUUACCCUGCAAGCUUCCUGGCCAGGUAGAGGAAAGGUUUCUCGAAAUUGUAGUUGCUCUUUGCAGAUAUCUCAUAGUACUGCAAGUUCUUCUUCCUAUGGAAGGUCACCUGCUUAGCUUUAACCUGCCUGUUCUUCACAUCAACCUUGUUCCCGCAGAGGACAAUGGGAAUGUUCUCACAAACCCUGAUAUUUUAAGAGACAAAUGUAACAAUUUGUCAGCAGGUGGGUAAACAAGACAACAAAAACAAGAACAGAUUUCAAUCUCUAGAUUCAUUCAACUCACCGGCAAAGAUCACGAUGCCAUGUAGGAACAUUCUUGUAUGUCAACCUUGCAGUGACGUCGAACAUAAUGAUUGCACAUUGCCCAUGGAUGCUGCAAAAUAAAAAAAUAAAUAAAAAAAUUUAGAAAGACAACCCUUAUUAGUUAUUACAAACAAUCGAUAAAACCAAAUCAUGACAACUAAAGACGCAUAGCCAGAUACCACAGAGACAAGCACUGGUAAUGAACCUAUGUUCUGUUCAAAGAAGAUGAGAAAGCAACGUGAACACAUCUUCCCUAAUGAUUUACUUUCUUGUUUUCAUAUGAAUACAUUACAUUCUCCCACCCAAAUCAUAAAAAGAUUCUAGACAACAACCAUACUCAAAGUCAAUUGCAUGCUUCUAAAUCAGAUAUCAACAAUCAACAUAUUGGUAGAGACCACUUACUAGUAACCAUCUCGAAGGCCACCGAAUUUCUCUUGCCCAGCAGUAUCCCAGCAGUAAAACCGGAUCUUCCCACAGUUUGUGAAGAAGUCUAGAGGAUGAACCUCCACACCAAUAGUUGCUGUUUCCAAAAUAAACAAAAAACCAUCAACAUAAAACCCAAAAUCCAAGCAACGGAGACAAAUUGACAAAUUGACCAAUUUCAAAAUUCAGAACGCGACUCUUACGUUCAUAUUUCUUCUCAAACUCUCCGGUAAGAUGCCUCUUCACGAAAGUAGUUUUUCCUGCGCAAUGCUCACACCAAUCAGCCUAAUCCAAAACUCAUCCGCUUACAGUAAAAAUAAACACUGAUAAAAUCAAGCCAAAAUUUACAGAAAAACGUGAGCAGUAACAAAUUAGAUCAAAUCGAUCAAACCUACUUCAAUCCUAUCGGAACGAAACUCCAAAAGAUCUAAAAUUUACAGAAAAACGAGAGCGGUAACAAAAUUAGAAGAUCAAAAAUUUACCGGUGCCUCCGUCGCCGACGAUGACGAGCUUGAAGCUCGGAUAAUCCACAGUCUGUUGGUUUGGCAAAGCCUACAACAUCAAAAUCGAAAUCAACACUAAACCCUAAUUCCCAAAAACAAAAGCACAAACAAAGACGAUCCAGAGCUAAAACCCUAAGGCAUGAUCGAGAAGAGAGAGAGAGAGAGUGAGAGAGAGGUACCAUGAUCGGUGAAGCGGCGGCGAAGUGAGAAAUAGAGACGGCGAUUUGGGGUUUAGAGGUAGGUAGAGGGAGGCGGAGGGGACUACUUAUAUAAGGCUGGGAGCGCGUGGCUUUAAAUCGACGCGACUAUCUCGCCCAUAUGAUUUGCGUAGUUUUAACGCUGGGUUCUAGAAACCACCGUUGAGGUGUGGGGUGAGUGUAAAAGGGGGUGUAGAGAGAUAUUUUCUCCCCUUUUUGAAUUUUGAAAGUUUGGAUCUCUAAUAACAAAGCUUUUGUUUACGGUUUUGAUUUAUUUGUGUUCUAUAAGUGCAAAGAUAUUUUUCUAAAUUUGAGAAAAUAGGAAAAAGAUUGAGUAUAAAUUCUAUGUCGAUUAGAUUUGAUGAAUCAAACCGGAUAAGAGGUAUUAUGUUUUGGAUUUUUACUAUCAAUGCGUGUAUAGUGAAGAUUUAGAUUUCGAGUUUUGAAAAACUGAUAGAAAAUGAGAGUACUGUAGCUACUCUUGAUUUUCGAUUGUAGCUGAUGCGCUGCCCUCUUGACACUUGAUACUCGAUUAUGGCCAAUGGCAGAACCACGUUUGGGUCUGUGGUGUCCAUACCUCUUCAGGUUUUCAAGCACUUCACGAAGCUACCAAGUUACUGGCAAAUACAUGAAAGUUAUUGUUUCUUUUUUGUAUGUUGUUGAGAUUGUCUCUUUUAUAGAUUAACUCAUUCCACACACACAUGUAUCUAGCAAGUGUAAAUUGUUUUUAACUAAUAUGUAUAAAUAUAAUAAUGUUUAUGUUAAGGAGUUUCGAUUACUCCUUAACAAUAUUAAUAUAAAUUUAUAAAUUUUUUCUCUUGCUAUAGCCAGUUCAGAUUGCUAUGAUAGUCUGAUACACGGUAUUUCAAAACCCUCUCAAAAUCGUGAUUACAUAAUAAGAUGAAACCAUCAGAAUGAAUUUGUUUUGGUGAUUCCGAAGACUUGCUACAGAAAGAACUAACGCAUCAAAAAAUACAGGAGGUUAUCAAGCGUUAAACCCUAGAAACGAUGAAGAGUUUACAAGCGUAAACUCAUCAAUAAAACUCUGGAAUUCAACAAUCAAUCGUGUCAAAAAUACUUUGGGUUCAAUCCCAUUAUUUUUUUUUUUUUUAAAUAUAUAUUUAGGAGUUUCUUAAAGUCAAAAGUCCUCUUUGUCCCCGCGUAUCCGGGUAUAUUACAAAAUCGUACCACGUAUCCGGACGUAUCCCAGAGGCGUAUCUACACUUGAUUAUGAGAGAAGAGAAAAACAAUGGGCGCAUAAACCCGGAAAUAGAGAGACCACAGACGACCCGAUUCUGGUUUUUAAGGCGAAGAACCUGAACCAAUUGCCACAGAUCUCAAGUCAUGGCCACCUGGCCCUCCUCUUCCGACCCUUCUAAUCAGUAAGCCCUUCAAAACCCACCCAUAAAUUAUCUCUAUGUUCUGUUUUCAUCUCAAUAAUCGAUUUGUUGCAUGCAUGAAUGUAUUUGGAAGGCAGCCUGAGGCAAUAAGGAAGAGAAAUAAGUCCGAUCAAAUUAAGUUCCUGAUUCCUCUCAUCUACGCCCCCGUGCUUCCCCUCAGUAAGUUUCGCCAAUUCUGCUCGGCUUUUUUUGUGGUUCAGUCUGUGAUGUUGUUCGUGUUUGACAUCUUGGUUUUUGUGUUUUCUUGGUCAGUUCGGAUCACGCUGCGGAAACAACCGGUUCUAAGGGACCGUCUGUUUAUUGCUGUGUUGGCUGGGGCAUUUGCUCAUGGCACUUAUUUGGUGUAUCCUUUUGUUGAGAUAUCGAAUUAUUGUGAUUGUUAUAAUGUUAUACUUGGUGACAUUCUGCUAAGAAAUUGCUAUGCUUGAUUAAGAAUGCGCCAAGUAUUGAUCUUUGCAUUUGAAUGGUUGAGGAUGUUAGAAGUUGGAAAUGAUUAGUACAUACUAAAUGUUUAUUUAUUUUAGUAUUUUGACUUAGCGAAUUUGGAUUGUUAGGGGAUGCAUUUGCAAUGAGAGGCUGUAGAAUAAGAAGUGUAACUGAACUCAGGGAGAGGUACAACUGCUUUGUUUCAGAUGUUUAAGAGUGUGCGUAAAUGUUAGCACAGAGAGUUGACGAUGUCUGAGUGGAAAAGAGCGUGAUAAAGCAUGUUUCUUUCUGUAGUUGACGCUCGUUGUGUAUAUGUGCUCAUCUGGUUUCUGUCUUACUAAUGAGCGUUGGAAGUUCCGGUAGUAGUUCAUACUUCAUAGGGAAAGGGAGGAUUGAUCUUUAAGAGUGUAUGUAGACAUGCACAGGCAGUUUAUGGUGGCUGAGAGCAGACAGGGAAGAUAAAUACAACUCUUUGUAUAGUUGGGUGAUGUUUUCAUCCGCUUUCUUUAUUUUGUCUCAGUUGUUCAUUAUUUAUCGGGUUUCGUCUGUUGAUGUUUCAUUGGAGGAAUAAGAUGUUAGGACUUAGGGGAAUUUGUUUUAGAUAAUUUGUUUGAAUCACAAGCUCAAAUUUAUAUUGGUAAUAUGGUACUGGAUAUGAGAUUUCAUAGAUAGUAGAGUACCUCAUUUUUUCUUUUCUGCUUGCAAGUUAGAGUUCUUCACUGCAUCCUCUUGUGGUUCCUAGGGAGAAUUAGCAUUCAGUAGUUAUUCUGAAUUAAUCCUUUGAUUUAACCAUGUUUAAGCAAAAGUUUUCAUUCAAAGUAAUACGGUAUCAGAGUUAUGUUCAUGUAAAUUUCUUCUCAAGAAUCUUCCACUGUUAUUAACUUUUUGCAACUCUAUGUCUCGUCUUUUUUUUUCUUUGUAUUCUGUUGUUGAUCCUUAACAGACUUUUUGCAGGACGGAUCUUUUUAAUUGAGAGCAAGUAAAAUUUGCACACAUAGUUGAGAUAUGAGGUAGCGUACAUCUCUUCAACAACUUUGAAUUGUUUUGCGGAUUCUUUGCAGCUCAAUGCUUCAAUGGCUCCCAGAGUAUACUAAUACAAUUUUGAUAUUGUCUCUGGAUGAUUCCUAGAUUAUAUCCAGUUAUUAUUAAGUAUUUACUAGUCCAUUUCUUUUCCUUUUCACUAGCUCUCAACAAGUUUUCAACACUGUUUUACUGAUUACAAUAAGAACACGAUCGAAAUUGUUUUGUUAAUCUCUUUGGUGAUCUUAGUUAUGUAUGUUGAUAUACUGUAGAGGACUUGCAGUCUGCCUUGCCAAACCUUAGCAUACUAUUACUAUUUGGACAGUUAACCCCUUUUAUAACUGAUAGCAGUCUAAUUGAUGCGGAUGUCUAGCAAGAGUUUGUUCUACCGAAAAUCUGUUGGAACACUCUUGCUUCAAGUGAGAUUUUGCCUCUGAUUCUAAGUCCUUCCAAUGCCAAAUAUCUGGCUAGGGUUGGUUGUCACAAGAUGUCGCCAUCAUCAAGUCAUGGACAUUUCAUGAGCUACAUGCAUUCCACAAAAUAGUUGUGAUGCACAUAGGCAUAUUCCGAUAUCGGAUUCUUUCUACGAUUCGAGUCAUGGACAUUUCAUGAGCUAUAUGCAUUCCACAAAAUAGUUGUGAAUCACGUAGGCAUAUUCCGAUAUCGGAUUCUUUCUACGAUUCAGUAUCUCAACCAAGAUCCAAAUAUUCUGUAUCCCACUUGCCACUUGUCCUUCCAUCGAUCCCCACAUCAAAUCCUAACCUCUGAUAAACCCUAGCUCUGGAAAUUCGACUAAAACCCCAAACUCCUAAAGCUUGCAUAGGUCGCUCACUGGAUUAGAGAUUAAUAUAACUAAUUAGGUCACAUCAUUCAUCGUCAGAUCCAAUAUUGAUGCAAAGCAUAGAGAUAUAUAGUGUAUACAAAUCAAUAAUUACAUACUUAAUCAGCUUAAUCACGCAAUUAACUCAAUAAACAAAGGGAAAAUGAAAGCAUAACAUAAAAUUAAUGCCAUCACCAUCUUACACAAGUUCAACCCCUUUAAAUCUACUUUAAUAAAAAAAAAUGAAAAAAUAGAUGAUCUGGGGCUCCCUUCGAUCCGAUCCUAAUUAUCCAGGCGUUAUUGACGCGGCCGGCUCAGAGAUCGGACCGGUUCUUGAAAUCGGAGGCGAGUCUGUUGGCGAUGGAGGAGUGGUACAUGGCGUCGUGAAACGUCUCCGUCUCGAUGGUCUUGAGCCGGAGCUGCUUGGCCUUCUCCUCCGUGAAGCAGCCCGGCGCGAACCGGGAUCGCUGCGGCGGCGGCUUGGACUCCGGUCCGGCCUCGGCCGGCUCGGUGGAUUUGGAGUUGGUGGAGUCAAUGUAGUCCGGUUCAGCGGACCAGCCGAAGAGGGGGCUCCACCACUUGGAGGUGCGGGCCGGGUCGGGCUUGCGGUUGGCGGCGGCGCACGGGGCGGUGAGGGAUGGACGGAAGUGGAUGAGAUUGGUGGCCAUUUUUAGAGAGAGAAAGAGAUGAGAGAGAGAGAGAGAGAGCUUCUUCAAAUGAACGUUUGCGUUGGGGUUGGAGUAAUGUGCCAGUUUGCAGGUUGCGAAUUUAAAGGGGAAGUGUGGGAAAAGUGGAUAAGGACCGACAGUGUUCGUGUUCGUACAAUAAAUAACUCCGGGCACGUGUGAGCAGGGGCCCACUUUGGCUUUUUGAGUUUUGAAUGAACAUUCCUACCGGCUAAUCCGGUCUCCGUUUAGAUUUGGUCUUAGAUGCCUACGGGAUAGUGAAUGGACCGUAAUAGCCUCCUUUUCACUUUUUUUACUUUUUUCUUUUACUGUUGGCCUCUGUGAUCACGGAGUCUUCAAUAUUAUGUACACGGUGUGUAGUUUCACUUAGGGCAUCUCUAAAAAUGGUUGCCAUACCUAAAUUCAUACUUAAAACCCAUAAAAAUUCAUCUCCAACAAUUAAAACUCAUACUCAAUUAUGGGUUCCUACUACACAGACGACCCAAAAUGGGUCGAGUUGCAAGGAGGAAACCCAAAACUGUAGACGCGGGACCCAGAUGGCAACAAAAGGCAGCAGGUGCACGUGAAAGACUGGGUAGCGGCAGGAGCUACACGCGGUGAGCUUGGUCUGUGGAGAACGCGCGCUAAAGACAGAAAAACGGGCAGGCGAGGAGCGCGCGGGAGCGCGAGACGCGCCAAUCACGCGUGAGCGGGAGAUGCACACCUGCGGUUGAACCACGUGAGCUCGCUUCUGACCCUCCAAAGGUCCAAAAACGCUCGGCCCAGAUUGAAUGAUCAUUCAAAUCAUCAGGUCCAGAAAAAAUAGGCCGAAAAUUAAAUAAUUUGAAUGAAAAAAAUUUGGGUAUGAGUAUGGGUUUUGAUAUAAUGGUUGGAGAUGAAAUAUGAGUUUGAAUAGUAAUGGGUUUGGGUAACUCAAAAUAUGGGUAUGGGUUUGAGUAUGACAACCAUUGUUGGAGAUGCCCUUACCUAUGUGGAUAUAAACAGCUAUGAAUAAACCGUGUACUUGUACCGUUAUGUAUACAAGAAUUUUUCGUUCUAGGGUCAGUCUUAUUCUUCAAAUGGGUAGUUUAUAAAUUAAAUUAAAUUAAAUUAUGGUAACAGAAAAAUAGAUGAUGUGUGAUAAAUAAAAUAGCGUGUGCAUAGUAUCAUCAAUCCUCUCGAUUAUUAUAUGAACCAGUCUUCCAUGGACUCGAGUAUAUAUGUAAUUCAUGCAGGGCUUAGUAUAUCCGAGUAUAUGCCAUUGAAUCACUAGCUACUUGAACAAUAUGAAAUUAGUUUUACAAGUUGAAGUAUAAUCUACAAAUUUUCUCCGACGCAUGUACCAUGCUAUCAUUGAAUAUGAUGGAGUACGUCGUCAAACUAUUCUCAAGCGGCAUAACAACCGCCGGUAAAUACAUUUCUCAACCCAGCUAAGACAGCAAGAGAUGAAAAUAUCCCAUGCAGAUGCAGAUGCCAUAUUGAAUAAGUUGUCGUGGACGAUCAUGAAAACCGAAAAAUUGGAGCUUCCCCGAAACCUUGGUCUCGUUCUCUUGACGUUUUCCCCCGACUGACCUUUCCAAGUUUGGAGGAAAGAGGCCAAAGUAUGAUUCAAAAUUGGUACAAAACAGUAGCAUCGUCGAUACAUAAGAGCGAAGAUUCCCCAGAUGCUCUAUGUCGUCCCUGUCCUUCAUUCGUCCGUUUGUCUCCGUCCUAAAACUGCAGAAAGUCGGACGGUAUGUACACGUUCAGAUCAGUCUAUUCAAAAGUCUGAAGAUUCAGAACAUCCUUGGCCCUUGGAUUUUCUGUUGGUGAAUACGACAUGCGCGCACGUUUUUUUGUUCUCUGGUUCAAAAUUCAAAUAUCUCUCUUCGUGUUCGUUUUGGAGCUGUAAAACCUCAAAAUGAAUCCGGCAGAUAAUACAAAGUUACUUCUCGAUCACUGUCGAGGUGGUAGCUAGGGAUCGAACUUUUCAAUUUUGACCGAUGCUAAAUGAGUCAUUGCCACAAGUCCCUCAGCCGCUCAACUUGGAAGCUGAGAACAACGUUGCUUUGUUUUCAACUCUAGUGCAAUGUGGGAUGUCCGCCGAGACUUGACUUGUCUGGAUGGGGAUUUCAUUAGAAGGCCACAAGAUGCAAGGGGCGACCCAAAUAGCUAGGCCUGCAUAGAAUAGAAUGAGGCCCAAAAACAGGUGUCCUUCCAUUAAUUUCCUAGGCCACCAAUAUCACUAGAAAUGUGUAGAAAUUCGGCCCUAGAGGACUAUUUGGGCCCUUCAUGGAUCAUACGAUAUAGAUCAGAUAUAUAUAUUGUAGGCCUUAUUUGAUACUAUAUAGCUCUAUAUAUCCGGACUACUACUCACCUUGUUUCUUUAAGUGAUCCUUGUAUGUUAUUGGCCAUUUAUCUUUGCAUCUCUUAAUCCAGACUUCGGAAUGAUGAAUGGUAAGUCAGUAUGUAUUAGGGAAGAGCUUUCCCAUCGUUCUGUUAUAUCAAGCUGAAUGAAGUUGUACGUACCUCGAUGAAAAAGGAAAGCUAAUCCAGUUGCGAGAAGAAGAUCGAAGUUGUUCAUGGUGAGAAUAGAAACCCUGAGGCAAAUUGUGCGUAACUCGUACAGAGAAUUAGUGCAAUAAUGUGACAGUUAAGUUAAAGCUUGAACAUCAAUGCUAAAGGCAUCACUUGCUUGUUUUGGAAUCACGUACAACUUCGAAAUCUUGACAGAAAGUGUUAACUAAUUGUAUCCCUGUUCAGGUUUUUGAUGAACUCCGCAAGUCACUAAAUCUUCUCUUUCGACCAACUUUGUGUCUAUCAAGCAGUUGUUGCUCCAUCAUAGUUUCCAGUAGUUCAUCACAAAAUAUCAAGGUUGGCUAGACAUGUAUAUAUAUGUCUCAUGUCAUCCAAAUCCAAAACGAAUGUACCACAUGCAUGAAUAGAAGAAUUGCUAUAUACGAACCCAAGCUAUCAGCCAAGCAGUCGAAAGUCAUGCACAGCACAACUAACUGAAGCAUCAGUGUGACGGUGAUGAUCAUGAGUUGCAGUGGUUACAUGCAUGUUGGUUAAUUGAAGAAGCUAACCUAAACUUAUCUCACUGCAUGCAACUUGUGUGGUCCGCUCUCCAAAAUUUCGAGACCACAAUCCCACAUGCAGAGAAAUUUAAGACGUUGAAGAAUUCCUACAGUGACAACUGAUACGACUCCCUCCUCAAGUUGGAAUUAAAGACAUUAAUCUUCUGCAGCAAAGCUUUUGUUAAUUUUUCGGGUCCAUUUCAUAUAGGGUUCGGUUGCUAUAUAUAUUUAUAUGGCAUACAUCAAAUCGUGAGUCGUCCGAUCGUUUAACAAUUUAAAAUUCAAGACGAUUGGACAACUCACGGCUUAAUCUUAAUGUAUGCUAUAUAUAGCAUAGUAGAAAAGUCUUUUCCUAUAAACCUAACAGAAGGGCUUGGCUAAUAUAGUAACCCAGAAUCUCCCCCAUCUCCAAUAAUGCUUCUCAGAUCUUUAUGAAUAUGAAUAUGAAUUAUUAAGGUGGUGGGAGACAUUUAAUCAUUGAUGCCCUCUAUUGGAGCUUUGCAAAGGGUCCAAAGUUAGGUCCCAAAUCGGCAUGUCACUCCUUUUCCUCUAGUUGUUAGUCGCCAUUUCUAGGACCUCUACAGGGCUCCAUGAGCUGACUGGGUUUUGCUUCUUCCAAAUGUCUAGGCCUAUCCCCUUUCACUUUCAGCAACUCAACCACCGACCCAAUUCUCCGUCACUGACCAAGCUUAUGUUGUAAUUUAGCUUACAAGUCAGACUUUAACACUAAUCUAAUUUACCCAACAGUAAACACAAAAGGGGUUAUAGAGAAGCUGUAGUCAUCGCCGGCGACCGUAUCUUUAGCAGCCGGGAUUGGUUUGUGUAACCUAAUUAACCUCCAGACUCGGGGAAACAAAGCAGACCAAUUAUGAUUCAUGUUCAUGAAGAGCUAGCUUUUCUGUGCCAUCAUAGUUUUUAAACUUAUAAAGCCUAACUUAUGAUGGGGGAAGGGGCCUCUACCGCCCUCUAGUACCUAACUGACUUUAAAAUUUACAAGGCAUGAAUCUACGCAAUGCAAUAAACAUGGUCGGCCGCUUCUCAUAAUUGAAAUUCAUUCGAAUCUAGCUAGCUAGCUAGACAUAACUAUAUGCAUGAUCGGUUGUUCCUACCUAGCUAUAGACAAUUAACCUAGCACUGCGCGCUCGCUCUCUUUGAAUUUUAGUACUCAUGCAUGCAUAGUGCACAGUGCCCUUACGGUCAUAUCCCUGCAGCAGAUCCUGCUGCAGAACCUGCAUGCCUCCCCUGCGUAUAUAAUACAUAUACAUACACAAACAUUUCUAACUCUCUACUUUAACAUACACAAAAAUAAGACGAUUGACUAAUUAAUCAUAAUGCUUUUUAAUAUAAAACACAACCUUUUCUAUUGGGGAAGAAAGAAUAGGCUUCAAGAAAGAAAUCAUCUACCCUGAUCAUAAUUUCUUCAAUGACAGAUUGACAGAUGUAAUUACAGGACGUACUACUGCCCGCACACACGUUAAAAUAAGAACGGUCUAUAUUGCAGUCCAUUUUUCCUCAAGAGAUACCAAUCAAGUUUGAAACCCUAGCAUGGAAAUAAUGCAUAUAUGCGAACCUUCAAAUAAUUAAACAGUGGUUGUCCAGAAAAGACUGGUCCAGUUAAAACCCGUGUGCGUACAGAGAUGCAAAGCAAAACUGCGGUACUGGGUUUAGACUCCUUCACGGAAAGACAACCAAAACCCUUUGAAACUUGUUCAAAGCGAACCGCGGACCCAUGAGAUCGAUCAAACUGGGACCAGGGUAGAUACCUCUUUGUGUUCUUUCGACUCAAUUAUCAAACUUAAAUUUUGCCCUAGCUUCUGGCUUUAUCUAUCAAUUCCAAAAGAGAAUCUAAAAACGUACCCUUGUUAAAUUUUGCUUCCCUUUCCUUUUCUGCCUGCUUUGUCCACAUUGAUCUAACAGAUACAACUAUCUUCUACCAUGAAAUCGAUAUGCUGUCAUGGAUGAUGUAAUAUAACAUUUUGGAACAAUUUCGAACACCUAAAGCUAGCUAGAAGUUCAGAAAAAUGCUUCUAAGCUAUCGAUUAAGUUCAACAUUUAGCUAGUUUCUUUAACCCUAAUCUAGAAGUUCAGAAAUAAGUUAGGAGAAUCAAACCUAAAUCUUUUGUUGUUAAUACUUGAACAAGUAAAGCACGUAUUCCAUUAAUUGGAGACGAUUGAUUUGCAUAAAACCACGUACUUAAUUAUACGUAUAAUACAUGUAUUGAAUCUUUGGAACAUAUAUAGUAUCUCACCGAUUCAAUAUACUUCCCUAAGAAAUGGUAGGGCAGGAGUCGAUUUGCCUUUUCUUGAUCACAAUUGAGACAAAACAUGACAAUCGAUCACUUUAAUUUAUUUCUGUGCUGGUCAAAAAUGGGAACCCCGUUAAUCUUUUUGGUAAUCAUCAACAACUUCAUGGAAGCACCAUUAUAUUCAUGAUUUUCACAAUUAAAUUUCGACCUACCACACCCAUCUACCACCUCUUGAUUUUCAAUGGUGUAUGUUCAAUUCCGAUGUCCAAUCCCAAUGGCUGGCGGUAGUGCUUUUCACUUCGUUCAUCGUUAAUCAAUGAGUUUCUUGUUUACUUUCUUAUCAGAGUCAUAGCUAUGUCAAUGACUUCCUUCGAUCACUUGAAAAGAUUUAAAAAACAAAAAACAAAAAGAUUUGUUUCUUUCGCACACUGUGAUGAUCGACAGGAAAUCACAAGGUACCAGACGUGUCGCACAGGCAACGGUGUUAGAGAAUGUUGUAUUAGUUUUGCAACGCUAGGUUUAUACUUUAAACUUUACUUAUAUGUGCCUUCAAAAGUAUCAAAGUGCAAAAUAAAAGAUUUAAAGAGAAAAGUUGAAUCAACGAGUACUCAAAUAAUAUUGCUUUUAUGGUUGGUUGAUGAAGAUGUUGGAGCUGGACUGCUGGAGACUUGGAUCUAGCAAAGCUAACAUCAUAGGGAAAAUGAUUAGUACGUGAAACCUGUGUACCCUAAUACUAAUCAUGUAACACAUGCUUUGAGUACCGGUAAAUAUUGAGUCUUCUACGUACCACAUCGAUUUGGGCAUGUUAUUUCCUGUUUUUCAUCUUUUUAUGUUUUAUAAUAAUUUCUCGUCAUUUUGAUAAUCCAAUUACGAAUUGACAAAUUAUAUGUAUGUUCGUAUUAUGGUAGAGAAAACUUUUCUACUUUAAUUUUCUGCUGAUAUCCUCAUUGGAUGAGUAAGUAAAUAGGAAUCAAGAACUAAGGAUAUAGUAAGAAUAAUUUCUAUUUUUGUAACAGAAUUACAGAACACAAAGAAUCAUUUCCAUAACAAAAUUAGCCGAGUCAAAUAUAUAAGUAUUUUGCUUUUCUCGUUUUAAUUAAUUGAAAACAAUAUUAACAAAAGAAGAAAUUAAUCAAUUGUCUGCUUCAACUUGUAGUGCUCCAUCACUACAGAUCGAUCGCCUAACCAAAUAACCAACAACUAGCUAGCAAGGGUUCAUCAUCAACAACUAGCUAGUCAACCAUUCUAAUUCUAUUUCGUGCGUGCAUGCGUGCGUUGGACUUACCUGGAGAGAAGUGGAGGCAUACGAUGCACCCAUGCAUGUUCCAUAAAUGGUCAUGUUCUUCUUCGUCACCGAUCACGACCCUUAUUUUAGCUAGAGAAAUCGAUAUGGCGGCAGAGAUCUAAGAAUUAAGAACAACAAUCUGGAUCUGCCUGCUACACUUUCUACGUUGAUUCUUACUCAAUAUAGAUAGAUAUCCUUCUUACCAGAACAGGAAACUCAACCACUUCUAUAAUUUUAAGAACAAACAAGUGAAAAUAUAGUCUGUAUGUGGAUAAUUUUAUUUAGUUAGCACAUCUGGACGACUUUGAUUUAAUUUUAUUAAGCAUUUGAUGGCCUGCUUGAAAAAGUAGUCUCAACACGCCUCUGCAUGUGUGGUGAAUUUUCAAGUCUAACACGUGGACAACAUUUGGGGUGACGUGGAGUUGGUGUGUCCGUUCCGAGAAAUUUUUCAAUGCUCCCGAAGGACCACGUGACAAUCUAACGUGGUCCUCCAUUGCCAAUUAAUUUUUGACACGUGGAUUUAUUACAACUAAAAUAUAAACUAAGGUUUUCUAUAUUUUGUGAAAUGAUCGUCUUGGGUUUUUUAUGAGUUCGGCCUAGGGUUUAGGGGUUAGGGUUUAGGGUAUAGGGUUUAGGAUUUAGGGUUUAAAAUAUCAACAAGAAACCCAAAAUGGUCUUUGAAAAAAUCACGAAAAUUGUUUUUCAUCAUGAAAAUUUACAUGUCAAAAUUUAAAUUUGACACGUGGAUUUAUUACAACUAAAAUAUAAACUAAGGUUUUCUAUAUUUUGUGAAAUGAUCGUCUUGGGUUUUUUAUGAGUUCGGCCUAGGGUUUAGGGGUUAGGGGUUAGGGGUUAUGGUUAAGGGUAUAGGGUUUAGGAUUUAGGGUUUAGGGGUUAGAAUUUAAAAUAUUAACAAGAAACUCAAAAUGGUCUUUGACAAAAUCACGAAAAUUGUUUUUCAUCAUGAAAAUUUACAUGUCAAAAUUUAAAUGGAAUUGAGGACCACGUUAGACUGCCACAUGGUCAUUCGGGAGCACUAAAAAAUUCCUCUGGCCGUUACACAUUCACACGUGGACAUGAGUAACCCACUCUAAUAUUAUGGUAAAAUAGUCUGGAGUUCACAUCCAAAACAAAUUGGUAAUGGGUGGAGUGACCCAAACCCUUAUAAACCCACAUAUUUGGAUUGAUAUCUCAACACGCCCCCUCACAUGUGGUGAAAUUUCAAGCCUAACACAUGGACACCAUUUGGGUGACGUGGAGUGUGUGUGACCAUUAGGCUUCACACAUGGAAUGGGUAACCUGCUUUGAUAAAGUAGUCUGAGAUUCAUAUCCAAAACCAAUUGACAAUGGAUAAAGAGACCCAAACCCUUAUAAACCCACAUAUAAGGUCCUAUAUUCCCGAUGUGAGAUUAAUAUCUCAACAUUGGUAUGCCAAUAUGUCAUCGAUGAAUAUACAUACUGGCAUUGCUAAACAAUAUGGAGAAAUGCAUAAUUACAACUUGAGAUAUGUUAAAAAGUCGAUUACAUAUAUCUGUAUCAAAGUUGACGAAAUUAAUCAAUUUUAAUCAAAUCGAUUGAAAAUCUGAAAGUGAUCGAUGCACGCAGACGACAAACUUCCAUGGCCUCCACAUGAGAUGACGAGUAUUUUGGCUGAUAAUGGAGAUUAUUAAACUAAAUCUAGCAUAAUUGUCCACGACAAUUUGGUUUAUUAAUUAGUUAUAUAAAUCUCUACUUGAGUCGUUCGAUUCUUAUAAUAAGCUAGAUCUUAUUAUGGAUGGAUAAGUUCUUAUAUAAUAUAUAAUUGUUGAAUUUGAACCUUUGCACCACAUUAAAAUGAUGAUCUGCAUUCUUUGAUAGAUAAAUAAUCCGAAGUUAUUUUCAUGCAAGUACAAGAAGUUUGAAGAUUCCAGAGGUUUUUGGUAGAGACAUAUCUAACUUCACUGUUUUUAGAAUCUAGGAUAAUCACAUACACAAAACACCAAUUCAUUCCAGUGUAUUGAACCAAAUGACUAAACCAAGUCUGAUAGAUAAUACCGAAGUACUAUUGCUCGGAUGGGCGAGCAGUACUAUUUCUCCAACUCGAUCAUUCUUGUCAUUUCCGUUCAAUUACAUCGAUAGCUUUGGAAACCCUAGCAAAACACAGAAUGAAUAUUUUUUUUUCUAUUAAAAAAUAAUUCUUUGCAUUAUUUUCUGAGAUACUUUUGACAGUCGAUUUUGACUCAUCUAUUCACAAUUAUAUAUAUUAUAAAAAAAAAAUCUGAAUUAUAUAUAGAUGCAUAAGUUCAUCAUAUUGUACUUUGCUUGGACGAGGACAGCACUCUGUUAUAUUGCAUAUAUCCCAAGUUAAUUAUCCUACUCAUCAACGAAAUUAUACUUCUCUAUAUUGUUCUUAGAGCAGUCGUAAAUGGAGUCGCAGGCAUGUUUUCCCAAAUGUAUAGUCACGAGUCACGACUGUUCUUUCUCCUAGUUUUAAACUUAACUGUUUCACCUCAUGGAUUCAACUCAUUCAAGUAAUUGAUAAUUUGACAUAAAUAAAGUUAUAUAUACACAAUUGUCUUCCCGUAUAUAGCUAGUUUCUUGAAAUUUCCAAUAUGUGACUAUAGCAUUGAGACGUUUAACCCAUCGCUCUCUCUAGCAGUUGCUUGGCCUUUGUAGACAUGUCUCUACAUGCAGGUGCGUUGGUUUGUUCUUGCAUUUUUUUUGUUUUCUCUUAUAUAUUCUAACAUUUCAUCUUGGUAAAUUUUUUAAUCGCAGCGGGUAUGCAUGUUUGGUUCCCUUUCUAUGUAGUGAAAGACUGAAAGCAAUGGAUUUCAGACUUCAAUGUAGAGCAGACAUGGAUCUCUUUCCUAAACAAGAGUUUAGAAAAAUAAUGGAAAAAAAAAUACAAGAGGAAGUACUUUUCUACUAUACUAUUUUUUUUAAAACUUUUUAUUAAUAACUCACACACCUUACAUAUAUCAGUGAGAUUUGAACCCAUGACCUCAAAGUUGUCAAUUUAACAUCUUAACCAACCAAGCCACGGCUCACCGACAACUUUUCUACUAUACAUGUGUGUAUAACAUAUAUCAAGCCGUGAGCCGUAUGAUCGUCUUGAAUUUUAAAUUGCUAAAUGAUCGGACAACUCACAGCUUGAUGUAUGUCAUACAAAUGUGUAUAACAGCCAAACCCCAAGAGCAAACUUUGUAAUCUUGCCCAUUUGUUCUGCGUCCAUAGGCCUUUUCACUAGUAGUUAUUGACAAAGUCACAAAACCAUAGUUGGUGUAUUUUUUUUUUUCAAUCAAAAACGUAAAAGGUGAAUGUAGUGAUAAACUUUUGUAUCUUACAUUUAUCAUAUGGUUUCACAGCACUUUCAUCAUUUCGUGCAAAUUCGAUAGAAAUUAUAAACUCUACGUACAUAUGAGCGUAGAAAAUAAAGUUACAAUUCAUUUAAAAUUUGCAUUAAACAUUGUCGCAUUUUCUAUCGAACAUGCAAAACAAUUGUCGAUAACAAAGCUACAAAUGCAUCUACACAUGUUUUUUCUUUUAUUAAAUCCCUCAAUUCACCCCUCUUAUAUAUAUUAAGUGAUAUUUGAACUCAUAAUAUCUGUUAAGCUAGCUAACCAACAGAUUACGACUCACCAAAAACUCUUAAGUAGUCUACUAGUCUUACGACACGAAACUUCCUUUUGGCCCUAAAAUGGUUAUGUCACCCCCGUCCUCCGUUACAACAACCUUAGCCCAUAGAAAGCCUCAUUAAUCAUGCAAACCUUACGUCACCUCCAUCCUACACUCACACAAUUACCUCCUUUGCCACCCCGACUUUCAACUCUCAAUUGUUUAUUGGACGGCCAAGGGCAUUCGGCGAUGCAGACAAAAGUUCACAAAACUCUAAAUCAUAGGGUCAAAACAGUAAAAACACCAGCAAAAGACCUCUAUAUAUUAGAGUAUUAGACACCCGGGUCCGAUAUCGAAACCAACCGUAAAAAGCCAUGUCUAUGUUGGCACCGAGCUCAGACGUAUAGCCGAGCCCGAACCAAACUAUAAGAUCCCCCGUAUUAUUAUAUAUAUAGCAAAAUUAAAAUAUUUCAAGGACUCUCUAGGAGAGACCAAGCACCUUAUUUAUAGCGAUCUCUUUUUUUUGAUACGUAUUUAUAGCGAUCUCUGGGGGCUUUAAACCCCAGUGGAGGCACAGCUAGCCCUCUCUUGUUUCUCUAAACUCAAAGGCUAGCUAGAAACAACAAUCCCAAGAGACAAAAACCAAGUUUGCAAUGGCGUUCAGUGGUGUUUCAAUGUGCGGCCAAGAACAGCUGGACUUGUCUAGAGACGGCAGCCACUACAGCCUCUCCACCGGAAUACUGCCCUCUCUCGGCGCUAGGUCUAGUAACCGGAGAGUCAAGCUCGGCCGGUUUAUAGUCUCGCCGUACGACCGGCGUUACAGGUACGCCUUUGUUUUCAAUCCGAACACUUACGUCGAGAAAGGAAUCCAUUUAUAUUUGGUUUGUUAUUAAGUAUUUUUCUAUGUAGUAAUAUAUUUCAAGGUUGGCUGCAUAAUUGGUUUGACUACACUAGUUUACUGGGAUUAAUUUUUAAUGGUUUCCUCUUCUUCUGGGUUUGUGUUUUCGGAGAAGAACGGCAUUGAAAACUCGGUGACCGUUUUGCAUGCUUUCGUGGUUAUACUGAAAGCGUUACAACUGGUGUUUCGUUUUUCUGUGGUCAUAUUUGUCUUCUUCUUUUCGUUUUGUUGGAGUUACAGUCUCUUUGUUACUCUGCGUUCUUGUUGAUUCUUCUUCCAUUGUUAUCGUUUUCCGGCGAGGAAAGACGACGUUGAAUCUUGAGGGUUGCCUUUUUCAGUGAUCAAAAUUCAAAAGGAUUCAUUUGUUUCUGCUUUUGCCUUUUGCAGAUUUUAAUUUAUUUUUCUUUAAAGGUGUACGUGUUAAUGCUCUGUGAUAAACGUACGUGGUGCUUAAUAAAAAGCAUUUCACUGUAAAAUUCUAGGGGUCAAAAGUUUCAUUCUUGCAUUUCUUUGGAUUCAGGGUUUGCUUUUCAUAUGAGAUUCCAGGUCUGUGACUGCUAUUCCAAACUGAAACUGACAUAUCGAAUUUGGCACUUAUAUGACAUUCUGAUUUCUUGUUUGGCUUCGAAAUAAAAGAAAAGGGUUUUUCAAGUCAGAGGUGGAGGCCUCAAAUCACUCUUUUUGACUUGAAUGGAAAGCAAUCAGCUCGGUUUCAUUUGUUGAUUUCUUGGCAAAUUCUGAAUUAGAUGCAAAAGGAAACGAAGUCAAGUUUCGUUUCGGCUUGUCAGCGAACCAUGACAUGAUGAUUUGAAUUCUGCAUUAGUUAACACCUGUACCUAUGUUCUGUGAGUAAAAUGGAAGUCUCUUAUUGCUAAAAUCGGCUCAGAUUGAAUUGUUUCUUGCAGGAUUUGGGAGACAUUUCUUGUUGUUCUGGUCAUCUACACUGCUUGGGUCUCCCCCUUCGAAUUUGGCUUUCUUAAGAAACCACAAGGACCCCUCGCCAUUAUUGACAACAUUGUCAAUGGCUUCUUUGCUAUAGAUAUUGUUCUUACAUUCUUUGUGGCUUACCUGGAUAAGGCUACAUAUCUACUUGUUGACGAUCAAAAGCAGAUUGCUUGGAAGUACGCAAGUACUUGGUUGAUCUUUGAUGUCAUUUCCACAAUUCCUUCUGAACUUGCUAGGAAGAUCUCCCCUAAACCUUUCAGGUCUUAUGGCUUUUUCAACAUGCUCCGGCUUUGGCGUCUUAGAAGAGUUAGUGCUCUAUUUUCCAGGUACAGGGUUUUCUUAAAUGUAUCUGCGGAUUGGAAAGUGCAUAUUUCCUGUGUACUAAUUGUGCAUGAUUCUGUUUUAACAGAUUGGAGAAAGAUAGGAACUAUAACUACUUUUGGGUUCGUUGUGCAAAGCUUAUUUGUGUAAGUAAUUCUGAUGGUUUUGGGGUUGUUAUACUGAAGAAAUUGCAAUUCUUAUGCAGUGCCAUCUUAAUGGGAUUCGGAUGAUCUUUCUGUAGGUCACCCUUUUUGCGGUUCACAGUGCUGGAUGCUUCUAUUACCUUCUUGCAGCGCGUUACCGCGACCCCAGUAACACCUGGAUUGGAAAAUCAAUGGAAGACUUUCUUCAUCAAAGUAUAUGGAUUCGAUACGUGACUUCAGUUUAUUGGUCUAUCACUACACUCACAACAGUUGGCUAUGGAGAUUUGCAUCCUGUCAAUACAAGGGAGAUGAUCUUUGACAUAUUCUACAUGCUUUUCAACCUUGGAUUGACAUCAUACUUGAUUGGAAAUAUGACCAACUUGGUUGUCCAUGGGACUAGUCGAACACGAAAAUUUGUUAGUAAACUCAAUUGCUUUCUUUUUAGAUUUGGUAGAAGAAAAUAAACAAAAUGUGAACUCACAGUUCAUCAUUUUUUCACAGAGGGAUACCAUACAAGCUGCCUCCAGUUUUGCACAGAGGAACCAACUGCCUGUUCGCCUGCAGGAUCAAAUGCUUGCUCAUUUGUGUCUGAAGUUCAGGACAGAUGCAGAGGGACUCCAGCAACAAGAGACUCUUGAUUCACUUCCUAAAGCCAUCCGCUCAAGUAUCUCACAUUAUCUGUUUUACUCUCUUGUCGAUAAGGUGUACUUGUUUCGUGGGGUUUCAAAUGACUUGCUUUUUCAGUUGGUAAGUUCAAACCGUUCUACAAAUUUCCAUUGAAUGCCCGUCUUACAGUGAACUUUUUAAUAUGUUCUGUUAGAUGUUCAGCUGAUUCUUCUUUUUUCCCUUCUCAAUCCAAAGGUCUCAGAGAUGAAAGCCGAGUACUUUCCUCCCAAAGAAGACAUAAUAUUGCAGAAUGAAGCACCUACAGAUUUCUACAUACUUGUAACUGGUGCUGCGGUAAUAAUUGAUCUUUUGUUUUCCUUUCAAUUUCACAGGCAUUAUUCGCUUUCCUGCUCAUUCUAUUAUAGUUUACUUUCUGAAUAAUGUACUUAUUGUUUGAAUUUCUUAACAGGAUUUAGUGGUACUCAAGAAUGGAGCUGAACAGGUAAACUCCAAUCUGAUCAUGAUGAACAUGUUUCUACCUUUUAAUAGAUUUGGCUUCCUUGAUGGUGAGGAGUCUGACUUUCUAUUUUAACUAAUUGCAGGUCAUUGGUGAGGCAAAAACUGGUGAUCUCAUUGGUGAAAUUGGGGUACUUUGUUAUAGGCCACAGCUCUUUACAGUAAGGACCAAAAGAUUGAGUCAGCUACUCCGGCUCAACAGAACCAAAUUUUUAAGCAUAGUGCAAGCUAAUGUUGGAGAUGGAACUAUAAUAAUGAAUAACCUCCUCGAGGUUUGUUAACAUGAUAUAACCUCUUAAAAUUUCCUUGGUUUAUAUUUUGAAAGGAUUUUGACAUGCUACACUUUCUCAAUGGGGCAGCGUUUGAAAGAGACGUCCAAGGAUCCAUAUAUGGAGGGAGUUUUGUUGGAGACUGAGAACAUGCUAGCUCGUGGUAGAUUGGAUCUACCUCUCAGUCUAUGCUUUGCAGCAAUGAGAGGAGAUGACUUGCUGUUGCAUCAGUUGUUGAGACGGGGUUUGGAUCCGAAUGAAUCCGACAACAAUGGAAGAACAGCUCUGGUAUGUGAAAUCUUCUGCUACUGAUUUUACUUUUUCUUACUACGCAAUAUUCUGAAUAUGAUUUUCUAACAUUAGCUUUCACAUUUACUGUGUAAAACCAGCAUAUAGCUGCAUCCCAAGGAAGUGAGAACUGUGUGCUUCUACUAUUGGACUAUGGAGCACUUCCUAACAGUAGAGGUAAGACCAAGGGCUAUUAUAGUUAAGUUAAACCAUCAUUAUUGACUUCAUCAGUAAGAAGGUUGAUCAUAUUAUAUGCAUUUGGUUUAAUAAAUUCAUAUAUUAAACACAAGAGAUGUUAUCAAUUUAGAGAACUUUGCCUUGUAGUGAACUAGUCCAGUUUGUGGACUUGGGAUGUUGCUUGCAUCAGUUGCAUGGUUUUUUUUUUUAAGAGUCCAAUAAGAUACAUAAUUUAAAACUAUUUCAUUGGUAUGAAAUUCCAGAACAGAUUCAGUUUUUCUUAGUCAUGUUGCAGGCUUGCAGCUGUGAUUAUUCAUACAUUUCUUUUAGUGCAUUUUCUUAUUGUGUGUGGGAUCCAAGUCCCAAGUGUUGACCAUUGGGAAUUGGCCUAACUUGAUUACCUGAUUUUGUUCCCUUCUCAUACAUGACUCUAGUUUUUCUUUCCCUUAAGAGUAAGUUAGCAUAUCAUGUCUGUUGAGUGUUGACUUUCCUAAUCAGACUACCAACUAUAUCACUCAAUUAUUUGCUUCAUUAUGUUAAUUUUAUUAUAGUAUACUAGAUCAUAGUCGUCAUCAUCAUAUAUGUUAGAAAAACCAGUUGACUUGAUAACAUGAUCCAAAAACAGCUUCUUCAUGCCUUUUAAUACACAUGAGUGCGCGGGAGGCAUGCAUCUGUGCCUCACUUCUUGCUUGGUUAGUAAUAUAAAGCCUGUUUGAGUCUCCUGGGGAUCUGGCAUGGUUAUCUCAUCCCAGUUUAUUUAGUAUUAUCUUAAGAUGGAAUCCCCCGUCCUCUAUAUUUUAUCACAACAUGCAAGCAAGAUUGCAAGGAUGAAAGAUACAUCUUCAUAGGGAAAGCUUUCAUGUUACUUCUUGAUUGUGAUUCAAUCUCGUGGUUGUGCAAAUAGAUCUUUGUGUAAGAACUAAGCUUUGUGACAUGAUUUUCCUACACUGCCGACUUAUAAGUUGUUAAUUCGUAUUGUUUAGGGUGAAAUAAGUCGAUGCAUAAUGCCUUCUGUUGUUGAAAGAGUUGCUUAUCUAUGUUGACCACAUGAAAUCGAUUGCAAUGCUAACAUGAACUGAUGAACAUGUAAUGUUUCCACUUGCUGGAGAUUGAACAAAGAACUUAACUGUGUUCUAUGAUUUACAGACUCGGAGGGAAAUGUACCACUGUGGGAGGCGAUACAGAAGGAUCAUGAAACGAUUGCGAAAUUGCUCGUAGACAAUGGUGCAACUUUGAAUGCUGGGGAUGUUGGUCAUUUCGCUUGCAUUGCUACUGAGGAAAACAGGUUGGACUUGCUCAAAGAAAUAGUUCGACAUGGAGGUGAUGUCACAACUCCUAGAGGCAAUGGAACCACGGCUCUCCAUGUCGCAGUGUCCGAAGACAACAUUGAAAUUGUGAAAUUCCUUGUGGAAAAGGGGGCUGAUAUCGACAAGCCAGACCUCCAUGGCUGGACUGCAAGAACUCUAGCUGACCAGCAAGGACAUGAAGAGAUAAAAAGCCUUUUUCAAUCGAGAAAAGAGACCAAAGAUCAAUCUGUUAUAAGCAUUCCUACUGAGCAAAAGACUGGAAUUCGCUUCCUUGGGAGAUUUACAAGUGAGCCAAACAUCCAUCCUGCCUCCCAGGAAGGCUCAUUUAUAGUACCAGAUGGGGGAUCAUUGGGUCGAAGCCGCCCAAGGCGUAGGACUAACAACUUUCAUAACUCACUUUUCGGGAUGAUGUCAGCUGCACACACAGGGGAGAAGGAUUUGUUCUUCUCUGUCAGGAAAACCACCGAAACCACUCCUAAGGGUACUGGGAAUAAUCCUAACCCUGCUAGAGUGACAAUUAGUUGCCCUGAAAAGGGUGAAGUUUCAGGGAAACUUGUAUUACUUCCUGACAGUUUUGAGGAGUUACUGGAGGUUGGUGCCAAGAAAUUUGGUCUCACUCCGGCUAAAGUUCUGUGCAAAGAUGGAGGAGCUGAAAUCGACGAUAUAGAGGUGAUUAGAGACGGUGAUCAUCUUAUUUUUGUCAGUGGCCAAGAUGAAUCAGAACCUCAAGAAUGUAAUGGAGAAGAUACUCCAACUAAAAAAGAUGUGUAGUACAUGCAUAGGAAGUCCAUAUUUGAAUCUCUCUUCCUACGCUUGGAUGUGCAAAAACCAUUCUUACAGCAAAUGUACGUAGUUUUGUCCCAAGAGAAAACUUCUUGGCGACAAUCACCCCAGUAAAGUCGUUGUACUAAUCUGAACUCUUUACCGACAACAUAUUCCACGACGGUUGUUUUAGAGGUGUCAUGGUCAGCCCAAAUGUACCAUUGCCACGGGCUUGGCAACACUGCUCAACUGAAGUUGUGUAAAGUGUAAAUAUCUCCAACUUUGUUCCUGCUACGAAAUUACAUUUCAGAUGAUACACUAUAAUGUACAACUAUGUAAAAAUUAAAGCAGUAGAACGAGCUACGCCUCAAAAUUGUACAACUAGUUUGAGGCUUGAAUAUCAUUUUCCAGAUUUUGACGAGACCAACACAAUUUACAGCCUUGCGGUUACUAUAGGACACUUCUCUCCCAAAAACGUCAUUUAUGACCACUGUUGGUCAGUUUCCUAGAGCAGGAUGACAUUUUAAUGAAUACAAGUGAGACUAUCCUUUCCCUUGUAUGCUCCUUUAUAAUGUUUUUUUUUUUUGGAGAGAUGUUCCUUUAUAAUGUUACUCUUACCAAGCAUAAGUAUACAUCAGGGAUGUCAAAUUCUGAUACAUUAAACACUCGAAAGGCAAUUUGAAACUCCUCGUCUAUCACUACAGUAACUUGAGCAUUUUCAGACGCUCUUCAUGUUCAGGAUCCAACUUUGGUGGGGUAUAACAACCAUGAAGAUCCUCCACUACGUACUCCUGCAAAACGUUGAAAUUAUAAGAACUCUUCGUUUUCUGAAUGAUACAUUAUCCAAAAUAGUUUUCAGAUUAUAAGAAUAUACUUCUAAGUUCAUGGAAAACUAAUCACUGUGUGCAACUAACCUUUGUGAGUUCCUUUUUGGUCAGGAUAUGGUAAUGUCUCUGCCAGAUUCUCUGAAUAGCCAUAGUAGCAGCCAGGAAACCAUAAGCUAUGCCAAGAAUAGCAAAGAUGACAACAAAAACAAUAACCAGGGCAAAGCAUGCCUCCAUAGACGCAGGGAAACAAUCCAAUAUUCCCCAUCCAUAACAACAGUUCUGGCAGCCAGCCAUCCGUGGGUCAUUGCUAUUGAAAGAUGAACAGUGUACUAUAAGCCCAAAAAAUCCAAGCAGCACAAAAAAGGCAAUGACACCUGGUAACAAGUGCAUAAAGCAGCAAUUCAGUACAAGUCAAUAGCUGCAAGAGAUUAAGAACAAAUGCAAAAUCAUAACCCUUCUCAUACAAAACUACUAGAAACAGAACCUUGACACUGCUGAUGAGUAAUACAGCUGACAAUUAGCUUCCACAGAUUCGAGUAUUAAUAAGGAUGAAAUGCAAAAGGAAGAGAAGUGCUUGUGCAUGAGAGGGUUUGCCAUAAGCAUUAGGUGGCAGUAGCACAAAGAAUCAUGGACAUUAAGGUCUUGAGAACACAGUUAUUGUUAAUAGUACUCAGCAAUAUCCAAAAUAUUACUUCAAACACAGGGGUUGUUGUAUGCGUAUGGAAAGAAACUAAUAUCAUGAUUGUUUCUUGUCAGAAACCCCUACUUCCCCUCAAGAUCUACCAGUCUGCCACUUAUGAUGCAGAAUAUGAAGUAUAACAAUUUCCUUUAAUAUGAUUAUUUCUGAUAAAUAAGCAUUUAGAACAUAAACAACUCAACCCUGAUUGGUUAAUUAGAUACUAGAGACUUGUGAGCUCCACAUUAUUGACACAUUUCAAUGAAGCAAGGAAAACUACACCACAUUAUUUUUAAACAACAGUUUUUAGGUGUAAGAGUUUACCUAUGCAAUAGUAAAAUGGUAUAGGGUGCUUUGACAAGAUACGAUCCCAACCAUCACUGAACGAAUUCCUGAAGCCACCAUCUUUGUCCAUCAGAUAUGCAAAGCCACCAAUUGCGGCAAUUACCUGGAAAGUAAAGAAGAAUGCUUAUCGUAAGAAUCUUGACAGUAUAUGGAAGUAAUAGAUUGAUACAAUCCAGUAUAAACCAUUUCAUGUAACAUAAUGCAAAAGACUAUCACUUACUGUUUGUACAGCCACAAAUACAAGUAUAACAUCCCUUGCCACAAAAAUUCUGAAUUUCAUUUUACGCCAAGUGUUGUCCUCAUACGAUUCAACUCGAAGAUGAAAUUGGGCUUUGCAAGUGGUGCAGUGCGAGAAAGCAAAUCCUUCCUAGAAAGAGAAAAGGCGAAGUUCCGGGGGAAUUAAGUUCAGGCAAUUACAACAUUGAAUUGCCAGUGACAAAAGAGUCACAAAAUGACAUACUCUAAAGAGAAAGGUUAUUUACCUUAACCGAGCGCCAGUGAUCAAGACAGGAUAUGUGCACAAACUGCUGGGUGCCUUUGCACAAGCACGGCGAUAUCAACUCAUCACCUGUAAAAUUACAAAGGUCGAAAGUAAGCAAUAAAACCUUUGCAUCUGCCUACGAAGCAACGAGUGCUAGAGAUACACAUAACCAUUAACCACAGUAUACAUGAAACUUCUAUUCAACCCUGAAUUCAGCUAAACUUAAUACCUACAAAGAAUCUUAUAUCCAACAAACAUAUAAAACAUAACCAGAAUCACACUCAUUUCUGCCCUUAUAUCUUCGGAUACAACACGAUGUAAUGUUUCACCAACAAAACAAACACAAUAACAGCAUGAUCAGACCAAAAUGCCACAUCUUUAAAACCCGAAAAAUUCAACCUGCAUCGGAAUCGCUUUCGAGGCAAAUGCGACAACAAGCAACAGAGGAGCCAUUCUCAAUGUCUUCAUUUCUAAUCUCACUGGAGCUCGCCGGAGCCGACGACUCGUCGUCGUCGUCGUGGCUGCUCUGUAGCAGAGGGUCCAAGUCACUAGGAUCAUUCGGUUCCCGUUCCCCUACUACUACUGGUUCCAGCUGCACUUCCCGAUUCAUUGAUCAAACCCUAAAAUAAACCCCCAAAAUCACCGAUCAAAAACCUUCAAAUUAUACAGAAAUUUCUCACAGAACAAAAUUGAAUUUGAAAAUUGAAUGAUCAAUUAAACUUGAUUUUUGUUUUAAUUUCAGAAAUUAAAAAAAGUAGUACCUGGAGUUGUGCAGAGAAACGAUGAAUGGAGAAAAUCGGAGACAGGAGAAUUGAGGAAGACGAAGAUUGAGAAAAGAGCGAUACUUCCUAUACGACGUGCCGUCCGCGCCUUUGUUAAUCAUUGGCAUAUUUUACUAUAUUGGGCAAGUAGGAUGGGCCUUAUUGUUGGAGGAUGUUGGGCCUCUCGACCCAACUCGGUCUCCUGGUAUCCCGCCAAAACUCCUACUCGAGUCAGGAAAACGACGUCUUAAGCUCAGAAUGGCCUCCAAUCCAUAAAACGAAGUUUCUCAUAGCUAUGGCCAAACCAGCUCAGUAUGCCACGUCGUUUAUAACACGUCACUAAUUAAUGAUUUCUCUAAUCGUGAUCUUGAGCAUUCUUAAUUUAGAUCGGUCACAUUCAUGAAUUACAUUCUUAAUUUAGUUUCUUACUCGAGUCAUAAUUAGUCUACCUGAAUUUGUAUCGUAAAUCUUAUCUGAAUCUAUAUCCUACAAUUUAUUCUUUAUGAUUUACUUAUGAUUCUAUGUCCUUUUCUAUAUUCUAUAUCCUAUUUAUAUAUAUUCUUUUUGAAAUUUUUGAGAAGAGAAGCUUGUCGAGGGAGAUUUCUUGAGUUGAUUGCAAGCUUAAUUAAACGAUAAUAAUAUACAGAAAAGGUUCGUUGGAUUCAAUGAAAGGUGGUGAUAUCCCAAAAGAAUUGUUAGUUGAAAUCCUUUGUCGACUGCCGAGCGCUGAAGCUGCUUGUCAAUGUAAGCUUGUUUCAAAGAGUUGGUGCACUCUCAUAUCGAAGCCUUACUUCAUUGGACGCUUUCUGUGGAUCCAAAGAGCGAGAAAAGCAAACCGCAGUGCUUGGUACUAUAAUAAACGAAUUUGGGGAUGCACUCCUUGCCACAGAACUGACAGAAGUAGUGUUCAGUGUUCACGGCCCAGGAGGCCAGGAGGGUGUGGUUUUCAAGUUUUGACAUGUUUUCCAAUAUAGGGUAGCAUAUAUAUUGAGCUCAAUAUGAUUCAAAAUAACGCUAAAACAGUGUUUUGUAUCUGCUUUUUUAUUCAUUACAGAUUGAGAAUUUAGCAUUUGAUGAAAUGAUUCCUGGCAUAUGUCUCUGCCAUCUACUCAUGCAUGCCCUUCUCCUAGUUCUAUUUCAAUUACACAUCUGCAGCUGCCCUCUAGCAUUACAGAAAUCCUCAGAUGGUUCCAGUAUUCACAAGCACAAAUUGAAGCAGGGCAAGGACGUGUUGAAUACGGCGGACCAUAUAUACUAGUCUGGGGUGACUCUGGUCCCUUUGCUAUAUGGAAUGCCUCUAAAGUCUAAAGUCAUGGCCUGAGUCUUUGGCCUUUAUGACUGCUUCCUACUACUCACUUUCAACGGACCCAUGCAUGCCUAUAAUUUCUACGUUCCCAGUUCAAUUCCAGACAUGAUUGAUUUCUCUACUGCAACAGCAUGGACGUCGACAUUGACACAGACAUUAUUGGAUAUUAAUUCGUGCCUCAUUUCAAAUCCUGGAAAUAAGCUCAUGAAAAAGCUCGAGCUCUAUAACCUUCCUAUAUAUUUUCCAAGAUGAAUAUAUAAUCUCAACCAUGUGCUGAUCAUCAUACUAAAGAAUAAUAAUCUCUCAACCAACUCGAUUAUGAUAUAUUACGCAAAUUAAUAUCGAAUUUGAAUUAUUUGUUAAUAUUAAAGAGUUUGAACAUCAACGUUUCAUGAGUUUGAAUUCUAUAUAUGAUUACCAAACAUAAGUUGACCAGAAGCUUCCAAGGAGGCUGAGGCAGUAUCCAGGUAACUUCAGUUCGUGAAGGCCUAUGAAAAGUAUAUAUCAUACAACUAGAGUGCACGCAUCUAUUUGUAUACACGAAAAUAUGAAAAUGACAUAAUCUGCUUCUUCGUUGAAGAUAAAAAUUCUCUAUCUGUAGAUUAAUAAACGUACAAGUGCCAAUUCCAAAAGCAUUUCUAGAAUGUGUAAUUACAUAUUACAUUGACAAGAAAAAAAACUAACACAUUUUCACCGCGCGCCAUGGAUCGGCUCCAGCUAGCUGUCUUCUGUUGAUGAAUAUAUGAUACACAGUCCAAACCCAAUAAAUCACACCCUGCAUACAAUACAUAUAUAUGAAAAAAUCGAAUAUUUGAUCAUAUUAGGUGAAACUCAAUGAAGGUGAGGUGAUCAAUCAAUUAAAUUAGCUUACUGUUGGAACUCAAUGUUGACGGAAGUAGCCGAUGAGUUGGCAAUAGCAGCGAAAGCCGUCUGCGACAACACCAUGGUGGUGCCGGCCGCAGAAGGCUGUGAAGUAACGCUGGCAGCAUACUCCACAAUCCUGAUCUGAAUGGUCUUGUCCGGAACACACGUCCCCGUUUGAGCUGCGCUAAUGCAUCUCACCAAGUACUGCCUCCCACAUGACGCUCCGUUGUCCCAUAUUCCAUCUCCGGCCGCCGCAAACAAGUUACUUGACGGAAACUGUGACGAGUCGCUUCCAUAACAGUCGGUGGCUAAAAGGGAACAAUAUUUGUGAUAAGGGUAAUGUCCAUAAGAACAUAAAUGGUUCACAUGAAGAUGGGUAAAGAUGUAACUUACGUAAAUAUGGGGGAGCAUACUGAGCAGCAGUGCCAACGUCGGCGUUUGAUGUUUGGAAAAGCUGUGGAAAUAAGAGCACGAGGAGUAAUGAAAGGUAAGGCAGAUAUUGUGGAUGAGUUGUGAUCAUCUUUUUCUCUGCAGAAAAGGGUGUUUGAGAUUUGGAAGAUAAGCUCUGGGAUGCAAGGAGAUUUUUGUAUUCUAUAUUAUUCCAAGUCAACGAAAAUUGGGUAUCAUUUUUAUCUAGAAUUGACGGCUAGGCCAACUCAUAACGCGGGUUCGGCAGUUAAACGUAAGCCACAUGGUAUGAACUCUAUCUAGAACUCAUCUAACACGUUUACUUUUUGUUUCUGGUGUGUCGUAGACUACUGUAAUAUUCGACUCAUAAUAGACUAAUUGUUACAUAAACGAGUAGACUAUUGUAAUGUUCGACUCACAAUAGACUAAUUGUUACAUAAACGAGUUGGUAUCCGUUACCUAAGCAAGAAAGGUCUGAAAAUCUAGAUCAGAUGAUCUAAUCAAUGAAUUGAUAACCAUUACUUAAGCAGGAAAGGUCUGAAGAUCUAGAUAAGAUGAUCUAAUUCGGUGAGGGGAUUGGAGUAUAGCUACGUCAUGCUUUGCUUCCUAUGAGGGUCACAGUUAUAUAAUUACAAUAUAAACUGCAAAAUUCAAUGAUCCUCCACCGAAUAAAUAUGACUUUUGCAGUUCAUAAUUCAAUGCCUUCUCCAUUCAUGAUCCAACUAACCAGAUCACAUUUGACAUUUUCCAAUGAUUGCGGUAUCCAGAAGUUCACCAGAGGAGGAAAGUGAAUUUGAAGCUUAAUAUGGUGUAGACAUACACAAGUCUAAACACUGAAAUUUGUACCAAAAGGAUCCCAAACAAACAAAGGAGCUUUGGUGCGUUUACAACAGUUAAAAAACGCAGAGUAAAGCAGUAAUAAGCGUCCGCGUAAGAACAUCUCACUUCCACAGCUUGCGCAGGGACAUGUUCUUCUCAGUCUCCUUCUUCAUAACCUUGGCAACUGCCAUCUCAAAGUCUUCUUGGGUUACAUGCACUCUCCUCUCCCUCAGUGCAAACAUUCCUGCUUCAGUACAUACAGCCUGCGAGAAGGAAAACAAGAUAACAUGGUUAGAUCUUAUAUGUCCAGACAAAAUACCAACUUCCUAAUGACUCCCCCAGUAAGAAGAAAACACAACAUUACCUUCAACUCAGCACCAGAUGCGCCAUUCAUUUUCUCGGCAAUCUUCUUCAGGUCUAUUCCACGCAUUAAAUUCAUUCUUCUUGAAUGGAUUUUCAGGAUGUCCCAACGAGACUCUUCGUUAGGGUUGGGAAAUUCAAUUUUCCUGUCUAUGCGUCCUGGCCUCAGCAGGGCUUGAUCCAAAAUAUCAAUACGAUUUGUAGCCAUCAAAACCUGAGAUAUAAUGGUGGUGGUUAGAAUGAAGGAUAAAAUUUAGAAAGGUGAAUGUCAUAAUUUUCGAAAGCCACAUGAUGCAUCGUGUACCUUGAUUUUGUUUGAGGCCUCAAAUCCAUCCAGUUGAUUAAGAAGCUCAAGCAUAGUCCGCUGCACCUCACUGUCACCAUUGCCACUGCCAGAUUCCAUACGAGCAGAUCCAAUACUAUCGAUUUCAUCCAUAAAGAUGAUAGAUGGAGCAUGUUCCCUGUAUGAAUGUAGAAGUAAAAAAGUGAGAAAACGGUAGAUGAUAUAAUGUGAAGAAUGUUAAGGGCUGAAGAGCAGCAAAUUAUUAAUUGAUUAAAGAUCCUAUCCACAAAUCAUCUUAAAGAAAGGUUGUUAUAUUUAUUUUAGAAUGGGUCUGAGUAAAUGGCCAUUCUUGAUUCUUCUUUGUGGGGCAGCAACGGACAUAGACGUAGAGAAACAUCCCUAAUUCUAUCCAGAUCAGCAUAGAUUGAUCAUACUAGGAGUACUAUACAAUACAAAUUGCAAUAGAAAGCUUAUUCAACAAAUUAGAGCCCCAUUAUAAAACUCUAGGAUCUACUGUAGUUCAUUUAAAAAGCAAACAGAAUUCAGAAACCAAGCAGCAUUAUUCACAUGCCAACAAUGCAAACAUAUGGAAGAGUAGGAUGAUUAACAAUAGAUCAACACAAACCUGGCCAUGACGAAAAGUUCUCUAACCAUUCGGGAACCUUCCCCAAUGUAUUUCUGAACCAACUCUGAACCAGAGACCCUGAUGAAAGUACAGUCGGUAUGAUGAGCCACAGCCCUAGCCAACAAGGUUUUUCCAGUGCCGGGGGGACCAUAAAGCAGGACUCCCUGUUGAAUCAAACAAAGAGUGCCAUAGGAUUAGUGACUACGGGUAAGCAAAUAAUAAAAAAAAACCAAUAAAUUGAAAACGUAAUUAUACCUUUGGCUGAGCUAUUCCAAGACUUUCGAACAAUUCAGGAUGUUUAAUUGGAAGUUCAAUGACCUGCAAAAAUGAACAUAUAUCAUUUAGACAAGUUGAAGAAUGUCCUGAGUAUUAUCACAUAGAGACAAGCCACACUCGACAAAUACAGCUAGCAGAGAAUCUAAAUUCAAGCCAAAUUUGAAACACGGACUGACGUUGACCAGUGAAUCUUCUUCCUCAAGAAGGAUACAAUCUUAUCACCUACUAGAAGAGCUCUUAGUUAUCUAAGUAAUGUAACAUCUAUAAGAAGAUAAGUAACAGUUGGAAUAUGAAAACAACUUAAUCCUUCUAAUAACAUAUAAACCAAAAUGCAGUUCAAAGAAAAGAAAAUAAGUCAAAGUUGAACUCUGGAAGAGAGAUGCUGUCAAGAUAUUGAUGCAUAUGGGAUUGUGGAUUAAAUGAAAAGAGGGGGGAGAAGAAUAAGAAAGAUAAAGGCAAAACUGAAAAGGGUAUGCCUGCAAGUUAUGUUUAAUCUGAUCUUUUAUAUUCAUCCAGACAAUUUUUGUAAGAAUGAAGACAUGACAAGUAAUUAGAUAUAUGAGUUUAGCUUAUACCAUGAGACCUAUACAGGUAGAUAACCGGAAAUGAAAGCCAGGUGGCAUAACAGUACAAAAGUAAUACAACAAAAACGCAAACUAAAAUAGACACAAGUAUCGUGCAAAGAAUCUAAAUUCAAGAGUAAGAAUGUGCAGAAGAAAACCUCUUUGAUUUCUUUAAUCUGCUGAUCCAGACCACCAAUCAUAUCAUAUGUAGAAUCUGGAACCUUCUCCACUUUCAUCAGAUUGACAAGAGGAUCAACUUUGCUUGGCAGUACUAAAUGAAGAACAUAGCUGUCAUUGCGGAGAGCCACACGUGUAGAUGGUGUGAUCUUUGUAAUAUCAAUGUUCUUAUCGAUAUCAACCACAUAUUUCCCUUCCGGAUGAACCUGAAAACAAAGCAGGUCAAAAAUUUGUCAGAUGUUGUUAUCGACUUGCAGACAGAAUGUUAACUAUUUCACUGUUUGUUAAAACACACAGCCACUUACCUUAACCAAAACCUUGUUCUUUCCCAUGACGUUGACAACCUCACCGACAUAGGACCCAGGCUCCUGAAGAAGCUGCAGUUCUUCCCUGAGCAUUCUCACUGUUCAAAACACAUAAACAAUCAAUCCAAUAACUCAGUUAAGUAACACACUAACAUACCAAAUUAAGCAAAAUCUAUAUAACCAAAGAUCCCAAAAGGUACAACAUCUUCUAGAAUAAUUCUAGUGCACUUGUUUACUCAUCUUGUUCACCAAGAUUUACACUUUACCCCGAAAUCAAAUAUUUGCCCUAAUUUUAUCCCAACAGAAAGCAGAAGCCAGCACCUUUUCACAUUCAAUCAACAAUUGCUAAGAACCCCAUCAAACUAUAUCAGCUAGCCCUAAACCCAAACCAAACUAAACCUAAAAUUACCCUAAAUUGAGAACCCAGUACCAAUCGGAACAAACCCUAACCAGUCCAAUUGAAAUUCCUAUAACCAAUAACCAGUUACUAGGGUUAGGGAUUCGAAAAAUUGAAUUCCCAAUUGGAAUUAGAGCCUCACCUCUGGAAUUGAGCUCGUUACGCUGAGCCUCGAGUCGAUUGAGAUUGUGGGUCUUCUGGCGGACCUGGAGCUGGAGCUCGUGAAUGUGUUGGAGGUAGUACGGCCGGAGCCCAUCGCCGAGUUUGGAGGCGGCGAGCUUGGACGAGCAGGUCUCCUCCGGCACGGCAUCGAUGGGCUUGGUCUCGGCGGCGACUGCAGCCAUCGUGAUCAAGCAAAGCCCUAAACUUUGGAAUCGGAAUUUGUGAGAUUGGCGAUUUGGGGGUGUGAGGAGUUUGAGAGAAGAGAGAUGUCGUGUGUGUCGUUUUGAGUUGGAAAACAAAGGUGAGGGGAGGUGUGUUUUAUUUAUGGGGGAGGGUUUCUUUUUGGUUAAGUUAGCUUUGUAAGGGUAGGAGAUGGAUUAGAGGAUAAUGGGCACAUAUUAGGAAUUACUGCAAAUUUUAGGAUUUCUGUUCUUUUGUUUAAAUUGAAUUGCUAUUUUCUUAAGGAAGUUGCAAACAUGGAAUCCUUGUUGUGAGAUUAGUUAUUGGGGGGACAAUAAAAAUGAUAAUAUUUCAAAGGAAAAUACUUGUGUCCGGACUAGUAUAUACGUGCGUGUCCGGACUCUCUGUUAUUUACACACUUUUGGUAAUGUAAAUCAUAAUCUUAAGUGUUCAAAAAUUUGAUUAACUAAUAAAUAUCAUCUCUGUAAAAUAUCAGUGUAAAAAAAAUCGUUUGCUUAGCCGAAUGAAUCAAAUAAAUUGACGGCUAAUCAUGAGGCUGUUAACUUUCACCAUAAGUAUUCAUUUGUUUAAUACAAUCGGGUGAGCAAACGAAUUUUGUUUACAUUAAUUUUUCACAGAGAUAAUCUUUAUUGGUUAAUCCAACUUUCGAACUGUUAAAAUUAUGAUUUACAUUGUCGAAAGUAUGUAAAUAACAGAGAAUCCGGAUGUACACGUACAUACUAGUCCACAAGUAUUUUUCUAUUUCAAAUUAGUGACACUCAAGAGACGAGGGAGAUUACUAGUUGACGAGGUUUAAGGUGAUAGUUUCAUGUGUCUCAUCUUAGAUUUCGACUAAGUUUCAUUAUUAUUCUCAAUGUUCACAGCUUUUAAAUUGCAUAUAGCUUUAAUAUGUGAAUCAUACACAUUUUCUAGUGUGUCGAUUGGUGAACAACACUCUUACAGAUUUCAUUAAAGAAUCGUUGCUCAUUUCAUUAUAGAAUAACAUGUAUCACUUCUCUUUGAAUCAUUUCGACUGUCGGCAUAAGUUUCAUUCUUUUUACAUGCUUCACAAUAAUAGUAUGAACAAGUAGACAAUUUAAGAGACCUGAACUGAAGGAGUUUGGGCUGCAUUGGACUACCUAAGAAAGCCCAUUGUUCAAUAGAAGGAAGGCCCAAGAGUGGAGCCUAUAUAAUUGAGAGCAUUGCCAAACAUGGUCUUUGCGCCUAGCCCUCUGUGUGAGUCUGUUCCUCUUUUUAACAUUUUUCUUUUAGAUUUCCAAAUUAGGUUUUCUCCUCUCUCUCUGUAAUUUCUCCUCACUAUUAGAUUUUGAUUCCACCAUUGUUGUUUUGAGGGUUAGGAGGUGUGGAUUUGUGUUUCAAACUCCUUAUUGAUAUUUCGUCUUCCCACCUGUUUCCAAAUACCGCCAAAUUUUUCUAUCUCCGCAUAAAAAAAUCCCCAAAUUGAGAAGAACAAAAGCUUUGAUUUUUAGGGCAAUCUAACACAAUUAGGGUUAGGGUUUCAAUCUCAUAAGUACAGAUCACGAAAAAGAAAGCAUCUUUUUUUAGUUUUUGUUUUUGGGCUUUCGAUUAGAUAUGGAGAAGAAGAAGGUGGCUGUGCCUCUGGUUUGCCACGGCCAUUCCCGGCCGGUGGUGGAUCUGUUUUACAGUCCGGUCACUCCCGAUGGCUUCUUCCUCAUCAGUGCCAGCAAGGGUAUGUGUUCCGAUAUCGAAAGAUUCGAUCUUUUUUCGUGUGUUUGGAUUGAAUUACAUGCUUUGGGUGGUUCUAUUUUACUCUGUACAAUGCUGCGUAUAUGUAUAUGUGUAUGAUUGGGGUUUUGUUUCGUGAUAACUUAUGUAGAUUGGUUUGAAAUCGUAAUGGAGGGAUGUUUUGACUAGUCUUUGUGAUAGUAAGUUAUGGUAGAUUAAGUAAACUUGCAAUGGGAUAUGUUCUUAGGAUAUAUAGUCCAGCUGAAAGGAAAUGUUUUGGAUCAGUGGUUUCAUGUCACGUUUAGAAACCUUAGAGCUACUAGAAGUUGAACAUUUAUUGCACUAUCAGUGUACUCAACAGUAGUGAUUUUGGGAUAUUGACGAAUAAGGUGUAUUGAGUAUAUGAGGUGUUAAGAUCAUUGUUGUGUUGUUGCUCUUUAAUGGGUUGCGAUUGGAAAUCUUCUUUAAUCUGUGUAAGUUAUUUAGAUAGCGAACUGAUAUAGAAGUUUUUGAUGCUUGUGUUGUUAGAUUCUAGUCCCAUGCUGAGAAAUGGUGAGACUGGAGAUUGGAUUGGAACCUUCGAAGGACAUAAGGGUGCAGUCUGGAGCUGCUGUUUGGAUACUAAUGCCCUAAGGGCUGCCACCGCUUCCGCAGAUUUCUCUGCGUAUGGAUUUAUCUUUUGAUUUCCCAGAUUUCUCUGCGAGUUGAAAAUGAAAACCUUAAUUCUGUUUCUUAAGUAUGUUAUUUUUGCAUGCAGUAAAGUUUGGGAUGCGUUAACAGGAGAUGUUCUACACUCUUUUGAACAUAAGCACAUUGUUCGAGCAUGUGCGUUUUCAGAGGUAAGCUCCUGUUCUUGACCUAACAGCUCUGUAGAAGUGAAAUAAACUUACAGAGUAAUCAUACAAACUGUGCUCUUUCCAUUUUCUGUAGUGUUAUCUGCUUGAAAUGUCAUGCUAAAUGUGAUAAUGUUGAAUAUUAUGUGUAAUCGACUGUGUUAAAUUCAUUUGGAGUAGCUAUCUGCCUACCUCUAAUUUGAAAAUGAUUUCCUAGUGGUUUAUGUGCUAUAUUAAGAGGGAUUCUAAUAUAGUGGUAGACUUUGAAUAUUUCUUUGGGGCUUAGUUGUUUGUUACACAUCAGCCACUAAAGUUCAUGAUAAUAUUUUGAAUCCAUCAUAGUUGGUGCAGGUUUUAAUUUCAACAGUAUAUGAGAUUUUAUGCUGGAGUUCUCCUAUAUGCCAUGCCUUUUCUUAUUUUCUUGUAUCAUAAUUCUAUUCUCUUGAUUUGGUAAUAGGAUACACACCUUUUGUUAACUGGAGGAGUAGAGAAAGUUAUCCGUAUAUACGACUUGAACAGACCAGAUGCCCCUCCAAGAGAAGUGGACAAAUCCCCUGGUUCAGUUAGAACUGCUGCAUGGCUCCACAGUGAUCAGACCAUAUUAAGUUCUUGCACUGAUAUGGGCGGUGUCAGGUAUACAUUUAUAUGAAAAUAAUUGAUGUUAUGAGGACUCAAUUGUUCUAUAUUAAGUUGCACAUAUUUCGUACUAUAAAGUGACGGGUAGUGAUUGACUGAUUGGUGAAUGUGCAGAUUGUGGGAUGUAAGAACUGGGAAAAUAGUUCAAACACUUGAUACCAAGUCAUCUGUAACAAGCUCUGAAGUCAGUCAAGAUGGUCGAUACAUCACCACUGCUGAUGGGUCUACAGUCAAGUUCUGGGAUGCAAAUUAGUAAGUUAUGAGUUAGAAUGUUCAGUAUUUUUCAGAGUUUCUGCUCAGUUAGCUUAUGCCUUUUACUUGCUUUCAGCUUUGGGUUGGUGAAGAGCUACAACAUGCCUUGCACAGUAGAAUCAGUGUCCCUGGAACCCAAGUUUGGGAAUAAGUUCAUUGCUGGUGGAGAAGACAUGUGGGUUCAUGUUUUCGAUUUCCAUACUGGUGAUGAGAUCGGUAAGUAAACUAUAACAAAAUACUUUUCUUAUUGAAUCUUCUUUGGGGUGGAUGUUGUGUGUUAAUGUCCUUGGAUUUUAUGCUGUAUUUCCAAUGCUGAAUCUUUACUCAAGCUAUUGUAUCUUGAUGCAGCCUGCAACAAGGGUCACCACGGUCCAGUGCACUGCGUUCGAUUUUCUCCAGGAGGAGAGUCCUACGCCUCUGGGUCCGAAGACGGCACCAUCCGAAUAUGGCAGACAGGCCCUUUGACUAAUGAAGAAAGUGAGGCGCAGGCAGCAAAUGGAGCUAUCGGAAAGGUGAAGCCACCCGUGGAAGAGGUCUCUCGAAAGAUUGAGGGCUUCCAAAUCUCCGACGAGGGCAAGUCCAAAGAGAAGGAAGAGGCACCGUCAGCAGCCACAGCAUCGGUGAAUGUGUGACUUUGUUCAGAGUGUCUGUCCAGAGAGUGUAUUAGCCGUUGCCCGGCACAAGUUCAGAUCUAUUCCUGGUUAAAGUACUACUUGGGUUACAUAGACAGAUGGAAACAAAUUUUUUGUACAACUUUCACUUCUGCAUUGUCGAGAUAUAUAGACUAUGUUCUUGUUACUGCUUGUUCAGACUACCUUAUAAAUGGAACUUUUCAGCUUCUUCUGGUUUAUAUUUCCUUCUAAGAAUAUGGAUCAUAACAUAUCAACAUAGCCUAAAAAUCAAUCCUUAAUUCCUAACUAGCUGACAAAGGAAGAGCAGAAUGCCAUGCUUGAAAUUAGGAUUGUAGUCUCAUUUGUGACAAUCCUAUGUGUUCAUAAUUUAAAGUUGGGCAAAUGUCAAUUUAGUACUAAUUUUAAUCAUUCAUUGUCAAAGUUGGGCAAAUGUCAAUUUAGUACUAUUCCAACGACAAUAUGUUUUAUGAGCCUAUUUGAAACCUUUUUAUGCUUAAAUAGUCAAAUUUUUAUUAAAGUCUAUUAGACUAUUUUAACAAAUUAUAUUAUUUUGAGACUAUAUUACUUCCACCGCUUAAACAUGCAUUGAGAGAAAAGACUUCACCGGAACCUCAGACUUUGGCAACUGGCCACCAGACUCCUGUCAUCGGAAUUUCUCCGGUCACCGGUAACUUGGUUACUAACCCCAGUAACUUGAUUACUGAUCCCCAAUAACUCAUAUAUUUCCCAGUCGCCGGAUUUCGGUCAUCGUAACUCGGUUACUGACCCCUAAUAAUUAGUUAGUGACGGCCUUGAACUAUUACAAUGUCACAAGUGGUUUUUUAGUAUCUUCUAAUACCUCAAUUACCAAUUAUCUUAAAAAUAAAAUCGUUUACAUCCCACCAAACUGGGAAACAUGGAAGAAGAAAUUUAUGUCCAUAGCCACUAGCUUUGUGAUAUCACACACUACAAUCACGUAUAUAUACCCACAAAAUGAGCUUCGCAUUGGGAUAUUGUCACCUACAUGUUGUGACUUGUGACUUGUGUGGAACUGUUUCGGCAUGACCACUUCCCUCUUUCAUACCCUGCCUUCUACUUUGGAUACCAUCAUAAGGCGAAACCAAAAAUUUUAAUCGAAGGGAGCUAAUGUUAGCUUGUGCUGUCAAGUUCAUCAUUUCAUAUAAAGCUUAAUUUUCUACAACCAUGACUUCGAUGACUCUAACUCUAUGAAUGUGUAGCUGUUUUAAUUUUUAUAUAUUUGUAUUUUGAAGAGAUAAUUAGCUGUUUUUGAAAGCUAUACUAUGGAGAUUGUGAGGUCGCUGCAACCAAUUUUCUGGGCAAAAGGUUCUUAAACUGCCUUUCCGCUUCAAGUCAUUUAGGCCAUUUGCUGAGGUGCACUUAUUCUAAACUAAUACUAUAUUAAUCAUUGGAGCUCAGUUUAAAUUCAUUAGAAUGUAUAUGGCUCUCUUUGUAAACCAAACAUUCACAAGUAACAAUUUUACGAUCAACAUUGUCAUGUGGUGGUUCAGGUCAAUAACAACACUGACAUGAGACUCGUACUAGAAGAUGGAUGGAUCGGCUUCAUUCUCAAUUUUCAUGCCAUAUACAUGCAAAUGCAUUUUAAGGUUGUUAGCCAUAGCUAGUACUGCACUACAAUAAUUGAUAUAGCUACCUGAUAACAGCAAAGCCACUGUGGAAUACAUCGUGUUUCCAAUUGGGUCAGAUUAUCAGUCACUACUGAACACGUUUAAUUUGCAUCUUUCGCCCAUUUCCUCACCAAUUCAGGAGACUUGACUUGUUUACAUCGUUUUGAGAAAUUAAAAUGUUUCUCACGCUCGCACAUAAAACAAGAUUCAUGUCAUAUCGAUUUACUGUAGGAGAUGAAUAUCAAAUAGUCGAUGGAUUCAUUGAACUAUUUGACGACUCGAUUUUCAUGACACAUAUAUGCAUGUGGCGGUCGCUAGUACUUGUACCUUUCUUGGUCUGGCUUAUUGAGCUCUUGUAGACAUUUUACUAUAAAUACCAAAGAAACGGAAGCAUUUCAACUCAUACUACUACCCAGCCACUUAAUCAAACCUCUCAUAUAAUUUAGCCACAUUGAACUAUGUCUCUCACCUCCGUCAUUUUAGCUUCCCAAUCCCCUCAAACCCUGAAUAAUGCCGAUACUCGACGUUCGGCUAAAUACCAUCCCAGUAUUUGGGGAGAUCGGUUUCUGUCUUAUAACAACACUAUGGUUUGUACAUCCUCGACAUUUAGCAUACAUCUGUUACAUUUUGUUAUCUGCAUGUCUGAGCCUUAUCGAUGUAUGUAUUAAUUUGUUUCUUUAACUGGCUUGUAUGUAGGAAACUAACAUGCAAGGUAAGCAACAAGUAAUCCAACAACUGAAGGAAGAAGUGAAGAGGAUGCUGAUGGCUCCGCCGGUUGAAACUGGUUUGGGAAAACUGGAGUUGAUUGAUGACAUUCAACGCUUAGGCGUGUCUUACCACUUCGAAUACGAGAUUGACCAAACUAUGCAGCAAAUUCACGAAAACCUUAAUGGCACCUAUGAUGAUGAUGACUUGCACACUUGUGCUCUUCGUUUUCGCUUGCUAAGGCAGCAUGGUUAUAAUGUUUCUUGUGGUAAUUGAGAUCUCGACAAUCCUAUUCAUUCAUUUUAUUUUGUUUUAAAUAAGGCUAAUUUUGAUGCAUUGGCAUAUGAAUAAUUAAGCAGAUAUGUUCAACAAGUUCAAAGAUUGUGAUGGGAAAUUCGACGAAUCGCUUCACCACGAUGUAGCAGGACUCCAAAGCUUGUACGAAGCCACACAUCUUAGGGUGCGAGGAGAGGAUUUUCUAGAAGAAGCACUAGCCUUCACAACCACACAUCUACAGUCGGCAGCAAAUCGUUUGAGCCCCCCGCUUUCGAAACAAGUAAGGCAUGCCUUGAAUCAGCCACUUCGGAAGGGCUUACCGAGGCUAGAAGCGAGGCACUACAUGUCUCUUCACCAGGAACUGCAUGGAUCACGUAACCAUGUUUUGCUGAGAUUUGCAAAGCUGGAUUUCAACCUGCUCCAACAAGUGCAUCAGAAAGAACUAAGUGAUAUUGCAAGGUUGAUACUAUCUGUUACCACACACAUUAGAUAGGCACCAGACAUGAAAAUUAACGUUACAUUUUUUCUCCAAUUAAUUAGAUAAAUAUGUGUGAUCAUCACUAAUUAUGUGAUUCAUCAGGUGGUGGAAGAAGUUGGACUUUGCUAGCAAGCUUCCUUUUGCAAGAGACAGAGUGAUUGAGUGCUACUUCUGGAUUUUGGGUGUCUACUUUGAACCCAAGUAUUACUUUGCUAGGAGAACCCUUACCAAAGUUAUUGCCAUGACAUCCAUUAUUGAUGACAUUUACGAUGUGUAUGGCACUCUUGAAGAACUAGAUCUCUUUACUAGAGCAAUUGAGAGGUUUGAAAUUGAUAUAUAUUUUUCUUCCCUUAUAUUAUAUUCUCAAUUUAUUCCGGACUUAAGCUUCACCACUUACCAUCGCCGUUCGUCUUCUUAUUUGCAGAUGGGACAUCUCAGCCAUGGAUGUACUGCCGGAGUAUAUGAAAUUCUGUUACGAGGCACUCUUAGAUGUUUAUGCUGAAGCAGAACAGGGGCUUGCAAGCGAGGGAAAAUCAUACCGUAUCGAUUAUGCAAAAGAAGCGGUAAUUAGUUAAUUAAGCCUCAAUUUUGCGUUUAGUAUUGUGAUUCCAAAGGUCGUUGAAGGUUAAGUAACAGUUGAUUUGCUGCAUAUAUGUCAUAGAUGAAGAGACAAGUUAGGGCAUACCAUGCUGAAGCCAAAUGGUUCCACAACAACUACACACCAACAAUGGACGAAUACAUGGAAGUAGCCCUCGUCACUUCAGCCUACUCAAUGCUAGCAACCACAUCCUUUGUUGGAAUGGGAGAUAUUGUUACUAAAGACUCUUUCGAGUGGAUCUUCAGUGACCCUAAGAUGGUAAAGGCUUCAGCAGUAGUUUGCAGACUCAUGGAUGACAUUGUAUCCCACAAGGUACUUGAAUUUGCUGCAGUAGAAAUUAUAUAUCUUAAAACACUUCCUUAGCUAAUUCUGACCUUAAUGUUCUUGGCAUGGCUAUACAGUUUGAGCAAAAGAGAGGACAUGUUGCUUCGGCCGUGGAAUGCUACAUGAUACAAUACGGUGCGACAGAAGAAGAAACCAUAAUCGAAUUUCGAAAACAAGUGAGUGAUGCAUGGAAGGACAUAAAUGAAGAGUGCCUCCACCCUACCUCUGUCAACAUGCCUCUCUUGAUGCGAGUUCUGAAUCUCACACGCGUGAUAGAUGUACUGUACAAGUCUGAAGAUGGCUACACUCAUGCUGGAACCAUACUCAAAGAUUUUGUAGCAUCUCUACUGGUAGAUCCUGUGACUGUAUAAGUGAAAACUGGGAACCUUUGUUUUAGUUCUUACAAGAUGUUUGAACUUAGUAUUGGAGUUGCAGGAGUGUAAUGUCAAAAGCAAUCCUUGUAAUCCCAACCUUUGUACGUUGGGAUCUAAUAUGUGGGUCUUAUUUUUUCAGUUGCAACUUUGAUAGUUCAUCUAAUAACGGAAAAGAAAUUCAAAGUCAUUUUGAUAAAGUAGUCUGGGGUUCACAUCCAAAACCAAUUGGCCAUGGGUGGAGUGGCCUAAACCCUUAUAAAUUCACAGGCAAGGUCCCAUAUUCCCGAUGUGGGAUUCAUAUCUCAACACAUUUUCUUUGAAUACGAACCUUUGACUUUGACAGAACAAUACGAACUCGAGCUUGUCCACGCUGAAAUCCUCCGUUGUCCACCUGCAAAACUCAAGUUAUUUUUCAUGUGUGGACUUAUUGUUGUCAGCAUGUACUUUUUCUGAGUUGGUCUUGAUUAAGUUCAUUUGGAAAUGGAAAAAUAGAAUAAGAGAUUCCGUGUAAGCAUAAGAGCUUAUGGACCACCAAAGCAUACUAGGAUAUGUAGUAAUUGGUUUUGAAUAAGAACUUAACAAGUGAGAAUAGAUAUGGAUAUGGAUCUUAGUAAAUAAACUAGACAAUAGAUCCAGCCGCGCCCUGCUGUGAUUCAAUAAUUCGAUUACUUCGGUCACUGGUUCAUAAAGAGUUCAUUCGAAAUUGUGUUUACUUUUGUUUACCUUUCCUAUACAAAUUUCAUCUACUGAUAUCCGUAGGAAAAACAGACUUGUUAGAAUCUAAAAUUAAGAUUCUCAAAAUGACUGGAGAGACUGUACCACAUGUCAAUGAAAUAAACAACUCAAAUCUCAUCAAAACCAUUUAAAUCAAGGCCAUGUUAGUCUCUUAAAAAAGAAUUUGAUCACUUGUCUUGCUAUUUGUUUAUAUGUUGAAGCAAAAUUUACGAUUAAGUUACGAAUGCUUAUCUAAGACCCUAAAACAUGGUUACUGCCAACACAAACUAACAUAUUCAAAAGAGCAUAUCAAAUGGUAGCUGCACAUUAGAAUUUGAGGGCUGAUCUACUUGUAAAUUUCAGUUCACUAAGUAUUCAAAUCCCUAGUAUUUUGGAAAAAUGCAUCUGAAAAGCCAAGAAUAAAAACCUAUCAAAAAACUUGAUAGAAGGAGAGGGCAAUGACCUCAAAAUAAGGGUAGAAUCCCACUCUCACCAUUGACUGAACUCUUGGGAUAGUAGAUUCUCACUGAGCUUUCUACUUUGUGACUGCUACUCCAUAUUCAACCUCCAUUCUGCAAAUUCAUGAGCGACUUUCAUAUGUUCUUGCUGCAGAGAAUAAUUGAGUUUAUAGUUAAAAUCAGAGUGACCAAGAAGUCGAUAAGGACAACAUAAUAAUUUUCUAAUGAAAAAAGGAUGUUUACCUUAGCAUUUUACUCUCAGAGGGAUCCUUUUCCUCCAUAAUUUGGAGAAGACCUUGCCACCAAACCAGCUCAGUUGCCAUUAGCUACAGUAACAGAAUCACAUUCCAAUGCUCCCAAUUCUAAGCAGAUGUUAAUGGAUAAAAGCAGUCGUCCACCAGCACUGACAAACAUGCAUACAAAUAGAAUAAGGGCAAGAAAAAAAAAGUCAAACAGCGAAUUCCAGCCAUCACAUUCUUAAACUCCCUUUUAACAAAAUGACCACCUUUUCCCCUCAAUCAAUACCUAAGACCAAAAUCAUGUAAUUUUCUACGGUAUGUGAUACCACCACAAAACAUAAAUCUAAAUACCUUGAUGUCAAUAUAAGCUACUGUUCAAUAAAUGAGGCUGCAGCUGCCAACCGAAAUAGAACCAACCACACAGCAAGUAGCAUACCAACAAAUACUACAAUCACAGGCACACAAAUUAAAAAUUCAUAAAACAUAAAUAUCCUUUAGGUAACCAAACAUGAAAUACAAAUGUCACAAAACAGAGAUUUAGGAUCAUUGCCAGAAACAAAAAUCAUGUAAAAAACAAUCACAGAACACAACUUGCAGACAGAAUACCAACACAUACAACAGAUGGAUCGCAUCUUUUAGGAUCCUCAACAUGUAUAACCCAAUUUAUCAUUACCCAGAAACAAAAAGCGUCACUGCACCGUACCACCACAACAGUUAAUAGCUACAAAAACCUUUAGGUUCUAAUAAGCCAAUUUUGUUCUCAAUAGACAAUUAGAACAUGACGUCGCUAUGCUUCCAUAGUUCCAAAUGCAUAAAGUAUGCCAGGAGAACAUCCCAACUUGAAUUUUGUGGCCACAAAAUUUAGCGAAGAGAAAAAACUGCUAGCUUUCUAUAUACACACACACAACAUCAGGUUAUGCAUAUAAUCGCUUGCCAAUCAAAAAUUGUAGAAGAAAUUUUGCUAAAAUUGUAAGGAGGUGUGUAUGCCUUAGUAUAAUAAGGAACCCGACACACUUGACCAUAAAGCAUAAGCUCACAUCAGAUUCCAGAAACGCAAACAAUCCAUUGACAGAACAAUUGUUAUAUAAAUGUACAAAGAUAUCACCCACUGCUGAAAAGAUAACAACUGAACUUUGGUAUUAUAUUCAAUAUUUGAAUGUACUGGCAACUUCACAUGCAUCCCAUCUCUUUUCAUUUCAUUGUUAACCUUUAAUUUCCUACAAACCAUGAAACCAUAACGAAAGCAUGGAUGGUAGCAAAAUAACUUAUUGAUGAGCACCGAAGAUCAGAUGCUCACCACGAUUUAUCUAGCUUAUCGAAGAAGUACAAACCUUCCAGAUCAGUAAUACACACAUAGAAGAAUAACUCCACAAAAUUUCAAGUCAAAACGGAUUCUUACAUCCUAAUCAAACUCGAGUUCAAAACAGCAACACUGCAUAACAUAGACACAAUUUCAGCAUAGAGCACUCAACUUCAGAAAAUCACUACAAAGCGCCUACCCUAUCAAAUAGUAUCAAACUUUCUAGAUCAAGAGUUCACAUAUGGAAGAAAAAGAGUACAAAGUUUCAGAGCAAAUGGAGUCCUAAAUCUUGAUCAAAAUCAGACUCAAAAACAGCUGCACACAUAACACGAAUACAAUUUCAAACAUGUGAACAAAGUACAAUGAAGAAAGAUGUAUACACUGUUCCUUGUCCAACCCAUUUUGCCCCGCAGCAUAAUAGGAAAGCCAUGUGCAGUACUUUUUAGUUUGGAUAAGUUUAUGCCACACAUCAUAAUCCUUUUAUUUUAAGGAUCCUCUUCAUCGAUGUAGAAUCAUGUAUCAAUUCAAUCCAAUUCGAUCAAUUCAAUCUUAUUAGUGUUUAACAUGCAUCCACAUCCACAUCAAAGCCAAAAAUUGAAACCUUGAAAUGAAUAAUGAACCCCUCCUCUUCAUUGAUGUAGAAUCGUUGAGCUUCUGAAGCUCAUAACCUGCAAAAUCACCUUGUUCUUGUUGCCAAACCCAAAUUAAUUUUCAUCAGUCCCUCUCUAUCAGUAAGACACCGUAGUGGAAAGAAAAACAGUCGCACAGUGCGACGAAAAAUAGUAUGUUAAAUCCUCAUUGGACUAAUUGGAUAUGGUCAACUUAACCUUUUGGAUCAGAAUACAAAUAGAACACAAAAACCAUGGGUCGGUGGUAUUGUAAAUUGAAAGAAAAUAGAGGGGUAUAUAAGUCAAAGUGGGGGUGAAUAAGUACCCAAUGUAUCUAACCAUCCAUCCAUCCAAACCAUUAUUUUUUCUCUCUCUAAAAAUAUCUGGUUUUCUCUCUCUAGAGAGGUCUCUGUAAAUCGUCUGAAUCAAAAAGAUCAAAUCUUUGGGUUUAGUUUUUUUUUUUUUUUUCGCGGGAAGAGAUGUCAGGUAAAGGCGCCAAGGGUUUGAUUCAUGGCAAAGGAGCCAGCAACAGCAAAGAUAAGGACAAGAAGAAACCCACCUCCCGAUCCUCACGAGCUGGCCUUCAGGUGAUUACCUUUGCUUCUUUGUUCUUGUUUUUUCUUGAUUUUGGGAUUUUAGGGUUUCGAAUUUGAUUGUUGAGGUUGAGUUUGGGGGGUUUAAUUUGGUAAAGAUUGGAACUUUUUUUGGUUUUGGUAUUGGGUUUUGGUUUGUUUUGGUGAUGAGAAAGCGAAUUAGAAUACCCACAUGGGUUUGGGAACUUAAAAGAUUUAGUUUUUACGGAUGAAUAAUAGUUGUUGAAUUGAGAGUUGAUUUGGAUCGUUUUGGAAGGGCAUGAUUUUGUGUUUUUUCCUUAAACCAUGUUUGUUAGGAGAACCAUAAUCCGAUUGAAGAGUUUGAACUUGAUAGAGAUUUGAUAGAUAGAUACAUUGGAGGGGUGAAUUUUGAAGUUUGAAGUGUCUCGCUCCUCUGGAACAUGCUCUAUUCUAGAUUGUUGUUUACAUUAUGAAUUUUCAGGGUAUAACUGUUUCGAUAAGAUUGUGGAUGUCUAGAAGACUAGAAUAGACUAUGCUUGCUCUAUGUGUCUUGGUAAACAUGAUUGAGUCUUCCUACUCAUAGUAAACAGUUUAAAGUUUCUAAAAGUCCUACCUGAAUCUGUUAGAGAAGUACCAGCUAUACAAUAGAAAUAAUUUCGGUAUAUGAUGUUGAUUACAUAAGUUGUUGGAAUGAUGAUAAACCUACUUAUUUAUAUGAUGUUAGAGACGGAGGAUCCUAAUUAGAUACCUGCAAUCUCCCAAUUAUUAACUUUCAUGAAUAGACUCUCUAGUGGUGAGGGAACGAAGGGUUUGAAUGUAAGAAAGUAGAAACUUCUUAAGACUUUCAUUUAAAAACAUAGCUUCAGCCGUAUGUUAUGAACUUCCAAAGUGUUUCUCUGUCUCACUUUUUGUCCAUUAUUUUCAAGUCAGUUUAUGGACUAUACUAGAGUUGUUGAAUUUCUGCCAUCUACUAAUUCUGUGGUGACAAAUUUCUAGUUCCCGGUGGGUCGUAUCCACCGUCUCCUGAAGCAAAGGACCACAGCUAAUGGGAGAGUGGGAGCGACUGCUGCAGUUUAUUCUGCAGCUAUCUUGGAGUAUCUAACUGCUGAAGUUUUAGAGUUGGCAGGCAAUGCCAGCAAAGAUCUGAAGGUGAAGCGUAUCACUCCCAGGCAUUUGCAGCUUGCAAUCCGUGGUGACGAAGAACUUGAUACUCUGAUAAAAGGUACCAUUGCUGGUGGAGGUGUCAUCCCUCACAUUCACAAGUCACUUAUCAACAAGUCCACCAAGGAGUAAUGAUGAGGGCCAAAAUUCUAUGAGGAGACUCUCCUUUGUGACUUAGGAUCAUGUGUUUUAGUAAUUCGUUAUUUUGCUAGUUAAUUUUCAUGUCUGAUAGUAUUUGUAAUGGAUAAUGGGAUCAGAAACUCUUCUUUUUUAUUAUUAAUCUAGGCUUACUCUAGGAACCCUGUCAUAAUGUCGUAUUGCAUCCCUGGUAUUAAAGGCGUGUUUGAGCUACAAUUGUUGUUUUUCUACCAUUCUAUUUUACAUGAAUUCAGUUGAUGAUGGCAUAACUGCUCUCAAUCGAAGAUGCGGUUCUUUUUAUGCUGCAAGGUGAAAGGUCUAUCUUCAUGUUAUUGACAUAUGUUUACUCGAGUAGUUUCCAUGAAUCAUCAACAGCAGUCAUUUGUGAAAGAAGAUGGGAACAGGUUUUAGUUCCAACAACCUAUUAAAGAUCUGAAAGGCGCGAAUUCAAUUGAAUACUCAUAAAUCCAUGUCCUUCUCAAUAUUCACUGCACAUUCCUCUUAAUCAAUACAGAUAAACAACCAUUAGCAUUAGUAAAUAAGUGAAAAAUUUCCUGCACUCCAACCUAAAACCACCAAAUAAUCUGCGCUAGAAGCAAUGAAAGUCCUUCCUAGAACCUUAAACAUGGAAAAGAACGAAAACCAAUUCUAAACUUCUCAUUAAGAAAAAAUAUCUAGCAAAAGCCACCAAAAUGGUAGUGGCGUAAGAAUGGGGACGACCAACUUAGAAAUUUAGAAGGUUGUCACUCUUGGAACAUCAACUGGGAACUGAUCAAUUUCAGCCAUCCACGGGCUCUUUUCCUUGGCAGGAUCUAUAGUCUUGAGAGCUUUCCACACAGCACUGUUACACUUGAAUCCCGACCCGAAAGCUAUCUGCCAUGUUCUAUCUCCUUUCUUAAUCCUUCCCUUUGCUUCUGUGUAAGCUAACUCAUACCAGAGAGAACUGCUUGAGGUGUUUCCAAAUCGGUAUAGUGUCAUCCUUGAUGGCUCCAUAUGCCAAUCAGACAGAUGCAGGUUCUUCUCCAAUUCAUCCAAGACGGCUCUUCCCCCAGCAUGAAUGCAGAAAUGGUCAAAAGCAAGUCUGAAAUCUGGGAUGUAAGGUUUGAUCUUCAUCUUGAACAGUUUCCUACCCACCAAUGUAGCAAAGAAAAGCAGCUGCUCGGACAUUGGAAGAACAAGAGGCCCCAGUGUGGUGAUAUUGGUCUUCAAAGCAUCACCUGCUACAGCCAUCAGGUCCUUCGAUAGUGUGACACCAAUAUGCCCAGCAUCAUCUUCUUCUUGAGUAACACAGCUAAAGCACUUGUCAUCAGCACCCUUGUGCGUGCGGACAGUAUGGACUAAUUGGUACUUGGACCUCCUUCUGUCUGAGUUUUUGUUUGAAAGAAGUAUAGCAGCCCCUCCCAUCCGGAAUAAGCAAUUUGAAACAAGCUUUGAACGAUCAUUGCCAAAGUACCAGUUCAAUGUAAUGUUCUCCAUGCUGAUAACCAGCGCAUAAGAGUUAGGAUGCACCUGAAGAAGCUUUUGAGCAAGAUCAAUUGAGAUGAGCCCCGCGCUACAUCCCAUUCCACCAAGAUUGUAGCUGACUAUAUUCCCUCGAAGCUGGUAAUGAUUGAUAACCAUGGCAGAAAGAGAUGGAGUUGGAUUGAACAAGCUGCAGUUGACAAUCAAGAUUCCGAUGUCCUUGGGUUUUACAGAUGUCUUGGCAAAUAGCUCGUCAAUGGCACCAUACAUCACUGCCUCAGCUUCUUUCCUGGCUUCUUUCAUUGACGGAUUUGGGGGAAUGUUAAGUACAGCCUCUGGAAGGUAUGUUGAAUCACCAAGGCCGGAUCUCUCAAGGAUCCUUCUCUGGAACUGUAGAUUCUCUUCUGUGAAUGUACCAGUCAUCGUAGACUGAUCCAUGAAAAUCUUUUUCGUGCAUUUUCGAGUUUCUUCUGGCUUGUAACAAGAAAAGUUAACAAGGUACACAGGGCGAGGGCGGGUAAGAAAGUAUACAGUGGAUAGGAACACCAGGAGGGUCGAGCAGAUGAUCACCGAAAUCAGGUUGUAUUGGAGAUGCUCCCAUAGAUCAUAUAGAUCUUGGAGCGAAAAUGUGGAGAGCUGGGCAGCAAUAACAAUGACAAGAGGGGAAAGGAAAAGGUACAUUCCAUGGGUGAUGAGAAUAUGGUAACCAAGCUUCACAUAUUUUAGCUUAAUGGAUUUUUUGAAGUCGGGGAGGUUCCUAUUGUUUGAGGGUCUAGAUGAUGGUGGGAUCAAUGGUGUAUCUGGUUUUGGUUCCGCCAUAUUUCCCUGAUAAACAUACAACACCUCUAAUCAGAUCAAAUGCACAACAAAAUCAUAAACCAAUGUAUUAAUAGAAAAUUAUAAUCACAGAAGAUGAACUACCAGAGACUAAAAAUUAAAUUAGUAAAGGGUGGUUUUCCAGAACAUAAAGGCAAAUUCCAAUAGCUUUUCAAUUGGCAUCCAACCAGAAAUGACUCUUGGAAAGCCAAUGGAGCUUUUCAAAAAAGAAGGUUGUCUAUUAUUUACAGCUACAUAUCACACUGAGAUAAUGAAAAGGCAGAAAGAACACCUAAUGGUCCCAAUCCAAGCACCAAUUCAAAAAUGGUGGAACAGAACAAAAGCUACACACUUUGAUCCUUACAAGUUGGAGCCAAAGUGCUAAACACAAUCCAAACACAACCCCAGAUCAGAUUUUUCCAAUAAAGAACACUUCUUUCCAAACAAAUCAGCAGAUUAACAAACAAUGUUACACAACCCUUAUAAACACUCACACAAAGAACCAAACUUUAUCACAGAAACCAUACAAAUUCACACAUCCAAGAACAGAUCAAACCUCCCAAGAUACAAAACAGAACGUUAUAGAAAAAAGCUGCAAGCUUUGAUAAUGAGGCAAAACCCAGAUCGAAGACUGACCUUGGUUGCCGAAACCCACCACCAGAUCUCACAGGAAUGUCGUCGUCGCCAGCCAAAGACAACCGGAGAGAAACAGGGCAAAAGGGAAUAUGGGAGAGGUUCAAAGUUUGAAGUGAGAUUAUAUUAGAGCUAAAAAUAGGGANNNNNNNNNNNNNNNNNNNNGGCAAAUGCAUUUGCAAUUUUGGGUUUUAGAUAUUUUCUUUCUUCUAUUUUGUGUGUGUUUUCAUUGCUUUUUUCUCAUUUAAGAGGUUGAGAAUAAAGAUGUAGGAAAUCAUUCUAGUGAAGACCCUUAAGUUGAGGAUUUGGUGAGGGCUUUUCGGUUUAUGGUUUAAAAUACCCAAUUUUCGAUCACAUGUUGACAUCUUAUCUGUUCAGUUUUUAGGUUUAUAUGAGUAGAUCAUUUCUACAAAUUUUCACCCAAAUUGGUGUUCAUUAAGAUAACAAACUAGAUCAAAUUAAUGGACGAACCAAAUCUGCCAAAUAUGAACCGUUCAAGUUCAUAAUUGAUAAAUCACACUUAUGAAUGUCUUAACAAUUUUCAAUAUAGCUGAAAAUUUGAAGAAAUGAUAUACUCAUAAAUACCUAUAAACUGAACGGUCAAUAUGUAGAUAUAAGAUCGAAAUGUGGGAUAAACCGAAAAGUCUUUACCAAGUCCUCAACUUAAGGGUCCUCACUAGAAGGGCUCCCUAAAGAUGUAUACCAAAAAGAUAUCAACUUCCAAGUCUGUGUACAUGAAUCAUGUGCCAAUAUUUGUGUGAUAUACAUCUUAUCGGGUUGCAUUAGCUUUCAAGGUCUCUAUGGAUUGUGAAUCGAAAUUUACUCUUAUACAGUUAGUUGUUAGAGUUUAUUGUCUCAUGAAAAUUGUAGCGUUCGAAAAGAUACCAUAAUUUCAUGUCUAGACCCGUUUGGAGAUUUACUACUAUGAAACUCGCAUUCAUCCAAAGUACAGAAAACUAAAAUUUAGAAAGAAAAAAAAAACACCCUCUAGCCUCUGGUUUAUAUGUGGAAAUAAUACCUCCAAUAUUCUUCCCUUUAAUUUUGCUUUUCAAAAUCAAGGUGACAAUACAAAUGGCAUGAUGAUUGGAAAAGAAAAUGUCAAAUUAUUCCCUCUUUGAAUAUGACAAGUGAGAUUGAAGAAGAGUAUAGUGAAAUACAACAAAAUCGAGCCGCCCAUUACAGUUAAGGAGCCGUCAAGAACAAAGCCAGAAGGCUUAUAUUAUAUUUGACUGGUAUACAAUUCAGUGAAUUGGUAAUGUUGUAUAGGGCAGGCAAUUUGAGGAGGGACCAAGCACGAGGUUGAUGACCAGUUGUUCACAUGGAUAUAAAGGUUACAACUCUGUCACUGUCCCUAUUGUCAGCUGCGCUGGCUCCACAUGCUAUGCUGUUCUUCAACUCAAUCCAUGAGCUAUAUCAUCUUCUAAUAACAGAAACAACAAACCAACUUCAACAAUGAAGAAAUUUCCAAGUCUGUCUGUUUAGCAAGAUUUGACAAACUGUUUUAUGAGGAAAUGGUGAGGGUGAGAUGGAAUCUGGGAGAGUUGAAAAGGAAAUGUUGCCAACAAAUUUAUCUUGUGGGGUUAAGUUGGCAUCAACCAUCAAGCAUAAUUCCACCUUUGAUCAAACUUGGUUAAAGAAAAGCAAACUCUAAUACAGGAAAAGAAAUCUUACAGUAGUAACUUGCUGUUGGAGAACAAUGAUAUGAGGGAAAGUUAGUUGAACAAUAGGCAAUGUUGAACAUGCUACUCCAAUGUGAAUUCCUCCAGCCAUAUCAGCACUUCAUUUCUCUAAAAUGCAGUCAGCACCAAAACAACACAAAAGAUCAACCGUUAGAGUGAAGAAAGCAAAAUUCGGUAGGAUUUGGCAAAAAGAGGACUAACAGUACAAAUAAAAGCUUAAUGAUCAAGAUUACUUGCUACUGGUUUUGCUUUGUCUAGAAGGCAGUAGAAGUAACAGCUACCAAGACUACUACAACUAGGGCUAGUAAUCAGGCCAAAGUCGAGUUCAACUUUUCUUGAAAGAGGGUUGCUUGCAGUACUCAUAGACCUUCAAUAUGUGAAAGGGUAGAUAUAUAUCUUGUAACUUAUUAGAUGAAGUUUCAACAGUUGAAAUUUUCUUAGUUGAGGUUUUCUUGAAAACAGGUUUUCUUGCAGUUAUUCCAGAGCUUCAAUGUCAAAGGUAGCUAGAUAUCUUCCAACUUCUUGGAUGAAGUUCCUAUAGUUGGAAUUUUCUUUGGUGAAGAAUUUUCCAUCUUGAAGUUUUCUUUGAUGAAGUUUUCUCCAUAUAUCAUAUAAAAUUAGAGAUAUAUAAGAACACAUUAUCAGACUGGUCACUGAUGUUACAUACCAUUAUAAAGCUCCAAGUUCGGCCAGGGUCAUUGUAACGAGCAAGCAUACACCCGGCCUUAGGUUUGAGACCAUCUCUGAUAAGACUAGCACGCAGCAAAUUCUCCUUUUCACGAACAACAUCUUCGGUAGGCUUCCCACUAAACUUGAUAACAGCAGCAAUGCCUUCUUCCAUUUUUUUCAAGCUAAUUGUUUCUGCAUUAGGAUCUGGUAAACUGGCCACAUCACAUUUUUCUUAUUAAUAUAUAACUCUUCACAAGGACAAAUGUAAGUACGAUAUAUAUCUAACAUCUAUUAAUUCUCCACCUGCUUAAAUCCUUGUCAAGUGGAAGACAUACUUUGAUGGAUACUUUGGAAAAUUCAGCAUCAGAUGCCUCAGUGAACACCGGAGUUGUCAUUGGUAUCUUUUCCAUUUUUGAGUUCUUUCCAAAGAUGUACCUAAGCAAAUCCCAUUUCCAUAUCACAAAAAGAAACAAAAUUUUUUUUUUUUAAAGAAAAUAUAUUUAUAGCACAUGAUUAGCUAAGCUGUAAUGCAAGCACUCACCCAGUAACAUCAUUGAAACCAGCUGAUCCAGACAGCUUGUCUGCACUUCCUUCUACCACUAUAAAAGGGGAGUACUUUCUUACCUGUAGAAUCAAUCCAGGAAUCACCAACAAAACAGUAAAACCAUCCAAUCAAAUAGAGUUACAGAAGAAAACAAAAACCUUCAAAUGUAAUGCAUUUCAUUCAUGAUUCAUCAACUUUAGAGAAUGAAGUCUAAAAGCCCAACUUUUAAUGAAUGCAACAUUAGCCAUUCACUAAGGAGAACACACCUCAUAAUUUGCUGUUCUCUUUAGUAUGUCAUAUUUUGGUGUUUCCAAGUCUGGAGUUUUGUAAAUCCUCAGCUGCAGGGUUUUACAUACAAGAAGAGACUAAGGCAAGAAAGAAUCUUUAUACAUGAUAAUGGAAAGUGUAUAAUGAGUCUGCCAAUACCUGCUUGAAUACAUCUAACAAACCUUCUACAGAAAAAUAGUCAUUCUUCUUAAUGGAAUCCCAGAAGUCCUACAUGUACAUUACAGCAGAUACAUGAACAAUUUUAGAAAUUACGCUGUAUCAUCUACAUUGUACUAUAAAGAGUCAUGAGGUGAAUGAUUGUUACCACAUGGCUGCAGAACUUCCCAGUUUCGGGGUUGAUUCCCAUAACAGAAGUACCAGUGAAGAUCAAUUCUGGUUUCCAAGGCAGAGGGACGAACUUCAUAACCAUAGUCCACCUUGUAGUGAUUUCAUAUGGUCCUGACUAUAUAGCAUCUUAAUCAGUAACUUAAGACAGUCCCACUCCAAUUUCAAGUGGACAUCCACAUGAAUAUGCACAGAUUGAAAACUUUAAACUAAAAGUUUGAGUCUGCACUCAAAUUUUAUUUCCUCAUAUUCAACAUAGUCACAUUAACCUCAUCCAACAUAUAUAUGCAGCUAUGCAUCAUCCAAAAUUCUAAGUUACAUAAUUUCAUUCUAUGAAAAUCAUUGAACUGCACCCAGUUAAAUUCUUAUAUUUAAUUACUCAAUGCCUAAAAUUCCCAAUAUUCUAGUAGUUAAUCUAAUAAGGGAAAGAACACAGGUCCUUUAAACAGUUACCUGUUUUACCCAGUGCAACUGGAACUUGGGAGUGAAGACUGUCUUCAAGAAGGCAAUGUUCAACAAAUAGCCAGUUAUAGAAUCAUGCUUGGUGAUUGGAUCCCUGAACUUCACACGUUCAUCAUACGCCGUCCGAUCAAUUCCUUGAUCAUCAAACAAGUGAACUAAAUCCUGGUACAGAAAAUCGACCACCCUUUCCAUGUCGACGGUUGAUUUUGGCGGGCUUUGGUCUACUAAGCUAAGUCUAACAGCCCACUUUGAGUAGUUUUGCCUUGUUUGAAGCCCCAAGUGUUUGUGUUUCAAGGCUUUGGAACGUGGAUGGCAUGGUAGUUUAUUCGCUUUGGUGGUGCUCAGCCGCCGUAAACUGACGCACACGGCGGGGAUAGGCCUGAAAACUUGGUCGGAAAGCUGUGUGCUAGCCAUUUGGUGGUUGUGGUGGGCGUGUGACUGUGUUGGCUUGGUGCGUGACCAUGCAUUGCUACUAUGAAACAACUUAGCCACAAGUAUUGAUUGGUUGGUGUUCGUUUCUGAAAUUAGUGGCUACAAUUUCUUCAUGUAAACAUAAUUGAAUAGUAGAACUCGUCGUUUGUAAAUACCUUAUGAAAAUGAUAAGGAGAAACACUAGUAUCAUUGUCCUGCAGAUAUGACUUUAAGCUAAAUUCUCCAUUCUAUGGUAGACUAGCACAGUAUUGCAGCACAAUUUCACACUCUCAGUACAAGACUUUACUGAUGAGAAACCCCUCUGUAUAUUUGGCCAUCCAUGAACUUCAAUAUCAUAACUAAUCCAAAACAUAAACACCAAAUAAGUGACCAUUUCCCAUCUCCUAAAUCACACAUUGUGCAGGAGAAAGAUGAAAUGAAGGGCAAGAUUCCUCCUGCCGUAAAUAAGUUGGAUAAGUGAGGGCAUCAAGGACUUUUUCAUUUGCUAAGAAAUUAAAAUGUAGCUGGCUUAGUAUAGAACCCUCUUGUUUCCCAGGGUUCUGACAGGAAUCACAGGAUUAAAUGGCAACAGCCCUCCCUCAGUCUCCCACUCUCAAGACUCCUCUUUCAGGAUGUGUGACGACGAGUGCUAUGAAGGUAAGUCUCUCUUGACCUCUGCAUCCACCUCUAAGCUUGGUUUGUCCAUUUCUAAUGUCAUCACAAAAUGGCUCGAAUCCCUACCCGAAGAAAUCAUACCCAACAUCCUAAUCACACUACCUGUCAAAUCCCUCAUCAGAUUCACCUCUGUCUGUAAAUCUUGGGAGUCCACCAUCAAAAACCCAAAAUUUAUCCACACCCACCUCACCCACACUCUCAAUUCCAAUGACCAAAACGACACCCACCUCAUUCUCUUCCACGAUGUUCAUAGUAAACAUUUCUGUCACUAUCCUAAGUACAAGAAGCCUCUUUCUCUCUGCAUUAUGAUUACACUGCUGCUGUUACUGAGUAUUGCAAGAUUGAGUUUCCAGUAGCUAUCAAGGAAGCAGUCAUGAAUGCUUUUCGUGUUGUGGGUACUUGUAAUGGGCUGGUUUUGCUGGCUGAUGAUUUGGAGGAUUACGGUUACACCUUUGUUGUAUGGAACCCUAGUAUAAGAAGGUAUGUGACCCUUCCCAAGUCCACUAUGAGGUUUUCGAGGCAAGGUACGUAUGUUGGUCCGGUUGGUCUGGGUUAUGAUGCUGUUGGUAAUGACUAUAAGGUUGUGAGACUUACCACCCUUUUUAAGAAAGAGAAUCCUUGUCGGCCUGAUAUUUGGCCCACUUCAGUUGAGGUUUAUUCACUCGCCAAGGGCAUUUGGAGCACGGUCAGUCCUCCUCAAUGUAUUGUUCUUCAUUACUCCGCUGCUCAGGUUUUCGUCAAUGGGGCACUUCACUGGAUGGCUAAGCAUUGCCAUUGGAUAGAUGAGAUGGUACAUAUAGACUCUUUCAUUUUGACAUUUGAUGUGGCUGCUGAGUCAUUUGGAGAGAUAAUGUUGCCCAAGGGCUUCGAAUCAGAGGAGGCACAGUUGUCUACGUUGUCUGAUUCUGGAGAUAGAAAUUCUAUUGCUCUGUUUGUGAGGAAUGAGGUUCCGGGUGCUUUUGGUCUUGAAUAUUGGGUAAUGAAAGAGUACAGUGAGGAGAAAUCAUGGACAAAGUUGAUGGUUUUUGGUCCACAUGAUCGGUGGAUAAAUGUACCCAGGGUAUUGUGUUUUAGGAGGAGUGGUGAAGUGAUGUUGUUACUUAAGGAUGGCCAUACAGUUUCACUUGACAUUGUGAGCGAAGAAUUUAAACAUCUAGGGAUGUAUGGAGGGGACCUUAGCUCUGUUCACUCUUAUGAAGAGAGCCUUGUCUUGCUUGAAAGGAAAGAUGUUGUUUCUUACUGAGGCAAUGAACCAAGUAAGGUGAUUAUUUCUUGAACUUACCUUUGCUGAUAGCUUCUAAUUUUAAUGCAUAUGCUGCUAAUUGUAUAUGAUCUAUGACGAUUGGAUUUUACCUCAGCCACAAAGUUUGAUAUUGUGUAUGCUGAUUGCUUUGAUUGCUCUGUGCGUCAUGUAUUAUAUUUUUUCUUUGCCACAAGUUUGUUGUUCGUGUCUUUCUGGUGUUUCGUUAGGAACUUGCUAUAAUAUUGUUUUAAAUGUUUUCCUGUCUUAGCUAAUUGUCUUUCUUGUUCUGUCGUUUUGAGAACAGAGACUAGUAACCAAGUUGAUUAGAAAUCAAGCAAACCAACUUCAGAACAAUUCGCUGUACUUUAUGUUUGGAAAACAAGACUUAAAUGAGUAACUACUCAUAUCAUAUCAUUGCUUUCUCCGUGUUUUCUAUAAUAUCUGUUUGGUAUUACCUUAGACAGUAGAGUGUGGUCUCCAAGGAACUGUUGAGGCUACUGCAUUGUAUUUGAAAUUACAUGUUUUUAUUUGCUGUUGUUAACUGACCAUAUUAUCUCUGUCGAUGAUGUGUACUUGUCACUUUGAAUCGUUCCCAACCAACCAUAUUAUCUGGUCGAUUGAUUUGUUAGUUUUUGAUGACUACUUGUUACUUUUAAUAUGAAUAUGGCACAAAUCAUGCUAUUUGAUUUUCUAUUUGCAUAGGCAGCAUCAUAUGAAAGCUGAUGAAAUGUGGGAUACCAAAAUUAAGACCGAGUAAUAGUUGCAACUUUCUACUCUAAUUUCUGUAGAUUUUCUUUGUUUAUCAAUAUUUGGAUUGAAUUUCCAUGGCAUUAUCUUUUUCUUUUCUGGGUUGAAUUACCUCCGUUUUACAUUACAUGCCUUGGCAAUCUUGAGCUGAUUAUCAUCCUACAUCUCUGUCAUCAACUGUGAACCACAUACUUUCCCUUCACUUCACUCUCUAGUCUCUAUGUUGUGUUAAUACAAAUAUCUGAACAAAGCGUUGAAAAGUGUUCUACUACCACUUCCGGUGCGUUCAUGCAGCAUCCCUUUUGGGACUCCAUAGCAUUUGGGACUCCAUUUGUAUAAUAUAACUUGCUGAAGCAUUUAUUCAAUUGUGUGCAGGUCAGACAUUGGGACACAUGACUUUCAAGACUGUUUUUUGUAGCUGUGAAGUGUGAGAAUCUGAUGCAUGGGUUUGCAAUUUCAGUCACUCCAUCUACCGACUGAACUUUUGAAGUGCAUCUAUAUAGGAUAUGUAGUCCCAUCUAGUAUGGGUAUGUAAUCCUAACAUGACUCGCUUCUAAUUUGGAUCUUCCAUCAGACUUAUCAGUAGUUAUUAGUAUUCUCGUGUGUAACAAUAUUUCAACUGAAUAGAUUACCCUCUAUCUUAAUCGUUUACGCGAUCUCUUGUGGUUUUUCUUAACCGCAUCCAAAGCUUGAUGCUUACAAGCUUUGGAAUAUGGAGAAUGGCCUAAAUUUGCCUUUGCUACUUGUGAAUUCUUUCAUGCUUGUGUCUUUGCUAUUCCACAUUCUAUUGAAAGAUCCUUUAGACAUUGAGAACAGGUCAACUUGCGGAACAUGAUUCACCUUCGAUUAAUCAGGGAUGACACUAAGAAAUUGAUACUAGGAGAGAAAUUUGACAUAUGCUAAGUAUCAGAAGUCUCUCAAUAUACCCUGAAUUGAUUCCCUCAAAGAUUGAUGUGAAAUUGAAAGAAAGAACCAGUAUCAUACUCACUUCAAGCUAAUUUCUCCAAUCUAUGCUAGACUAGCACAUUCUUGCAGCACAAUUCCACACUCUAGCACACGACUUCACUGAUGAGAAACGCGCCAAGCAUAUCAUCAUUCCCCUAUAUACACACUUCAAUAUCCCAACAAGGCUGUUGUAUUGCCAAGUUGGGCUCUUUCAUUACGGACUUUGGUGGUGGUUCAACGGGGCCGUGACUGGAGUAAAGCCCAUAUGCAUUGCAAAUUGCUUUUCGGCUAUGAGACAUCUUACCCACAAGUUGAUUGGUUGGUGUUCAUUUCUGUUUACAUCCUUAAAUAUAUUAUGCAAAACUAUUAAGAUAAAGAUUUUAAACUAAAUAUUUCAAUACUAACCUCACAAUCAAGAAUUUUUGUGAAAAUAUAAUAUUAAACUAAAAUCAAUAAAAUCCAAACAACAACAAUUCUCUACAUCUUUACAUCAAAAAAAAAAAAACAAUUCUCUACAUCUUUUAAAUCAGAUUUGAGAAUAUACAAUGUGGUGGGAUUGUUCGUUCUUAUUUUUAUUUUAUUUAUGGCUUCAAAUGUAGUCUUUCAUAUAUAUAAUCGUAAAGAAGGAAGUCAAUAAAGAGAUCAAGGAGAAUAUAUAUAGGAUGUGGUUUGUGAAUAAAUAGAGGUAUGCGUUAAAUAUAUUGAUGAUAUAUUUUUAUAUUUUAUCAGAUUGAGGAAAAUAAAAUAAAGAAAAUAAAAACCAGAUUUUCUCUCAUAAUUUUGAGGGCAGAAUUAGAACGUUAAAGAUAAAAAAUAAGACGUGGGGUGAACUAAGCAUUUAGUGGGGUGGAAAUAGCCGCACCCUAAAAUAUUUGUAAAAAAUGUUCUAAAAGGUGCUAAAAACCAAGAAUAAGAAAACUCAUUAUUUGUAAAUUAAAGUGCAUAUCUUAAAUCAUUUUUGUCUAAGUAAAAGCAGGCAUGAAUCGAGAAUCUUAAACCACAAUAAUAUCAUACAACAAUUCUCAAAUAGAAAGAUCAUAGCCCCAUAAAUUACAAAAUUUGCUCACUCAUAUCCACCACUAAAGUAAUAUAUGUACAUUGCAUUUGUGUAGAGAACUACUAUAAAUUUAGGAAAAUUCAUACCUGUCCAAACUUUUUGACUGUUAUAUGUACACGUUUGUAAAACAUUGCCAUAUAAAGUGAACGUUGGACAUGCAUUAGAAAAACACAUUCUUCCACACUCUUGACACAAGUCGUCACUGACGAGAAACGCGCCAAGAAGCAUCAUCCCUCUAUAUAUAUGCCCAUCCAUGAACUUCAAUUCCAUAACCAAUCCAAAGCAUACACACCAAAGCUCCCAUUUCCCUCAUCUCCUAAUUCAGACUCUUCAUUUCAUAAGAAAACCCAUCAUCCAAAACCUCCAAAUCAACAGUCCAAACUAGAAGGAUGUCGAAAAUGUUUGCCCUUUCAAAGUUCGAGACUGCCUCAAUAUCAUGGUGGAAGAAGCAUGGAGAUGGAGACGACGACGGUGAUGAUGGAUACGACUAUGCCCCAGCGGCAUCAGCAUGCAUGGAAGGCGACAGCGAUGACGACGAUUCCGACUAUGAUUAUGCUCCGGCGGCCUCUACGGAAGGCGAUGACGACGACGAUGAUGGUGGUUAUGAUUAUGCUCCAGCUGCAUAAGAGCUGUGUAACUAGCAAUUCAGUCGAAAUUGCUUAUAUUAAUUCUUGAUAUGAGAUCGAGUGGCAUUUCUAUCACAGGGUUAUUUGCAAACCCCUAAGUAUUUUCUGACGGCCUUUGUAGCUCGUCAGAUGUUAUAGGGUAUUAUGUAUCAAUUUCUGAUCAGUAAACCUCUGAAUUAUGGUCCUCUACUACUCUAAUUUCGUUUUUUGUUUGAAACUCGAAGAUGCUAAUUAAGUAUUAACAUGAGCAAAUGUGGUUUGUGACACUGUUUCCUUUCAAUGAUCGAAGUCUGUAAUAGUUUCAAGCACACAAUAAGUCUCAUUUCCCUAUCUGCAAGUUUGCUUAAUUAGUGAAAUAGAAAUACUUUACAUGGAUGAUUUGAUCAUCACUUACUAAAUGAAACUACUUGACUAUCAAUUCGAGGAACCUGGAGAAACCAAAUUUGUUCAUAUGCUGUUGUUAUUUUCCAUCUUUCUUGUAAUGGCUCAGCUCACCCCGCACUUGCUUUAUCAUGAUAUUCUCUUCCUUUACCUUUUCAAUUAUAAUUCUAAUGUAUUUCUCUAAGUGGUCACUUUACUUAUCAUCUGCUAUAAACUAAAUUCAAACUUUCUGGGAUUGCUGACGAAGAGCUUAGUAUUCGACGAGCUACUAA
rnacentral:lncRNA from 1 species